CUAGCUAUCAGUCCUUGUAUCCCUCCUAGUAUUAUAGUUUUCUGUCCUAGUUUCAGAGCUUUAAUGGAGUUUCAUCUCCUACCCAUCCUUGCUCUUAUCUCUGUAAGCUUUUCAAAAUAAGCAGCUUUUUUUUUUUUAGUUCAUGUUUCUUUUAAUCUACAUAUGUUUAAGCAGGUAAUGAAUUAAUUUCUCUAACCUUUUUUUAUACAGCUAGUAGUGGCAGCAGGCCAUGCUGCUCUACCUACUGAAGUCUACUGGAAUUCAGUUCUGCCAAACACUCCCAUGCCAAAAGCUAUCAGGGAUAUUCUUCGGCCAGGUUCUCACAGAAUCCGGCAAUUCCUCUAUCAGUUUUGACACUGUUUGUCAGUCAAGAAUAUAUAUAUAUAUAUAUAUAUAUAUAUAUAUGCAUGGAAGCACUUCUAAUCUUUUUAGUACUUAAAAUUUUGAUCAAAAGAGUUGUUUUCAAGUGCCAGAAAAGCUAGAAAUGCUCAGUGGAAACGCUUUGUAGAGUUAGUAACCUGUAAGACAAAAUUAAGCACUCACCAUGUAUUCUUGAAUUCAAUGGAUUUGCAGAUCUUAUGGAAGAAAAAGGCACUUCCGUAAGUGUAGGGAAGGGCGGGGUAAAUGUCCAUGCAGGAAAAGGCAAAUCCGGAGGCGGCACCACUGUCGGGGUGGGCAAAGGCACUGGGGUAAAUGUUCACGCAGGAAAAGGAAAACCUGGAGGUGGCACCACUGUUGGCGUCGGCAAAGGAGGAGUAUCUGUUAACGCAGGCCACAAGGGAAAGCAUGUAUAUGUUGGUGUUGGUAAAGGGAAAAGUAAAUCACCCUUCGAUUACAAGUAUGCUGCUACUGAGGAUCAGCUCCAUGAUGAUCCAAAUGUAGCUCUUUUCUUCUUUGAGAAGAACAUGCAACCUGGGACAAAGAUGGAGUUGCACUUCAUUAGGGAUGCAAAUCUAGCCACCUUCUUGCCUCGUCAAGUUGCCAACUCCAUACCUUUUUCAUCCAAAAAAUUCCCAGAAAUUCUGAACGAGUUCUCGAUAAAACCAGAAUCAGAAGAAGCUGAGACAAUCAAGAACACAAUCAGAGAGUGUGAGGAGCCUGGGAUUAAAGGAGAGGAAAAGUAUUGUGCAACUUCACUAGAAUCCAUGGUUGAUUUCAGCACCUCAAAGCUUGGAAAAGGUGUUCAGGUGAUUUCAACAGAGGUGGAGAAGGAAACCCCGGAGCAGCAGUACACAAUUACAACUGGGGUGAAGAAGCUGGCAGGUGACAAAGCUGUGGUGUGUCACAAGCAGAGCUAUCCCUAUGCAGUGUUUUACUGCCACAAGACUCAGACCACAAGGGCUUAUAUGGUUCCCUUGGUGGGUGCUGAUGGGUCCAAAGUUAAAGCAGUAGCUGUGUGCCAUACAGACACAUCGGCAUGGAACCCCAAGCAUUUGGCUUUUCAAGUGCUCAAAGUUAAGCCAGGAACUGUUCCAAUCUGCCAUUUCCUUCCUGAGGAUCACGUUGUCUGGGUUCCAAAAUAGAAAUCUGCAGAAAGGACUUGAGAUUUGUUAGUUCCGCACAUCAUUCGGUGUAUCGUACUAGUUUGAAAUUCUGUAUGUUUGGUAUUUACGUCUGUAAUACUUCAAACCCCAUUGCCAUAUGAUUAUAUAUAAAUAUAUGAGUCAUAUUAUUCCCUAGUAGACAUUCUCUGCUUGUUUGUUAGUGCUAUUUUUAACUAGCUUUAAUGGGAGUGAAAAUUACCUAGUUGACUACAUUCCGUUGAUUGCUAUCUAACACGUAACGAAAAUUGCCUAGUUGAGUAAAAAUUAUGAUUUUAAAACUUUUUGUAAUGAGUAUGAGACUGAACACUUAUAAAAUACUUCAAAAAGAAAACUAAAACUUUGUAAGCAAUGACCGAAACAAUACUAAAUAAAAACAAUUUACUUAAAUAUUUUCAAGUUGAGCAAUUAAUACAACGUGUUAUGUUAAAUAUAUAUAGAAUUUUAAUACAAUCUAUUUUAAAGAGAAUAUAUACCCUAUGAACUUGGAAAAACGAGAAACUCAAUAUUAAUUAUUUUAAAGGUUUUGGAUGUGCGCAUUUGUUUUAUUAUCGAUCUUAAACACAAUUUGAGAAAAUUCGAUUCAAAAUAUGUUGAGAUUUAUUAUUAUUGUUAUUAUUAUUUAUCUUCAACAAGGCUUAUAUAAUUUUCAGCAAAUUAAAAGAACCUUUGUAGUGGAGGAGUCCAUUCAUGCUUUCGUUGAUGAGUCUAACCCAUCUCUUUUGGAUGGUGCAAAAGUUGAUGAUCACCUAGACUUUGAUUAAGAGAUCAUGAAAAGAUUAAAAAUUGAUGAAUCUCAAUUACAAUAAGUAGAUAAGAUAGAAGUAAAGGAAGAACAAUGACCUCUUGCACUAUCAUUAUCACAAGGAGAAAUAUGCCCAAGCUAAGAUCUUAUGGGAGUUGAAGUUUGUUGCUCAUCAUCUAUUAAGACUGAAUAGUAAGUAAUCUAUUUAAUAGGGUAAGAACCAGACAUUUCCUUAAAAAAAUUUGUAAUAAUAUUUUUGUUUUGUCUCAAAUUUGAACAAAAUGAGUCUUUAUAAAUCAAAUGUGUAUAAAAAUAACAUCAUUAUUAUAAGCAAAGCUAGAUUACUGGCAUAAGAUUUAACCAAAAAGAAGAAAUUGAUUAUGAGGAAACAUUUCCUCCAAUUGCUAGAUUAAAAGUUAUUAGGAUGUUAUUGGAUUUUGCAUGCUAUAAAAAUUUUAUUUUAUAUCCAACGGAUGUAAAAAGUGAUUUCUUAAAUGAUUAUACUAUGGAAGAAGUUUAUGUAUAACAACCUCAUAGUUUUAAAAAUAUUGAAUUUUUAACCCAUAUUUUUAAAUUUAAAAAUACACUUCAUGGUUCAAAACAAGCUCUUAUAACAUAAUAUUAAAGAUUAAACAAGUUUUUACAAGAAAAUGGUUUUAAAAUGACAAUAUAGAUAGUACUACAAUCUUCCUUAAAACCAAAGAAGAUGAUAUACUCUUAGUUCAAUUUUAUAUAAAUGAUAUUAUAUUUGGAAUACUAACACUAUUCUUAGUAAAAAAAAUUCUAAAUGUAUACAUUGUGAGUUUGAAAUGAUCAACAUGAUGGAGCUCAACUUCCUUCUCGAACUUCAAAUCAAAUAAUCAAAGGAGAUGAUCUUCACAAACUAAGCAAAAUAUAUAUAUAAAAGACCUCCUUAAGAUAUGAAAAGAUCAUGGUUACUCCAUUGAAUUCAUCCAUCAAGCUUGACAAGGAUGAAUAAGGUAAAGUCAUUGGCCCUACAUGUCAUAGAGAAAUGAUUGGUUCAUUAUUCUACCUUGUCGCUAGUAAAUUAGAUGUUAUGUUUAAUGCUUGUUAGGGUGCUUAGAUUUCAAUCAUGUCACAAGGAAUUAUCUUUUAUUACUGUUAGAAGAAUUCUUACUAAGUGAUUUUUUUUUUCUAAUUAGCUAUUUGGAUGCAAAUUUUACUGAUUGUAAAAUUGAUAGAAAAACCAUUAGUGAUAGUUUUUUUACUUCUUAAGUCAUUCACUUGUUGUCACUUAUUUAGGAAGCUGAAUUUACCGGUGUUAGUUUCUAUUAUGCUCAAAUUUUAUGGAUAAAACAAACCUUGCAUGAAUGCUCAUUUACCUAUUAAAUAUGAUAACAUUGUGCUAUAAGCAUCUCUAAAAUUUCUCAUUACUCUAAAACAAAGCAUAUUGAAAUUAGGUGUCACUUCCUUAGAGAUUAUGCAUAAAAAGGUGACAUUAUAUAUACUUGAAUUGGUUGGACAAAUGAUGAAUUAAUAGAUAUCUUCACUAAACCAUUAAAUGAGGAUAUAUAUAUAUAUUAACCAGUAGAAGAGAAUUAAGUUUCAUUGAAGUUUAAAAAGUAUUCAUGUUUACUCAACCAAAUAUGUGUUUCAAAGAUUUUGAAAAUUGAACAUCUAUAUAAUUGUUGAUUACACCGAUUUUGAAGGCAUGAUUGUUUGCAUGUUGUAUUUUGAUUCAAACCUCAAAUUUGAAAUUUUCUAUUGGAUUAAAACACUCAUCUAUGGUCAAUUUAACCUCAUAACAAUAUCCCCACAACAUAUUUAAGAAAUGAACCAUCAUUCUCACUUGAUUUUAUGGAGCCAUUAUCACUUACGGGUUUAUGAUGGUUGGAGAAGACUAUUGCAUGUAUGUUAAUCGAUAUAGGAUAAGUUUCCCCAUCUUAUCUUUCUAUAAUGAUGAUAUUUUAUUGGAUGAAAAUAACAAAACGAUGAGUUUCACCGAUUAUCGUUCACUUUUGAGAAGAAGUAGAUGGGUGAAGAAAACUAUGUCAUAGAGUUAAGGUCUUAAGGAAUUGUUCAAAAAGGCUUCUUAGUUCGUCUCAACCAAACUUAUAUAAAGAAAAUUUUUGAACAAUUUUAGAUGGAAAUUUGCAAACCUAUAGACACACUUAUUGAGAGAGGGGAGGGUCUUAAGCCUGAAUAUGUGUCCUAAGAUUGCCAAUAAAAAGGAAAAAGAUGGUCUUCUAAAUUUCCUAUCCUGGUGCCAUUGGCAGCUUAAUGUACAUCCUAGCUAUGAUCGAUGUUUACGCAUCUUGACAUUUGUUAUUAAGUUAAUAAAUUUUAAUUAGAUCUUAGUACUCUUAGAAGACGAUGAAGCAUAUGCUUCAACAUUUAGAAGUACAAGAGACCGUAUACUUUGUUAUUAGGGAUCAAAUUUGUGCUUGAUUGGUUACAGUUACAUUAUUGGAUAAGUGACCUGGAUGACCGCUGUGAGUGUUUAGCUAGGUUGGCAAUUCCGAACAAAAUUCCUAAGUGUCCCCUAACUCGGCUUUCCUAUUCCUAUUCGGACUACUUGACUUUGAAGACUAAGACUUUGCUAAGAGGCCAAGGUAUGUAGUCGAGUGUGGAGUGAUUGGGUGUGAAUCAACCCGGUUUUUAAUCUUUAAAAUGUGUUAGAAAGUUGGGAAAAAUGGUUUUUGGUGCAAGGCUUUUAUUCCUCUGUUUCUGGAUCGAUCCAGGUGUAGGGGUGGAUCUAUCCAACUAAUGUUUUUUUGAUCAAAUCUCAGCCAUUAGAUUAAGGGUUUCUUUUUACACUUUAAAACCCAAUCUUCUCUCAUUUUCUGGGUGGAGAGACUGCUGAAAACGUGGGGAGAGCAGCCACACUCCCAAGUGUUCUUCAUUUCUCAUUUUUGCUUUCCUAAGUUGGGUUUUUUGAUUGCAAAGAAAAUCAACUUCUCUUAAUGUGUUCAAAACUUGUUUUCAAUGGAUUUUCUUGAGCAAUAAAUGGGUUGAUUCAUUCUUUCAUUCACAUCUAAAUCUCUCAUUCUAUUUGGGUUGUGCAAAAACCCAUUUUCUUCUUGUGUGGAUUCAAGAAGAGGCCGAGAUUGAGCUUGGUGCGGACUCCAAGUGUGCUCCAAAAGGAGAAGCUGAAAAUGAAGGUACUAGUCAAGUAUUCCGGGAAGGAUUGGUUGGCUUGAGCUAGGUAAAACCUUGUACUCAGUUUUUUAUUCUUCAUAGUGGAGUUUUCAAUCGGUGAUAGGCCCGUGGUUUUUGAUCUCUUCGGAGGUUUUCCACGUUAAAAAUCUGGUGUUCAUUGUCUCUUUCUCUCACUCUAUAUUUUGUUUUAUUUUUGAGGAGUGUUGAAGCAUUUGCAUGUGUUUUGCAUUUAUAAAUUGUUGGGAGAGUGUUGAUGCAUACAUUGUUGCUUGUGGAUGUUUUAUUAAGGUUAGGUAAUCUUUGUUGGGAGAAUUUUAAAAUUGUUCUACAACACCUAUUCACCCCCCUCUAGGUGUAGUUCAUUAUUGAGAUUCACAUUUUCAACCGCAAAUUGACACCUGGAUGAUAUCAUAUCUUGGAGCAGUAGGAAAUAAUCCUGAAUUACACCAUCUCGGAUGGAAACAAUGUAAUACAUCCCUCACAUGUCAUGAAAUCAUCACUAAAUUAUUUUGCUUCAACACGGCACUCUAAGUACUCAAUCUCUCACCCCCCCUCUCAGUCUCCAUCCCAUCAGUGCCAUUUAUCUAACAGCAUUUAAUUCAUGUAAGCAAGGGUAGUUGAAGAAAUUAAACUAGUCAUCGAUACAGGUGAUGUGUUGCAUUACAACCCUUGUACGCCUCUUCAUGAAAAUUAAGCGUUCAGAUUCUUGGGCCCUCUCGGUAGCAUUGCUUUCUUCUGUAGUUGCAAAGAGCAGUAAAUGUAUGUGGGAUUUAGUUUUUCUCUGGAUAUAGUUCUUAAGAUAAGAAGAUAGCUGGUUAUAAUUUUAUGGUUGGUCUUUUAUCCUCUACCUCCAUAUGAGAAUCUGACAAGAAUUUGUCUUAUAUUUUGAUGCAGAUAGCAGUGCAAGCAAGCCAUGCAGCUCUACCUUCUGAAGUCUACUGGAACUCAGUGCUGCCAAACACUCCAGUGCCAAAAGCUUUCCGGGAUAUUCACCAGCCAGGUUCUCACAGAAUAUGUUAUGUUUGUUAGCCUAGAAUAGAUAGGAAAAUGAAGAGCUAGAAAAGAUAAACAUGAAAUAUUCUUAUGACAGAAAGGAGUUAAAGAGAAGGAAAAGGAAAUUUAACAAGAAUCAAAGUUUGGAAUGAAUGUUUUAUCAGCACCAAUACAGAGCAUUUGGGUGCAUGGGAACACUAGUUACACCACCACCAUCAGAUUUAUACAUAGCAGUGUAGUGUUGAUGGACUUUAAUUUCCAAAGAAUGGCAAUCAUAAUUUGUCAUGUUCAGUGGUUUUGUCGAGUUGAAAAGAGAACAGAUUUUAUUCCAAGCUCAGGAAUGAAAAGGCCCUACCAAAGUUUGAGCUAAUUUGCAAGACAAAUAUAUUUCUCCUUUGUUUGAGCAGGUCACUCACCUUGUAUUAUCCAAUUCACUGAUUUGCAGACUUCAUGGAAGACAAAAGCACUUCUGCAAGUGGAGGCCGGGAUGAGUUGGGUAAAUGUUGAUGCAGCGAAAGGAAAACCUGGGGGUGUAUCUGUGAGUAAAGCGCACAAGGGAAAGCUCCAUUGUGUUAACUCAACCACACAUGAACAGAAAUAAAAAAGGAUGAGAUUUUAACGUAUUUUGGGGAUGAUCCUUAAGUCCGUUGAAUGCACCAAUGCUUAAAAAUCCACUGGUCAAACAAAGACAAAAAAUUAUAAUGGUUGUAGUUCACACAAUUCUCUCUCUUAGACUAAACCUUCAACCUCAUCAUUCAAUAAAAAGAAAAAAUUUACUCCUGUAAUAAAAUUGAUUAGGCUUCAUUAUCCAUCAUAUGGGAGUUAAGUAAGGGAAUAAAAACUUGAAUAUUUUUAAAUUAUUGAAUCUUUAUAUCGAAAACUAAAAAUAAGUAAAAUGAGUUUGAAGUAGUAUAUAAAAAUAAUUUAUUAAUUUUAUUUUUUAUUUUAUUUUACUUUUCCAAUUUAUUUUCCUUAUAUUUUCUCUGGAAUUUUCUGACAUAACCUAUAUGUUUGAUAUUUAUAUGACCACCAUAUGAUUACAUAUAAACAAGAUGUGCAUUGUAUACUUUUGAGUAGGCUUUCUCUUCUUGUUCUUGGUGCUAUGUAUGUUUAACUUACCCCUUAUGGCUGUGUGUAAAUUCUUUAGGAGUUCCCUUUUCUUAGUAAGAAUCUUACAAGGACUAUAUAAGCAAUUCUAGAAAAAUAAUAGCUAUCAUUAACAGGAUAUACCAAUACAAACACCAAAGUUUCUUUUACAUCAAAUCAUGUUCCUGAAUAUCAUUGACCUUCUCUCAGCUGCAGGUUUCUAAGAACAAGACAGACCUCCCUUGAUAUAACCACCAUCCACUAACUUGUACAAAAUUACUCAUUCAAACAGUAGAAUGAUUUCAAUCCUAUCAUUAAAUUUCACGUUUUAUAUCUGGAUUGAUCUCUCAAGCAUUCAUCCAUCCUCCUAGAGCAUUCUAGCACCAAAAGGCUGUAGGUUUACUCACUGGUUGUGCUCAGUCUGAACAAACAUUGUCAUGCAUGGGCAUGUAAUUCCUACCAUAUUUUGUCAUUCCAGCAGAAGCUUCAACAUAUAUAACCAUAUUAACGCAAGAACACGAAGAUUAAACAAUUCAUUCAAGAUACACAAGAUUUUAACGUGGUUUAAUCAAUAAGAGGUACCACCAUGGAUGAGAUAGAAAUGAUAGAGAAUAUUAUCAAAGACAAAAAACAAUUAUAACUAUUAGUCCUGAUGAGCCUUCUUACUCCAUUGGUGUCUCCCAUUAUUCUUCAUAUUUUUAUCCAUCUUCAUGAACUUAUCUCAUGUUAUCUCAUUUCAUGACUUUUUAAUCCUUUUCAAAGUUCAGUACUGGAAAAUCCUGCUUUCACAAGGGGAAAAAAGAAGAAGAAAAAAACCCUACCAUACUUCUUUGUCUUCUGUAGGUUUAGGUUACUUGAGGGCUCAUGCAAAAUAUGUUCCUAGCUGUCUCACAUUCAUUCAUAGUUGGCAUAUAUAUCUUUCUCUUGAAAAAAAAUAAAUUAUUUAAGAUUUCCUAUAUUCAUGUCCAAUAUUUCCUAAUUCCUUGUGUUGUUAUUAUAAAAUAAGAAAGGUUAGUAGAAAUAUCUUUAUAGAUAUUUUAUGUCAUGAGGAGAAAAAGUCUUGAAAUGAGAUAAGCCAUUAAAAGGAACGGAUGCCGAGUUCCUCCUUCAUUAGUGCAGCAGAGGAAGACGAAGUUAUAGGCAGUAGGCAAAGGACUACCCUCAUUAUGUAACUUCUUCUCACCUUUCAGCAUGAAUAUGAAAUUGGCAAUAGUGAAUUAAAUUCUUUAGAGCCUCUAGUACAAGCUUGGAUAUCCCAAUUAAUAUGUCCUAGCUAUUAUCCACAACUCUUAACAAUGUUUUAACCACAGAAUAAACUUCUGCCAUAACUCAAUGAAAAUCUACUAAGAUAUGUCUUUUCUACAUCAAAAAGAGAAAUAUAUUACUUAGUAAUUCUUUCCCAAAAUUUAAACACUUCCUGCAGUACCCAAUGACAAAUGUUGGAUGGUUUGUUGUGGUUGCACCCUUGAACAAGCUAUUGGUUUUCUUCACAUAAAUGAGGACUUGCAAAUUUGUAGGGAAAGAAAUAAGAAAAACAGGGCAAAAACAGGGCACACUAGGGAAAUGUGAACUGAAGCUUCCAUAUUUUCAGAUUUUUCAGAUGCAAAUAUAAGAAGCUUGCUCAACAAACUUCCUUUCUUUCCAUCCAAGCCCUCUUGCUGUCAGGAUUACAACCAUAGAUCAAAAGAUAACUUAACUAUAGUCAAAAUAUUAAAGCAAAGUACAGUACAUUAACUCAUCGACAACAAAAGAUCGACUGAAGCAUUACUGAAAUUAAAAAAAAAAAAAAAAUACUAUUAUGAUAAUCCACAGGCCAUAAUGGUUCCUUUUCGGUUUAUGGUGGUCUUAUGAGCAGAAAAUCAAUAUCAUCUACCCUAUGCUAUGUCAUCUCUGAUCAAUAUCAGCUACUAUGAUUUGAAGAAGGAAACCAGAAUAGUAAUGCCUCAUUAAAAUUGAAGACAAAAACUCUCAACCACCCACUAACCCUAAUAAGUCAAGUAGUUGCAAGUGCAAGCAACUGAGAGCUACCCAGUUUUCAUAUUUUAACAACUUUCAAUCAUUCAAGAAGACAUUACCAAACUAAUAAGAAAAAUCAUCCUGAAGGGAUGGUUUUGGUUUAACAUGGCACUGUAAAUUAGUUCACAAUCUCUGACAAUCUCUGGCAAUCUCUCACUCUCUACUCCAUCUGUGCCAUAUAUCUAACUGCAUUAAUUCAUGCAAGCAAGGGCAGUUGAAGAAAUAAUUAAACUAUUCAUCAGUAUAGGCGGUUGUGUAGGGUUAGUGCCAUGCACUCUUCUUUCCAUCAGAGCUAAGCUUUCAGUUCCUGUCACCUCUUAGUAGUGUAGCUUUCUCUGGGUAUAUAUAAUUCUUAAAAUUUGGAUGCAGCUAGCAGUGCCAGAAAGCCAUACUGCUCUACCUUCUAAAGUGUACUGGAAUUCAGUACUGCUGCCAAUGCCCAAGGAUUCAGAGAUAUCCUUGUCCAGGUUCUCCUAGAAUCCAAAAAUUCCUCUAUAUGUUUUAACAUUAUGUUUGCUAAGGAGGCAUAGAAAAGUAGGAACAAAAAUAAAUGAUAAAUUGGAUUGGAAUGACCAGUGAUGAACCAAUCUAUGCGGUAUGAUUUUGUUAUAUAUGUGCAGCAAUGCUGUUACUUAAGAAAAUGACGGUUGAAAAACAAGGGAUGGUUGUGUAAGGUCAGAGAUGGUUAAACCCUGUUAUAAGUGUUGGGAUGAGUUAAGGCCUCGAGAUAGGUGCAUUGGUGGUAGAGGUCAAUCCCAACUGUGUACCUCCGAAAGAUAAAGCCUGGGUGAAUGUGAAUGAAUGUAACAUCGAACCACGUCAAAAGGAUAGUUUGACAUUAGUGACAAUCAAUUGAUUUUCACAUGAAAUGACUAAAUCGUUAAUAGAAAUUAAGUUCAUAUAUAGCACAAGAAGUUGCAUAGACUCGAAUUUAAGGGAGAAAUUGUUAGAUAUGCAACAAUGGUAUUUCAUGAAUAUAUGACAGUUAAAAAAUGACCUAGACUAGGUGUAUAAGGCUUCAAGAUGACUACCUUGUGUGAGAUAGGUCAAAGUCUAUUAUGAACGUGAAUGAGUGUGAUGUUGAACUACACCACUAUGGUGUUCAAAAUGUACAAAGUGUGGGGUUAAAUUGGCCCAUUUUAUAAACAUAAAAAAGUUAUGGGUAUAUUUUCUUCUUUUUGUAAGUAGACUCUUUUAUUUAGUUUUUUAAAAAGUGUACAAUCCCAAAUCCCGGCAAGUCCCAAGCCACAAUGCCAAAAUCAAGUUAAGGCCUAAGCUUGCCAAGAUUCAACUCAUACCAAGUUUUAAGCCAAAACCCAACCCAAAUCAAGUUGAGAUCGAAAACUCAAGUUAAAACUCAAACUAUAUUAGGACCCAAAUCGAUUUUUUUUCUAACUCUCGAUCAAUAACCCUAAAAAGGAGGAAUUAAAUAAUAACAUAAUAAUUGUAUUCUCAUUUUUAUAAAUUGAUAAAAUUCUUAACUUGCUCAUAUUUUUCUCAUUUAAGAGAAAUUCAUGUGACGACCAUUUUGAAUAGCACUUAAAAGGAUAUUUAAGAGUGUACAUCAGUCAUAUCUCUCUUUGUACAUUUUCAUCUCCUACUUUAUUUUCUUUUAUGACAAGGAGAAAUAGCUAAUGUAUUGACAACACUUAGAAAAUAAUGCAAAUGAAAUUCUAAGUAUUUUCAAACAUGUAAAUAAAAUUUUAUCAAAAUGUGAAUUUUUAUUUUAUACUUUCUUUUUUUAAUCAAAUGAGUAUUUCAAAAACAUAAUUUAUCCUAGAGCAAACUUCAAAAUUAUGAAAUCUCAUAUUUAAUUUUUUUUUAAAUUAUUAUUAAAUGUCUUUACUUUUCAUUCUAAAAGCAAGUAAUUUUCAGGAGCAUUGAUUUGAGUCAUAUAAAAAAAAGAUAGAUUUGAUUCUGAUUUUUUUUUUUUUCCCAUUUUUAAAAAAAUCAAUAUAGAAGAUGAUACAAAUCAAAGAGAUUGAUAAUCUCUUAUUCAAAGAAUUUGGCAAGACAUAAAGCACUUGAAAUCUAUCCACAGUCAUGCAACCUCCUAUGUUGGUACAUUGAAUUUUUUUUGUGUAGUUCUAAGCCUUUAUUCAAUAAAGCAAUCAUCAACCACAAACAAUAGCAAUGGUGAGGCAUCAAUUAUUUUAUUAGUAGUCUUUGUAACUAGGUUCUGCCGGUAGAUUAAUUGAGGGUAGAAGAUAGCUCAUGUGGCCUUUCUUUUCACCACAAAGGGAUCAUAGCCUGGGUCUUUCUGGCCCUACCAUCUUAUUUCUAACUACUUUUUUGCUAGUUUUGUUUGACAUUUGAUUUCCUUUAAUAUGGUGACCUAAUUGGGAGGACUAGAGUUUAAAGCAUUUAGGCAGCAUUAAAGUUUGAUUUCCCAACCAUCAGGGCACUCCCAACAACUGUCUUAACAAUAAUAUUACACAUGCAACUGUUGGCUCCAAAAUUCCAUGCAACAAAGGCAUGUUUGGCAAGUGCCUUUUACAACACUUUUAUGCUGUUUAAAACAGAAAAUUGUUUUUUUAGCUCAGUAGAUAUAAUCGACAUACUUUUAAUAAACUUUAAAAAACAUUUAUUUUUAAUACAAAUCCUAAUGAUUUCUCAUUGAUUUUUACAAGAUUUUGAACAAUAAUUGAAAAUUUACACUAUAAAUAACAUUUAUAGCACCUUAAAAAAAUAAAAAUAAAACAUUUUUUCAUAGAGUUUUCAAACCAAAUUUUAUUUUUAAAAACUAAAAACAAUUCUUAAAAUUUGUUUUUUUUUUCAAUUGUUUUUUUGAAACUGUUAAAAAAAACAUUCCCAAACAAACCCUCCAAAUUGUGAAGAAAUUUUAAUGAGCCAAAGAGGUAUGACUCAAACUUUAUAUCUUAGUCACUAUAUCAUAUAUAUUUCACUUCUUCCGUACUUCAACUAUAUCAUUUGAACCUUUAAAUCCUAUGUAUCCAAGUGAGAUUGCAUAAGGACAUUCAAUAUAACACCCAACAUUGCUUUCCCAUGCCAAAAAGUAACCCAUGAAGUGAACAUCACACAAAUAACAAUACACUCUAAUACCAAAUCUUUCUUUCACUCCAUCUUCACCUGUGCCAUUUGGGCCAGCUCCAUUUAAUAUGUAUAGGCAAAGGGUAGCUGAAGAAUUAAACAAAUCGCAGAUAUAGGUGGCAUGUUGCAUUCCAAGUUUCCUGCACUAAAAUUAGGCUAUAAAAGAACAAUCCACACUGUUCUUUACACAAGCAAGCAAAGGUUCCAGUUCUUGUUCACUCCCACCAUUAUUGCUUCUCUUGCAGUUCCAGAGUUUCAAUGGAGUUUCACCUCCUACCCAUCCUAGCUUUUCUCUGCGUAUGACCCUUAGAGAAAAGAUUAUGCUUUAGUUCUUUUUUUAUUAUCUACAUUGAUAUGAGAAGCUGAUGAGAACUUAUCCUAACUUUCCAUGCAGCUAGCACUGACAAGCCAUGCUGUUUUACCUUCUGAAGUGUACUGGAAUUCUAUGCUGCCAAACACUCCAAUGCCAAAAUCUAUCAGAGAUGUUUUACGGCCAGGUGGGUUGUGCCCUGUGAGAGUUCAGUGGAGUGUUAAGAUAAUAGUUAUACCUGAAAAGUAAAUGGUUGGAAUGUUAGUAUAUACUCCACAAUCCAACCUUAAGGAGACAAAGUUUUUCUUUACCAAAUGUUUUUUCAGGUAUCAAAAAUAGGAAGAUAAAACCGCAUGAAAAUGACACAAAAUCAAAAGUUUAGAGGGUCAGCUCCGGACUUCUUUGUGCAGCAUCUUCUCCUUGCACUUUGAAAGGUGCUGGGGAACCAUUCACCAUUUGCUUUUUAUCUUUCCUUGCUCAACUGCAUUCAUAAGCCAUAACACAUUAGCAAAAUUCUCUGAAGUUGAAUUGAAAACACAUUUUAGGCCAAACUGAGAGACAAAUCAGCCCUGCUGAUGUUCAAAUAACUUAGCAAGUAUUAAAAUAUCUCUUUUUAUUUAUUUAUUUUUUUUGGUGGGGUGGGGGAGGUGCGUGGUGUGGGGAGAUCAAUGGCUCACCUUCUUAGCUCUUCUAAUUCUUUGUGACACUGGAUUUGCAGACCUGGUGGAAGACAAAAGCUCUUCUGUAGAUGUGGGGAAGGGUGGUGUAAAUGUUGAUGCAGGACAAGGAAAACCUGGAGGUGGCACCAAUGUUGGUGUUGGCAAAGGAGGAGUAUCUGUGAACACAGGCCACAAAGGAAAGCCUGUGUAUGUUGGAGUAACACCAGGGCCAUCCCCUUUUACUUAUAAGUAUGCUGCUACUGAGGAUCAACUUCAUGCUGACCCAAGUGUGGCUCUAUUCUUCAUGGAAAAGGACAUGCGUCCUGGCACAAAGAUGAAUUUGCACUUCAUUAAGAAUACAAAAGAAGCCACUUUCUUACCCCAAUCUGAACACCCGAUAAUUUUCUCAUCCGAAAAAUUGCCAGAAAUUUUGAAGCAUUUUUCAGUGAAACCAGAAUCUGUAGAAGCUCAGAUAAUUAAGAAUACAAUUAAAGAGUGUGAGGCGCCUGGAACUAAAGGUGAGGAAAAGUAUUGUGCAACUUCAUUAGAAUCUAUGAUUGAUUUCAGCAUUUCAAAGCUGGGAAAACGGGUUCAGGCAAUUUCAACAGAGGUGGUGAAGGAAACUCAGAAGCAGAAAUACACAAUUGCAGCUGGAGUAAAGAAGAUGGCAGGUGAUGAAUCAGUGGUGUGUCACAAGCAGAACUAUCCUUAUGCUGUGUUUUACUGUCACAAGACCCAGACAACAAGGGCUUAUAUGGUUCCCUUGGUGGGUGCUGAUGGGACCAGAGCUAAAGCAGUAGCUGUGUGCCAUACAGACACAUCGGAAUGGAACCCCAAGCAUUUGGCUUUUCAAGUGCUCAAAGUUAAGCCAGGAACCAUUCCAAUCUGCCAUUUCCUUCCUGAGGAUCAUAUCAUCUGGGUUCCCAAAUAGAAAUCUGCAGUAUAGACUUGUGGCAUGUUAGCCCCAUCCAUCACAUGGUGUGUUUGAAUAGUAAUAGUUUGAUAUUUAUGUGUAUUUCAACCUUCAGCACAUUUGGUUAUGUACAAAUGUUGAAGCAUGCUGAAAAUGUGGACGAUGCAUAUGUAAUAAUUAUCCUCUUCUUGGUUUUAUAGCAUUUUUAACUAAACUUUAUUGUGUGAAUGGAGAUUUUAAGGGAGUUCCCUCAUUUAAGAAGAGUUAUAUAAUAAAAAAUAUAGAAAGACAAUAAGAGCCAUCAUCAACAGGAAAUACUAAUAUAAAGGUGUUAGAAAAUGUGGACUUUUAGGAAUAGCAACCAGGGAAUUUAUUCCCUUCCAUAUUGUAUAUAGAAACUGUACGGAUGUAGAAUAUUGUAUUUGAUAAUUUUCGUAACUAAGUGCAAAAUUAUAGGAGUUAAUUUCCCUUUUUUUUUUUUCCUGAUUGUAUUCUCUAGUUUCCCUUUUUUAGUCUAAAAGGUAGUCUAUAAAUUGUACUCCUCUUCUCAAAUAAAAAGAAAUUUUGAUUUUCAACUUUCAUGGUAUCAGAACCGGAAUCUUUUCUGGUGUUUAUCUUUCUUUCACAGCCUUAAUUGUUGUUUUUUUUCUUGGGAAUUCAUUCUUCCCGGAUUUUCUUUAGGUUUAUUGUUAUUUUUUUCUUAGCCUUAAUUGUCAUUUACUCUAUCAAACAUAUCUGAAGUUUUUGAGAAGUCCAAUCCAACCCUUCAAAUUACCACUGAAAAGUUGAAUGGAGAAAAUUUCUUCUCAUGGUUUCAAUCAGCCAAACUAUUCCUGAAAAGUCAAGAAAAGAUGAUGUCUUGGGGAUUGUCAAAGAACCAAAGGAAACAGAUCCAGAAUUUGAAAUCUAGGACGCUGAAAAUUAGAUGGUGAUUUCCUGGUUGUUGAACUCCAUGAAACCUGAGAUUGGUCGACCCUUUCUGUACCUUUCAACAGCUAAAAAGGUGUGGGAUGCUGUGACAAAAACCUACUCCAAGAAAGGGAAUGCUGCUCGGAUCUUCAAAUUAAAAACAACCAUUCACAAUACCAAGUAGCGAGAUCAAUCUGUAAUUGUCUACUACAACAAUCUGAUGAUGUUGCAGCAGGAAUUAGAUCUCCUCCAACAUUUUGAGAUGGUAGCAGCCAAAGAUGCUGCAACUAUAGCAAAGACGCUAGAAUGGGACCAAGUAUUUGACUUCUUAGCUGGCCUACGACCAGAAUUUGAUGAGGUAUAGGGUAGAAUCUUGGGAAAAGAACCCAUUUCCUUGUCUCAAUGAUGUUUUUACUCAUGUGACAACAGAAGAAGGGCAUAGAAGUGUUAUGAUGGGAAAUGGUUCUCAAGAUAUUUUGGCCCUUAAGAUCGAAUAUGAAGGUGAUCAAAAGAAGGUGUGGCAGUGGAAGAAAACGGGUGAGAAGGAUACUCAAUGGUGUGAUUAUUGCAAUAGGGUGAGACACACAAGGAAGACAUGUUGGAAAUUGAAUGGAAAACCCUUCUCGGAGGUAAGAGCACUAAGGCCCCACACAAUAAGGCAUAUCAAGGCAUGGCCUCGGAGACAACUGAACCCAAACCAACAGUUGAACCUAACAAGAAUCUUUUCACCAAAGAUCAAAUGGAACUUCUUUACAAAAAGUUUGGGAAAACUCUAAACUUGUCCAACACUUCCAAUUAUUCAUCCUUUUCUCAAACAGGUAACACUAUUGCAGCUUUGCAGCUCUUAAUGUUUCUUGUGACCCUAAACCUUGGAUCAUCGAUUCAAGGGCUUUAAAUCACAUGACAAGUGAGCAAACCUUUUUCCAUUUGUAUAAAUUCAAUUCUAACCCUGGAAAAGAUAUUGUUGCUGAUGGGUUUUUCACACUUAUUAUUGGAAAAGGUUCAAUUUCAGUGGCACCAAGACUUACUCUUAAUUUUGUACUUCAUGUUCCAGAAUUAUCUUGCAAUCUUCUCUAUAUUAGCAAACUUACAAAGUCUCUAAAUCAUGUGAUUUUUUAUCCUAAUUGCAUUUUUCAGGACCUAACUAUGGGGAAGAGGAUUGGCAGUGCUAAAGAGAAAGAGGGACUAUAUUAUCUCGAUUUCAAGACCAAGGAGAACGGUCCAGGAUAUGUCUCUAAGGUGUCAAAAGAAUAUGAGGAGCAGAUUUGGUUGCUACACUAUAGAUUGGGUCACCCAAGUUUCUUAUCUCUUAAAACUUUGUAUUCGGAUUUCUUUGUCAAUGUUGAUGUCUCGAAGAUUCAGUGUCAAGUCUGUGAGUUAGCUAAAGGUCAUCGUGUGUCUUUCCCAUUGGGCAAUAAAAGCUCUGAAAUUCCCUUUUCUACUAUCCACAACACUUGUAAUGGUUUCAAAUGGUUCAAUACUUACAUUGAUAAUUUUUGCCGAACAACCUAGAUAUAUAUCUUAAAUGAUAAAUCCGGAGCGAAUUAAUGUCAACAUUGGCACAAUCACUCGUCAAACUUCCAUGGGUCUCUUUCUGAGUUACCCAAGAUAUGACCAUAGCAAAAUCUUCUUUCACUAAGAGAUUGAAACUACCAAAAAGUUUAGCCUACAACAGAUCUUCGCAAAAGGCUAGAAUCUCUUUCUGAUUGGUGAAACCAUCUCCUACAUGUUGAUAAGAGGCUCUAACCAGUAGCCACUGUAUAAAAACGGUCCUUGAGAAAUCAUUGAAUCCGUAGCCACCCAAAAACACCCUUUGAAAUUUAACUUAACAAAAUUCAUAAGGUGUACACCAUACAGAAGCACUUCUGAGCAAUCCUCCAGUCCAUAGCUGCCUUAGGUUACCCACAUCAAAGUUCAUCUUAACAAAACUCAUUGGAGCUGGUGAUCAUAUAUGAAAAGUGUCCUUAGCCAAUCUGGUGGUCUUGCACACUACAUUCCUAUCUUGUAGUGUGAGGCUCAAGCACGUGCCUGCAAAGGCUUCACUAGGCCUAAAGAAAAUAAGUAAAGCAAGUCCCAAACUACCUCCAAAGUCUACCUAUUCUAAAAAAAAUCUGCAAUUCCUUUUUGCCAAAUUGUUCAAAUCAAAGUGAAGCUAAAAACAUGCCACAAAGUCCUACCUCUUGAAAGUCCCCCAAUACUUUUAAAGGAAAUGAUCAACAUCUCUGUCACACUCCAUGGUGGAACCCAAUAAAUCCCCAAAAAUCUAAAUAGCAUACUUUAUAAGGUUAAGGCUAAAGGACAACAUUGUAAUAAAAAAAAUAAAAAUAAAAUAAAAAUAAAAUAAAAUAAAAUAAAAAGUGAUCAACUAAGCUUACACUCCCCUUGCACAUGUCGGCGUAGGUAGCUGUGUCACAGACAUAGAAUCGAGUCCUUGUGAAUGGGCAAAGCCAGGUGCUCUUAUUUUACAACGGUAGGGAAAAUCAUUGGUAGUGACCAUUUUAUUUCUUACAUGUCAUGCAAUGUUUUUAUUCUUGAUGGGUCUUUAGAUUUCCAAAUGAAGUUUGCAAGAAUAAAAGCAAUUAAGUUGAUGGAAGUAGAAAGAGCAUAAAAGUGAGAACUACCAAGAACAAUACCAGAAAGAUCAAAGACUAAACCCUCACACACACACACACACACAUAUAAAGUGGGUGAUAAAUACAUAUAUUCUAAAGCAGAUAUAAGAAGAGCUAGUUUCUAAAUUUUUUUAUCUAAGAGAUAACAACAAAAAUUGAAAUUCCACUAGAAAAAGGAGAGUAAAUAACAAACAUUAAAAAAUUAGAAAGUUCCUUUUAGAGGUUUUAGAAUUGAAAAUGAAAUGGUUAAUCAUCAUCAUCCUAAAAAUAAAGAACAUAUUAAAUAUAACUAAUAAUCAAUUGGAUGGUCACUAGGGACUGUUAAAAAUGACAAUAAACCACUUGCAUGAGAUGUAUGCCUCUAAGUGAAGACAUAAGGUGCACAUGACUAGAUCAAGUGACUCCUUAGUCCUUGCUACUAGAUUAUGUGUCCUUGUACUCACUAGCACUGUACCUUCUCAUGACUAAAUCUUUUUUUCUUAAGAUAAAAAUUAGUUUAUAAAUGACCCACCAUCACAUGUUUUCUUAUUACUUAAAGAUGCAUAAAGUUGCAUUGCAUUAUUUUAAAAUUAAGCUAAAAGAAUGGCUAAGAGAAUACUAAAUUAUGGUUGAAUAAAAGGAAAUGAGCAAAUAGUAGAACUUACUUCCUACUUCUUGGGAAAGAGACUUCAUCCUAUCUUGGAACCAAAGGUUUUAAUAGUUUACCUAUAAAAACAAUUCAGCUCAACUUAUUAGACUUUCAAUCCUUGCAACAAGCCAUUAACUUAGACAAGCUAAAAUUGAUAGCAUUAUUCAUGUUGGACAACCCUAAGACUAUAAUCAAAUAAAUGGAAUAAGACUUUAAUCUUUUUAGGUUAUGUUUGAUUGGUGGGAUAGUAUAGGAUAGGAUAUGCAUAUUCUAAGAUAUCAUAUCCUAGAAGUUUGACAUAUAAGAAAACCAAUGGAGUCUCACCAUUGAUAAUUGUAAAGUAUGUAAAGAGAAGCUUACUUAAUCUUCGGGUUUUUUGCAAUAUAGACCUAUCUACUAUUUUCCGAGCAUGGGUCUAGGAGCCUCUUGCUUCUCUUCAUGGAAGGAUUACCCCCACCACGUACGAAUGUUCUACGUUAACAUCCAUUCUGUUGUGAGUGGACUUAUGUUUUGCGUUUCUAUAUAUGGUCAAAUCCUCAUGGUCUCCACUCAAUCCAUUCAUCGUGCCCUUGGUAUGCCCCCUGUCUUUGAACAACUCACUUCUUUCUAGAGGUCUAGGCUUUUACUCAAUCUGAGCUCACCUCUGUUCCUAUUUCUCUCUGUAGUGAGCCUCAUCCUUUGCCUAUCUAUGUCUCAGUCGCCUGGAUUCUCUCAUCUUAUCUGUCUUACUCUUUCCAUCUUACAUUUAAUUGGACUGACAUUAGGCGUCUUGUAGGUUGCUUUAUUCAUGCCAUCCUCUCCGGGCAACGAUUUGACAUAGCCUAGGCGAUUCUUGAUAUUAUGACACUUUAAAAAGACCCCACUGCACACUAGUAACCUUUCAUUCGCUUUGAUCAUUGCCCGCAUCCUCAUCGAUGUUGGUUUUUGACUUGGAUGCAUCUCAUGCUACACCUGGACCACAAGCUCUCAUUGAUGCGAGCUCUUGGUCCAAGCAUUACAGUAUCUUGAUUUGAUUACAUUAUUUAUAUAUUCUCCUACAACAAAUUGUUUUACCUUGGGUAUUUGUGCUUUGGUGUGUGCAAGUUAUAGGUAUUGGGAUAUCUUACUGUAUUUGGAUGCAUCAUACUAUUCUCUACAUGUGAUAAGAUGAUUAGGUUUAGAUGAGUGUUAUGUAAACUCCGUUUGAGAGUUUCGAAGGAUUUAUGUAACCGUGUUUUGUCACAAAAUUGCCAAAGGAAUAGAUUGUUAGGGCAUUAGCUUUUCAUAUUAUUUGUUGGCAAUAUUGUUCUUUCUUAUUUUAACACAAGAUCCUUUUAAACAGUGACUUACUCUUCAUUGAACAUUCGAAGUUGUUGAUUAUUCAACCGAAGCAUUAUAGGUAAGUUUAAGGUUUGGGUAACGACAAAUUAGCUUUUUGAAAAGGUAGGAUUAGAUUGAAAGUUUUAAAAUUGAGCAAAAUUAUUUAAAUUAAUUUUUGAAAAAUUACAAGAGUACUCAAACUUUGGCCAAAGUGCUCAAGGUGCUCAAGCGAUGGUUAACUCCACUUGAGCGCCUAUUCCAAGAUUUGCCAAAUUCUGGCAGUUAAUUUUUGGAAAAUCAAGAUUUUAUUUUUUAAUAAAAUUUUGUUUCUCAUCCUUCAAACAUAUAUAUACCUUACCUAAACUCAUUUUACGGUUGGAUGCUCCCAUUGAGAAAAACCCUAACUUGCCUCCAAAAGCUCUUUUCAAUUCAUUUAAUCAAAUUUUGGGCUGUUGGAGAGACUUGCAUUCCCUCAGAGGCUAAAGUGAAUUCACUAGAGCACUUGAUGUGUUGCAUCGCAAAUGUAGAUCGUGAUAUAGGUGUUAGAGAGUAAGCCUUAGGUAGCAACUUCCAAGUAAAACUAUAUAUUAUGAUCUCGUAUAGUGAAUUUUAGAUUUGAGGUCUUAGACCUCGUAGUUUUUUAUUUCCACACAUUGUGUGGGGGUUUUCCACAUAAAAUCCUUUGUGUUCAUUGUGGUUGAUUGAUUAUGUUUAUUAUUCUCUCAAAGGAUUGAUUAAAAUUGAAAUAUUCAACUCUUGUAUUAAAAUCUUUAAAAUUCACUCAUUCACCUCUCUCAGGGUGUUACCCUACUAGAUAAUUGGCUUUUCAACAACUUAUUGAGUUGUUUUCUAAAGUCCACAUGCUCAUCGUGACGCAUAAGAAUGCAUAAGGUGGAUAGGUAAAGCUAGAAAAGAAGAAUCUGGAAGUAUAUCAAAUGCAUGUCAUAGCUUUCGUGUAGGUUAACUCUCUUUAGUUCCAUGGUAAUCAGGUUAUUAGAAUCAACCAGCAUCUAUUGCACUUCUUUGAGCUUUCCUACAGGUACUAAGAUUAGUUCCAUCAAAUCUCACAUUUUAGAUCUUUCAUUGAUGACUCUUUCCUCCUUGCUUGCAACUUCAAAAUGUUUCUUAACAAGUAUACUUGAUGGUCCUAGUUCCAAGGAUGUUGAUUUUUCCACUAAUUGCUUAGAUGGUGGGAUUUCUUUCAUUAGAUGAAGAAUCUUCUUGUGCCCAUUUCAUACAAGUGUAUAAGUGCUUUGAUAGCCAUCAUGUUAAACUCUUUUAUGAAAAAGUCACAAUCUUCUUAGCACAAUAUGGAUAACUUUUCUCGGCAAAACAUGGCACCAUGUUGAUAGCUCAAAAUUAUUACUAAAAUUAAACAUUAACUAAACAAACAAAAAUAAAUUUGUCAUCUACCCAUUCUAUAUGAUAAUGAUUUGGAUGCUUCUUUGUCACUAGAUUAAGCUUCUCAACAAGCUCUUGUGAAGCUAUGUCGGAACUACUACUCCCAUUAAUAAUCAGUGCAUAGUCUCCCUUGAGAAGCAACACGAGUUUUGAAAAUGCUAGUACACCGUCAUUCCUCAUUUUCAUUUGCCCUUGGCAUGUUCACUAAUGGUUAAAUAGAAAAAUUGUAGCCUUCCGGCAUGGUUGCAUAAGUUGUUCCACUCCUCAUGUGGCAUGCACCUUCAAGAAAAGAACUUUUUCUUUGAUACCAAAAUUGAUAUAGAACAACUCUAGGAUGGUUGCGUAUAAUCAAAUAGAUGGGCUACGGUUUCAAUCUUUUAGGUUUAAAGAGUUGAGGAAUAAAAAAUGUGAUAGAAAGGGAAACUAAAAUAAAAUAUAAGAAAAAAAUAAUGAAAAAAAAAGAAAGAAUUUUAAAGUCUCACUAAAGCCUACUAGGAGUUUCACUUAGAAAAAAAAUAAUCAAUGGAGUUCUCCCUAUUAAGAAUAGCAAAGUAUGCAAAGAAAAAUUUAAUAUAUCAUCAAUCCUAAAUCCAUUUUACACUGAUCAGGCUUAUUUAUAUGCUUUAGAAAACCAUAAAAACUAGAUAAAACUAUGAAGAAAUAAACUUAACCUAUGUAAUAACUAAUUAGGACUUAUAUUCUUUUCCAAAAACUAUUAAAUUUUCUAGAAGAAAUUAAAGAAAAUAAAAAACUAUUUUUUUUAAGAAUUAGAAACUUACUUUAGAGGAAUUUCUUGCAAUAAAGUUUCUAAGAAAGAAGACUGAUACAUUCUAAGGACUCAAAACAUGAACUUUAAAAAAAAAAUAUUAAUUCAGAAAACAGGAAGUUCAAAAACUUCUUUUAAGGAGAAUUCUAAAUAAAUACUAACUAAUUAUGAUACCUAGAGAACCUAAAAAUUGCAAAAUUACCUAAAUACCUUAGAAAGUGCAACUUAGGAAUUCUUUAUUUCCUUUCAUUCCUUUCUUGAGUAGAUAUUGGAGAUUUAUCAUUUUAGUUGUGGUUUAUUAUUGCUAUAUUAUGUUCAGGAUAUUAUUAUAAUCGUCCCUUUUUUAGGCUUUAUAAUAUAAAUCGGUGGAAAUAUCUAGGAAAGUUAACAGGACAAAAACCUCUCUUCCAUCUUUUCUUUCUUCUCUUUUUCUUCCUCCCAAAUCCUAGAAUCACAGGUUUGUAGUUUCACUUACAGUAUCAACAUUGACAUUCCACAAUGAUAUAAUGAUCUUGCCACAUAGGUAAAAUCCAGAGUUCAGAUCUUAAUUUUUCAAAGCCACCAAUAUUAUAAAUCAGAGCAAAAAUGACAUACCAAUACGACAACCCAGUGGACUUAGAUGGAGGCAACCAGCUUCUAUAACAAAACCACCCAGUCUACCAUCAAUUCCAACCAGUUCCCAUGUUUGAUGAUCCUGCACACGAACAAGAAGUUUUGGCUGAGACAAUACAAUCAUAAGUAAUAAGCUGAUCAACUAAAAAGGAAAAAAUGAAAGAGGAUGGAACCCAGUAGAUUUUAAGUGGUAAGAGUAUACUAGAUAUUUAAAGUAGUGGAUUAUCACCAACAAAGAAUAUGUUAGCAACAGGUAAAAACAAAAGCAUUAAAAGUCAUGAUAUGACAAGCACAGUAGUAAAGAUUCAAUCAUGGCAAUCUAAGAUUAUCAAUAAAGUUGGCACAGCUGAAGCAAAAGCAGGUUGAAACAUCUGAUGAUGGAUUAUCGUCAAGAGAAGUCAAGCAAUCAGAUUACUAAGAACAGAAAGUGUUCAAAACUGGCUAAAGUGGUGCUCACCAGUAGAGUUGUAUGUGGCAUAAGCAGCGAGUGCAAGGGCAGUUUGAAGAUGAAUGACUAACCAAUUUUAUUUGUUGCCUAUGAACUUAGCGUCGAGCUGAUAGACCUACACACAUUUCAAAAUUUAACAAUGCAGUCCAUUGAGAUGAAUAAGUUUUUCAUUAGUAUUGUUGCCAAAUCAAGAAGUUUAAGCAAAAAAAAAAAAUCAAAUCAAGAGCAAUUUUAUGAUAUGAGAGUUCCAUAACGCCAAGAUAUGUAUGUAUAGACAUAUAUCAGAAUAAUGCCAAAAUAUUAGUAAAGAACGACUACAAAUAAAAAGGCAAAAAGAUAAAAAGAGCAUCUUGAGACCAUCUGAAUGCUGAAGCCACCUCAACAGCAGCGGAAUAGGAUCAAUAGCAAUGAAAUGAUCUGUUAUAGGUAUUAUAUACACUUACAAGGGUAGGAAAUUAAAACAUAUCAACAAAUGAGGGCAAAAGCCCCAGUGUAUAUGCAGUGCACAUGUAAUCAAGACAAAACAAGCUAAAUACAAAUAUAAUUAUAUACAAAUAAUCUGAUGUGUCUAACAGAAACAAGAGAUGCACCAAUCUUACAUUUAGAAGAUAAUACAUAUAGCAUUUGCAUACCUUGUUUGUCUACUCCUUGCCAGGCCAGGCAAAUUGUUAAAAAGUGACAAUUUCGACAUGCAAUUAGCUUUAGGGCAACCCAGAAAUUGCAGGAUCAUUAACCACAUUAGGAAAACCAAUCCUUACCAUCCAUCACGGAAACUCAAGGCUUUUAUAAGAUCUCCUCAGUUUCUCUUCAGACUUGUGGCAAGAGGUGACUAAUGGAUGAUAGUCAUUCCACUUAAGCAAAUCAGCUAGACUACAAUGAGCUAGAAGGUGUUUCAAAUCUCUAUGGUUUCUUCUUUCCAAAUCUUGCUUUUAGAUGAUAUUAGGUGAAACCCAAAAUUCCAAAUUGUGGUUCCUUAUUGACACUCCUUUUCACAUGUGGCUGAUUACCUGCAUAUGAAGAUAUCUCAACUUAGAUAGUCAAAAAGCAAAACCCACUGGAUUCACUUGUGGAGAUGUUCUAAAACUUUUACUUCAAUAACCGCAAUCUAUAUUAUAUUACAUUGGUCUAAACUGCCACUAAAAUUUGUUCUCCAUUGUGAUCAAACAUCUUUUUGCAGAACAAGCAUUUCAUCUCCAAGUGGUUCAGCAUGGAAAGGCUCCAAAGAACCCCAUGUUCUUCCAACCUUUAGCUUCACAAGCAAAGGGACUGAAAAACAUAAAAUAAAUUAAAAUCUAGUGAAUAUUUGUUCUCAGAAAUAAAUAAAUAUAUGAUGUGAAUGCGAAAGACAUACCCAGCAGUGAGGUAGAAUUUUCCAUGGUCAUUUUUAAUAACAAUCCAGCUUCCUUCAUAACAGAAGGAUCAACUUCAAGUACUAGUUCAUCAUGAACCUGGACAGAAAUUCCCAAGAAUAUCAAUCACAUUCCCUCUGAUAUAUGUCAAAACUAGUUUAGUGGUUUAGGCAUUUUUGUACUAGGAGGAUUCCUACUUUCUCUCUAAUAUCUGUAAUAGUUCUAUGAAUCCAUAUUUUCUCUAUGUAAACUAAUGCCAAGCAAGGAUUCUUAGGUGCAUGAUGUGAAACUUUUUCUGUUCCAACAUGGUAUCAGAGCAGAAGUAAAAUGGAGUAAUCAGACUCUUUUCUGGAGGUGACUGCAGUUUGGUUGUGACUACAAUUUUUUGAGGCUAUAAAUGGGAAGAGUGUUCAGCAAGCAGUGGAUGCUAGUGUGAUUUGGAGAGAGACUAACUGUGGGAAGUUUUCAGUUAAGUCUCUAUACAAAUCAUUAGUAUCAGGCCCUCUAGCCUCUUUCCCUUCGUCGGCCAUUUGGAAAGUCUAUGUGCAGCCUAGAGUGAGUUUUUUUGGGUGGGAAGCAACAUGGGGGAAGGCCCUUACCUUGGAUCAACUUCAAAAGAGAGGAUGGACUUUUGUAAAAGGUACGAAGAAUCAAUAGAUCACAUUCUCCUCCACUGUGAAGAGGCAAGGACUCUUUGGGCGUUGCUUUACUCUAUGUUCACAGUGCAGUGGGUGCUGCCAGCCACUGUUAAGGAGACGCUUUUGGGGUGGAACGGGUCUUUUGUGGGAAAAAAGAGGAAGGGUGUUUGGAGAGCAAGUCCUUUGUGUCUCUUUUGGACGGUUUGGAAGGCAAGGAACAAAGUUGCUUUUGAGGAAGAAGAGCUGUCAAUUCAAAAGCUUAAGUUUUAUUUUUGUAUAUUUUCUUUGGUCGGAGACGAAAUUGUCUAUAAAAGAUGGUCCCUCGAUUAGUUGAUUUUGUUGGUUGGGUGGGAACCCGUUAAGGGUGUGGGUAGGGCUGCUCCUCUGGCCUUGGCUUUCAGCUAGGAUGUGAGGGGUGUUUUCUUUCUUGUAAUCUUUAAGCCACUGCUUUGGUGGUUUUUUAAUACAAUCCCUUUACUUAUCAAAAAAAAAAUUGAGGUUAUGAUUGUUUUGUUUCGGGUAUGAUCCAUCUGGAUUAAAAAUUCUUUCUUUUUUUGUUUUUUUUUUGGCAGUGUGUAGUCUUGAUUUCAAUGUGUGCAGCUCUGUGUGAGUUGUUGCCUCAGUGUUCUGGUUCCUUCCAAUGUGUUUGGAUUGUUCCAUGUGCUUAAAUCAGUGUCAACUAAGUGUUAAAAUGGCUGCUUUUUUGCUUCAGUGUUAAAAGUUCAGCAUUUGGUGUUCUUAAUUAUAUAGUUGAUGAUUAUGGGAAUGAUAAAUGAAAACAAACUGGAAAUUUAGUAGACAACAUUGGUAUUCAGAUUACUUCUGAGUGGCCCUAAUUAUCUUGUGGCUAGUGUUGAACAGGUGUUUGUUAGAGCAGAAGGAAAUUUGAUCAUUUGUUAGAAGAUCCUCUGCCACAAGAAUUGAAGGAAUCUAGUGCAUGGCAGCAAGAUGAUUUUUCAGCAAUGACAAGGCUAUGAAUAGUAUGAAAACAUUCUUGAGUGUGAAUUCAUCAGCUGUUACUUUAUUAGAGAAGUUGCAAUGAGCAAAAAGGUGAUCACUCCAUAUGUUAGGACUGAGUACCAAGUUGAUGAUGUGUUUACUAAAGCUCUUGAUAGAAUAUCUUUUGUAUUUUGUGUACCAAGCUGGGUCUUAUAAAUAUAUAUCUCCCAGCUUGAAGGCAAGUACCAAAAAUAGUUUAGUAGCUUAGGUAUUUCUGUACUACGAGGAUUCCUACUUCCUCUCCUAAUACCUAGGAUUCCAUAUUUUCUCUAUUUAUGCCAUUAAGGUGCAAGUAUCUUUAGUGAAUAAAGUGGAAAUUUUUCUGUUUCAACAAUAUAUAAAGUAAGACUUUCUGCAAAAAAAACGCUACAAGAAUUAACAAUAAGUAAUUAUUAGCCUUCCAUUUUACUCUUUUCCUGAAUGGAGUCUCCAUAUUGUCGACUUUGAAAAAACUGACAGCAUGUAAAAAAGUAACCUGUAGAAUUAUCCGGCAACGCCCCUUCAGCAUGUGAAAUUUUGCUGGAAGUUCUGUGCUAGAAUUAGGCUCAUCUACUCCUUCAGCAAUCACAGAAUGAAUAUUUAUCAUUGCAAUCUUGAUUAUGUCGGCAGCGGAUCCCUAAAAGAACAGCUAUCAGUAUAAUGUAAUUACUAUUUUCUACUACCAGAAAAAAUAAAAAUAAAUAAAAAUACCUGACAAAUGGAAUUCACAGCUUGCCUCCGAGCUUUCAAUUUUUCUUUACUAGUCCCAAAUUUUAUUUUUGACAAGAAGCGCUUUCUUCCCUUAAGUGUCUUCACAUAUCUAUAUCGCAAUGAUACAUAGAAAAUAAGUAGUUUAUACUCUCAUGAUAAGAUGUAAAUAACUAUCUUAAAACAUAAAAUGAAACUAAGAUACAAAUAUGAUGAGAAUACAAAAAAAAAAAAAGGAAGAAAAUUGACAUAGAGAAAACUUAAGAGGGACAGCAUCAUGGAAAACAAGAUUGGAAAAUUGACCAAGAAGAGUAUUUGGUAAAUUAAUUGAUAAAAGUUUGGAAGUUUACUCUCAGAUGAGAAUCACUUCUUUUAAAAUUUUAGCAUUAUCUUUAUAUUUAUAGAUACAGGAAUGAUGAUUGGAGAAUAGCAACUCAAAGAAAAGGAAAUAAUAACUGAGCCCCACCCUUUCUUACAGCAACAUGCAACUGCUUCAUGAAGCCAGGAAGCAACACCAGGAAAAGAACUUCUAAAACUUCGAAUUUUUUCUUCUGCUUCACCUAAGCUACAUUCUAGCUGUUUGGCAAGGGUAUUAGCACCCAUUCCAUAAAGAAUGCCAUAGACCAACCUUUUGGUCUGUUCUCGCUCCUGGUAGCCAACAACAGAUUCUGGCUUCCCAGUCCAUUUUGCUGCAAUCAUGGUAAAGACAUCACCAUGGGGCUUGCUAAGGAGUUCAGUUAAUGAAGAGUCCCUAGAAAAAUGAGCCAUUAGCCGCAGUUCAAUCUGGGAAUAAUCCGCUGUUAACAGUAACCAGUUCUCCUGUAAUGAAAUACAAGUGACAAACUUAACUAAGAUAUUUAAUAGAGCAACUUCUUUUCCAUUGAUAAAAAUAAAUAAAUGGCAUGCAUAUACAAGGGCACCUUCCAGUCAUAAGGCAUAUAUAAUCAAUUACCUGAGAAGGAACGAAGAAGUCACGAGCAUUAAUUUUGUAAUGGUCAGCUUCAGAAUUGCAUACAUCUUUGUUACCUUUGAUCAUUUUGAACUCAACCACAUGCUCAACACACUACAUGGCUCACAAAAAAAAGAAAAAAUUGUAAGCCAACUGAGGGUAAUGUAAAGGAAGGACUAGAAAGACUAAGAAUGUAGAAAAAAAUCCCAACCUGAAGGUUAGGUUCUUCCAUUGAAAGGCGUCCAGUCGCUGUUGAUGUUUGGAGCCAAUGGCCAUGCAGGGUGUAUCUUUGCGUCUGCAAAGAAAGCCUAGCCAGAGAACAAAUUGAACCCAAUGUACAGUUUAAGAGUUUUGCCAGUGUCCGGUGUUCUUUAAUGACUGGAAUAAUAGGAUGUUCAUGCCUGAAACAAGACCAAAUUGCUUUAUCUGACCAGCCUUACAAGUAGAAGAGCGUAGAAGUGGCAGAAAAAAAAAACACCAGACACUGCAGCACAUUGAGCAAGCUGAUAUUCAUAAAUCAUUAAAUAUUCAUGUCCAUGGAGCAAAGCACUAGCUUAUCAAAGUAGAUGCAUGUAGUAACAACACAGUGAAGGCAUGGUUCUAAGCCCUAACAAAUGAGAAGAAGACGAAGAAGAAGAAGACCAAAUUGCUUUAUCUGAACAGCCUUACAAGUAGAAGAGUGUAGAAGUGGGAGAGAAAAAAAAACACCAGACACUGCAGCACAUUGAGCAAGCUGAUAUUCAUAAAUCAUUAAAUAUUCAUGUCCAUGGAGCAAAGCACUAGCUUAUCAAAGUAGAUACAUGUAGUAACAACACAGUGAAGGCAUGAGAAGAAGAAGAAGAAGAAGAAGAAAAGGGAAACAGCCAUAACACCUUAAUACCUAAAACCUUGCAGAGUUCACAGCCACCAAUAAAUUUUCAUUUUUCUGCUAGCAAACACAAACUAUGUAUGAAAGGUGUGUAUUUAAAAUUAUGGAGAGAAGGAAAAAUAUAGAGAAGUUCUAUUUCACUACAUCCUAGACUAUUAAAAUCCAUGAAAUUAGAUUCCAUUUAUCAAGGCUGCUCUUUUGACUAACUUCAGGAAAGCAAAAGUGCCAAUUUGACCUUCAUUUUCAGGGGGAAUCCAUACAAAACCAUAGCAUGGCUUUCCAUUUAGGAACGUCAGCUUGUUAAUCACGUAUAAGGACAGUUCGGAGGGAUCAAAGAGCAUCCUCAUUUGUAAUUAAAAGAAAUGCAGACAAAAGUAAAUGCAUGUAUUAAGAACCCUACUUUCAGGGGGCAAAGCACAGAAGCACAACCAAGGUAAACAUGUACUGCUACUUCCAGAGUUGCAACAUCUUAGUUAGACAAUUCUUUUAAUAGGCAAACAAUCUUAAACAAUUUUGACUUUCAAGAUCCAAGAAAAGAAGCAGAUACAUGCUUUUUAACAAAUUCAAUGAACCACUUCAAGAGCAAUGUCCGAGCAUAUUUUAACAUAAAUGAGUCUCAUGAUGAACAAGAAGAUUCCUUAUUUAACUCCUGCAGCCAUUUGAAGUAAUUCUUGCUUCCAGAGACACUCUAAGUUACCAAAGAAUGCACAGAAAAAAUGAUAUAAAAUGUAGAGUAUGAAGCUGUCAGAACAAUCAGUUGAAGAUUUGAAGUAUAUUGAUGUUAUGUAUGAUAGAAAUACUGUAUGCAUCAAAUAAGAAUACACUCACAAGAUAUGACAAAAGAAAAUAUGGAGCACUGUCCAUAUCCAUAUCACCCAUAUGCAAUUAACUACUUAUACUUUAACAUCAGCUAAGCCUAAGUGAUAUAACAGGAAGAAAAACAAGUCUCUUUAUACCUUAACAAAUCUAAGCAAUGCUUAUCAGUACUUGGAUGUUGCUUCCCUUUAUUGUGCCCCUCUGGUAUGGGCAGCUUCAAGUGUCCAUAGAGAACAUUAGCAAUAUCUGCUGCUGUAUACAAUGAAAAUGUCAUGCCAGCCAACUCAUAAGCUUCCUUUUCAAGAUGCCUUAGCUUCUUUCCCAGCACAUUUCGUGCCUGAAUGCAUCCCUCCAUAUCAACACCUAUUCCCCAGACUUCCAUGUCCGCAAGAAUUGUAACCUUAGGCAAAAGUACAAGCAUCAAACUAAAGUUAAAAAUGUGUCUAAGCAUGUAAAGAGAGGAGUAAUCAGUAAUAUGGUUUCAUAGACUGAUGCAGAAGGGAAAUUGAGCGGGAAUACUCCUUGGUGUCAUGAGUAAAAGAGCAUAGCCAAUAAGCUAAUUAUCCUCAUUGACCAACAAGUAGUGGCAAGCUAAUGGUAGACCCAUCUCCUGACAGGACGCCACUAAUUGCACUUGAAGAAUUUGACAUCAAUUAAUAGAGAGAUGGUUUUAAAUUGAGGGCUGGUGGUAAAUGAUCUGAAAGCUAUGGAUCACACUUUAUUCCCAAAGCCAGGUUCAUAUAGUUGAGAUAAGGCCAGACAGUUUGAUGGUCUUAAACACCCAAUGACAGGCAUUUACUUCCAACCCCUCAGCAUGCAUUCUCAAGUAUCCAACUUGAAAUGUUGCAUCACACAUGAUGCUGGACCCACUGUAAGAUAGGUUUAGAGGUUCAUCAAUGCCAUUUUCAUCAAAGGGUGUGAUUAAAAACACAAAACCCAAAUAUAUUGUGAAAGAAAAUGGCAGUAUUUAAUGGCCCAAAAUAAUCUAACCAUCCUAUCUAUUUACAGUGUAUAAACCUAAGGUUUGACCCUUCAGCUAUUCACUUGUUUUUUAUUCAAAAGCUUCAAGGAAUAAACACCUGAUCAAGUAUCCCUCGCUUUAAUGUUUUAUGGCAGGAAGCAUAGAACUUUUACCAAUGGGAUUUCAAUUCUCAAAAGCACUUCAACAAGUUCUUCAGAAACAAGCAAUUUCCAUAGAACGGAACAUAGGGCACGUGUUUGUGCAACGCGACGGCAGCAACCAUUAUGGGCAGCUCUUCGAGUCUGAUUUUUCCACCUUCCGCUCCGAUUAGCAGCUGCUGCUGCCUCACUGGAUAAUCUUUUCCUAACUUCCUGCAUUAUCUUACAACAUUAGAAACCAAUGCAAAUUGCUGAAGAUCAAAGCAAUGCUUAAAUGACAAGGAUUCCCCAGUUUCGACUCUUAUUUUAGUCUUAAAGAUUUCAUGUAUGAAAAAUUGAAAAUUACCCAACAACAAAGACAUUAUCACUUCCAAUAACAAUUCACAUGUGCUAAAUUUCAUUCUCAAAUAUGUUGAUAUAAUUAGAAUUACAAUUAUUACCUUCUCCAGAUUUGGAUUGGAGCUUCUCUCUUCAUCAGGCCAAAGGAUCCAUGUUACAAUACACAUGUCUAGUCCAUCCACAAUAUAAACUGGGGACAACAUAAGGUAGGAGUUGUCUAUAAGUUCAAGUCCCAUAGUUCUCAUUGCAAGAUUCAGACUACCAAAUUUUUGAAUGGAAACUGCAGGAUUUUUUAGCACCUGAAUCUGAACUUUCAAAUUCCAAGUAAAUUUCCUGACAUCCUUUUUCCCCAUUAUCUUACCAACCUUGCUCCAUCGCCAUUUAGCUGCUUCCAACCUAUGAUUUGCAUCUAAAAUGUUUGGCUUGUCAUCAGAUACAUUCAUGGUUAAGUAAAUAUUUUUCCUUUCAUCAGAGCAAAGUAGAUCCUUAGGAAGAUUGAUAUAAUACACAGGAGAAUUUUCCCAACAGAUUGCUAUGCCAUGUAUUUCGUAGGGUGCAAGAGAAUUUACUUCAGACUGUUUGUUGAAGUGAAUAUCAAAAUAGAAUUCUCUCACACUAUCCCAGAGAUCUAAGAAAGAAUCAAACCCACCAGGAGUAUUAGUUGCAUGAAUAGGACCCUUCUCAUAGGCUUUGCCAUUAUUGUCAAGACAUUCAUUUUCUCCUCUUUGCUGCUCAUGCUGACCAUGAUCCACAUAUGCAUCCGAUGUCCCAUUUCCAUUACCAGUAUUCAUUGACUUAAUAGAAAGUGGCAUCACUGCAUUUUCAUUACGAUCCACAAUGCUGUUAAGUUCAUCAUUGAGAAUUGACAGUACUGCAGGAUUUUCAGCACCAAAUUUACACUGUAUGGGGCCAGUUGAUUUUACCUCCCCUGCAGUUCCCAAGAUAACAUCUGACAUAUUUUUUAACUUCUCCACUCCAAUUUCUGAAGCAACUUUAUUAGAAUUCUCACUUCCUUCUACAGCUGGCUUACCUGAUUUCAUGCAUUCUGUACCAACAAAGCUACUAGUAGCACCCUCCCCAGAAGAGGUACUUGCAGCUUCUUGGCUAGGAUUGUCAUUAGCAAUUAACAACAAAGGACGUGAAAACUGUGGAACAUUAAGCCCAAGUGAUUUGAAAGCUGAGAAAGCAGCAAUCCUUGCUUCUUCAGCUUUAUCAAGCACAAUUUUGCGUGCAGCAUUCUUAAUCUUCUUGGCUACUCCCAAUUGUACAUUUCGUUGCACUGAAUUUCCUAUAUUGCAUAGUCAAAAAUCAGGAUAAGAGAAAAAAAUAAAAAAUAAAAACAUAGAAAAAUACCGCAGCUAUAAUAGGGAAAGAAACAGAAAAAAAUAUUGUAAGAAGAACCAAAAGAUAUGAACAUAAACUAGUUUUGGAAGCAAGAAAACAAAGAAUAUCUUGAUGACUACCAUGUACACAUUUUCAGGCAUAAUUACAUGCCAGACGAGACAUGAAAUCAAACCGCAUAACAAUAACAAUCAAUUUGCAAUUGCUCAUAGGAAGAUAUGAAGAUCCAUAUCCAAGAAAAGGAAUUAGAAGAAAAUUGUGUUCCUAAUCAGUGUAAAGAUUAGAAAUUCAAGUUCAAAGAAAAAAAAGUAAAAACAUUCCAUAUAACUAACUUCUGAAAAGUGUUAACAAAAAAGGCAGCAGCCACUGGAUACAUAAAACACAUUUUAAGUGUUUCUGCCAUGUAUUUACACAUAAGUCAGUACAUAUCUUUCCUGUAGCAAAGUUUAUCUUUUAUCAAGUUCUUUGAGAACCCAAAGGGUGUAUAAAUGUGGCAAAAGAGCAAGUUUAAUCACAAAAGAGGGUCAUGGUUACAAUCCCCUUUACUUAGACAAGGUUGACUGGCUAUGAGUUUCAUAUUGGGUGAAGUUGUUUCUAUAAAGAUGAAUGAGGAUAGCCCAAAAAGAAAAAGGAAUAUCUAGAAACCAAAAUCCAAAACAGUAAUAUAAGAACCCUAGAUUGCAGACCAUGUGAUUUCCCUGGUUCAGAAGUUAUUCCAGCUUAUUAUAUAAGUCAAUAGCUCAUAACUGUCAUGGAGCUUGGCUAAAUUUGAAGAGAGAAGAAAGGCAUUAAGAUUCCAUGCACCAAAGUAGGUCCAUAACCAUGAAAAAAAGAAACCAUGUAUUGAAAUCUCAAGAACCCAUCCUAGAAAGCUUUACCUUCUGCAGCCCAUGAUGAAAAUUCAAACAGAGCUUUCACUAUCUCAGGUAUUGAUGCUUCUGCAAUUGCUAGAGGUGUACGCAAGCCAGCUUUAUAAAGUGCUCUUGCUCGAGAACCCUUCAAUACAAAGAUAACAUACUUCUAACUUAUAAGUAAUUAAUAAUUGAUAAUCCUGAACUAUUUACAGAAGUGGCCAAUGAAAUUGUCCACUAGACUUAGUAAGGAACCCUUUAGUAAGGACUACAUGUCAAAGGAACUUUACAGAAGGGCUAGAAGUGUAUGCUUACCUUAACAUAUGGAAUGGUAGUAAGCUCUACGAUCUCUGCUCUCACUCCAAAUGAAACACGAUUUUGGAACUUAGCAACCAAGCCUUCCAAAUCAUUCCAGCCAAGCCUUUCACAAAACAAAGAAACCAUAGACGCAAACCUUCCAGCAUUCUCUUGCAAGCCUUGAACCAUGCCUCUAGCCACUUUAAAAGCUUCGCAAACCUCAGUCACCGGUACUUCCUUCAUCCCAGAGUUUAAAGAAUAUGUACUUAUGAGGACAGAGAAGGAGAACAAAACCAUAUCUAUAUGCCAUCAAACUAGCAUACACAAUAAGAAUCAAACACAGCUGACGGAACCUAUAGAUAGAGACUUAGAAAUGCAGCACAUAAAAACUUAUGCCAUUCUAUGUUAAAAAUAUACUUUUGCCGUGAGACAAGCACAGAAAAAGCAUGUGAUCAGGAAGUCAUACAUAUAUAAACAAAGAAUCCACUAAAAUAUAAAUAUUGCUUCUGUCGAAAUGUUAGGAGUUAGCUGAGCUGAAAGUUAGGAGUUUCUAAUUUCUUUUUUCUAUUUAAUAAAAUUCAAAUUUUAAAUUUGAAUUGUUUAAGAUAGGGAAAUUUGUUUGUUUCCGUAUUUUUAAGAGUUAGUUGUUUUGUUUUGUUAGCUAAUGUAGUUGAGAAAUUUGUGGCAAAUCUCAACUCUUGCUGAGUCUAUUUAUUUGAUGUAAUUAGUUUUAAAUUUUAAUUUUCAAAAAAAAGGAGAAAAUCUUUCUCUUUCAAAAUUUUCAUGGUAUCAGAGCUUUAGUGUAAUCAAAGUUUUUGAUGGUCAAAAUUGCUAUGGUCGGAGCUAGCAGAGGUUCGAUGACUACAAGGGAUGCAGUAGAGAGCAUUCAAAACGACUCUGCUGCAUUAUCUAAUAAAGCAGAACACUUAUCUGUUGUUUCAUUGAAUUCCCUUCAACUAAUUGUGAACAAGUUGAAUGGAAAAAACUACUUGGAAUGGGCUCAAACGGUGAAGCUCGUAACUGACGGAAAUGGGAAGCUUGGUCACUUGACUGGUGAGGUGAAAAAACCAGCAAACAAUGAUCCACACUUGAAGAGUUGGAGAUCUAAAAACUCCAUUGUAAUAGCAUGGUUCAUCAACUCGAUGGAGUCAAGUAUUGGAAAUCCAUUUCUGUUCAUUCCAACAACAAAAGAAGUGUGGGAUGUUGUUCGCAACACUUAUUUGGAUUUGGAGAAUUCAUCUCAAAUAUUUGAAUUGAAGACUAAGUUGUGGUAGUCCAGACAAGGAGAUAGAGAAGUUACUGUGUACUAUAAUGAGAUGGUAACUUUAUGGCAGGAGUUGGAUCAAUGUUAUGAAGAGGAAUGGAAUUCUCCCACUGAUAGUAUGCAAUAUAUGAAGAUGAGGAAGAUGACAAGGUGUAUCUGUUCCUAGCAGAUCUUAACAGAGAAUUAGAUGAAGUGCGGGGUUGAAUUUUGGGACAAAAACCUCUCCCAAGUCUUCGAGAAGUAUUCUCAGAGAUCAAGAAAGGAAAGAAGAGUCUCGCCGGAGUGUCAUGCUACAAAAGCAGGAACCAAAGACCAACCCUGAAACUGAGAGUUCAGCUCUCAUAACAAGAGGACCAAAUGCAGAUGUAGACAAGAGAAACUUCAAGCAAUGAGAAAAACCAUGGUGUGAUCAUUGUAAGAAGCCAUGGCAUAUGCAUGAGACAUGCAAGCUACAUGGGAAGCCUCAAAAUUGGAAAAAGAAGAAUGGGGGAGAUAGUCGUGCAUUCCAAGUCUCAAAUGAAGAUCAAGGGAACCAAGUUUUUUCAGAUAAGCUUCCAUUCACAAAGGAGCAAAUAGAUAGUCUGUGUAAAUUGCUCCAGUCCUUGAGUCCCACUAUAAAUUCCUCUUCUUCAUGUUCUUUAAACAGAAAUGUAACUACCUUACCACUUUCCUCUAUAGUGUUAAACCUAAUUCUAAUUGUCCAUGGAUUAUAGACUCAGGAGCAACUGACCAUAUGACCGGAUCUUCUAAAUUAUUUUCCUCGUAUAAUCCUUGUGCAAGGAACCAAAAAAUUAAAAUAACAGAUGGAUCUUUCUCAGCCAUAGCUGGGAAAGGCUUAAUUGUUAUUUCUCCUUCUAUUACUCUGCAUAAUGUCUUUUAUGUUCCUAACUUGUUAUGUAAUCUUUUGUCCAUUAGUAAAAUAACUCAUGAUCUAAAAUGUCAAGCUCAUUUUUUCCAUUCUUCUUGUGCAUUUCAGGAUUUGGACUCGAGGAAGACGAUUGGCAAUGCUAACCAAAGUGGAGGACUUUAUUUCUUUGAAGAUGGAUCUGAAUUGGAGGGACAAGCUCAUAGUACUUGUUUCAAAUCUCUUUUUGUUGCUGGUACGAAGAAGAUUAUGGCAUUUUAGGUUAAGACAUCCAAACUUUGUAUCUAAAGUACUUGUUUCCGAAAUCUAUUCCUAAAUAAAAAUCCAUCUUCAUUUCAAUGUGAAAUUUGUGAAUUGGAAAAACACCACCGUUCUCCUUUUCCUCUACAAUCAUAUAAACAAUCCAAACCUUUUUCUAUCAUUCUUAGCGAUGUUUGGGGCCCUUCUACAAUUACUACUUUUUCAAGAAAAAAAUGGUUCAUUACAUUCAUUGAUGAUCACACAAGGAUAACAUGGGUGCAUUUGUUAAGUGAAAAAUCUGAUGUUGAACAAGUUUUCAAAAAAAAAUUCAAUAUGGUACAAACACAAUUCCAAGAAAAAAUUCAAGUGUUUAGAAGUGACAAUGGAAAGGAAUACUUUAAUAAAAUAUUAGGGAAAUUUUUUGAGGAAAAAUGAAUUGUUCAUCAAAGUUCUUGCAAUGACACUCCACAACAAAAUGGAGUAGCUAAAAGAAAAAAUAGGCAUCUUGAAAUUGCUAGAGCCUUGCUUUUUCAACUAAGACACUUAAAUAUUUAUGGGGUGAAGUUGUUCUUAUAGCUGCAUUUUUUAUUAAUCAAAUGCCAACAAGAGUUUUGCAUUUUCAAAAACCUAUGGAUGUUUUCAAAAAUUGUUUUCCCACAUCAUGUCUUGUCAAUGAUAUUUCACUAAAAAAAUUUGGAUGCACUGCAUUUGUCCAUAUUCAUAGCCACAAUCGUGGGAAACUUGAUCCUAGAGCUAGGAAAUCCGUCUUUGUUGGCUACUCACCAACACAAAAAGGAUAUAAAUGUUUGGACCCCAUUUCAAGAAAAUUGUUUGUCUAUGGACGUGACUUUCUUUGAGACAACCCCAUAUUUUGAUAAUAAUCAUCUUCAGGGGGAGAGUGAGAGAAAAGAUUCUUGUGUUGGGGAUGUUUUCCAAAUAAAGCCAGAACCACCAGUUUUAGUUGAAUUUACCCCUGAAGUUUUACUGGACUUUACCCCUGAUCACCCUAUUCCUUCAGCUCUAGAAAAUCAAGACAUUACAACCACAGAUCAACACCUCAAUCAAGACACUGCAACCAUAGAUCAGCACUUGAACCAAGGCACUGCAGCCACGGAUCAGCACUUGAACCAAGGAAGAGACAUCUUCAAAGAAAAGAAGAUUCAACUUUACAACAACUCCAUGAGUCCAACCCAGGUACAAAUCAGAACUUUACUAGUUCCUCAGAUGAGUUGUCAAGUAAACUUCCUUUGGUGUCAUGCCCUUCUAAGUCCAAGUUUGAGUCAAUAAAAAAUUUAGAUGUUCCUAUUGUUUGUCGUAAAGGUGUCAAAACUUGCAUAAAGCAUCCUAUGUCUAACUUUAUAUGUUAUGAAAAAAUUUCACCCUCCUUUUAUGCCUUUACCACUCAACUCUCUUGUGUAGAAAUUCCAAAAAAUGUACAGGAUGCUCUAAGGGUUCCGGAAUGGGAGGAAGCUAUUCUUGAAGAAAUGAGAGCUCUUGAAAAAAAAGACUUGGGAAGUAGUUGAUCUGCCCAAAGGGAAGAAAACAGUUAGAUGCAAAUGGGUUUUGACAAUCAAGUACAAUGCAGAUGGCACCUUGGAAAGAUAUAAAGCUCGACUAAUGGAAAAAGGGUUUGCCCAAACCUAUGGUGUGGACUACUCUGAGACUUUUGCACCGGUUGCCAAGUUGAAUACGGUACGAGUACUCCUAUCAAUUAUAGUAAAUUUAGAUUGGACACUCCAACAAUUGGUUGUUAAGAAUGCAUUCCUAAUCGGAGAUUUGCAAGAAGAGGCGUACAUGGACUCUCCUUCAGGAUUUGAUGGAAACUACAGUUCAAAGGUGUGCAAACUAAGAAAGUCUUUAUACAACUUUAAACAAUCACCAAAGGCUUAGUUUGAUAAAUUUCUCAAUCAGUCAAGAAGCAAGGCUACACAAAAAAACAAACAGAUCACACCUUAUUUGUAAAGUUUUUAUCAGGAGGUAAAAUUGUUGUUUUAAUUGUUUAUGUGGAUGAUAUCAUUCUCAUUGGAAAUGAUUUAACAAAGAUGGUUGAAAAGGAGCUUAGCCACUGAGUUCGAAAUUAAGGAUUUGGGUUCCUUAAAGUACUUCUUAGGCAUGGAGGUUACAAGAUCAAAAAAAGGAAUUGUGGUUUCACAAAGGAAGUAUAUCCUUGAUUUCUUAAAAAAAGCUCGUAUGAGUGGUUGCAAACCAUCAGAGACACCUAUGGAACCAAACCUAAGGCUUGGAGAUAGUGACAAAAAGGUUCCAAUUGAUACAACAAGAUACCAUAGGUUAGAUGGUAAGCUAAUCUACUUGUCUCAUACUCAGCCAGAUAUAGCUUUUGCAGUGAGUGUACCAAGUCAAUUCAUGCACUCUCCAUAUGAAGAGUACCUUGAAGUUGUCUACCAAAUCUUGAGAUACCUUAAGAGCACACCAAGAAAUGGACUAUUUUUCAGGAAGAACGUACGUGGUGUUGAAGCCUAUACUGAUGUUGAUUGGGCUGGUUCAAUUACUGAUAGGAGGUCCACCUUAGGUUACUACACAUUCGUUUGAGGUCAUUCAUGGAGGAGUAAGAAACAAAGCGUAGUGGUUAGAAGUAGUGUUGAGGUAGAAUUCAGAGCUAUGUCACAUGGAAUUUGUGAUAUGUUGUGGCUAAAGCAUGUCCUAGAAGAGUUAAGGCAGCCAAUUGAAGGAGCAAUGAAGCUAUACUGCGAUAAUAAAGCUGCAAUCAGCAUUGCACAUAACCCAGUUCAACAUGACAGGACUAAACACGUGAAGAUUGAUAGACACUUUAUCAAGGAGAAAUUGGAAACUGGUGUUAUAUGCAUACCAUUUGUUCCAACAACUCAACAAAUAGUUGAUAUCCUUACAAAAGGACUCAUCAAGCCGAACUUUGAAUUUCUAACAAGCAAAUUGGGCAUGACAAACAUCUAUACACCAACUUGAGGGGGAGUGUCAAAAUGUUAGGAGUUAGUUGGAGUUGAAAGUUAGGAGUUUCUAGUUUAUUUUUUCUAUUUAAUAAAAUUCGAAUUUUAAAUUCGAAUUGUUUAAGAUAGGGAAAUUUGUUUGUUUCCCUAUUUUUAGAAGUCAGUUGUUUUGCUUUGUUAGCUAAUGUAAUUGAGAAAUUUGUGGUAGAUCUCAACUCUUGUUGAGUCUAUUUAUUUGAUGUAAUUAGUUUCAAAAUUUAAAAAAAAAAAAAUGAAAUAUCUUUCCCUUUCAAAAUUUUCAACUUCCUUCUCCAUCAGGUAAAGAAAUGUAAUGAGGAAAAAAGAAAAAAAGAAAAUCACCUGCACUAGUUUUGACAAGAUGAGAGCAACAUAAAAUCGCUUGCAAACACGAAGUGUUUGCUCAUCUGAGAGCAAACUACAUUUUGUGAUCCCAAGUCGGUUGUCAAAUUUGUCAUGCAACCCUUUUCCAUUAUUUCUUGAUUUGUUUGAAGCACACAUAGGUGCACCAUGGGCCAUGCGCAUCAAAAAUGGUUCCACCACUCCAACUCGAUUGCCAACUGACUGGAUUGUGAGAAAUAUGAUGGAAUAUGUAAGUGAUUAAUAAUAAUAUAAAAUACAAAGAAACAAGCAAAAAUCACCUAAAUAGAAGUCCACAAGAGGCCAAUUCACUAAGGAAGAAAGGAACAACCUUUUUCUUUUUCAUAGUAAUUGAUAUAGAAUAACCCUAAGGGGAUUGUCUACAAUCAAAUAAGGGUGGGUAAGGGCUCUACAUUUUUAAGAUUUAAUGGGACUGAAGUUGAUGGCAGCAAGAAACAAUAAAAAUGAGAAAAAGAAAGAGAAGAUAGAGGAAAGAAAUAAGGCAACUCACUAAGGCCUUUUAAGAGUCUAACCUAGAAGUGAACAAUAUGAUCUCAACAAUAAAAGAUGCAAAGGUAUGAAAAGAGUAAUCAUAUAUGCGUCCACCUAAUCACUCUUCACAUCCACUUGGAUUAUGAUUUUUUUGGAUAAAAGUACCUCUUAAUGAAAAGACCAAAAUACCCUUAAAGUUUAGUACACAUCCAUCUUCCACCAUUUCUUCUCUUCUGAUCUCUCCAAAACUUGACAAUUUUUUUUAAGAAAGUUGUGUUUUUGGAAUAAUGGAUAAACAAAUAAUCAUCUCUAAUGAUGGUAGAAGUGCAUUUUUACCACUUUUUUUGCAUUUUUUUCAUUGUUAUAGGGUUUAGAGAAGAAGGGAUCAAGAAUAGUUCCUGGAGUUACAAGGUUUUUUAAGCAUUCAACACUAUACCUCCUGACACCAUUACCAACAUCCAAUAUUGUAUCUUCAAUCGCCCACUUGGUGUCCAACCUUUCAAGUUCAAACACUUAUAAAAAUUUUCUUCAAUAUUUGUCCACUUUUUUCGAAUAUUUUCACUAUUAAAUUAUUUUUAAAUGUUUUAAAAUUAUUUUUACAAUAAAUAUUUGUCAAAAAUUACAUAAAUAAUAAACGGUCAAUUAUAUUCAUGUGAAAUAAACACAAUUUUAGUGUAUAGAUUAAAAAAGUGCAUAAAAGAGAUCGGAAUUAGCUUUAAACCCAACUCAAAUACUUUUUUGUUGAUGAACAAUCUUGGGAGAGAAGAUUUUGCUUUAGGGUUUGUCGAGAAUAAGGAAGAAGAAGAUGUGGUGUGGAAGAGAAGAAUGGGAAGGGUAAUUUUAGGUAUAUUGGUAAUAUUUGGUGGGUGUAUUAAUAGAAUUUAUGUUUUGAAGUGAAUGUGUAAAGAUAUUAGACAGAUGCUUUUAUAUUCUCUUAUAUGAAAAUUAUUAUUCAUCAUUUAUUGUUAUUUUACAACAAUUCGCUUUUAGCCUUAUCUGUAGGCUCUAGAAAACCUAAGUUAUAUAGUAACUCGCUAGAACUCAUAAAUUUUUCCUAAAACUCUCAAACCAUUCAAAUGAUUGAAUUAAAAGAAAAUAGAAAUGGGUCAUGUUCAUGUUUAAUUGCUCUACCUGUCUAACCCAUUUAACAUGUGCACUUAAUCAUAUCAAAAUGACUCGUUUAUAAGCCAACCCAUUUUAUGACCCAUGUAAUCUAUGCAAAUUUAUUAAUUUAUAUAUUUAAAAAUGUUUAAAAAAAAUGAAAUCAUUUUUUAUUAUGAUAUCUUGUAGUUAAAAAAAAAAAAUUAAAUAAGUAAAAUAUUAUAUAUUUCAUUAUAAAAUUUUAAAAUAUUUUAUAAUUAAAACAUUAAAUAAAAGAAUAAACAUAUAAAAUUACAAUUUUAAUUUACUUCUUAUAUUAUAAAUAUAUUAUAAUUAAAAUUAAAUAAUUAAAUAAAUUAAAAUUAAAAUUAAAAAAAUUAAACUUGAGAGUUGAAGCAACUAAAAAAUUUCAAAAUAAUAUAUUUAUAAAUUCAAAAUAGGUUAAAUGGAUUAUAAUUAUGUUAACAGGUUUAAUGAGUUAGAAUCAUGUUAACAUGUUUAAUAGGUUAAACUCAUGUUAAUAGGUUAUCUAUGACAAUUCAUACACAAUCUAACUUAACAUAUAUGUUAAACAAUUUGUGUCGUGUUAUCCAUGUAAUAAAGGUUGUAUUUGUGUCAAGUCAUUCUAACACAAUUAUUAAAUGGAUCAUAUUUGAGUUGAACAAAUUUUCACUAUUUCAUACCUCAACACAACAUAACCCAUUAUCACCCAUAACAGAUAGAAGGCAAAGGUUCCUUGUCAAUAACUCUCCCUUUGGAUUCAUCUUAUUUUUGAGUUAAGGCCUAUGAGGAACUCAAAAACCCUCUUUUUCAAAGAUCCUAUUGCACUGAGUUCUAUCGUUCACUCCCAUUUAGCAUCAUAAUAUUGAUCUAGUUUCUAGUAUAGACCCUUAACGUACUAUAAUAUUUAGCCACAAUUUAGCUCUCCUAUUUCAACUCACAAAUUCAAAUUCUAAUCUCAAAUAUCUAAGUCGAAUUUUCCGUAGAUGAAUAAGUCUCAACAAUAGCAUCUCACAUCUUUUUUGCCAUUGAUAAGAAAAUGUAGGUUUGGCUAAUCUUGGGUUUCAUUGAGUUGACUAGCCAUGUCAUAAUUAUUGAGUUUUUUGCUUUCCAUAUGUGAAACACCAUCUCAUCAUCUUGUUUGGGUGGCUUUGUGGAACUAGUGAGGUAUCCAAACUUUCCUUUCCAAUGAAUAUAUAUAUAUAUAUAUAUAUCUUCACAAAUUGGGACCAUUGUAAAUAAUUCUACCCAUUCAAAAUGUGAGUUGUGAUCUAAAGUGAUGGGGUUUUAUUAACAAGUUGUCGAAUCAACCGAUGAGGCUCUUCAUAAUUGUUUCUAGAAGCUUCUUCUCUAGUAACUCUCAACAUGAUUACAUAGAGAGUCUUAGAAUCCUAAUCUGAAUAGAAAACUAAUUUAAGAUAAGAGAUACUUAUCCCUGAUUUAUAGGCCUACCAACUAGAUUUAUCACAACUAAUUCUCGUUGUACAUUUUUACAAUAGAUUAUCUAAAACAAUCAAAUAUAAAUAUAAGAAUAAAAACUCCUUGCACCAUAAGGUCAACCUAACACAUUAAUGAAAUUUGCAAAUAAUAGUCUAUAUUCCCAAUAGACCUCCAUAGACAAAUGAUUCAUAGAAAUAUUUUUUUUUAGUUGAACCUCUCUAACCUUUCCUAACCAUAAAAGAUUCUUGUUUUUUUCUUAUUAGCAAAUUAAUUUACACAUUCACACACAUGUGCAUUAAAAUAAGGUACAUAACAGAAAAAAAAUGCAACUUGAUUAUAUAGCAAGUGUACAAGGCACACCAAGGCUAAAGAAGAAAGAAAAUAGAAUUUGUGACAUACUAACCCAUCAUGUACUCAGAUUAUCAGCAAAAUCCAAUAAAGAAAUAUUGGACUUUGUUUGGAAGUUGUUCGUAAAAAUGGUUUUUUGUUCUUUAGAAUAGAAAAAAGUUUUCUAACUCAUAAAACAUGUUUGAUACACUUCUAACAAAAUAACUUUUCAAAAUAGAGCAAAUUUUAGGUGUUCUCAAUUUCUUUUUAUAAAGUUUUCUAAGCAAUAACUAAAAAUAUGGAGAAUACUUUAAAAACUUUUGCAUUGUACAUAACUGCAUAGUAAAUGCAUAGAGAACAAGCCAAGAAAACUAUUUUUCAUAUUUGAGUUUCCAAACAAAAUUUUGUUCCUAAAAAUAAUUGAGAACUGUUUUUCUUAAAAAUUGUUUUGAGAACCGUUUUCAAAAACAAUCCUAAACAAGCCCUUGGCAUCUCCCAUCAAACACACUGACCACAAAAGUACAUAUUUAAGAAAGGUAUUUCACAACCACAUCCAAAUGCUCCAACUUUUUGAAGAUUAUUCCUCUUUUCCCUAUGGUCCGAAACAAAUAGAAAUGAAUUAUUCUCUAAACAAGUUAGUAUCUUUUAUCCCCCAAAAUUUGUCAUACCAACCAAAAGCACAUAAUUGAUUGCACAAAAAACAACUUAAAAAACACCAAACAAGGAGAACACCAAGAACCACAAGCUAAAGGCACACUAGCAAUAGAUUAAAAUAUGACCGAUUGAACUAUUAUUUCCAUAUAAAGAAAACACCAAUAAAAUAAGGUCUAACUUUAUCUCAUCUAUUGAUCAACUAGAAGAAUUUCCCCCAUACCACCUCCCAAGCAAAAAAAAUAUUCAGCUUGAAAGGUCCCAUAAGCACCAAAAUAGACAAUUAAAAUAGACAAUUCUUCUAUUUUGUACCUUCCAUAAGCACAACAGGGUCACAUUCCAUACUUUCCUCUUCCUUUUGCAAACAAACCCUUCUUGAUAACUAUCCAAGGAAUCCUAUAGACUUAAGAAAUGCUCCAGAAAUACCAAAUGAGUAAAACAAUGAAGACCAUAAACUAUGAGCCAUCUGGUAAUGUAUAAUCAAGUGACCAAUCAAUUGCUUAUCAUGCUUACACAAAAAACACUAAUUGGUUAUUAUCCUACCCUUCACCUAAGCUGGUCCAAGAUGAGAAUCUUAUCCUCUUUGAACAUUCUUAAAUAUGUUGAUUUUAUCUUUGACUCCCUGUUAGAGAGUCAAGGCCCUUGAAGCUAAUCAUUCUUUCUCUUACGAGUCUUUUUCUUCUUAAUAAAAGAGAGGAAAAGGCAUUAGCUUAUAAGAGCAUUGUGUAUUUCCAUCGUAAUUGAGCAACAUAUAAGAAUACCUUUGGAAAAUGAGAUCAAUACCACAAGAUAAUAAGACUAGCUCUAGAAAUCAGUAAACACUUGAAUGCAUAGAGAAGAAAUGAGUUUGAAGCAACAUAGAACUUCAAUUUUGUAAGAUUAUGAUCUAUUGACCUGGAAUUAAAGGAGCCUAAUGCUGCCUCAAAGGCACAGAAAACAAUUUACCUGGUCAAGAGCAGACAAUUGCAUGAACCUUUCAUAGAACAAUUCCCAAUCUGGCUCAACAUCAACAUUAAUGGGUGUCACUAAGUAAACUAGAUGCAAAUCAGAUGCAAGAACAAAUCCUUCUCGUGCCCUUGAAAGAUCAUCCAGCACAACCUAGGAAAACAAUGGCAAAAGCAUAAUUUAAAUUUACUCAACAUAGUUUACACCACCUGCAUGGCUUAAGUUACAUAAAUAUAGAGAAAUAAAAAUAGGCAAACUAAUUGAGAAUUGAAAUUACUCAAAAAGGCACCAAUAACAGAAAACUAGUUAGAAAGGUUGUAAAAGAGAAAGCACAGGCAAAGGGAAAAAAUGAGAGCUGCAAAGAUAUUACAAGUGAUUCUUCAGGACAGAGAGAACUGCCAAAAGCUGCCCGUCCAAGAGGAGUGGUGCUGUAUAACUUAGUAUCUUCAUUCCAUUCAAGAAAUUUUCUGUGGCAUAACCACCUAAGAGAAUCCUGUGCUGAUUUAACCACAUCUUGAAAUGGCUUGGUGGAAUUAAGAAGAGUGCACCUAACAUAUCGAUUAAUAUCAUUAGCAGUUUGAACAAUUCCACUAGCCACAACUUCCAAGAUUGCAUGAGUCAUUCCAUUCUUAUCUUCAGAGAGACAAGAAUACAAUGGUGGACAACUCUCAUUGAGAAGUCCACAAAUUCUUUUGACCUCCUCAGGUUUGCAAAUCAGUACCUGGUUUGGGUAGGAAAAAAUGAAGAACUUAAUGAGUAAAUCUAAAGAUUAAAAAAACCUGAAAGUGUGUUAACUGAAAGUCUGAAACACAUAAUAAAGCAGAAGUUACUCAAAUUGGUAUAAAACAGCUCCCAGAUAAACAUUAGAUCAACACAUUAAGCAAUGAAAUAACCCAGUAACACGUUCAUAGAAUAAAAUAUAAACAUACAAAAACAAUAGAACAUACACUUUCCCCUUUUGUAUCUAUUCCAGUUCGUCCAGCCCGUCCAGCCAUCUGUUUGUACCUAGUUCCAUCAAUAAAAUCACGACCAAUCCUUGGUUGUCGGAAAAUGACCCUCCUAGCAGGGAGGUUAACACCAGCAGCUAAGGUAGAUGUAGCAGUUAAGACACGUAGGAGCCCUUUGCGAUAGCAUGUCUCGACAAUAUCUCUUUCCUCAACCUGUAUUAAAAGAGCAGAACUGCUAGACACUCAGAAAUUGGGAGGCUCAUAUAAUUUAAAAUCAAGAAGAACACUUGAAAAAUGCAACAACCUCAAAAAGAAAUAGAUAGAUGAAUCAAAAGUUGAAAAUUAAGAAGCAUCCUUUGUACAUUCACUGCAAGAAAUUUUAAUUACCACAACAGGAAUACAUGAAGUUAGACGUAACCAAAAGGACCAUACCGUGAGGCCAGCAUGGUGAUAGGCAACACCAGAAGGGAGAGUUUCUUCCAGUAUAGGAUCCAGUCCCGCAGGAGAUCUCCGUAAGGCAUCAAUAGCUGAACUAAUAUCAACAAACUCACCAGUAUUGUUAUGGGCAUUGGUAGAGAAUUUUUUGAGGAAUUUUGAAACAUGCCUUGCAGUAAAUUCACAUCCUUUUCUACUAGAGCAAAAUAGUAGCACUGAAUGACCCUCCUGAACAACCUGAAUUUGUUUUGACCACUACAUCAUUCAACUCUAGUGCCCAUAUAAAGCUUCAUUAGAAACAGAAAAGAAAGAGUCCCUACCUCAUUGCACAAUUCCACAAUAUGAUCAGGAUCUUUACCACCAAGAUCAGCUGUUUUCGAUAUUGUCCUAAUAAUAUCCAUUUUCUUGUCAUAAAUGGUGUUACCAACUUUAAUGUAUUCCUCCAAUGGAACUGGUCGGAAAUCUGUUUGGUACAAUGCUGCCUGCACCAACAUUUUGAAAAACAAAGCAACGAAUUUAGUAAAUACACAAGAAGGUAGGAGCCAUCCAGUUCGUAUGAGGUAUAAAAUAAGCAAUAUUAGAAGCUCCAACAAAACCAAUAUUAAUUCAAAUGUUAUCUUUGAUAAGAAGACACUAUGGUUAUUUCUUCCCUUCAAGAAUGAGACAUGUAUAUAGAGGUGCAAUGAUCCUGAGGAAGAAAAAUAACUCACUUACUUGAAGCCAAUCAGCAACCGCUGCUACAUUAGGCAUGGUUGCACUCAUCCCAACAAUUUGCAGACCAUGAGCAGGAUCAGAUUUGCCACUGCUCAUAUUUGAACUCUCACCACUAACUGAUUCAACAUGUCCUUCACCAGCAGCAUAACGAAGCUUUGUCAACAGAAGUUCCAAAAGAUAACCCCUAUUCUGAUCGCCAACCUGUCAAUGGAUACAAGCAAAGUCAAUGGCACCUCCAUGAUAGAUUUAUAAUAAAUUUCUUCUUUAGGUCUAAUAUAUAUAUACAUAUCUAUAUAUAUAUAUAUAUAUAUAUAUAUAUAUAUAUGGUGAAAAGAAAGCAAUUGGGAGGAAAGCACAACGAAGACAAAAAAAUAUAACUGCAAAAGGAUUUUUAUAAAAACAUAACUACAAAAAAGUAUGGUAGACCAAAAGAAGUACCAUGUGCAAUUCAUCUAUUACAAUAAUUCCAAUUUCUGACAGGCGACCCUCUUCCAGCAAUCUGUUGAUUAAAGAGUUUGCCUUCUCAAUUGUGCAUACAGCUACAGAAGUGUCUUUAGGAAGUGUUCCACCACCUUGAUUUCCAUAGUAACUACGGACAUGCUUACCAAGUGGUUCCAGGAGGACUUCCAGAUGCUCUGCCUGCAUCAGUCAGGACAUAGAUUCAAAAGAAUAUAAUACAAAAGGCAUAACAAAAGUUAAGUGUCAAAAAACUGCUAGGAUCAGGAGGGAAAACAAUAAGCACCUUUUCUGCACAAAUUGAAACAUAUGGAAGUACAAGAAGUGCCAUUUUUCCCGUUGAUAUUAGUCGUCGCAACAUUAAAAUUUCAGCAACAAAACUUUUGCCAGCACUGUAGCAGAGGAAGCAAGCUUAAGCAACAAAUAGACACUUCACAAACAAAUAAAACACCUAAAAGUGAAUACUUUCUCAAUUAUCAUUAUGGGUUCUAAGUAAACGCAACUAUAUUGCUAAGACAACAGAGAUUGCAAAAGACCCAUAGAUAUCCAAAAGGUAGAAAGUCUAUGUGAACCAGUGGAAAAUACAAAAGAAAAAACUCUGUUAAACUAAGGAACUAAAUGCUAUUGAUUGUAUGUUAUUAGGCGCAAUAACAUAGUUAACUGCACAUUAAUAACCAUAAUCAAUUGUUUGCUGCAUUAAACAAACUAGUUGACAUGGAAAAUCUUUGAAAUUCUUCUUCCAUGUAAGACUCUGCUAGAUUUGAAUUUGCAUGAUGUCUACAGCACUCAUUCAGGGAAAACAGAUAUAAAGAAGAACAAUAACAACUGCUAUUGCUACUGCUGCUACUACUUCAGGCACAGUUGAUAGAGCUUCCAGUUUCCUCUCUAAAAACAGAAAACAAGAAAUCUUUUUCUGCUUUACCUAUUCUGGAAAUGGUAACAAGUUUAUAGUUGUUUGAAGUUAUAAAAAAUGUUUGCAUAAGCAUAUAGAAUUCCAAUGAAAUGGUGGAGGUGUUCAUUAUGUCAGUGAUGAUGACCACCAAAUAUGUGGAUGAUGAUAGAGAUGAUGGUAACAUGUGUUGGUGCCACUUGGUGGGAGUGGUGCACCCUUUUACACUGAUGGUGGAGGAUAGUGGUGAUGGUUGCCUAGUUGCUGCGACAUCCUACAUUAAGAAUAGGUACUGUUAUAGGGAGGUAACCCCAGCAUGAGGCAUUAAACUAUAACAAAAACUUGACCCUAACUCUAGUCAAAAACCAAACAGCUGUGUCUAACAUCAUAUUAAAAAACCUGACUAGUCCUAAUGCAGCAAAGAAAACCAUUUCCUUUGAUAAAGACAGUCCUUGCAUAGCUAUUAAAACAUGCAUAUAUCACAACAAACAAAUAUACAUCCACAUUGCAUUUAAAAUUAAAUUCAGAAGAAUUCAUUUCAUCUAUUACUUCAAUACACUAAUUGAGUGAGAGGAGAAACCCAUAGCCAAGAAAGUUAAAGAAGAACCAAGAGGAUGAUGAGCAUCAAUUACAUUAAUAUAAGUACCUUGUAGAUGCACAAUACACAAGGUUCCUUUUCUGCAAGACGCCAUCCACCUUAAGGCAGUCAACCUGGAAAAUGAAAAAUGUUGUACAAUGUGCUUUCAACAAAAAGAACAAGCAAAGCACAAUUACACUUGCUCUCUUGAGGUUUCUGGUAAUUCAGGAACCUCUCCUGUGAUUCAUAAAAUAACUUUGCCCUCCCUCAUAGUUCAAUAAUUUUAGCAAACAUCACCAUUCAGAUAGUCAGACAGUCCACUUUGGUGACACAAAAUAUGAUAAGAAUGUUGUUUACUUUUCAUCUAUUCAUUUCUUAUAUGAAUGAAUAGGAUAACACUAUUCUCCCACCUUAUUUACUAGCAAGCCCUUAUGUGUCUCUCUAAAAGGAAAAACCUUCUCUAUUUGAGACCUGACCCUCUUUUAUUGAACCAUUUCUAACUUUUGCAUAGAACUUCACUCUUCUAUGAUAAUUUAACUCUUCAUAACUAAAUGGAUAAUUAAUUAUUGGUGACCAUGAUUUACAAUAUGUUUAAGUCAUUAAUGCCCUUUAAACUCUAGUUCAGAAAUAUUUUUUAAAAUUGUGUCUUUAUUGUGCUAGUGGAAGCCUUGAUUAUUGAUGCAAUAACAUAAAGAUAAAGCUAUUUCCACAAUAAGAUAAACUAGGUUUUAACAUAGUUCAGCAAUGUGGUCACAUCGACAAAGGAGAGAGAACAAAUCCAAUAUAUCAUAAAGAAAUUGCAAAGGAAAGAAAAUCUAUAUAGCUACAACCCUAAACCCCAAAACAUCUUAUGUUUCCUUAGUGCUAGUACUUAUACCAUGAACUACAAGCCCUCCACCAGAUCUCUAGCACUCUUCCUCAUAUCUUUACCUCCUCGGUAUAGACUUCACAUGUCUCAUCUCCAUCCCAUAACCUAUUUUUCCCUCAUGACCUAAAAGGUUUACACAAGUAUUCCUAACAGCUUUCUUUAUUCAAUAAGGAUAUAUACUUUCACAAGGAAAUACCAAUUUAUAAAUAUUUUAUACAAUAUCCUUUACUGAAAGGAACAUACACUGGAUAGGAAUUUGAGACACUUUCCAACAGUGUAGGAGAAUCUAAUUGUUGAGUUAUAAAGUUCUAGUUACUGGCAACAUUCAAAAGUGCAAGAAUAAAAGGCAAUUUACCCCAUCCAACCAAACUCACCCCAAAUACAACUUUGGUUGAAGGACAUCCUAAAAGUUGGCCUAGAACUGACUAUAUGCAUCUCAAGUCUCGAACCCAUACCAGUAGGUGUGAAGUGGACCAGCUUGCGCAAACAAAUUAGAAGUGCAUAUAGGUUAUGUUUAUGUAUGAAGACAUCUCUUCCAGAAAGUCUUUCAAAGAUAGUCCUAACAAAUGGAAGAUAUCCAAAUCUCAAACUAUCCCAAAAUGAACACAAGGUUGAAAAUCUUAAACCAAGUUAGAUCAACUUCAAACCCAUCCAUUGAGGAACAGGGGUGAGUGCCUAAUUAAUCUACUUCAUUUCAUCCUAUUCCCUUUCUGGGCAAAGACACUCAAAAUUGUUUUCAUCAAAAAGUUGAAAGAUACCUGCCAAGAGUACAGUUUUGAAAUUCCUUUCUUUCUAUAUAUGUUGCAUAUCUCAGAAGGAAGCCAUUUGCUAAGAUCUAAACUAUCCUUCAGGGGCUCAAAACUUGAUGGAGUACUUGCUUCAUCACAUUCACAGGCAAUAAUGGAUUUAGUGAUUCCCAAAUCUGGUGAAUCAGCUUUGAUGUUAUCCUUUUCUUGGCUCAAUAAAUCCACUUCCCUUUUGGCUUCUGCAUCAAUUGAAUUCAUAUCUUUUACUUCACUCAUUCCUCCAUUUGUCUGAGCUUUGCAGUAAUCAAUUACAAUACCAGUGGUUUUUAGAACCUUAUGAUUCACGGAACCACAAGCAGAUUGUUCACCAUCCAUAACAUCCAGCUUAUCAGCAGAACAAUGAGGUGGAUUUGUUUCAUCCAAGUUCUUUUCCUCAAACAAGAAGUCAAAUCGUUUAACAGGCAGUGGGGAUACUUGAUCUGAAUCUUUCACACGAUAUCCUAAUGAUCCAGAAGAAACACCUAUUUCCAUACCCUCAACUGUGCAGUCACCGUCAACCAACAUUUCCUUCAACUUAAACCCACAGCCAGCAUUUCUCAAAUUGCAUGAGUUCUUCAUCUCAUAUUCGCUCUUGGCAGCAUUAAUUUGCUCAUCAGUUUUUGGAGCAAACAAACCAUCAGCAACUUGAAUUGCUUCAUUCCAGAAUGAUUCUCCAGGUGAAAACAUGGAGCUUCCACGCAUUGAAUUGGGGGUUUCAUGAGCAAAUGCAUUAACAGUCAAUGGACCAGGUGUAUAGCACUCGGUCAUAUUAACAGUUGAUUUUAGUCUUUCAUUGCUUUUUCUCAAGCUUCCUUGAACUUCAGUGGCAUCAUUUCCAACUGUUACCUACAAAAAAAUUAUAUUUAACAAGAAGGAGAAAAAUCAUAUCACAAAUUUCAGGGCAUAGUUGUUUUUAACAUUUUUACCUCUCUAGAAGAAUCAAAAAUUCUUUCCACAGGUUUAACAAUAAGACCAAGCUGCCCAUCUUCAUAAUUAUUCUCGUUUAAACAAGAAUCUUCACCUUCUAACCGGGACUGGUCCGCAUUGGCAAUGCAAUGCCUCUUCUUGGAAAUCUCAUUCUUCACAUCUUGCAGAGAUGGACUGCCACAUCUUUUAUUCACAUUCACUUUCAAUCCAGAUGGCAAACUUGCACUUGAUGGAAAUUCACUGCAGAAGGCAAAACAAAAAAGGAUGAUACUAUUGGUUCUUGAGUAACCAAAUAACUGAAAUAGUUUUGUGCAGUUAAUAUACACAAAAUUAAGAAAUUGUCGAAAACAGUAAUUACCAUUAUUGCUAAAAACACGAGAAUGAAAUGAAAUCAUACAGAGCAAUGAACCUAAAACCUAGCUUUACCUGCAAUAAAGAGAUAAAAAGUCAGCUGCAAUUUGCUUAAGUUCCGAGUUCACGGGACCAUGUGCAGAGACUGAGCAAUCCUUCAAUUGCUCUCCAACUCCAACACCACCCAUCUGAGAUAAACCCCGGGAAUUUUCCGUAUGAGUUUCUCCAAAUGCUUCGGUAGUUCCAUGACCCAAUUGGCCUGAUAAAAGGGCAUUUUCAUUUUCAUCUUUAGAAGGCAAAUUAAUCUCCAAUGUCAAAUUUCUUUUGACUGGGCCUUUUCCUGCUGAUGAACCACGAGCAGUGGAAUUAUCAUCCGGAUAAGUUACCAAAUAGUUGUCUAAGGUGCCCUUGCUACUGGGAGAACCAUCGACUGCUCUUUUUGAAUCUUUUUCGAUUCUUCCAGUCUUCAAACCAGGAGAUAGCGGUUUCCUUUUCUUUGAAGAAAAAAACUGCAUACAGAAACCAAUUACAGACCAAGAACGAAUGCAAAUUACUUCAAAUUUGAACAAGAAAGGCGAAAAUCUCUGUACUGAAAGUCUGUAACCUACCACAUGAAAAAUUUCAUAAAAUUGCCUCAUCAAAAAUAGAAGAUUCGUUGCAUGUUUUACCAAGAACAAUGCAACAAAGAUCAAAUUUUGAAGAGAAAAAUGAAUGCCGAAAGACAUCUAUGGUUUUGGGAGAGAGUAUUGGUGAGAAAAAAAUUACCUGAUCGAUGCGAUUCCGAAUGGAAUCAGAGGCCAUGAUAGAAGCGAAGUUUCAGGCGAUCUACGGAACCCUAGUUUUUGGCCCCGCACAUACAAGCUCGCAAAAGGAAGUCACUCAAGAGGUUUGAAUUUUCCGGAAUGACCGCCAACAAGUGCCAUGUGCACAGGAAAGGCAGAUGACAAUGGACCCAAACCCGGCCCAUUAAUCCCUGGGGCUCGGGCUGGCCCAAAUAUUUAGACGGCUGUAUUUUCCUUUACGAUUGAAAAAUACGACUAAUUCAAGACGUAACAAUAUAAAGGAAAACCUACAUAAAAAUCACCUUUGCAGGCACAGAGUAUUGGCCCAAAAGAAUCUAUUGCCGACCCAAUUCUUAGAUUAGCAAGCUGAAUUUCAUGUGAGUUUAAUUAACCUAAUUGGAGUUGGUCUAAUCUAAUCCGCAAUCUUACCUUGUUAUGAAUCAAAAUAUUAUGGGCAAGCCAACUAGGUAUAUCAAAGUUAUCAAUCUUAAGACUACAUAUAUUUAGGGUUUAGAGUUUAUGAUUCAUAGUUUACGGUUCACAAUAGACAAUUCAUGGUUAAUAACUAAUAGCAUGAUAAUUUUGAGAUUUAUGGUGAUAUAGUUCUUGAUGCGUAGUGUGUUUUCUAAAUAUCUGAUAAUGAUCAUGUUCCAUUGUUGACAACCUUUCAUUGUUAACAACACAUAAUAUCUUUUUCAUCAAACUUUUUUGUUGGUUUAGGAACUCUAGGGUCAAGUUGAUUAUGGACAAGCUUAGCAACUCCUUGUCCAAUUGGUUGCGAUCACACAAACCAUAUAGCCUUUUUUAUAUGAAGUCCUACUCACAAAGAGUAGUGCAUCGAGAUAAGAUUCUCAUUAUAAGUGCACUAAUGUGUGCAGUUACACAUUAGACGAAAUCCACAAUGAAUCAUGAUGUAAAUUCAUAGUAGUAUGAGAUAAUCAUGACUUCACCAAAUUGUUAUAAUAUAUUAUCUCUCAACCUUAAGACAAUAUUAAGUUUUUGCAUUCGUAAUGGCUUUGACCAACGAUUAAGAUCCUAAAGUGAUCAUAUAUUCCUUAUGAAUUGGGUCAUUGUUGAUGAAAGCCAACAUCAACAAGUAUUAUCAAUGGAGGUACCAUGAUAUCUCAUGGACUUUGAGACAGUGUGUCCCCUUAGGUAGUCUUAAGAAAGUGUAUUUAGGUAAACUAUAGUCAUAGUAGUUUUUUAAGUAGAUUUUGAUAUAAACUCUUAGUGAGCUAGGACAUGUCAAUCGAUUACACAAUAGGAAAUUUUGUAACUCAAGGAUGGUAGAGGUGAUUUUGAGAGGCUAAUAGUUUUUACCUUACUAGAUUAUGAAUACUAAUUCAUGAGAAAACUAUAUAGAGUGGAGCAGGUUACAGAUCUGACUUAGUGUCUUGUUGUAAUAAACAUAAGACAUUGAAGUACAAUUGACUCUUUAUAGCGGGAUGUUGAGUCAUCUUUAAAAUUUGAUUAUGAGGGAGUCAGUACUGUCCUAUGAGUCCCAUCGAUCCUUAUUUAAGCUCAUAUACCUUAAUGACUAUGUUUAUAAUGAUUGGAUUGAUUCUUGGUUCACUUAUAUACUUAAGGGUAUUUUGGUAACUAUGUAAGGUUACAUAAGAAUAAGUGAAAGACAUUUAUAAAUUGGGUCAAUUGAUUAAUUAGAACCCUAUUGAGUUAUUAUUCAAUUAGGACCUUUUAUGGGCUAGAUUAAGUGACCUAUGUCCAAGGUAGACUGAAGUCACUUAAGCUUAAUAAAAACUCUAUAAAUACCCCUCAUGAGAUUAUGGUUUCAUUCUUUCACCAUUCUCCCUUACAUUCUAGAAAGAGAACUCUAACCUUCACCUUCUAGAUCUCUACUAUCUGAGUAUCUAACUUCAAGGACAAGUCUUCAGAAGGAAGAUCAAAGGUUUACAAGAUUGCUUUCAACUGUUGUGCUAUUAAAUGACAAUAUUCACCGUAAGGAUUUGAUCUAGGAAUAUCCAAAUCUUAAAUAAGCACUCCAAACCCAUCAUCUACAUCCUAGUAAAGUUUUUGAAUGUUUUGUUUCUAAUGUGCAUAGGAUCUGGUAACCAUAAGAAUAGUUUCAUACACCUAACAAGAUUUAGAGCCUAGAAACGAAGUAAUCCAGAGUUCCCUACAUGAUCAACAAUUAAGGACGAGGAUGAGAGAGCAUUCCUUGACCCAUUGACAUCCCUAAGGAUGGGCUUGUAUCCAUACAUUUCAUCUAUUGACAACUUUUUUAGUCAUAUAAUUUUGUUUCAAUGGUGUUAGAUAACUAUAAAAGAAUGACCAUUUUGGUUAUACUCAUGUCUUUGUAUGCAAGAUAUUCCUUGUGGGCUCUUCUUCCCCCUGACCCUGAACAAGAUCAUUCGAGAUUACUUUCUUUUGUCCGUCACACAUAGGGAUCAAUAUAGAAAUAAAUAGUUAUUUCAAGUCAAACCUAGAUUAGGGGGUCCAUAUUUACCCAUAAGAGCACAAACCCAUCGUUCUUACCUAUAAAUUCUUUUUGUGACAAUGAAAUGAGCAUAAUACAUCUUUUCAUAAAAUGUCAUGGGUUGAAUUUUGCUUAACCUGUUGGAUAGCUAUACUAGAAUGACCAUUUUGGUCAUACUCAUGUGUUUGUAUAUGUUAGAAAAAUUGGGCUAAUUUAACCUAAGGUAAUCACCUUAAAGGAGAGUGAAUAGAGUGAUGGUCUCUUUUUACAAAUUUAAUUUAUGUGAAUACAAGAGACAAUUAUAUGCAAAUAUAUAAUAAAAUAAUAUAAAAACAAUUGCAUAUAAAAUAAAAGAAUACAGAAGAGAGAAUGCAAACACAAGAUUUUUAUAGUGGUUUGGCGUAACUCGGCCUAUAUUCACUCUCAUCUAUCUUCAAUCCCAAGUUUGGAGUUCCACUAAUUCAAGGCUUCCAAACCAAGCCUUCAAGUAAUACAAUUGGAUUAUGGUUCCAAUCCACCUUCUUGGACUUUUGGCUCCAAACACCCUUUACAAUCCUCAAGAGAUAUCUCACUUUUGAAUAAAUCCUUAAGUGAUACCCCACACUUGAAAAUCCCUAAGUGAUAUCUCAAACUUAGAUUUUUCCUCGCAAAGAUUUACAAAUAAUUUCACAAAAUCCUAAUUCAAAACUUUAGACUCAAAUGUAUAGGAAAAACUAGGAUUGAAAGGUGCACUAAUGAUAUGAAAGUUUUAGAACAAUGGUGCACUAAAAAAAACACUCUUUCAAGGCUCAAAUAUAUUCAAGAAAUGUUUAGGAAUGUUAAGCUCUUGAAACAAUGAAGAUUAGAGUCUUUUAUAGAGGAAACAAACCAAACUAGCCGCUGGGAGUUCGUUCGAUCGGGCUCCGGUUCAAUCGGUUCACUAGUCAUUAGCAUUUAAUGCAUGAUAGGUGAUCGUUGGACCUCGAUCGCCCCUUGAUUGUCCCUCGACCAGUUGAGGUUCAAUUUUGACCAGUUGAACAAGUGUUCUAGAAGAGAGAGAAUGUUUUUGAACCCCUUGACCGAUUGAGCGGAACAGGUCGACUGGUUCCUCAUCCGAUUCAAUCGAUUGAGUCAUUUUUGGCUCGACAACCAUAUUUUUCAACAUAAAACCUUUUAGACAGAUUCAGAAAGCAUUUGAAACAAAGUUUUAGUUGAAAAUAUGAAAUCAUCCAAUUUUAAAAUAUUUAAAAUAAAAUAACUCUUGGAUGAUUUUUGUGCAUAAAUAAAGAAUGUAAUGCAUGAAAAACCUUAUCAUGCCCCAAAAUCCACUCCAAGGUCAUGACGGUCAUUUCACACUUCAAGCCCAAAGGCUCAGAGUGGAAACAACACAAACAAUCAUAUUGUAAUCGAGAAUUUACCAAUUACCAAAUUCCUAUUUAGAGUAGUAGAACAAAAAUUCUAAAAUCUCCAAAUAACAAUUUUUGAAACUAACACAUCAAACCAAGUGUUAUUGUCCAAAUAACUGAUCCAAACUUAAAUAAUUCCAAUGGAAAAUAAAUUUUAACAUCUAACAAUGCUCAAAAUAAAGAGAGUUUUGACAAAAGUCCUAAUAAGCCAAUUUCUUCUCCUAACCAUCACUCCUCACCCGAACUAAGGGUACCUGAAAAUUAUCAAUAAAGGGGAAUGAACUCAAAGCCCAAUAAGGAAUAUUAAUACAGUUUCAUGAAUCAAAUAUUUUCAAUUAUACUUACAAAUAGGAGAUAUAACAUAUACUUUAUUUAUGAAACUUUUUAAUUAAGCAUGCUAAUACAUUUAAACAGUUCAACAAACAUUUUUAUAUAUAUAAUAAUCAUUUCAUAUCCAUUUCAAAUCAAAUACAUUUCAAUUUUUUUUUUCUGGUUAUCAAAUAACAAAUAGUGUUCAUUUAAGUGGGACUUUACAAAUAGGUGACUGACCUCAAAUGUUUCUUUUAAGGUGGAUGGAACUAAACAUUACUAGUACUAGUAACAUCUAACCAAACUCCUAGAGGCAGGGGUUCAAAUCAAUUACAUUUCUCACCAUGAAAAUGUAAAGGUCAACUAUUAUAUCUUGUUGACAAGGGCCCAAAAGUCAAUUAUUAUAUCCUAUUGACAAGUGCCAAAUAAACUAGAGCCAAAUUCUUUAUUUUAUUUAUUUCAACUUACAAAAGCAGAAAAUCCCCAAGUAUUUUGAUAUAAACAAAAUAAAUGUUAUAACACAUUUUCCAUACAAAAUAUAUUUGAUCCAUGCUUAAAAGCAAAAUUAACAAUUACACAUUUCAAUAUAUAUAUAUAUAUAUAUAUAUAUAUAUAAUUAUUAUUUUUUUGCAAAAUCUGUAUUAAUUUUCCUUACCUCAAAAGAAGUCCUCAAAAACUUGAGAGAAAAAUAAUUAUAGAAAAUCUACUCUUCACCUAACAAAGUAUAAGAAAAAUAAUCAUUACUAUUUAUCUAAAAUUAUAGGUUUGAUAAUCCUAAAAUUUUAGGUAUUCAAAUUAAUGUUUUUAAUUAUGAAAGAUAAUUUAAUCUAUUCCUAUUUUAGAAAAAUUAAUAAAUUUCUAAUUCAUAUAAAAUUAAUAUUAUUUUCAAUUUUUUUUAGGACACAACAUAAUUUAAUUAAACUACAAUUUAUUUCACUAAUUAAAUUUUAUGCUAUUUAUUAACUUAAUAUUAUCAUUAAUCUAAUUAUAAUACUAUAAAUUUAACUAAUUUGUACUUCACCUCGUUUAUUAUACAUAGUUAUUUCUACCACUUUCAUAUUUUUCCAAACACAACUAUCAUAACACUCACACACUCCAUUUACUGUGCAUGCCUCAUUAUUAUUAUCACUUUCAUCAUUCUUCUAUCUUUCGGUUCCCACACUCAUGCAACUGUUUUUUUCAUCAUUCUUCUAUUUUUCAGUUUCCACAUGCAUGCAACAUAUAUAUAUAUAUAUAUAUUUUGCCAUUGUGACACAAUUUCAAAACCUAUUUAUUAUUAUUACACACUAUUAGAAAUCACCCAAUACAUUGAAAUCUUUUUUUUUUUCCACUCCCACAUAUAAUCAUAUAUUUAUUUACUCAUUUAAUUUUUGAGAUUUUAUUGCUUAGAUCUAUUCAUCCAAGAAAUUUUGAAUUUCCCUAUUUUCAUCAAUAGAAUAACCUAUAUUCAUAAUUUCAAUAUUUUGACCUAAAAGUUUUAAAUAAAUUAAUCUUAGCCUAAAUCGAAAUCUUCCAAAGAUUUUUUUUUUCAUCUAAAAACUUAAGAUUUCCCAAUUUCCAACAAUAAAUCAAAAUCUUAAAUUUUCAAUAUUUUGAUAUUUAAACGAUUUUUUAAAAAUAAACUAAUCCUAAUCUAAAUUAAUUUUUUUUUCAAAGAAUAACUAACGUAUUCAGAACUAACUAACGAAUAUAAUAUAUUAAUUUAUGGUUAGAAUCUUACUUGGAAAAAAAAAUAUGAACUUCAAACUCUGAACCUCUAACCCUUGGACUCUACGAUCUCCAAUUCUCUAAUUCUGGUUAAUAAGGUUUUCUGAAUGAAGAAGACGAGGAAAAUCUAAUUUAUGCUGAUGAUUAAUUGUAAAAAGACUCUUUCACCCUUAAUGAAUUUAAUUAAUUAGUUAAUUAUUUUGUAAAUUACUAUUUUGCCCCUAGAUUAAAUUUUGGGGUGUUACAAACCUAAUGCACCAACAACCUUACAAAGAGAUCCUAUGAAACUUAGGCCUUGAAAAACACUUAUUUUUUAGGCAUUCUUCUUCUUAUUGAUUUUCGUUUGGUUUUGACUUUAUUUUAUUUUUGUGAUUACUACUUUGGGAAUCUUCUUGCCUAGUCACACUUGAAAUAUAAUCAUUAGUUUCAAACUUUAUUUUGUUAUCAUAAAAAUCGAGAUUAACCAAACACUUGAAAAAAAUAUUGCAGACAAAAUUAAAUACAGAGAAAUAAUUCCGCGAUAAGGUGUCCAAUUGCUGACUUGCCUUCAGAACCAUUGUAUCUUCUUCUACAACAAUAGGGUGCCAAUUGACAACUUGCCAUCAAAACCAUUGAAUCUUGUUUUAUAAUUAUAACACAUGUUUGUAGGAUGAGUCACUAUCAAGGGUGUUGUCCUUAUGAGAAAACAAAAGAGACUAAGAACCUGUUUGAUAGUAAUUCUACAAAGCGUUUUUAAUAAUUUUUAUAGUUAAAAUAUUUUAUCAUUCAAGUGUCAAAAAUAUUAGAAACACUUUUUAGAAUCACUCUAAUAUUCUAAAAGACAAAAUAAAAAAGCUAAUGGGCUUUGUAUUGCUGCUAUGGCACUACUUUUCCAUUACCGAAAAAGUACCACCCAGAUAAAAAUGACAACAUGAUCAAGGUUCUAUUGCUUUGUGUCUUAUUAAUUUGCAUUUAAAUAUUAUCUCUUUAUAUUUAUCAAAAUCCUCUUACAUAUAGAUGCCAAAUUAGCUAUCAAUUCAUUUCACUUCUUCCCACCCAGCUUAGCCUUAUUUCUCUUGGUCUCUCUAAAACUACUGUUCCUUUCUGCUACACUUCAUGGCUUCAACGGAGUUUCGUCUUCUUCCCAUUCUGAGUUUCCUCUAUGUGAGACUUUACAUUUACCUUGCUAGCUUUUAAUUUUGGUAACAUACCGGUUAUAUAGAAGAGGCCUAUGCUAGCUUUACUUUCAUCUUCCACGUAAUUUUUUCCACGAGAUGCAGAAUAAUUAAUAUUUAUGUUAUUUUGAAAAAAUGGUAUUCAUCCUGCAUUUUUCUCUUAUAAAAUGAGCCCUUUCUUGUUUGAGAAUUUAAGUUUGUGGGUAUUCCAACUUCUCCUAAAGCUUCAGUGUGUAAUUUAUAUGCAUGAACUUGGUGGCAGGUGGUGGUAGCAGUGAGCCAUGCUUCUCUACCUUCUGAGGAUUACUGGAAGUUGGCCUUGCCAAAUACUCCAAUGCCGAGGGCUGUGCAAGAUCUCUUGCUACCCAGUUAAUUAUAAUUGAAUCUCUAAACUCAUAUGCAACAAUUUUUUUCCUUUUAGUUUGGUCAAGAAAUUAAUUUACUGUCGAAUAUUAGUCAAGCAGCUUAUUCUUAAUUUCACUGCUAAAUAAUUUGCAGACUCGAUGGAGGAUGGAAGUUCUAUCAAUGCCAGCGAGAUUGUGCUAAACGACUUCCCAGGAAAUGAUUAUGUCCAAUACCAAAACCCAUCAGCUGCUGAAACCCCCACUGAAGAUCGACCUCAAGAUACUUCAGGAAAAGGUUACUUCUUGGAAAAGGACCUGCAUUCCAGCACAAAAAUGAAGAUGCACUUCAAAAAAACUACAAAUUGAGCUCUGUUCUUACCCCAUCAAAUAGCCGACUCCAUACCCUUUUGAUCUGACAAGUUCCCAGAAAUUCUAAAUAGGUUUUCACUUUAGCAAGAUUCUGAGGAAGCUGAAAUCAUGAAGGAAACAAUACAAGAGUGUGAACAACCAGCCCUGGAAGGAGAUUCUAGGUUCUGUGCCACAUCCUUGGAAUCCCUAGUUGAUUUCAGCAUUAUAGCUUGGGAAGAACAUCAAAGCAAUCUCAAAUGAGGUUGAAAUGGGGAGCCAGGAAUACAGACUUGGAGUGGGAGUGAAGGUGGUUGCAGACAAAUCAGUGGUGUGCCAUAAGCAGAAGUACCCAUACGCUGUGUUUUACUGCCAUGCAAUCCACAACACAAGGGUUUACACACUUCCAUUUGUGGGAACCGAGGAUGGAACCAAAUCUGAAGUUGUGGUUUCUUGCCAUAUUGAUACGUCAGCUUGGAACCCGAAGCAUGCAGCCUUUAAAGUUCUGAAAGUUAAACCAGGAACUGUCCCUGUUUGCGAUUUCCUUCCCCAUGAUGAUAUCAUCUGGAUUCCUAAAUAACUAGAAAUUUGAAGAAAGCAUUAAGCCCAGUUGCAAGCAUAUAUAUAUAUAUAUAUAUGGUUCCAUGUUGUACUGUCUAGUGUGCAUAUGUGGUGUGGUUUGAGCAAGUGCAUGUUUGAGGAAUGCUUGUAUGUUUAUGUGUACUACUCACUAUUUGCAAUAUAAUUCAGUCUGCAUGCUUGGUUAAGCAUGUAAAAUUAUCUCAAUUAUUUCUAUGAAAUCCCAUUUUAGUUACUAUUACUUGCUAGACACAUUGUUGUUUCAUUACUUAUUGAGAAUUAAUUUUUUAGAUUAAAUUGGUAACUAAUACUUGAUGUUUUGAGUUUGAGUAUCUAGAUCCCUUGUUUCAUCUAUUUUCUUGUCCAUAACAUCAAGGUUAGGUUUGGUUUGCUGUGAAUUUGAGGGAAAUAAAAUAGAGAGAAAAUUAGAAAACACAAAAAGUGAAGGAAUUUUUUUUUUCUUAACAUUCUUCUUAUUUUCUCAACACUUUCUGGUAAUCAAAUAUAACCAAAAGUAAUGAAAAUGAAGACAAAAAUUAAUGCCCUAUAAUUAGUGUUAGGAUGAAUGACUUCGUCGUCUUAUUUGAAAAUCAAUUAGCUACAAUUGAUGUCAAACUAAUCAUAUUCAUGUGGUUUGACAUCACGCUUAUCCUAAAAUUUAAUCAUUUGGAAGUACACAAUGAGGCUUAACCAAUUGCACACAACAAACCUAUAUUGAGCCUUGAUUUAUCCUAAGGCUUAUAGUAGGCCUAAUCAUCUUCAACCAUCACAUGCCCAUCACACGGUCAUUGUUCAUCCAUCAUUUUCCUAGGAGAGCAACAUUGUUGCAUACCCUAACUUAUAAGUUUCCUAUGACUUGAACCUACAUGACAUGAGUUUGAUACCAUUUGUUUUUUCAAGCUUUAUUGCAUCUUGGCAGUCUCACCAAGUGAUAAGUGUGGUUCUCAUGUAAAGAUUUCAUCUUUUCUUGCAUGACAUUUGACCACUCUUUCUUCUUUUCAUAUGACAAUACUUUUGGUAAGAUUUGGUUGUCUCUUCUAGGUGAUCAUCACAUACUCAAUAAGAGAAUAUCUUUUAGAAUCUAUCUAGCUGUUGGGUCUUCUUAAGUGAGGUUCUCAUUAACUUGCUCAUCUUCAUCUAUGAGCUCACCAUCAACCAGAGGGGCACCAUGCAUGCAUUAUGAUCAUCCUAUGCAUCUCUCUUAUCAUCAAUACACAGUAUUGAUUGAUGAACCAUACUUGGAUCAACUACUUCAUCAAUAAUAGAUUUUGGUUUUUCUAACUUUUCAAAAUUUGCAAUAAUUUGAUCCUCAAGAAAUACAAAAUUUUAGCUUUUGUUGAUUUUUUUGUUGACUAGAUCUUAGAAUCUAUACCCAAAUUCUUCAUGGUUUUACUCGACAAAAAAUACAUUGCUUUGACUUACAGUCAAAUUUAGAUUUCUCAUCCGACAUGCACAAAUACCUUGCAACAAAAAUAAAAUAAAAUAAAAUAAUCAUAAGAAACAUCUUUCCUUAUCCUAAGUCUUUCAAGCAUAUCGCCAUUCAAAGGAAUUGAGGGAGAAAGAUUUAUUAAGAGAUGUCACUUAUUGUACUUACCAUUGUUACCUGAAUCUUCCAUUUAAUUAGCUCAAUUUUUAAUUAUUUUACUUUUAAAAAUUUAAAUUAUAUUAAAAUAAAUAUUAUUUAUAAAACAAAGGAAUAUUAUAAAUAUUUAUAAUUUAUUUUUAUGAAAAAAAAUAUUUGUAUAUAUGUUAAAAAAGAAAAAAACAAUAAAUUAAAACAAUGCAUUAUACAUACAUAGGAUAAAAUCAUAUUCGACGAUCAACACAUUGUAGUAAUUCCUCCUUCCUCCUACAAAAAAGAUUUCCAGAUGGGUUGUCUGGACAUACCCUCCGAUGAUUAAGUUAGUAUUUUGGAAGCUGUUGGAAAAUAGGGUUUUCCUUUGGGAGUGUUGCUCUGUGAUUUUCGUCAAGGAUGUUUAUCCCUUUUGUUCUUAUCUCUUAUGGCUUAUGGCUUACCUCUCUGAGAGCCUCCUUAGAGUUUAUAUACAAGUCAGAAAGUAAGGCCUCGCUGUGCUAGCGAGUCCCAUCGUCAUGAUUGCGACUCAUAAGGUGGCGAAGCAAUCAUGACGUUUCUGGUGCGAGAUGGUGGCUGUCAGGAGGAUAUUUAGGCGGUGGAUGUCGCCUCAAUUUAUGACUUUAAAUAUCGGGGAUGUGUCAGGAGACCUGAGAAGACUUGGGAAUGUCUUAUCGAGCACAUCUUGCAUUAAAGAUGAGUGACAACUCAGGAAACUUGGUCGUCAGUAUUGUCAGUGUUUUUUGAUUGUGAGCGGAAAUGGAUCCGACGAAUCGCGAGUAUCUGACGAGCUAAGUUAUCCGAGGAAUCUGAAUCGCUGGCCACGGAUGUUCUCCGGAUAAGCGUUACCGAAGGAUCCGGACAUGUCUGCCUGGGGAAGUUGAAUCGUCCUCCUCUCCCAUCCGGCGGCAAGCGCCGGAUGUGAAAUAUCCGAAGAAGGUGGAACGUUGGCCGGAUAGAAUUACGACUGUGAGAUAUUUGAAAAAAGUGGGAUGUCGGUCGGGCAAAAUUGCGGCUGUGAGACAUCCGGAUAAGGUAGAACGUUGGCCGUGCAGAAUUUCGGAUGUGAGACAUCCGGGUGGAAUGAGUGAGAAUUUCCGUUCGGGUGGAAUGAGCGAUGCCACGCGUUGCAAGGGGGGACGUCUGCGCGGCCAAAGAAGAAGGAGCCACGUGGCAAUUUUUGGGGAGGAUCCCACAAUGGGUUAAAAACAUUUUCCCUAACCCAUUCCACAUCCGUUUAACCCGCCCUAGGAGUAGGGCGGUGUUGGCAGACUUGACCCAAAGAAUCGCUCCAUUGCCAUUCGUACGUUCUUCAUGCAAGAAAACCCCGCAACAACCUUCUCCUUUCUUUCCCUUUCUCUGGCACCACACGUGUUUCCUUUUGUUUUAUUCUCUUAUCUCUUUUCUAUUUAUUGACCGGGUUCCAGUGCCUCCAAGUGGUGGGAUGGGACCCCACCCAACACUUAGCAAUCCAAUCUCCACUCUCUUUUCACACUGGCAUGUUUAUAACGACAAAUUCAUCGAUACCUGGUUACUUUCGGCUCAUGAAAUGGAAAUUAAUAUUAGCAAUUUUAGUCUGUUUUCCUUGAAAGGAGUCUGUGGAAGCCAACAUAUAAUAAAGGGAGACACACAAGACUGUGAGACCUGCCAUGAAAGCAGAAACUAAGGACGUCUGCGAAAUUAAUUUCAUGGGUCACCAAUUGAUUUCAGCCAUAGAAUCAUAUUUCGGCACACAGGAAAUGAAUAACCUUUCCCUAUAUUUCAUAUCUGCUCAUCAAAAAAUCGAUCUUAUCUCAUAUCUACUCAGCAAAAAUUGGACCAUUCUGAUUGUGGGAAUUGAAUGCGAAGGUUGGGCCAUAUGCAACUUGAUCAUGCAUGGAUGCUUUUACUAUCUUGUUUAUAUAUGCCGACUUAGCCAUUAUAUAUAUCCAUCAAUUGAUUUCACUUCUUCAUACCAACGUACAGCUUAGCCUGCGGUUCACAGCUUCUAUGGAGCUUCAUCUUCUUCCCAUUCUAACCUGCCUCUCUGUGAGACUUCACUUUUACCUUUAUUUUGUUUUUAUUUUUCUAACAUAACCCAUUACAUGACAAGGGCAAUGCUAGUUAUAUUAUUUUGCAGAAAAUGGUACUUACAUAAAAUUCUCUUUAAAAAUGAACAUUUAUAAUCCAAAUUUUAAGUCUUACUGUUCUAAAUUGUCUUUGUUACGUGGGUUUUCUGAUUUCUCCUAAUCUCCUUACUAUAUAUUAUGCAUGAACUUGUGGCAGCUGCUGGUGGUUGUAAACAAUGCUUCUCUACCUUCUGAGGUCUACUGGAAGUUGGCUUUGCCGUAUACUCGGAUGCCCAAAGUCGUGCGAGAUCUCUUGCAGCUGAGUUAGUUUCAAUGAAUCCCUAACUCAUAUGCAAAUUUUUUUUUUUGUUCUUUUUUGAAAUUUGGUGAAGAAAAUAAUUUACUGUUGAAUAUUAGUUAGGCAACUGAUUCUUAAUUAGCCACCUUGGCAUAAUUGUAAUAGCUAGUAAGGGGAUAUUAUUCAUAUACGUUUCAAUGAGUUUGCAGACUCAAUGGAAGGUGGAAGUUCAAUCAAUGUGAGCAAGGUUAUACUAAAUGCCAUCCCAGCGGAUGUCUUUAUCAAAUACCAAAACCCAUCGGCUGCUGACACCCCCACUGAAGACCAACCUCCAGAAAAGGUUACUUCUUGGAAAAAGACCUGCAUUCCACCACAAAAAUGAAGAUGCACUUUAGAAAAACUACAAAUGAAGCCACUUUGUUACCCCGUCAAGUGGCCGACUCCAUACCCUUUUCAUCUGACAAGUUCCCAGAAAUUCUAAAUCGGUUUUCACUUAAACAAGAGUCCAAGGAAGCUGAAAUAAUGAAGAAAACGAUACAAGAUUGCGAACAACCAGCCCUGGAAGGAGAUUCCAGGUUUUGUGCCACAUCCUUGGAAUCCUUAAUUGAUUUAAGCAUUUCAAAGCUUGGAAAAAACAUCAAACUAAUCUCAAAUGGAGUUGAAAUGGGAAGCCAAGAAUACGAACUCGGAGUGGGAGUGAAGGUGGUUGCAGACAAAUCAGUGGUGUGCCAUAAGCAGAAGUAUCCAUACGCUGUGUUUUACUGCCAUGCAAUCCAUAAGACGAGGGUUUACACACUUCCAUUUGUGGGAACCGAGGAUGGAACCAAAGCUGAGGUUGUGGCUUCUUGCCAUAUAGAUAUGUCGGCUUGGAACCCGAAGCAUGCGACCUUUCAAGUGCUGAAAGUUAAACCAGGAACUGUCCCUGUUUGCCACUUCCUUCCUCGUGAUGAUCUCAUCUAGGUUCCUAAAUAACUAGAAAUCUGAAAGAAAAAAAAAAGCCUCAAGCCCAAUCGCAUAAGUCGAUCUUGUAUUUUCUAAUAUCCAUAUCUGAUGUGCUUUGAAUAAGUGUUGGUUAGAGGAAUGUAUGUAUGUCUAUGGGUACUAUUUGCAAUGUAAUUCGGGUUAUGCCAUGACCAUCUUCUUGGUUUUUAUCCAUGUUUUCAUAACUGGACUGGUCAUUGAACGUGAAAAAUUAUCAGUUUAUGGUUCACCGGUUGGACUGGUGGUCGAACCGCGGUUGAACCAGUGGUUGAACCGAUAACGUCAUAAAUAUGUAAUUUAUAUAUUAUUAAAUUUUAAAAUAAUUAUAAAAAAUUUAAAAUAUAUAUGAAUAAAUUAAAAAUCAAUAAUAUUAUUUUAUAUACUUGAUAUUAUCGAAUUAAAUCAUAUUAAUAUUUUAAAUUUUAUUAAAUGAAAUAUGUCUAAUAUUUAAAUGUGAAUAUAUUAAAAUGAAAAUUUAAACUAAUUUUAUAAUUUUUAAAAAUAUUAUAUUAUUUUUAUUUAAUAUUAUAAAAAAAAAUUUUAAAUCCAAUAUAUAUUGUUUUGUUUGGCAUAUUAGAUAACAAAUUGCGUGUAGCCGAGUGGUGUCUUAGCAAUCCCACAUCGGAUUCUUAGAGAAAUAAGGGUGCAAAGGAUGCCUAUAAAAGCUAUCCUCAUUGAAGGCCAAGACAUCAUCCCAUCUUGUGGGCUCAAGACUCGGCCACUUAAUGGUUGGGGUGGGUAUGGGCUUUGUCAUAAUAAGACAUGGCCCAACAUGGUUUUUUGCCAAAAGUUUUUAUACAAUGGGGUCCUCAUGCUUACAAAAUGAGGGGGCAACUUGUACCGUUUAGUUUGUUUAGAAUUAUUUGGUUCCACUGGUUCACUGGUCCGACUGUCGGUUCAAUACUUAAACGGUUUAAUAGGGUAAAUCGGUCAAUAGUUGAAUUAGUUGGAUCGACUGGUCCGAUCUGGUUUACACAUCAUUGGUUAAAACAUGUAAAAGUAUCUAAAAUUGUGCCUUAAAAGCCAACAAUACUUCAUGGGUAGCUUGACCAUAUCUUUUGCCCUUUGUGAAUUAAUUUAAUGAAGAAGAAUUUUUGGUUAAAAGGGUUAAAAUAAGUUUGAAAUCGAAAAAAUGACCCAUUUGAAAUAUUUUUAUCAUUUUUUAAACCCUUUAAAACAUUAUUUCUCUCACUUUUUGCUCAUUUUCCUUAUGUUUUUGUCACCUCCUUUUCCAAUGAAGCUCACAUCCUAGAUAAUUAGAAAAAGAAGGAAAGGGUCGGAUAAAAUAGAUAUUAUAUCUAUAUUCUUAUUCAAAUUAAUAAAAUUUUAAUUUGACUACAUAAGUUUUUCUUCAAAAGAAAUUGAUACGUAUAUAUAUAAGUAUGAUUGGUUAAACUAUAUUAAAAACCUUACAUAUCAUUUUUAUCUUUAUGUUAUUACACUAACAAGGGCGAUCCUACUUAGCUUCCACUAACAUAAUAAAUUAAUGAAGGCUCUCUCUGAAUCACGCAAACCUGAUAUUUUCUAUUCUUGUAUGAUUGGUAUUUGUUUCUCGAGAAACUGGUACUGUUUUCUUGGUCUUUUUUUUUUUUUUUUUUUUGUGCUCCAAAUUAAUUUAAAAGAAUGUUUUGGAUUAGCAGUUCCCUACCUUUAGACCCUUGUUGGUAAAUGAAACGUAACUGAUAUUCUCUUUGUAAUUCAGCAUGUAUGAAAUGAAAAACCUUUCAUAUUUCAUAUCUUCUCAUAAAAACACAAAUUUUAUCUCAUCAAGGGAAAUAGUUGAGAAUUUAAGUUGGUACUUUUUCUCAUUUUUAUACUUUCUUGGUUAUGUUUGAUUUUUGAAAAAUUUGAGGAAAAAUAUAAUGAAAAGAAAAAAGAAAAUAGAAAAGAAAAGUGGAAGAGAAAGAUGAAACCAAAUAAAAAAUAAAUUUAAAAUUAAUAAAAUAUUUUUAUACGCUUUUUGAAAUUUAUUUUACUUAUUUUCCUUUAUCAUAUAAAUAUUAAAUAAUUUAAAAUUACAUAAAUUUGUAAUUAAUUUUUAUUUUAUAUAGAUGCAUUUUCAAUUUUUUUUUUUACAAUAAAACCAAAGAUGAGAAAACCAUCUUCUUUAAAAUAUUUUCUUUGGUUAAUAUUUUUUUUUAGGAGCCAAAAAUAGCUUAAAUGAUUAUUGUCACACUGACACGAGUAAGUGAAAAAAUCUUGUAGACAAAAUUAAAUACAGAGAAAUAAUUUGGCGAGCCGACUUGCCUUCAGUAGGAAUGGCAAUUUCACGGGUAUUUCAGGUCACCCGCCCCGCCCCGCUCCGAUUAGAACGGGUAUGGGAGCAUAAAAAUCGGGGAUGAGACGGGUUCAGGUUUUAAAAAAAAACCCGAAUCGGGUUCGGGGCGGGAUUGGGUUUAGUAACAAUAUGCCCCGCCCCACCCCGAAUAUGAAUUUACAAGUUUACCCCCACCUAUAAAUAUUUGCUUCCUAUCCUUUUUGAUCUUCCUCUCUCGUUUUCUCUCCCGUUUUAGGUUUUUUUUCUCUCGUUCCUGGGGUUGUUGAUGAGAGAACACAAGUGAUGAUGGAGACGGAGCUGUCCCGAAUCACCUGAGACGACCUCAUCAUACUAGAUUGCCUCGACCCCUUUCUGUACCAGUUUCCAGUGUGAAGAAAUGGCUUCCGCAAAUCCCUCCCAUCCUCGUUCUCGUCCCUAAAACUCAUCCCUAAUCUGCAAUCAGCAACUCAAGUGUUCGUCAAAAUGCUAAAAGAUGGUGUGUUUUGGACAGUUGGAGUACUCAAUGCAGAAAUCCAUCAGAUAAUCCACCCGAAACUGCCAUUUUCUCCAUGGGAAUCGUUUUAGAUAUUUUUUUUUGGAAUUUUGAUUUUUUGGUUUUGGGUGUUUUUUUGUCAGUUUCUGGGCAAAAGAUGAGAGAUUUGAAUGUUGAUUUGUUUGGUUUGGGGUGUUUUUUUUGUCAAUUUCUGGGCAAAAGAUGAGAAAUUUGUUGGUGAAAUUUGGGAUUGUCCAGAUUUGUAAUCUGGUGGCAACAAGGUGGUCUUUUUGCUAAUUUGUUUUCCUCAUUUCAGCAGUCUGUAACUCAUUGUUUUCACCUGUUUUUGGGCAACCCGGGUCGGAACGGCCGGGGAUGGAAUUUUGAUUAUUAUUUCAAAACGGGGAUGAGAUUACAUACCCCGCCCCGCCCCGGGUUUGGGACGGGGAUGAGAUUUGUUUUGAAUAAACGGGACGGGGUUGGGAUGAGGGCGACCCGUCCCGAACCCGUCCCGUUGCCAUUCCUAGCCUUCAGAACCAUUGUAUCUUCUUCUACAACAAUAGUUGCCAAUUGCCAACUGGGCAUCAAAACCAUUGAAUCUUCUUUUAUAACACAUGUUUGUAGGAUGAGUCAUUAUCAAGGGUGUCGUCCUGCUAAGAAAACAAAACAAAAAAGAUGAUAUAUUCCCAUUUGGUGUGUGUUCAUAUAUGGAUUUUAUAUCCUUUUGGGUGUACCCCACUUCUGCAUCAAACCCAGGCUUGUUUGCUCGUAUAUAUGUAUAUCUUUUUUGGAAUCAUAUAUAGCCACAUAGCCUUAAGAUAUUUAUUUUUAAUUAUUAAUUAAUUAUUCUGGAAAAUAAGUGAUGGUGCCUUAGUAAUGAAUUACUUAAAAAAAAAUUGUAAUAAUUAUUUAAAAAUUAUAAUUAUUUUUUGUUUUUAGAAUAUCUAAAAAAUAUUUUCUUAUAUUUGAUUUUUAAAUAAAAUAAAUAAAUUAUCCUAGAUUUUUUUUAAUUGUUUUUUCAAAGUAAAUAGACUAGAAAUGAAUCAUUGAACCGACCAAUCACUUCAUCAAUGAUGACCAAUCACUUCAUCAAUGAUGAGUGCCAGCAUGGCCAUGAAAUCAAUUCUUGGCGCCGUCGGAUAUAGACAAUGGUGAUACUUAAUUUAAUUUGUUUGGCUUAUCACUUUUGCUAGUUUUUGUCCAUUCUCAUUUUGUAUUUUUUUUCCUAAUUAAAUUAAACUGUGAAUAAUAAUAAAAACAUUUUAAAAAUUACUUAUUAAAUUUUACAUAUAUUUGAUGACUAAGAUAUAAAUUUAACAAAAUUGGGGGAAAAUAGCCAUUAAAGAAUUAUUUGAAAUAGAUUUUUUUUUUCAAAUUUUUUUAUUAAAUAAAAUGUUAUUGAAAUCAUUGCAAAAAUACUUUUCAUUUAUAUCAAAUAUUAUUAUUAUUUUUGAAUACUAUAAUAUUGUAUGAAAAUGAUGUACUCCAAUAGCCGAAUGUGGUGUGUUGAAAGUCCAAUGUGAUGCCUUAAUAUAUGUUUCUUCUUCCGGUCAAGAUUUUAUCCUUCUACUCGUCAAGUUUCAAUUCUUUUCAAACAACUUUUUUCUUUCCCUUUGGAUUUAUAUCAAAAUAUCAAUUAAUUUUUCUUGAGAAUGAUAUUUGAUUUUACAGAAAUCACUUUCAUAGAGCUUUUAUUUCACAUGCGAUCUUAGAAGAUGUUAAAGCAUGCGUCAAUAAUCGUACAUGGUUUGGACUGAUGUUAUUAAUAAUACGAUGUUAUAUAAGAAUGUAAUAUAACGGAGGAUUGAGAGGUAUAAACAAGCGGAACAGUGCUAAUCGACAAAGGAAUAAAUCCCCACAUUUAUAAAGUAUAUAAAUCUUUGGCUAUGUUUGGUUCUCGGAAAAUUUGAAGGAAACUGCAAAGGAAAGAAAAUAGAGAGGAAAAAUAAAAUAAAAUAAAAAAACGAAUGAAAAUAAAAAAUAGAGUUAAAGAUGAUAAAUUAUUUUUAAUUGCUAUUUCAAACUUAUUUUAUUUAUUUUAACUCAUCAAUAUAAAGAUUAAAUACUUUUAAAAUGCAUAAGUUUCUAACUAAUUUUCAUUAUAUUUAAUUUUCUUUGAAAUAUUUUAUAGGACAACCAAACAUAAGAAAAUCAUUUUCCUUAAUAUUUUUUUUUUCCAGGAAUCAAACAUAACCUUCAAGAAUAUGGUAAUCAAAGUAAUGAUAAAAAGUUAUAAUAAAAAGUUCUUAUUGUUUUUACGAUUGAUAUUACAUACAUAAUUUUUAUUCUCUUUAACAAAACCCUAAAUUAUAAGAAGAUAGAGAUACACUAAGGAUAAAUUCGUCAUUAAUAUUUUUUAUUCAAAAGACAUCCCGAACUAUGGAAAGUGACCAUCUCCUUCUUUGCAUUUAUUUUUAUGUCCUAUUUAUUUUAUCUAUAAGCUUGUUAGGUGAAAAUUAGUUGUAAAAAUUAAAUUAAUUCUUUUUAAUUUUUUUUUAUCUCAUCUUAAUAAAAUAUACUAUAAUUUUUAAUAAAAUUAAAGAUUAAAUCAAGAAAAGAAAUGUUAAUAAAAAUGAUUUUAUCAUGUUUGAUUUAUUUAAAAAAAAUAUAAAAAAAUAUUUUUAUUUUAAAAUUAAUAAAAUAAAUAUUUUUUUAAAUUUAAAUGAACUGUGUAUCUAAAAAUUAUUUAUAAAUUUAUAAUAUAAAGUUACUUGAAGAAAACAUUUUAUUAAUUGGAAAAGAAAAAAACAACAUCUUCCAAACAUGUUUUUUGUUUUACUUGUUCUAAAAAACUUUUUUAUUAACUCAAGAAAACAUGUUUUUUUUUUUUUUGAGAACAAAACUGUUUUCCAAAAUUCAGUUCCCAAACACAAUUUUUUUUUAAAAAACAUAAAAAACUAUUCUUAAAAAUUGUUUUAUAUAACAGUUUUAAAAAACAACAACCAAAUAGACCCUUAAUUUCAAUAAUUUAAGGAAAAAGAAAGGGUUUGUAGGUGGGGGUGUGGUGGUUGGGUGGAGCUUACCUUUGUGAAAACACAAAAAACAGCUAAUAAAAAAAAACAAGAAAAAUAAUUUAUUCUUUGAAUAUUGAAAAAAUAUUGAAAACAACUUUUUAUUGUUCUAAAAAAAGUAGUUUUUAAGAACACGGAAAACAUAAUAAAACAAAAACACACCCCCUUCCUCAAAUAAGUUUUUUGUAUUUUUUGUUUUUAAGAACAGAAAACAGUUCUUGAAAACAAGAACCAUUAAAAUGGAUAAAAAGAAAUGAGAGGGAAAAAAUGCUUUUGAAGGAAAAUAAAAUAGAAGGGUAAACUUUUUCAAAUAUAAUCAAAAUUAAUGAAAUCUAUCAAGGAGUAUAAGAAUUAUAUAUGGAGAGAGAGAAAAGGAAAACAUACAUAAAUUUGUAUUAAGAAUUUAAGAGUGAAGAGAAGGUGGGGAUAAUGGAGACGGAAAGAUGGACAAAUCAAGAAUUUGUAACCAAUUUUACUUAUCCAUAAAUUGAGAAUGACAUAUUCCCUUUUGGUGUGUGUUCAUAUAUGGAUUUUAUAUCCUUUUGGGUGUACCCCACUUCUGCAUCAAACCCAGGCUUGUCUGACCGUUCAUAUGUAUACCUUUUUUGGAGUCAAAUACAGCCACAUAGCCUUAAGAUAUUUAUUUUUAAUUAUUAAUUAAUUAAUUGUUUAUUUAUUUAUUUAUUUAUUCUGAAAAAUAAGUGACGGUGCCUUUCAUGUCAUCCAUUAUUGUGAUCACAAUUUUUCUUGCAUCUUUAACAAAUAUUUUUUUAAUCAAAAUAUUUGUAAACAUGUUAGUAAUGAAUUACUUAAAAAUAAAUAAAUAUUGUAAUAAUUAUUUAAAAAUUAUAAUUAUUUUUUGUGUUUAGAGUAUUUGAAAAAAUAAUUUUCUUAUAAUUGAUUUUUAAAUAAAAUAAAUAAAUUAUCCUAGAUUUUUUUAUUUUAAUUGUUUUUUCAAAGUAAAUAGACUAGAAAUGAAUCAUUGAACCAAUUAUUGGUGCCGAUCAAUUCAUCAGUCUCACGUGGUGAUAAUUCAUGGGCAUGGGCAUGCAGGUUGCGGCGGCACUUGGUGAUAAUUUAAGGAAGGUGGCCCAUAUAGUCACUCUGCCAAUUGCCAACUUGCCAUCAAAGCCAUUGCAUCUUCUUUUAUUACAACAAAAAUAGAAAAACGUGAGUUGUUCGUAGGAUGAGUCAUUAUCAAGGGUUUCGUCUUGACAAGAAAACAAAAGAGACUAAAAAACAAAACAAAAAAGCUGAUGAUCAUCUUUGUAUUGCCGCUAUGGCACUAUUUCAGUAUCGAAAAGUACCACCCAAAUAAAAAUGAUAACAUGAUCAAGGUUCCAUGGCGUCUGAAGAUUUUCUCUUCCUCUACACUCGCUCGUUCUCACCAAAAUGGUACCAGUUCAAGCCCAAAUACAACUCCGAUAAUGUCGUCUCUGAAUCAAGCAUUCAUCAUCAGGCUUGAUCACUCAAAUUAUCUUCUAUUGUGUACUCAGAUGCUGAAUAUUGUAAUCGUUAAUUGACUCAAGGAGAUGAUCGAUGGCUCACAACCUUCUCCUCCAAUUUUUCUUGAGAAUUCUGAAAGUACAAACCCAGAUUUUCAGAUCUGGCAACGACAGUCGUUUUGUCAUGUGUUGGAUUUAUUCAUCUCUCAUUGAGAAUGUAAUGUCGCAAAUCAUCGAUCUCACUUCCGCUUCUGAAAUCUGGAGUGCUCUUGAAAAAUUCUUCUUUUGCUGCAUUAAUUGUAUUUAAUAUCUUAUUUAUUUUUUUUAUUUUUAAAAUUUUUUUUUUAUUUUUUUUUCUAUUUAAUUUUUUUAUUUGUAUUUUGUCUCAUUUUUUAAAUCAAUUUAUUUUUUAAUUAAUUAAUUAAUUAAUUAUUCUUGAAAAUAAGUGAUGGUGCCCUUCAUGUUACCCAUUAUUGUGAUUACAAGUUCUUGUGUCUUCAACCAAUAUUUUUUUAAUCAAAAUAUUUGUAAAAAUAUUAGUAAUGAAUUACUUAAAAAAUUAAAUAUUAUAAUAAUUAUUUAACUAUAUUUAUUUAUUUUUCUUUUUUUUUAUUUACUUUUCCUCUGUAUUUGAAAUAGUGUAUAAAAAAAAUGAAGUAUUCAACUUCAAUUUUUUUUUUUACUAUAUUAAGUUUAAAAAUUUUAAAAUCAAUUUAAAAUAUUUAAAAUAUAUAAUGUAUACUUUUUGUAUAAAAAGUUUUAAUUUUUAUGCAAAAUUUGAUUAAUUUAAAAAAAAAACAAAAAUAGGAAAUAUAUUCUAGGACACUUAUUUUGUUAAUUUUUAAAUAAAAAUAUAAACAUGGAAUUAUCGUCUAUAGAUUUUGUUAAUUUUAAUUUUUAAAUAGUCAACCUUUCACAUCUUAUGAUAAAAAUUUGUAAACAUAACGACGUAUUAUCACUCCUGGGUGAUCCUUUUUUAUAAUUCUCAGAGCCCAAGUCAAUAGAAAGAGACAAAACAGUGUUCACGUUUGUUUGUUAAUUUUUAAUUUUAAUUUUUUUGGGUGAUUGUGAAACAGAACUUUGGGCUAAAACUUUAAGCAAGUAGAGGUGACUUCCCUAAAGUGAAGUUUCCAAAAUAAGUAUGUGGUCCACCCCUAAAGUGAAGUUUCCAAAAUAAGUAUGUGGUCCACGUGUCAUUAAGGCUGACGUUGAUGGUGUCUGCCCACAUAUGGCGUCAUUUCUGACCCUUAAUUGUACUGGUUUUGGACCACCACGUUCACCUCCAGCCAUUGGAUCUCUAUCCCCCUUUUUCUUGGUCCCCCACCAUACUCGCCAUCCCCUAAUUUUUCUUGUCCUUUUUGUCCUUGACUGUGAAUACAGUGGUUAGUUUGGCUUUGAUUUGUUCAUUUUCUCGGAUGAGAAGUCAUCUUAAUUUGGGGGACGUUAAGCCCGAAGAUGUUUCAGAAGACACCUUGAAGGCCGUGGCUGAAAUUCUGAGAAAUUCUACUACCCUUAAGGUUUCUGAAGAUGGUGAGCUCUAUGUUUUCCACUCAUAGGUUCCUUUUUUUAAUCCAAAAUAGAAUUAAUGGACGAGUUUUCUGCUUGUCCAGUGGAUAUUUUUCCUUGAAGUUUUGAAGAUUUAUCAGCACUCUUAGUUGCUUUUAUGCUUGUUCUUUUCAUUGCCCCAAAAAAUUUUCUAUGUUCUCAUCGAUAAAAUCUAUGUAUUAUAAGGAACAUAAACAAUGGUGUAAAAGAGAAUGUACCCCUAUUUCUUAUUCUGUUAUGUUGGUGCUCAAUAUGUUUACACUUGUUUUUGGUGUUUCAGGGAAAAAGAUUGGCAGGGCUACUGAACUUUUAAAGCCAGAAGAGGUGGUAGAGCAAGUGAACAUAAGGACAAUUGCAGCAUCACCCCUAGAAUAUGAUGCAAAGCUUGAAGAUGUGGAGGCUUACUUUGGUCAAAUUGCCAAGGUAUUUGCUGCAUGCAUUGUUCUUUUUUAAUAAUAAACUAAUUUUUCUGGGCAUUAUUUGUUUCUUACUUUUAGAAUCUAUAUUUCGGCAUCCAUUAGUUUAUUUUAUUGGCUUGGGAUCUCCCUUGAGAUUUUGUAUUGCUAGGUGACAGUAUGGAGUUACUUUUUUUGAUGGAUAAAUUAAUUUGAGAUGAAAAUUGUAGCCUUCCUUGAAUGAUUGUCUAUUGUAAAAUCUCCACUAAUGCAAUCCUUAAAUGAACGACUAUGAACAGGGCUAGAUCCCUUUUUUGCUUUAUGUGCACUUGAAUAUUUGAAGGGGAAAAGACAAACAUUUUCUAUUCAACAAACUGAACAGUCUUUCCCCUGAGUUUCUCAAUGUGAAUCAGAUAUUUAACCGGUGUGUGAACCUGAGCAGAAGUGUUGAAAUAUUCUUAUUAUUUGGAGCAUUUGUAUUCAUGGUUUCAGAAAGUUGGGAUUUUAAUGACUCACCCCAAAAGACAGUUGGAAUUUUUUGUUUUCAAACUUGCAUUUGAACCAUCGGGAUGAAUAAAUGUAAUUGUAAAACCCAGCCUAAUCUAUCUCCCAUAUAAAAGAGAAUAGGUGAAGAUCAUGUGAACAUUAUUGCCAACUUUUAUACUGACUUAUUUUCUCUGAAAUUCUAUUUAUGGUACUCUGUGAAUUUAUCCAUAUUUCAGGUUAAUAGUGUUAGGCUGCCCCGUCAUGUUGCAGAGAAAAGGGUAUUUUGUGGUACGGCCCUAAUUCAAUACUCAACUGAGGAAGAUGCUGCGAAGGUUUUGCAGCAAAGCUUGGUUUAUGCUGGUGUUGAAUUGGAACUAAAACCAAAGUAAGUAGUGCUUGAGGCUGCAGGUUGAAAUAAAUGUGAUUCCAAUGCAAUAUGGAUGAAGAAAGCAUACAGUUUUGAAUGGGGAUGGCCAAUUAGUUAGUAUAUUUGAUUUAUCCUUUUUCUUUUUCUAAUAUCUAUGAAGUUCUACAUAGAGUGAAUGAAAGGCUUAUAACAAAAAUAAUGAGAUUUUUCUGGUUAUUUUAUAAUUCAAAAUUACGUACGUGUAUCAAUAGUUACUGUUUUUAAUAUUACAUGCUAGGAAAUAUUCAUAAUUUUUUAAUUUAUGCAACAUCUUUCUGCAACAUCUUUUACUGAUUCUUAUGGUCUCCUAUCAUAGAAUUAAACUGCAGGGAAACUGUCAUAUAUAUCAUCAAGAUUGUUCUUCAUAACCAUUAAUUUGCUUUAUUUCUUGAAAAAUAUUUGUCUAGAUUAACAUUUCUAACUUUUCUUUGUAAUUGCUGAACUUGCAAAUUCAACAGAAGGUCUAAUUUCUGUCGAUGCUUUGGCUCCCUCUUGUAUUGGUGUUCACGUCCAUUUCGAUAAAUUCUCUCAACCCGCCGGAGAAGAGGCUCAAGUAGAUGACUCAAAAAUAGGUAACUUCUUCUUGGAAACAGACCUGCAUCCAGGUAAAAAAAUGAAGCUGAACUUGGCCACAACUACAAAUGGAGCUGUUUUCUUGCCUCAUCAAGUUGCUGAAUCCAUGCCCUUUUCAUCCAACAAGCUACCCGAAAUCUUGAACCGGUUUUCCUGAAAGAAAAAUCCGCAGAAGCCGAAAUAGUAAAGAAGGAGCUAGAGGCCUGUGAGGAGCCUGCCAUGGAAGGAUAAGCCAGGUACUGUNNNNNNNNNNNNNNNNNNNNNNNNNNNNNNNNNNNNNNNNNNNNNNNNNNNNNNNNNNNNNNNNNNNNNNNNNNNNNNNNNNNNNNNNNNNNNNNNNNNNCAUUCACAUUCCUUCCAAGCUUUGAAGUGCUGAAAUGGAUUAGGGACUCUAAUGAUGUUGCACAGUACCUGGCUUCUCCUUCCAUGGCAGGCUCCUCACAGACCUCUAGCUCCUUCUUUAUUAUCUCAGCUUCUGCGGAUUUUUCUUUCAGGGAAAAUCGGUUCAAGAUUUUGGGUAGCUUGUUGGAUGAAAAGGGCAUGGAUUCAGCAACUUGACAGCCAGGAGUAUGAGUUUGGAGUGGGGAUGAAGAAGGUUGCAGACAAAUCAGUGGUGUGCCAUAAGAUGAACUACCCAUAUGCUGUUUUCUACUGCCAUACCUUCACUAAGACACGGACUUACAUGAUUCCAUUGGUGGGUGUUGAUGGAAGCAAAUCUAAAGCCAUGGCAGCUUGUCACAGUGAUACAUCAGCUUGGCACCCACAGCAUGUGGCCUUCCAAGUGCUCAAAAUUAAGCCAGGAACGGUCCCAGUCUGCCAUUUCCUUCACAACAAUGCCAUGGUCUGGAUUCCAAAGUAAGAAUCAGCCUCAAGCCUCAAGCCCAGUUGCAUUAUCAGUUCCAUCUUAAAGCUGUUUGUAGUAUGAAUGGUUAGAAUAAAAAAUUAAAUAAAAAAAAACUUUAUUAAAUAAAUAAACUUUAGUUAUUUUAUUUUUAAUUAUAUUAAUUUAUUAAUUAAAAUAUAGACGCCCGGUUUCAUCAUAUUAAAAUAUAUUGGUAUGAUAUUUUAUUAAUAAGGCCACUAAUUUUAUAAAUUAAAUAUGAUGAACAACAUUUUGAGAAUCAAAGAUGUGCCUCCAUUUGGAAAUUUCACACGAGAUUUUGGGCAUGUCACCUAUUUUAUUCCCAAAGGGUUGACUAAGAAAAACAGUAGAGCAUGUCACCUAAUCACACGAGCUUAGUGAUUUCGGGACCCUCUUCUGACAAUAAAUGAGCCACUAUUUCAUUUAAAAACCCAUAACAAAGUGAUUUUGGCCCGAUCCCCACUUCGGUUCACACAUUGGAACCCUUGGUACAUCCGUUACAAAAUUUGGUACAUCCUUCACAAAAUUUGGUACAUCCUUCAAAAAAUUUAGUACAUCCUUCAUUAAAUUUGGUACAUCCGAUCUGACAGAUUCCGAGGCCCCCAUUUCAACAUGGAUGGUCCAUAAUUACUUUUAGAAACCCAUAACAAAGUGAUUUUGGACCGAUCCCCACUUUGGUUCACACAUUGGAACCCUUGGUACAUCAUUUACAAAAUUUGGUACAUCCUUCACAAAAUUUGGUACAUCCUUUACAAAAUUUAGUACACCCUUCAUUAAAUUUGGUACAUCCGAUCUGACAGAUUCCGAGGCCCCCAUUUCAACAUGGAUAGUCCAUAAUUACUUUUAGAAACCCAUAACAAAGUGAUUUGGGGCCGAUCCCAACUUCGCAACGCAUUUUUAGACCCUUCGUACAUCCUUAACAAACUUUGGUACAUCUGAGUUUAGUGAUUCCGAGGCCCUAUUCUGACCAUGGAUGAGCCACUAUUUCAUUUAAAAACCCAUAACAAAGUGAUUUGGGCCCGAUCCCCACUUCGGUUCACACUUUGGAACCCUUGGUACAUCCUUUAUAAAUUUGGUACAUCCUUAAAAAAAUUUGGUACAUCCUUCAUUAAAUUUGGUACAUCUGAUCUGACAGAUUCCGAGACCCUCAUUUCAAAAUGGAUGGUCCAUAAUUGCUUUUAGAAACCCAUAACAAUGUGAUUUGGGGCCGAUCCCCACUUCGGAACGCAUUUUUAGACCCUUCGUACAUCCUUAACAAAAUUUGGUACAUCCGAGCUUAGUGAUUCCGGGACCCUCUUCUGACCAUGGAUGAGCCACUAUUUCAUUUAAAAACCCAUAACAAAGUGAUUUGGGCCCGAUCCCCAUUUCGGUUCACACUUUGGAACCCUUGGUACAUCCUUUAUAUAUUUGGUACAUCCUUCAAAAAAUUUGGUACAUCCUUCAUUAAAUUUGGUACAUCUGAUCUGACAGAUUCCGAGACCCUCAUUUCAAAAUGGAUGGUCCAUAAUUGCUUUUAGAAACCCAUAACAAUGUGAUUUGGGGCCGAUCCCCACUUCGGAACGCAUUUUUAGACCCUUCGUACAUCCUUAACAAAAUUUGGUACAUCCGAGCUUAGUGAUUGCGGGACCCUAUUCUGACCAUGGAUGAGCCAUUAUUUCAUUUAAAAACCCAUAACAAAGUGAUUUGGGCCCGAUCCCCACUUCGGUUCACACAUUGGAACCCUUGGUACAUCCUUUACAAAAUUUGGUACAUCCUUCACAAAAUUUGGUACAUCCUUCACAAAAUUUGAUACAUCCUUCAUUAAAUUUGGUACAUCCGAUCCGACAGAUUCUGAGGCCCCCAUUUUAACAUGGAUGGUCCAUAAUUACUUUUAGAAACCCAUAACAAAGUGAUUUGGGGCCGAUCCCCAAUUCGGAACGCAUUUUUAGACCCUUGGUACAUCCUUAACAAAAUUUGGUACAUCCGAGCUUAGUGAUUCCGGGACCCUCUUCUGACCAUGGAUGAGCCACUAUUUCAUUUAAAAACCCAUAACAAAGUGAUUUGGGCCCGAUCCCCACUUCGGUUCACACUUUGGAACCCUUGGUACAUCCUUUACAAAAUUUGGUACAUCCUUCACAAAAUUUGGUACAUCCUUCAUUAAAUUUGGUACAUCUGAUCCGACAGAUUCCGAGACCCCCAUUUCAAAAUGGAUGGUCCAUAAUUUCUUUUAGAAGCCCAUAAAAAAGUGAUUUGGGGCCGAUCCCCACUUCGGAACGCAUUUUUAGACCCUUCGUAUAUCCUUAACAAAAUUUGGUACAUCCGAGCUUAGUGAUUCCGGGACCCUCUUCUGACCAUGGAUGAGCCACUAUUUCAUUUAAAAACCCAUAACAAAGUGAUUUGGGCCCGAUCUCCACUUCGGUUCACACAUUGGAAUUACAAAAUUUGGCACAUCCUUCACAGAAUUAGGCACAUCCUUCACAAAAUUAGGUACAUCCUUCAUUAGAUUUGGUACAUCCGAUCCGACAGAUUCUGAGGCCCCCAUUUUAACGGUCCAUAAUUACUUUUAGAAACCCAUACCAAAGUGAUUUNNNNNNNNNNNNNNNNNNNNNNNNNNNNNNNNNNNNNNNNNNNNNNNNNNNNNNNNNNNNNNNNNNNNNNNNNNNNNNNNNNNNNNNNNNNNNNNNNNNNAUUCCGGGACCCUCUUCUGACCAUGGAUGAGCCACUAUUUCAUUUAAAAACCCAUAACAAAGUGAUUUGGGCCCGAUCUCCACUUCGGUUCACACAUUGGAAUUACAAAAUUUGGUACAUCCUUCACAAAAUUUGGUACAUCCUUCACAAAAUUUGGUACAUCCUUCAUUAAAUUUGGUACAUCCGAUCCGAAAGAUUCUGAGGCCCCCAUUUUAACAUGGAUGGUCCAUAAUUACUUUUAGAAACCCAUAACAAAGUGAUUUGGGGCCGAUCCCCAAUUCGGAACGCAUUUUUAGACCCUUGGUACAUCCUUAACAAAAUUUGGUACAUCCGAGCUUAGUGAUUCCAGGACCCUCUUCUGACCAUGGAUGAGCCACUAUUUCAUUUAAAAACCCAUAACAAAGUGAUUUGGGCCCGAUCCCCACUUCGGUUCACACUUUGGAACCCUUGGUACAUCCUUUACAAAAUUUGGUACAUCCUUCACAAAAUUUGGUACAUCCUUCAUUAAAUUUGGUACAUCUGAUCCGACAGAUUCCGAGACCCCCAUUUCAAAAUGGAUGGUCCAUAAUUGCUUUUAGAAGCCCAUAAAAAAGUGAUUUGGGGCCGAUCCCCACUUCGGAACGCAUUUUUAGACCCUUCGUAUAUCCUUAACAAAAUUUGGUACAUCCGAGCUUAGUGAUUCCGGGACCCUCUUCUGACCAUGGAUUAGCCACUAUUUCAUUUAAAAACCCAUAACAAAGUGAUUUGGGCCCGAUCUCCACUUCGGUUCACACAUUGGAAUUACAAAAUUUGGUACAUCCUUCACAAAAUUUGGUACAUCCUUCACAAAAUUUGGUACAUCCUUCAUUAAAUUUGGUACAUCCGAUCCGACAGAUUCUGAGGCCCCCAUUUUAACAUGGAUGGUCCAUAAUUACUUUUAGAAACCCAUAACAAAGUGAUUUGGGGCCGAUCCCCAAUUCGGAACGCAUUUUUAGACCCUUGGUACAUCCUUAACAAAAUUUGGUACAUCCCAGCUUAGUGAUUCCGGGACCCUCUUCUGACCAUGGAUGAGCCACUAUUUCAUUUAAAAACCCAUAACAAAGUGAUUUGGGCCCGAUCCCCACUUCGGUUCACACUUUGGAACCCUUGGUACAUCCUUUACAAAAUUUGGUACAUUCUUCACAAAAUUUGGUACAUCCUUCAUUAAAUUUGGUAUAUCCGAUCCGACAGAUUCCAAGACUCCCAUUUCAACAUGGAUGGUCCAUAAUUGCUUUUAGAAACCCUUAACAAAGUGAUUUAGGGCCGAUCCCCACUUCGCAACGCAUUUUUAGACCCUUCGUACAUCCUUAACAAAAUUUGGUAUAUCCGAGCUUAGUGAUUCCGGGACCCUCUUCUGCCCAUGGAUGAGCCACUAUUUCAUUUGAAAACCCAUAACAAAGUGAUUUGGGCCCGAUCCCCACUUCGGUUCACACUUUGGAACCCUUGGUACAUCCUUUACAAAAUUUGGUAAAGCCUUCACAAAAUUUGGUACAUCCUUCAUUAAAUUUGGUACAUCCGAUCCAACAGAUUCCGAGACCCCCAUUUCAACAUUGAUGGUCCAUAAUUUAUUUUAGAAACCCAUAACAAAGUGAUUGGGAGUCGAUCCUCACUUAGAAAUGCAUUUUCAGACUCUCGGUACAUUCUUCACAAAAGUUGGUACAUUCUUCAUUAAAUUUGGUGCAUCCGAGCCUAGUGAUUUCGGGACCCCCUUUUGACCAUGGGUGAGCCACUAUUUCAUUUAGAAACCCAUAACAAAGUGAUUUGGGGCUGAUCCCCACUUCGGUUCGCACUUUGGAACUCUUGGUACAUCCUUAACAAAAUUUGGUACAUUUUUAAUUAAAUUUGGUACAUCCUUCAUUAAAUAUGGUACAUCGGAUCCGAUAGAUUCCGAGACCCCCAUUUCAACAUGGAUGGACCAUAAUUGCUUUUAGAAACCCAUAACAAAAUGAUUGGGUGUCGAUCCCCACUUCGUGACUCAUUUUUGGACCUUUAGUACAUCUUUCAUUAAAUUUGGUGCAUCGGAGCUUAAUGAUUCUGGGACCUUCUUCUGACCAUGGAUGAGCCACUAUUUCAUUUAAAAACCCAUAACAAAGUGAUUUGGGUCUGAUCCCCACUUCGGUUCACACUUUGGAACCCUUGGUACAUCCUUUACAAAAUUUGGUAAAUCCUUCACAAAAUUUGGUACAUCCUUCAUUAAAUUUGGUACAUCCGAUCCGACAGAUUCCGAGACCACCAUUUCAAUAUGGAUGGUCCAUAAUUUCUUUUAGAAACCCAUAACAAAGUGAUUUGGGACCGAUCCCCACUUCACAACGCAUUUUUGGACCCUUCGUACAUCCUUAACAAAAUUUGGUACAUCCGAGCUUAGUGAUUCCGGGACCCUCUUCUGCCCAUGGAUGAGCCACUAUUUCAUUUAAAAACCCAUAACAAAGUGAUUUGGGCUCGAUCCGCACUUCGGUUCACACUUUGGAACCCUUGGUACAUCGUUAAGAAAAUUUGGUACAUCCUUCACAAAAUUUGGUACAUCCUUCAUUAAAUUUGGUACAUCCGAUCCGACAGAUUCCGAGACCCCAUUUCAACAUGGAUGGUCCAUAAUUUCUUUUAGAAACCCAUAACAAAGUGAUUGGGAGUCGAUCCUCACUUCGAAAUGCAUUUUCGAACCCUCGGUACAUUCUUCAGAAAAUUUGGUACAUCCUUCAUUAAAUUUGGUACAUCCGAGCCUAGUGAUUUAGGGGACCCCCUUUUGACAAUGGAUGUGCCACUAUUUCAUUUAUAAACCCAUAACAAAGUGAUUUGGAGCCGAUCCCCACUUCGGAUCGCACUUUGGAACCCUUGGUACAUCCUUAACAAAAUUUGGUACAUUCUUAAUUAAAUUUGGUACAUCCUUCAUUAAAUUUGGUACAUCUGAUCCGAUAGAUUCCGAGACCCCCAUUUCAACAUGGAUGGUCCAUAUUUGCUUUUGGAAACCCAUAACAAAGUAAUUCGGGGUCCAUCCCCACUUCGUGACUCAUUUUCGGACCCUUAGUACAUCCUUCAUUAAAUUUGGUACAUCCGAGCUUAGUAAUUUCGGAACCCUCUUCUGACCAUGGAUGAGCCACUAUUUCAUUUAAAAACCCAUAACAAAGUGAUUUGGGUCUGAUCCCCACUUCGGUUCACACUUUGGAACCCUUGGUACAUCCUUUACAAUAUUUGGUACAUCCUUCAGAAAAUUUGGUACAUCCUUCACAAAAUUUGGUACAUCCUUCAUUAAAUUUGGUACAUCCGAUCCGAAAGAUUCCGAGGCCCCCAUUUCAACAUGGAUGGUCCAUAAUUACUUUUAGAAACCCAUAAACAAGUGAUUUGGGGCCGAUCCCCAAUUCGGAACGCAUUUUUAGACCCUUCGUACAUUCUUAACAAAAUUUGGUACAUACGAGCUUAGUGAUUCCGGGACCCUCUUCUGACCAUGGAUGAGCCACUAUUUCAUUUUAAAACCCAUAACAAAGUGAUUUGUCCCCGAUCCCCACUUCGAAUCACACUUUGGAACCCUUGGUACAUCAUUUACAAAAUUUGGUACAUCAUUCACAAAAUUUGGUACACCCUUCAUUAAAUUUGGUAUAUCCAAUCCGAUAGAUUCCGAGAGCCCCAUUUCAACAUGUAUGGUCCAUAAUUGCUUUUAGAAACCCAUAACAAACUAAUUUGGGGCCGAUCCCCACUUAAGAAACCAUUUGUAGACCCUUCGUACAUCCAUAACAAAAUUUGGUACAUCCGAGCUUAGUGAUUCCAGGACCCUCUUCUGACCAUGGAUGAGCCACUAUUUCAUUUAAAAACCCAUAAUAAAGUGAUUUGGGCCCGAUCCCCACUUCGAUUAACACUUUGGAACCCGUGGUACAUCCUUAACAAAAUUUGGUACAUCCUUCACAAAAUUUGGUACAUCCUUCAUUAAAUUUGGUACAUCCGAUCCAACAGAUUCCGAGACCCCCAUUUCAACAUGGAUGGUCCAUAAUUUCUUUUAGAAACCCAUAACAAAGUGAUUGGGAGUCGAUCCUCACUUCGAAAUGCAUUUUUGGAUCCUCGGUACAUUCUUCACAAAAUUUGGUACAUCCUUCAUUAAAUUUGGUACAUCCGAGCCUAGUGAUUUCGGGACACCCUUUUGACCAUGGGUGAGCCACUAUUUCAUUUAGAAACCCAUAACAAAGUGAUUUGGGGCCGAUCCCCACUUUGGAUCGCACUUUGGAACCCUUGGUAGAUCCUUAACAAAAUUUGGUACAUUCUUAAUUAAAUUUGGUACAUCCUUCAUUAAAUAUGGUACAUCUGAUCCGAUAGAUUCCGAGACCCCCAUUUCAACAUGGAUGGUCCAUAAUUUCUUUUAGAAACCCAUAACAAAGUGAUUGGGUGUCGAUCCCCACUUCGUGACUCAUUUUUGGACCCUUAGUACAUCUUUAAUUAAAUUUCGUACAUCCGAGCUUAGUGAUUCCGGGACCUUCUUCUGACCAUGGAUGAGCCACUAUAUCAUUUAAAAACCUAUAACAAAGUGAUUUGGGCCCGAUCCCCACUUCGGUUCACACUUUAGAACCCUUGGCACAUCCUUUACAAAAUUUGGUACAUCCUUCAGAAAAUUUGGUACAUUCUUCAUUAAAUUUGGUACAUCCGAUCCGACAGAUUCCGAGACCCCCAUUUCAACAUGGAUGGUCCAUAAUUGCUUUUAGAAACCCAUAACAAAGUGAUUUGGGCCCGAUCCCCACUUCGGUUCACACUUUGGAACCCUUGGUACAUCCUUUACAAAAUUUGGUACAUCCUUCACAAAAUUUGGUACAUCCUUCAUUAAAUUUGGUACAUCCGAUACGACAAAUUGCGAGACCCCCAUUUCAACAUGGAUGGUCCAUAAUUGCUUUUAGAAACCCAUUACAAAGUGAUUAUGGGCCGAUCCCCACUUCGGAACGCAUUUUUAGACCCUUCGUACAUCUUUAACAAAAUUUGGUACAUCCCAGCUUAGUGAUUCCGGGACCCUCUUCUGACCAUGGAUGAGCCACUAUUUCAUUUAAAAACCCAUAACAAAGUGAUUUGGGCCCGAUCCUUACUUCGGUUCACACUUUGGAACCCUUGGUACAUCCUUUACAAAAUUUGGUACAUCCUUCACAAAAUUUGGUACAUCCUUCAUUAAAUUUGGUACAUCCGAUCCAACAGAUUCCGAGACCCCCAUUUCAACAUGGAUGGUCCAUAAUUUAUUUUAGAAACCCAUAACAAAGUGAUUGGGAGUCGAUCCUCACUUAGAAAUGCAUUUUCAGACUCUCGGUACAUUCUUCACAAAAGUUGGUACAUUCUUCAUUAAAUUUGGUGCAUCCGAGCCUAGUGAUUUCGGGACCCCCUUUUGACCAUGGGUGAGCCACUAUUUCAUUUAGAAACCCAUAACAAAGUGAUUUGGGGCUGAUCCCCACUUCGGUUCGCACUUUGGAACUCUUGGUACAUCCUUAACAAAAUUUGGUACAUUUUUAAUUAAAUUUGGUACAUCCUUCAUUAAAUAUGGUACAUCGGAUCCGAUAGAUUCCGAGACCCCCAUUUCAACAUGGAUGGACCAUAAUUGCUUUUAGAAACCCAUAACAAAAUGAUUGGGUGUCGAUCCCCACUUCGUGACUCAUUUUUGGACCUUUAGUACAUCUUUCAUUAAAUUUGGUGCAUCGGAGCUUAAUGAUUCUGGGACCUUCUUCUGACCAUGGAUGAGCCACUAUUUCAUUUAAAAACCCAUAACAAAGUGAUUUGGGUCUGAUCCCCACUUCGGUUCACACUUUGGAACCCUUGGUACAUCCUUUACAAAAUUUGGUAUAUGCUUCACAAAAUUUGGUACAUCCUUCAUUAAAUUUGGUACAUCCGAUCCGACAGAUUCCGAGACCCCCAUUUCAACAUGGAUGGUCCAUAAUUGCAUUUAGAAACCCAUAACAAAGUGAUUUGGGGACGAUCCUCACUUCGGAACGCAUUUUUAGACCUUUCGUACAUCCUUAAUAAAAUUUGGUACAUCCGAGAUUAGUGAUUCCGAGACCCUCUUCUGACCAUGGAUGAGCCACUAUUUCAUUUAAAACCCCAUAAUAAAGUGAUUUGGGACCGAUCCCCACUUUGGAACCCUUGGUACAUCCUUAACAACAUUUGGUACACACUUCACAAAAUUUGGUACAUCCUUAAUUAAAUUUGGUACAUCCGAUCCAACAGAUUCCGAGACCCCCAUUUCAACAUGGAUGGUCCAUAAUUUCUUUUAGAAACCCAUAACAAAGUGAUUGGGAGUCGAUCCUCACUUCGAAAUGCAUUUUCGGACCCUCGGUACAUUCUUCACAACAUUUGGUACAUCCUUCAUUAAAUUUGGUACAUCCGAGCCUAGUGAUUUCGGGACCCCCUUUUGACCAUGGGCGAGCCACUAUUUCAUUUAGAAACCCAUAACAAAGUUAUUUGGGGCCAAUCCCCACUUUGGUUCGCAUUUUGGAACCCUUGGUACAUCCAUAACAAAAUUUGGUACAUUCUUAAUUAAAUUUGGUACAUCCUUCAUUAAAUUUGGUACAUCCGAUCCAACAGAUUUUGAGACCCCCAUUUCAACAUGGAUGGUCCAUCAUUGCUUUUAGAAACCCAUAACAAAGUUAUGUGGGCCCGAUCCCCACUUCGGAUCGCACUUUGGAACCAUUGGUACAUCCUUCACAAAAUUUGGUACAUCCUUAAUUAAAUUUGGUACAUCCUUCUUUAAAUUUGGUACAUGCGAUCCGAUGUAUUCCGACACGCCCAUUUCAACAUGGAUGGUCCAUAAUUGCUUUUAGAAACCCAUAACAAAGUGAUUUGGGGCUGAUCCCCACUUCUGAACGCAUUUUUAGACCCUUGGUACGUCCUUAACAACAUUUGGUACAUCCGAGCUUAGUGAUUCCGGGACCCUCUUCUGACCAUGGAUGAGCCACUAUUUGAUUUAAAAACCCAUAACAAAGUGAUUUGGGUCGGAUCCCCACUUCGGUUUACACUUUGGAACCAUUGGUACAUCAUUUAAAAAAUUUGGUACAUCAUUCACAAAAUUUGGUACAUCCUUCAUUAAAUUUGGUACAUCCGAUCCGACAGAUUCUGAGACCCCACUUUCAACAUGGAUGGUCCAUAAUUGCUUUUAGAAACCCAUAACAAAGUGAUUUAGGGCCGAUCCCCACUUCGGAACGCAUUUUUCGACCCUUUGUACAUCCUUAAUAAAAUUUGGUACAUCCGAGCUUAGUGAUUCGGGGACCCUCUUCUGACCAUGGAUGAACCACUAUUUCAUUUAAAAACCCAUAAUAAAGUGAUUAUGGCCCGAUCCCCACUUCGGUUCACACUUUGGAACCCUUGGUACAUCCUUAACAAAAUUUGGUACAUCCUUGACAAAAUUUGGUACAUCCUUCAUUAAAUUUGGUACAUCCGAUCCAACAGAUUCCGAGACCCCCAUUUCAACAUGGAUGGUCCAUAAUUUCUUUUAGAAACCCAUAACAAAGUGAUUGGGAGUCGAUCCUCACUUCGAAAUGCAUUUUCGGACCCUCGGUACAUUCUUCACAAAAUUUGGUACAUCCUUCAUUAAAUUUGGUACAUCCGAGCCUAGUGAUUUCGGGACACCCUUUUGACCAUGGGUGAGCCACUAUUUCAUUUAGAAACCCAUAACAAAGUGAUUUGGGGCUGAUCCCCACUUUGGAACGCACUUUUAAACCCUUGGUACAUCCUUAACAAAAUUUGGUACAUNNNNNNNNNNNNNNNNNNNNNNNNNNNNNNNNNNNNNNNNNNNNNNNNNNNNNNNNNNNNNNNNNNNNNNNNNNNNNNNNNNNNNNNNNNNNNNNNNNNNACAAAAUUUGGUACAUCCUUCACAAAAUUUGGUACAUCCAUCAUUAAAUUUGGUACAUCCGAUCCGACAGAUUCUGAGACCCCCAUUUCAACAUGGAUGGUCCAUAAUUGCUUUUAGAAACCCAUUACAGAGUGAUUUGGGGCCGAUCCCCACUUCGGAACGCAUUUUUAGACCCUUCGUACAUCUUUAACAAAAUUUGGUACAUCCCAGGUUAGUAAUUCCGGGACCCUCUUCUGACCAUGGAUGAGCCACUAUUUCAUUUAAAAACCCAUAACAAAGUGAUUUGGGCCCGAUCCUCACUUUGGUUCACACUUUGGAACCCUUGGUACAUCCUUUACAAAAUUUGGUACAUCCUUCAUAAAAUUUGGUACAUCCUUCAUUAAAUUUGGGACAUCCGAUCCGACAGAUUCUGAGACCCCCAUUUCAACAUGGAUGGUCCAUAAUUGCUUUUAGAAACCCAUAACAAAGUGAUUUGGGGCCGAUCCCCACUUCGGAACGCAUUUUUAGACCCUUCGUACAUCCUUAAUAAAAUUUGGUGCAUUCGAGCUUAGUGAUUCCGGGACCCUCUUCUGACCAUGGAUGAGCCACUAUUUCAUUUAAAAACCUAUAAUAAAGUGAUUUGGACCCGAUCCCCACUUCGGUUCACACUUUGGAACCCUUGGUACAUCCUUAACAAAAUUUCCUACAUCCUUCCCAAAAUUUGGUACAUCCUUCAUUAAAUUUGGUACAUCCGAUCCAACAGAUUCCGAGACCCCCAUUUCAACAUGGAUGAUUUAUAAUUUAUUUUAGAAACCCAUAACAAAGUGAUUGGGAGUCGAUCCUCACUUCGAAAUGCAUUUUCAGACCCUCGGUACAUUCUUCACAAAAUUUGGUACAUUCUUCAUUAAAUUUGGUGCAUCCGAGCCUAGUGAUUUCGGGACCCCCUUUUGACCAUGGGUGAGCCACUAUUUCAUUAAGAAACCCAUAACAAAGUGAUUUGGGGCUGAUCCCCACUUCGGUUCGCACUUUGGAACCCUUGGUACAUCCUUAACAAAAUUUGGUACAUUCUUAAUUAAAUUUGGUACAUCCUUCAUUAAAUAUGGUACAUCUGAUCCGAUAGAUUCCGAGACCCCCAUUUCAACAUGGAUGGUCCAUAAUUGCUUUUAGAAACCCAUAACAAAGUGAUUGGGUGUCGAUCCCCACUUCGUGACUCAUUUUUGGACCCUUAGUACAUCUUUCAUUAAAUUUGGUACAUCCGAGCUUAGUGAUUCCGGGACCUUCUUCUGACCAUGGAUGAGCCAUUAUUUCAUUUAAAAACCCAUAACAAAGUGAUUUGGGCCUGAUCCCCACUUCGGUUCACACUUUGGUACCCUUGGUACAUCCUUUACAAAAUUUGGUACAUGCUUCACAAAAUUUGGUACAUCCUUCAUUAAAUUUGGUACAUCCGAUCCGACAGAUUCCGAGACCCCCAUUUCAACAUGGAUGGUCCAUAAUUGCAUUUAGAAACCCAUAACAAAGUGAUUUGGGGCCGAUCCUCACUUCGGAACGCAUUUUUAGACCCUUCGUACAUCCUUAAUAAAAUUUGGUACAUCUGAGCUUAGUGAUUCCGGGACCCUCUUCUGACCAUGGAUGAGCCACUAUUUCAUUUGAAAACCAAUAACAAAGUGAUUUGGGCCCGAUCCCCACUUUGAUUCACACUUUGGAACCUUUGGUACAUCGUUAACAAAAUUUGGUACAUCUUUCACAAAAUUUGGUACAUCCUUCAUUAAAUUUGGUACAUCCGAUCCGACAGAUUCCGAGACCCCCAUUUCAACAUGGAUGAUCCAUAAUUUCUUUUAGAAACCCAUAACAAAGUGAUUGGGAGUCAAUCCUCACUUCGAAAUGCAUUUUCGGACACUCGGUACAUUCUUCACAAAAUUUGGUACAUCCUUCAUUAAAUUUGGUACAUCCGAGCCUAGUGAUUUUAGGACCCCCUUUUGACGAUGGAUGAGCCACUAUUUCAUUUAUAAACCCAUAACAAAGUGAUUUGGGGCCGAUCCCGACUUCGGAUCGCACUUUGGAACCCUUGGUACAUCCUUAACAAAAUUUGGUACAUUCUUAAUUAAAUUUGGUACAUCCUUCAUUAAAUUUAGUACAUCCGAUCCGAUAGAUUCCGAGACCCCCAUUUCAACAUGGAUGGUCCAUAAUUGCUUUUAGAAACCCAUAACAAAGUGAUUGGGGGUCGAUCCCGACUUCGUGACUCAUUUUCGGACCCUUAGUACAUCCUUCAUUAAAUUUGGUAUAUCCGAGUUUAGUGAUUCCGGGACCCUCUUCUGACCAUGGAUGAGCCACUAUUUCAUUUAAAAACCCAUAACAAAGUGAUUUGGGCCCGAUCCCACUUCGGUUCACACUUUGGAACCCUUGGUACAUCCUUUACAAAAUUUGGUACAUCCUUCACAAAAUUUGGUACAUCCUUUAUUAAAUUUGGUACAUCUGAUCCGACAGAUUCCGAGACCCCCAUUUCAACAUGGAUGGUCCAUAAUUGCUUUUAGAAACCCAUAACAAAGUGAUUUGGGGCCGAUCCCCACUUCGGAACGCAUUUUUAGAUCCUUGGUACAUCCUUAAUAAAAUUUGGUACAUUCGAGCUUAGUGAUUCCGAGACCCUCUUCUGACCAUGGAUGAGCCACUAUUUCAUUUAAAAACCCAUAACAAAGUGAUAUGGGCCCGAUCCUUACUUCGGUUCACACUUUGGAACCCUUGGUACAUCCUUAACAAAAUUUGGUACAUCCUUCACAAAAUUUAGUACAUCCGAUCCGAUAGAUUCCGAGACCAGUAUUUCAACAUGGAUGGUCCAUGAUUUCUUUAAGAAACCCAUAACAAAGUGAUUGGGAGUCGAUCCUCACUUCGAAACGUAUUUUCGGACCCUCGGUACAUUCUUCACAAAAUUUGGUACAUCCUUCAUUAAAUUUGGUACAUCCGAGCCUAGUGAUUUUGGGACGCCCUUUUGACCAUGGAUGAGCCACUAUUUAAUUUAGAAACCCAUAACAAAGUGAUAUGGGGCCGAUCCCUACUUCGGAUCGCACUUUGGAACCAUUGGUACAUCCUUCACAAAAUUUGGUACAUCCUUAAUUAAAUUUGAUACAUCCUUCAUUAAAUUUGGUACAUCUGAUCCGAUGUAUUCCGAGACCCCCAUUUCAACAUGGACGGUCCAUAAUUGCUUUUAGAAACCCAUAACAAAGUGAUUUGGGGCCGAUCCCCACUUCGGAACUCAUUUUUAGACCCUUGGUACAUCCUUAACAACAUUUGGUACAUCCGAGCUUAGUGAUUCCGGGACCCUCUUCUGACCAUGGAUGAGCCACUAUUUCAUUUAAAAACCCAUAACAAAGUGAUUUGGGCCCGAUCCCCACUUCGGUUCACACUUUGGAACCCUUGUACAUCCUUAAACAUUUUAUAGAAUUAUUAUCAAAUACAAUAUGAGAAUUAUUAUUAAAAACAUUUUUGACUUUUUUAAUACUUGAAAGAUAAAAAUUUUGAAAUAUUAAAAGUACUCCUUAAAGUCACAACCAAAUGGAUCUUUUGAAUAUAUUAAACAAUGAUUUUAAAAAACUCUUUUAACCUUAAAAACAUUUUAAAACAAAAUUAAGUGUUUGAAAAAUUUUAUCAAAUAUUUUUAAAAAUCUUAAAAAUUACUUAUAAUAUGAAAAAAUUAGAUUUUUUUUAAGAAACCUUUAUUAUUAAUUUCUCAUCCAUUUUUUUUGUUUUUGUUUUUGACAAGAAAUCAUUUCUAAGUACGGGGAUUCCCACACAUUUUCACAAUAUUUGAAUAAGGGAUUGGCAGUUAGCGUGGGUCCUAUAGUUGAUUGCUAUUUUAAGAUCGGCCCAUUAUCUUCCUCAAUUACUCCAUUUUAUAUUUUUCUAUUUUUGAAAGAAUCUUUACAGAUCUUCAAUAAUUAAUGAGAAGUACUAUCUUCCUCAUCCCAUUCCUCCCCCUCUCACUCUCUUUACGUCUUUAAAGUAAGUGGUAGGGUUGGCUUUUUUGAGUUAGAGUUGGUACAAUAAAAAGGGAAAUGGAAUUAUUGCCUUUUCAUCCAGAUGAGCAGCCACAAUCAUUUACUUCAAAAGAAUCAAAACAUCUCCCUUUUGCAGUGAAAGACAUGUGAAAUUCAUUGAGUUUGAAUUUCAAUAAAUUUGAAUUGAAUUUGAAUUUGAAUUUACCAAUUCAAGGUAAUGGGGCAGUCGUCAAAAGUGGAUUUUAAGACAAUAAGUUUGAAGAAGUUUAUGUUUGGGUAUCAAAAAAUUAAACCAAAAAUGGAAGGGAAGGAAAAAAAAAUAAUUUAAAAUUAAUAAAUUAUAUUUAUAUAUUUUUUUAAAAAGUAUUCUACUUAUUUUCUUUUAUUACAUAAAAAUAAAAAAUAAUUUAUAAAUUUAUAAAUUUUUAAUUAGUAAAAUGAUGCCUAUAAUUGCAAAACAACAUUGAUUAUAUUGUUACAAAUUUUGUAUUCAAAAUAAAAUUGGAUGUCAUUCAUGAGUUUGGUAGUGGUUUUAAAAUUUUUUUUUUUUAUAUUUAUAACAUAUGAAGAUUUUUAUUUUUUAAAUAUUCAAAAUAUUAAAAAUAUUUCAUAAAAUUAUUAUCAAACGGAUAGUGGUUGUGAAAAACGUUUUUAUCUUUUGUAAUAUUUAAAAGAUAAAUUUUUUGAAAUGUUAAAAAUAUUAAAAGUAUUUCGUACAAUCACUAUUAAACGAGUUAUUAGAGUGUGUUUGAGAGCCCAUUUGAUAGUAAUUUUAUGAAGCGCUUCUAACCCUUUUAACACUUGAAAUUUUUUAUCAUUCAAGUGUUAUAAAUACUAUAAACAUUUUAUAGAAUUAUUAUCAAAUACAAUAUGAGAAUUAUUAUUAAAAACAUUUUUGGUUUUUUUAAUACUUGAAAGAUAAAAAUUUUGAAAUAUUAAAAGCACUCCUUAAAAUCACAACCAAAUGGAUCUUUAGAAUAUAUUAAACAAUGAUUUUAAAAAACACUUUUAACCUUAAAAACAUUUUAAAACAAAAUUAAGUGUUUGAAAAAUUUUAUCAAAUAUUUUUAAAAAUCUUAAAAAUUACUUAUAAUAUUUUAUCAAUUAUUUUCUUAAUACUUUUUUCUUCUUUAUGGUAUUAAAUAUGAUCAUAAGAAAUAAAUUAUCAGUGCCGCCGACUGCAGAUAAUCUUCUCAAUUUUCUUAAAGCUAUGUUUAAAAAAUUGUAGAAGGAAAGAGUAAGCGAAAAAAAUAAAAUAAAAUUUAAAUUAAUAAAUUAUUUUAUAUGUGUCUUUAAAUUAAAUUAAUUUAUUUUUAUUUAUUAUAUAAGCAUUAAAUAAUUUUAAAAUAGAUAGUUUUUUUUAAUUAAUUUUAAUUAUAUUUGAUUUUUUUUUAUAAUGAAAUGAAAACCCUUUCUUUUAGUAUUUGUUUUUUUUCUUUAGUAUUUUUUAGAAACUAAAUAUAGCCUUAGGUUUUUUUAUUUAUUUAUUAAGUUUAUUUUUUUUUUAUUAACUAAAUUGAGCUCUUAAUUAAUAAUGAAAGCAUUUUCUUAAUAAUGAGCUCUUAAUAAUACCAAUAAAAAAAUUUCAUCCAAUUUAAAGUUGAAGGUAAUAUCUCGAAUGGUCAAAGUAAUACAUGUAUCGUUGAAAUAUAGUAUUUAUAUAUUCAAAAUUAAUACCUCAAUUGAAAAGUAUUCAAAAUCUUAAUUAUUUUCUAAAAAAUGUAUUAAAUUUAAAUUUUUUAAAAUUGGGUUUUUAUUUUCUGAUUUGUGCAAGAGCACACACUUUUCAUCUUUUUUUAUUUAUAUAUUUAUUUAUUAUUUUUUAUUUUAACUGUUGAAUAAGACUUAACAAGAGUGGAUGAAUGUCUAUCAGAUUCAGAUAAGGAUGAUGGCACAAGCCGACUAAAACGAAAGAGUUAAGCAUGUGAGUGCCACCAGGCCUGCAAGGAAUGGUAGGUCCCAAAAUAUCCAAGAAAUCUCUAUAUAUAGAAACCAAUACACUUCACGUCUUUCCAUGCGACUCGCAAGCUUCUUGUCUCAGUUGCAAACAGGUACAAAAAUGAUGCUGCAGUUGCCACAAACCACAAAUGAAGCUAUGUUAAAUAUUUAAAAUAUUGCAGUUCCAAAUGGGGUGUUCGGGAUAAAAUAUUUUAAUGUGAGAUCGAAUAACCUAAAAGAAAGGAUGUUGCCACUGAGUCUAGAGAAGUGAUCCUUCACAGCUUUGGGCAUGGGAGUAUGAGGCAAAACCAACUUCCAGUAACCCUCAUAAGGUAGAGAAGCAUGGCUUACUACCACCACCACCACCACCACUGAGUCAACUUGACGAGUGUUCUCACUCCAUCCUCUUCCCAUUCUGGCUUUUCUUUCGGUAAGUCCACAUCUUUUUCCUCUUCAUUUUUGUUAUGAAUAUUGUCAAUCAAAUAUUCUUUCAGUUGUGUUAUUGUUAUUAAUGCAACUUAAUUGCAGGUGGAGGUGGUAGAAAGCCAUGCUUCUCUACCUUCUGAAGGUUACUGGAAGUUGGUUUUGUCUAAUACUCCCAUGCCCAAAGNNNNNNNNNNNNNNNNNNNNNNNNNNNNNNNNNNNNNNNNNNNNNNNNNNNNNNNNNNNNNNNNNNNNNNNNNNNNNNNNNNNNNNNNNNNNNNNNNNNNCAAUCAAAUAAUGUUCAGAUAUGUUAUUGUUAUUAAUGCAACAUAAUUGCAGGAGGUGGUGGUAGUAAGCCAUGCUUCUCUACCUUCUGAAGGUUACUGGAAGUUGGUUUUGUCUCAUACUCCCAUGCCCAAAGCUGUGAAGGAUCACUUGCAGCCUGGUUUGUUUCAAUACAUCUCUAGACUCAGUGGCAACAUCCUUUCUUUUAGGUUAUUCAAUCUCACAUUAAGCUCAUAAUUUUUCUUUGUCAUUGCUGAAUUUGCAAAUUCAAGGCGUAACUUCUUUCAAUGCUUCUGCUGCCAGAUGUUUUGGGAUUCACAAUCAGUUCAACAAAAUCCCUCAACCAUUCCAUGCAAAGCAGGCUCAAGAUGGCUUAAAUAUAGGUAACUUCUUCUUGCAAACAGAUCUGCACCCAGGUACAAAAAUGAUGCUGCAGUUGCCACAAAGUACAAAUGAAGGUAUGUUCUUGCCUUGUCAAGUUGCUGACUCCAUAUCCUUUUCAUCUAAGAAGUUACCCAAAAUUUUGAACCGGCUUUCAGUGAAGGAAAAAUCUGCAGAAGCUGAGCUGAUGAAGAAGGAGAUAGAAGAGCUAGUGUGAGGAGGCUGCCAUGGAUGGAGAAUCUAGGUUCUGUGCAACAUCAUUAGAGUCCCUAAUCGAUUUCAGCACUUCAAAGCUCGGAAGAAAUGUGAAUGUGCUGACGAAUGAGGUCAAAACGGGAAGCCAAGAGUAUGAAUUUGGAGUGGGAAUGAAGAAGGUUGCAGACAAAUCAGUGGUGUGCCAUAAGAUGAACUACCCAUAUGCUGUUUUCUAUUGCCAUACCUUCACUAAGACACGAACUUACAUGAUUCCAUUGGUGGGUGCUGAUGGAAGCAAAGCUAAAGCCAUGGCAGCUUGUCACAGUGAUACAUCAGCUUGGCACCCACAGCAUGUGGCUUUCCAAGUGCUCAAAAUUAAGCCAGGAACGGUCGCAGUCUAUCAUUUCCUUCACAACAAUGCCAUGGUCUGGAUUCCAAAGUAAGAAUCAGCCUCAAGCCUCAAGCCCAGUUGCAUUAUCAGUUCCAUCUUAAAGCUGUUUGUAGUAUGAAUGGUUCGAAUAAAUGCAGGUUCGAGGAUUAAUGUGUGUAGUGUGCAAUUGAUGCUAUGUAUUCAUCAAUGUUUCCAGGUUGAUUAAUUAAGGAGUAUUAUGGUAUAUAUAUAUAUAUAUGUUGUGUGCAAUAGUCCUCAGCAAAGCAAUUAGCCAAUAUUUUUUUUUUAUAUUAAUUCCAAUCAUAUGAAAUAUUGGAAAUAACCUUCACUGUUUCAUAUAUGGCCGGAGAAAGAAUUGAAUAAGAUUAAUGUUGUUGUGCCCUGAAGCCAAACAAUACAUGUGUAAUAUGGGCCAUAAAUUUAAAAAUACACAAAUUUAUAAUUAAUUUUAAUAAUAUGUGAUAAACCCAUAUUCUUUAAUAUUUUUUUUAGAAUCAAACAUAACUUAAAUGAUUAUUACUACACCUACACAAGUGAGUGAAAAAACUCUUACAGACAAAACUAAAUACAGAGAAACAGUUUGGAGAUAAGGUUGCCAAUUGCCAACUUGCCAUCAAAGCCAUUGCAUCUUCUUUUAUUACAACAAAAAUAGAAAAACGUGACAUGUUUGUAGGAUGAGUCAUUAUCAAGGGUUUCCUCGUGACAAGAAAACAAAAGAGACUAAAAAACAAAACAAAAAAGCUUUGCUUCUGUGGCACUAUUUCAGUACCGAGUUCACGGGACCAUGUGCAGAGACUGAGCAAUCCUUCAAUUGCUCUCCAACUCCAACACCACCCAUCUGAGAUAAACCCCGGGAAUUUUCCGUAUGAGUUUCUCCAAAUUGGCCUGAUAAAAGGGCAUUUUCAUUUUCAUCUUUAGAAGGCAAAUUAAUCUCCAAUGUCAAAUUUCUUUUAACUGGGCCUUUUCCUGCUGAUGAACCACGAGCAGUGGAAUUAUCAUCCGGAGAAGUUACCAAAUAGUUGUCUAAGGUGCCCUUGCUACUGGGAGAACCAUCGACUGCUCUUUUUGAAUCUUUUUCGAUUCUUCCAGUCUUCAAACCAGGAGAUAGCAGUUUCCUUUUCUUUGAAGAAAAAAACUGCAUACAGAAACCAAUUACAGGCCAACAACGAAUGCAAAUUACUUCAAAUUUGAACAAGAAAGGCGAAAAUCUCUGUAACCCUACCACAUGAAAAUUUUCAUAAAAUUGCCUCAUCAAAAAUAGAAGAUUCGUUGCAUGUUUUACCAAGAACAAUGCAACAAAGAUGAAAUUUUGAAGAGAAAAUGAAUGCCGAAAGAGAUCUAUGGUUUUGGGAGAGAGUAUUGAUGAGAAAAAAAUUACCUGAUCGAUGCGAAUCCGAGGCCAUGAUAGAAGCGAAGUUUCAGGCGAUCUACGGAACCCUAGUUUUUGGCCCCGCACAUACAAGCUCGCAAAAGGAAGUCACUCAAGAGGUUUGAAUUUUCCGGAAUGACCGCCAACAAGUGCCAUGUGCACAGGAAAGGCAGAUGACAAUGGACCCAAACCCGGCCCAUUAAUCCCUGGGGCUCGGGCUGGCCCAAAUCUUUAGACGGCUGUAUUUUCCUUUACGAUUGAAAAAUACGACUAAUUCAAGACGUAACAAUAUAAAGGAAAACCUACAUAAAAAUCACCUUUGCAGGCACAGAGUAUUGGCCCAAAAGAAUCUAUUGCCGACCCAAUUCUUAGAUUAGCAAGCUGAAUUUCAUGUGAGUUUAAUUAACCUAAUUGGAGUUGGUCUAAUCUAAUCCGCAAUCUUACCUUGUUAUGAAUCAAAAUAUUAUAGGCAAGCCAACUAGGUAUAUCGUUAUCAAUCUUAAGACUACGUAUAUUUAGGGUUUAGAGUUUAUGAUUUAUAGUUUAUGGUUCACAAUAGACAAUUCAUGGUUAAUAAGUUAAUAACUAAUAGCAUGAUAAUUUUGAGAUUUAUGGUAAUAUAGUUUAGUGUGUUUUCUAGAUAUCUUGUAAUCAUCAUGUUCCAUUGUUGACAACCUUUCAUUGUUAACAACACAAUAUCUUUUUCAUCAAACUUUUUUGUUAGUAUAGGAACUCUAGGGUCAAGUUGAUUAUGGACAAGCUUAGUAACUCCUUGUCUAAUUGGUUGCAAUCACACGGACCACAUAGCUUUUUUUUAUAAGAAUCCUACUCACAAAGAGUAGUGCAAUGUCCAACUACCCUUGGCAAUGAAGUUAGUGAGGGUUAGAUGGAAAAAAAAAGGGAUGAUUAGAAAAGGAUUGGCUCUAGUAUUCCCUUUCUCCUAGGAAAUAAAGUGGAUGAGUUCAAGGUGGUUUUAUAGAUAGAAAUGAACAGGCUACUUAAUACUGUGGUUGAAGAUCUUUAUGUAGGAUAAUCUAAUCAUAGUUGUUCAGUUAUCUUUAUUUGGACCAUUAUGGUUUUUCAAGUGGCAUGUAAAUCUCUAUGCAAAGGGCACCAUUGGUUACUUAAAACUGGUAUGAUAUAUUAUGAUAGAAUCUUUAAAAGCAUGCCAUGAUAUAACAAAUGUAAAGUUUAUUAUUUAUUUAAUAAUAUCUCAAUUGAACUUUUUUAUAUCUUUGUUUUAUGCAUUAUACUUUAUGAGUAUCCUGACUUGCAUCUCUUUUAUGAGUAUCCUGACUUGCAUCUCUUGUAUCGUACAUAACUUAGGUGGAUUGGGAGUUGUAUAAAAAAAAUCCAAGUCAUGGGUUCCUUGCAAGUUGAUGAUUUGUUUACAAUUAAUUUGUGAACUUAGGCAAUCUAUUUGAGAUUGUAAUGCAUUACCUCUUAGUUGGAGAAAUAACUAGUCUUGGACAUCGAGAUAAGACUCUCAUGAUAAGUGCACUACUGUGUGCAGUUACACAUUAGACGAAAUCUACAGUGAAUCAUGAUGUAAGUUCACAGAAGUAUGAGAUAAUCAUGACUUCACCAAAUUGUUAUGAUACAUUGUCUCUUAACCUUAAGAGAAUAUUGAGUUUUUGCAUUCGUAGUGGCUUUGACCAACUAUUAAGAUCCUAAAGUGAUCAUAUAUUCCUUAUGAAUUGGGUUACUGUUGAUGAAAGCCAACAUCAACAAGUAUUAUUAAUAGAGGUACCAUGAUAUCUCAUGGACUUUGAGACAGUGUGUCCCCUUAGGUAGUUCUAAGAAAGUGUAUUUAGGUAAACUAUAAUCAUAGUAGUUUUUUAAGUAGAAUUUGAGAUAAACUCUUAGUGAGCUAGGACAUGUCAAUUGAUUACACAAUAGGAAAAUUUAUAACUCAAGAAUGGUAGAGGUGAUUUUGAGAGGCUAAUAGUUUUUACCUUACUAGAUUAUGAAUACUAAUUCAUGAGAAAACUAUGUAUAGUGGAGCAGGUUACGGAUAUGACUUAGUGUCUUGUUGUAAUAUACAUAGGACAUUGAAGUACAAUUGACUUUUUAUAGCGGGAUGUUGAGUCAUCUUCAAAAUUUGAUUAUGAGGGAGCUAGUAUUGUCCUAUAAGUCCCAUCGAUCCUUAUUUAAGCUCAUAUACCUCAAUGACUAUAUUUAUAAUGAUUGGAUUGAUUCUUGGUUCACUUAUAUACAUAAGGGUAUUUUGAUAACUAUGUAAGGUUAUAUAAGAAUAAGUGAAAGACAUUUCUAAAUUGUGACGAAAGGCUUCCCAUGUUUAGGAAUGAAUCUAUUGCAUUUGAAGAUUGAGAUAUUGUGGGAUAUUGAGUUGGAAAGAUGGACGAAUCAAGAAUUUGUAAUCAAUUUUACUUCAUAAAUUGAGAAUGACAUAUUAAUUCUCACUUGCCGUGUGUUGAAAUUAGUUUUAAAUAGCAUAUAAAGGUAAUUUAUUGUAUUUAAAUUUAUUUUUCAUAUUUUUUUCUUCUUUAUUUUUUUUAUUUGUAUUUUGUCUAAUUUUUUAAAUCAAUUUAUUAUUUUUAUUUUUAAUUAAUGAAUUAAUUAAUUAAUUAAUUAAUUAAUUAUUCUUGAAAUAAGUGAUGGUCCUUUCAUGUUAUCCAUUAUUGUGAUCACAAGUUCUCUUGUGUCCUCAAUCAAUAUUUUUUUAAUCAAAAUAUUUGUAAAAAUGUUAGUAAUGAAUUACUUAAAAAAUUAAGUGUUAUAAUAAUUAUUUAAAAAAUAUAACUAUGUUUUGUUCUUAGAAUAUAUUAAAUAAAAAAAUACUGAAAAAAAUGAUUUUCUCAUAUUUGAUUUUCUUACAAAAAAAAUAUGAAAAUAUAAAAUAUUAUUAAAAUUAGUUUUCAAAUUAUUUAAUUUUUAUAUGAAAGACUUAUAAAAUAAAUUUGAAAACGUGUAUUAAAAUAAUUUAUUAAUUAUAUAUAUAUAUAUAUAUAUAUAUAUAUAUAUUUUUAUCUUCUUUCGUUUUUUUUCUUUUUCUUUUAUUUACUUUUCCUCUUUAUUUGAAAAAGUGUAUAAAAAAUGAAGUAUUCAUUUUUUAUUUUAUUUUAUUUUUUACUAUUUUAAGUUUUAAAAUUUUAAAAUCAAUUUUAAAUAUUUUAAAUAUAUAAUGUAUACUUUUUGUAUAAAAAGUUUUAAUUUUUAUACAAAAUUUGAUUAUUUUAUAAUUUAAAAACAAAAAUAGGAAAGAUAUCCUAGGACACUUAUUAUGUUAAUUUUUAAAUAAAAAUAUAAACAUGGAAUUAUCGUCUAUAGAUUUUGUUACUUUUAGUUUUUAGUUUUUUUCAAAGUAAAUAGACUAGAAAUGAUUCAUUGAACCCUACUAUCGAUGCCCAUCAUUCCAUCCAUGCCAGAGUGGCCGUGAAAUAAAUUCUUGGUGCCGCCGGACAUCAACAAUCAUGACACUUAAUUUAAUUUGUUAGGUUUUUGUCAAUUUUCAUGAUCACUUUCGCUAGUUUAACAAGGGUCUCCAAAAAGCCCGCGGCCCACGGCCCGGCCCGACCUGAGCCCAUUUCUGGAUGGGAUGAGCCAUGGGCCCAAAUUUAGGCCUAGCCCGGCCCAGUGGGCUGGCCCGCCCGUAGGCCCGCCACUUAAAAUAUAUAUAUAUAUAUAUAUAUAUUCAAGAAAUAGAAAAUGCUACAUUAAUAAAAAUAUUUAUUGCUAACUAUUUUAUUCAUUGAAUGUAUACAUUACAUUUGAAAAUGUGGGAAAAGUUUACAUCACUACAAAAUAAAUACAUCUCAACUAGGUUGACACUUACUUAUUUGUCAAUCAUUUGUACUUUUCAACCAUAAAAAUAAAAAUAAAAAUAUGACAUACAUUUAGUAAAAUAUUUUAAUCAUUAUCUCUUGGCGAUGAUGGCGAACUAUCGCAAAUCCAUGAAGAUCUUGAAGAUUUUAGUUUUUCUAUAUCGACAAACAUAUUUUCUUCUUGAAUAGAAUCAAAUAUCCUUUUAUCUGCUAUUGCCUAGUCUUUCCCACAUAUAUUUGCUUCAAUAGAAUCCGACACUAAGCUGCAUCGUUUAUCACUAACUACUCUUCCACCUGUACUAAAAGUAGCUUCUGAUGCAAUUGUACUCACAGGAACUGUUAGUACAUCACGAGCAAUGAUAGAAAGUACAGAAUAUUUGUGUUGUUGUGAUUUCCACCAUAUUAAAAUAUCAAAAUCUUCAUCAUCUUCAAAUGAAAUUAAAUCAAUAUUAAGAUAUCUAUCUAAAUCAGUUGUGUUGUUUGGAGAACUAUUUGUUGUCUUCUUUCGACUUUUUAACAUUUCUAGAGCUCCUUUAUAAAAAGAUGAAGAGCUUGUAGAUGUAGGUGGUAAUUUAAUAGAACUAAUAUCAUCACCAUAUUUUUCUUUAUAAUAGUUAUAUAAAUUAUAUAAUAAUGAAUUUAUUUCAUUUUUAAUUUCUUCAAUUUUUAUUUGGUCAUUAAAAUAAAUAAUUGUUAACCAUUCAUUCAAAGCUUCAAAUUUCAAUCUAGGGUCCGCAAUUAAACCAAGAUAAAAAAUUAAAGGUAUUUCUCCCCAGUAUUUUCUAAAUUUUUCUAUCAUUGCAAAUAUUGCAUCAUUAAAUAUAUCCAAAUUUAAAUAUUUUGAAGUACAAUAAAAAUAUUAGUUAUUUGCAUGACAACUCGGUUUGAAGAUGGAUGAUAUACACUACAAAAAUUUGGUGGCUAGUUACACAAAAAAGGGUCAGCUCAAUUGGUGGCUAGCUCUUCUUGAAUGCUUAUGGAUUCAUAAGGGAAAGGGUUCGAAUCCCCUUCCCUUCAAAACUUAAAAGUAUUUUAAUUUUUACCCAAUACCCACCCAAGCCCGCCCAGCCCGUCCAGCUUGAGGGCCCAUAGGCUGGGCCACGGGCCUUAGAUUUACCAAGGGCCCGGCCCGACCAGCCCGUUGACCAGUCAACGGGCUCAGUGGCCCGCCCGGGUUGGGCCAUGGGCCUUACUCCUCCGGGCUGGCCAGCCCGGUCCGGCCCGUUGGAGACCCUCAGUUUUCAUUUUGACGUAAAUUUGAUGAUUAAGAUAGAAAUUUAACAUUGGGAAAAAUAGCCAUUAAAGAAUUAUUUGAAAAACAUUUUUUCCAAUUUUUUUAUUGAAUAAAAUGUUAUCAAAAUCAUUGCAAAAAAUGUUUUUCAUUAAUAUCAAAUAUUAAUUAAUUAAUUAAUUUUUUAAUAUGAUAAUAUUGUAUGAAAAUGACAUACUCUAAUACUUCAAUAUAGUGUGGUGAUAUAUUUUUUCUUCUUCUGAUUAAGAUUUUAUCAUUUUUGGACAAGUUUCACUUCUUUUCCAAUACUCCAAUACUCUCAAACUAAUCGGAUGCUUCAACCCUAUAAGAUUAGGGGAGAGGAUGACCCUCGACAUCCUUUGUGUAACACAAUAAAACUAAUUCAAGUUCAUAAUAUGAUAUUUUAUAUAUUAUUUUUAUAAAUAUUUGAAGAUAAUAUUUGAGAAUGUAAGUUUAGUAAAUUAUGUACAUACGGUGUGAAAUUAAAAGGAUAUUAUUUUCAUUCUUAAACAAAUAGAUACUUUAUAAAACAUAAAUUGACUGCUUUGUUGUUUUUACUCGUGAAAGUAAGACCAGCCAAGCAGUGGUGGUUGAGGGGUCACAUGAUUGGUGAUAAAAUUGUUUAUAUCCACAUUUACAAAAACCUAUUCUUGAGAAGGGAUCUUCAGGACACUCAUGUGCUAGUUUAAUUAUCUCGUUGUAAUGGAACUUACAUGAAUAAAUGAACUUGGUGGCAUGCAUGCAGGUGAUGGUGGUAGUAAUCCAUGCCUCUCUACCUGCUGAGGAUUACUGGAAGUUGGCUUUGCCUCGCACUCCCAUGCCUAAAGCUAUACUAGAUCUGUUGCAGUCCAGUUAGUUUCAUUAAAUCUCUACCCUCCUCUUCUGCAACAUCUUUUACUGAUUCUAAUUAUGGUCUCCUAUCAUAGAAUUAAACUGCAGAGUAAAGAUUGUUCUUUAUAACUAUUUGCUUUAUUUCUUGAAAAUUAUUUGUCUAGACUAACAUUUCUAACUCUUCUUUGUAAUUGCUGUACUUGCAAAUUCAACAGAAGGUCUAAGUUCUGUCGAUGCUUCUACUGCCUCUUGUACUAUUCACAUCCACUUCGAUAAAUUCUCUCAACCCGCGGGAGAAGAGGCUCAAGUAGAUGACUCAAAAAUAGGUAACUUCUUGGAAACAGACCUGCAUCCAGGUAAAAAAUGAAGAUGAACUUGGCCACAACUACAAAUGGAGCUGUUUUCUUGCCUCAUCAAGUUGCUGAAUCCAUACCCUUUUCAUCCAACAAGCUACCUGAAAUCUUGAACCGGUUUUCCCUGAAAGAAAAAUCCACAGAAGCCGAGAUAAUAAAGGAGCUAGAGGAAUGCGAGGAGCCUGCCAUGGAAGGAGAAGCAAAGUACUGUACAACAUCAUUAGAGUCCCUAAUCGAUUUCAGCACUUCAAAGCUUGGAAGAAAUGUGAAUGUGCAGGCGAAUGAGGUCAAAACGGGGAGCCAGGAGUAUGAGUUUGGAGUGGGAAUGGAGAAGCUUGCCGACAAAUCAGUGGUGUGCUAUAAGAUGAACUACCCAUAUGCUGUUUUCUACUGCCAUACAUUCACUAAGACACGGACUUACAUGAUUCCGUUGGUGGGUGCUGAUGGAAGCAAAGCUAAAGCCAUGUCAGCUUGUCAUAGUGACAGAUCAGCUUGGCACCCAAAACAUGUGGCCUUCAAAGUGCUCAAUGUUAAGCCAGGAACAGUCCCUGUCUGCCAUUUCGUUCACAACAAUGCCAUGGUCUGGAUUCCAAAAUAGCCUGAUGAUGAAAUCAACGGAAAUAUUUAAUCCUCAACCACAGUUGCAUUGUUCCACGUAAUAGUCGUUUCUAGUAUCAAUGGUGUGGUUUGAACAAAUGCAGGUUAAUUUGAGAAGAAUGUAGUGUGGAAUGCUAUUCAUCAAUCUUUCCCGGUUGAUUAAAGGAAUAUUGUAUAUAUUGUUGUGUGGCAUAAUAUUCAGUAAUUAAUGAAUCACUAUGAAUUAUCCUAGUGUAUAUAUUGUAGUUUAUCCUAGUGUAUAUAUUGUAGUUGUGCAAAUGAUCCUAUUUAUAUUUUUAAAAAUUAAUUUUAAAAUUUGAAUUAGUAAUUUUUUUAAAUCUUAAUUUUUAAAAUGAUUUCAACCCUUUUAACCAAAUAUUUUAUGUUAAAAAUUAUUAUUAGUAUAUAUAUAUAUAUAUAUAUUAGAAAUCCCUAUUUUACUUUAACAAAUAUCUUAUCAGGCUUUUUUUAACUUACACAUCUAGUUCAAAAAAUAAUUAUUAAAAAAUGGUAGUUUGGAAAAAAAAAAAUUUAAAAUAUGAUAGUUACAAAACUAUUAAUAAAUUUUGAAUACUUUUUGUUCAUUUAUGACAUUUUUCAUAAUUUCAUAAAAUUAAAUUUAUGUUGAAGGUGUCUCUUCAAAAGACACUUUUUUCAUAAUUUUUUUAUUAGUUAUACACGUUAAAAACAAAUUGAAGUUAUACUAAAAAAUAUAAUUUCCACAAUGUCAUAGAAUCAAAUUUAUACCAAAGGUGUCUCUUGAAGAGAUAUCUUCCACAAUUUUCAUAUUAGCCAUAUAGUGAAAAAAAAAACUGUAUUUAAGUUUAAGGCAUAGAUCUCUAUAAUUUCACAAAAUUGAAUUUACACUAAGGCGAUGUUUGUUUUUUUCACUUUUUGCUAAAAGUAAUUUGCUUUCAAAAUUUAAGUUUUUUUUUUUUCUAGUUUUUGAUGACUUAUUAUUGAAUUUUCAAUUUUUUUUGGUUAAAUAGAAAAAACAAACUUUUUAAACCUCCCCAAAUCACGAUUGCAACCCGACACCUGACGCCCAACCCUAGCCCAUCCCUUGUAGCUCUCUAGUCUUAAUUGCAAUCGGCGAUCCCCAACCCUCACCUCAUCAUUGUGUAGCUCAUUGGUUCCACGACCAUCACCAAGCUUUCUUAAGGUAAUUUCUUCCCCAUUUUCUCUCUAUUUAGGUUUCAGCUUUCGUUCUUCCUCUUUCUCAGCAAUGGGGUUAAACCAUAGGUAGAAUGGUUGUUUUAUGUUUGGAAAUGGUUUAUUAAUAUAUUCUUUAGUACGAUUCUUUAUGAUUCUCAUGCCAAUGGUUUAUUUUGAAGUUUUGUGGGCAAUUUUGACUUUGUGGGAGUGGGUUUGAUGAGUUUACAGGUUCAAUGAAUUUUGUAGAGAUGCUCAUGGGUUUUUUGGAUACAUUUGUGUGAUUCGAUUUUGACUUUGAGGAACCAUUUGUGUGAUUUUGUGGGCCAUUUUUUGCCUGCUUGGGUUGUUUUUUGUUGCCUUUGUAUAGUGUCAUUCACUUGUCUAAUGUGCAGAGUGAAGCUUUGUCAUUCACUUGUACUUGGUUGUUGGAGGAAAUAAUAAUAUCAAAAUAAGAAUUGUUAACCAAUUUUUAAACAAUAAUAUGCAUUUUCUGAAUGUAUGUUAUUGCUUGAUUUGACUCCGUGUUCUUGUUUCCUGUUGUUUUGCAUUGAAAUUACUUCCUUCCUUUGAAAACCUUCUGCCAGAUAAACAGGACUAUAAAAGAAUCACAUAGAGAGAGUUUGACAAAUUUUGCAAUCUCAAAACAUCUUGGAUUUUCCAAUUUCAUAAGAGAGUGAUAAUUUCUAUGGGAUAACCAAGUUACAAAAAAGUACGGUUCUUAUAUCAAAUGAACAACAAAAAUGAACAAACUCAUUCCUCACCAGAAUCCUUCCGUGGUUGGAGGCCACCAAUCUCGAAAACCCUAGAAGUUUAUGACAUGGGGGAUGAAUUAGAAUCCAUAUUGAAGAGGGCUUAUUUUUACAAGUGCAGAUGCUGAUCCACUCUUUUUUUUUUUUUUUUGUAAUAAAUAACUUCACAAUUUUUAAUUUUAAGCUUCUAUCCUUUGCCUUCAAUCUUCAAUCUCUGCUAUUGUAUUAAUGGCCCUGGGAGCUGCCUAAGAAAAAUGAAAAAAAUGGACCAACCAAACUCAAAGAUGACAAUAGUUUGGUGGCUGCCCUUGAAGAAGAUCCACAGAAGAAUGGACAGUUCAGAAAGGGGAAGAGGGUCAGAAAACACACUACUUUGGGAAGAGAGAGUGAAUUGAAUUGGUUGUUCUUGUACAUGAUCAGAGAUGUUUAAUUGGCCUGGAUAAAAAAACAUAUAUCUCUCAUUAAUAAGAUAUAUAUGUAGCAUAGUCAGGCUUAAAAUUGAAUGCCAUUAACUAUGACAAAGACUGCCAUACACAAUUGUGCAUGGCACAUGCACAUCCCAUCAGCAUCCUAUGCUUCUUAUGGAUCAAAGGUGAAUUUGCUUUUAGUGCAGACUAGACAUGUAAUGUGAUUUUGUUAUCUGAUGGGAUUCUUGGUGUUACCGUAUCUAUGGUUAUAGAAAAUAGCAUUAUUAAACUGGUGGUUGUCUUAGGGAUUGUUAACUUCUUGAGGUUGCUUAUAGAAGAAAAGAUUAUUCUAAAGCAACUAAAGUGAAUAUUGUGUUUGCCAGACAAUUGUUUAUUCUUUCUGUUAACAUUUAGGGCAUUGGAUGGAUUAUCUCUGUUAGAACCUUGCAAGAUAUUGUGAGUACUUUUUUCUGCUUAUAGUUGAAGCCUUUGUUAGUGUUGAAAGCCAGCUGGCUAGUUGCUUCCUUUCUUGAAUUCAAGAAAGAAUUUUUUUGCCACCACCAAAAGAAAAAGUAAAGGUAAAUAAAAAAAUUUAUUUAUUUUUGUAUGUUUUUUUUUUUUUUUAAAUUUUGACUUAUUUUUACCUAUGAAAUUUAAAUAAUUUAAAAAUAAAUAAAAUUUAAACUAAUUUUAAUUAUAUUUGAUUUUAAUUUUUUUUUUUAUAAUGAAAGAGAAAACCAUUUUUUCAGCAUUUGUUUAAGUAGUUCCCAAAAUAUCCAAGAAAUCUCUAUAUAUAGAAACCAACACACUUCACUGCUUUCCAUGCAACUUGCAAGCUUCUUGUCUCAAUUUCUGAGUUUCUGAGCUUUUACCAUUAAUGGAGUUCCUUCGUCCUCUUCCCAUUCUGGCUUUUCUUUCAGUAAGUCCACAUCUUUUUCCUCUUCAUUUUUGUUAUGAAUAUUGUCAAUCAAAUAUUCUUUCAGUUGUGUUAUUGUGAUUAAUGCAACUGAAUUGCAGGUGGUGGUGGUAGUAAGCCAUGCUUCUCUACCUUCUGAGGGUUACUGGAAGUUGGUUUUGCCUCACACUCCCAUGCCCAAAGCUGUGAAGGAUCACUUGCAGCCUGGUUGGUUUCAAUACAUCUCUAGACUCAGUUGCAACAUCCUUUCUUUUAGGUUAUUCGAUCUUACAUUAAGCUUAUAAUUUUUCUUUGUCAUUGCUAAAUUUGCAAAUUCAAGGUGUAACUUCUUUCAAUGCUUCUGCUGCUGCUUUUUGUUUGGGGAUUUACUAUGGGUUCAACAAAAUCCCUCAACCAUUCCAUGCAAAGCAGGCCCAAGAUGGCUUAAAUAUAGGUAACUUCUUCUUGCAAACAGAUCUGCACCCAGGUACAAAAAUGGUGCUGCAGUUGCCACAAACUACAAAUGAAGCUAUGUUCUUGCCUCGUCAAGUUGCUGACUCCAUACCUUUUUCAUCUAAGAAGCUACCCGAAAUUUUGAACCGGCUUUCAGUGAAGGAAAAAUCUGCAGAAGCUGAGCUGAUGAAGAAGGAGAUAGAAAAGUGUGAGGAGCCUGCCAUGGAUGGAGAAUCUAGGUUCUGUGCAACAUCAUUAGAGUCCCUAAUCGAUUUUAGCACUUCAAAGCUCGGAAGAAAUGUGAAUGUGCUGACGAAUGAGGUUAGAAUGGGAAGCCAAGAGUUUGAAUUUGGAGUGAGAAUGAAGAAGGUUGCAGACAAAUCAGUGGUGUGCCAUAAGAUGAACUACCCAUAUGCUGUUUUCUACUGCCAUACAUUCGCUAAGACACGGACUUACAUGAUUCCAUUGGUGGGUGAUGAUGGAAGCAAAGCUAAAGCCAUGGCAGCUUGUCACAGUGAUACGUCAGCUUGGCACCCACAGCAUGUGGCCUUCCAAGUGCUCAAAAUUAAGCCAGGAACGGUCCCUAUCUGUCAUUUCCUUCACAACAAUGCCAUGGUCUGGAUUCCAAAGUAAGGGAUAAGCUGAAAGCCUCAAGCCCAGUUGCAUUAUCAGUUCCAUCUUAAAGCUGUUUGUAGUAUGAAUGGUUAAAAACUUAGAAUAAAUGCAGGUUUGAGGAUUAAUGCAUGUAUUGUGCAAUUGAUGCUAUUUAUUCAUUAAUGUGUCAAUAUUUAUUGAUUUUUUAGGUUACUGAUAUUUUGUGUCAAUAUUUAUUGAUAUAUCUCAUAUAAAUCCAUAAAAUCGAAAUACCUAUACAUUAAUUCGUGAUUACUUAUAUUUUUAUCCCUACUUUACACUCAUCAAAUCCUACCUAUGCCCUCACCUUUGGCUUUCAUUUGCAUUCCUCCUUCAACUAAAGUUUGUAAAGAGAGAAGAGAUGUGCAGUCAUUGCUAACUAUUUGGACAUGACAAAAAAUCUUAAGAGGAGUGCAAAGAUGUUUUCUCAAAGGAGUGCUUAUAUAUAUAAAUAAAGAGUAUUAAAUAUAGAAGAGGUUGACGGAAACAGAGUGCAAAGACGCUUUCUCAAAGUAGUGUUUUUUUUUUUAAAAAAAAGAAUAUUAAAUAUAGAUGAACGAGGUUGGGAGAAAAAAAUGUGCAAAGAUGCUUUCUCCAAGUGUUGGCUUGAUAUAUUUUUUUCUUUUUUCUUUUUAUUUUUAAAUAAUAUCAAUCAUUAAAAAAAAAAAAAGGGAAACUCUUAUAUUAAAGGUAGAAUUUUAUUUUUUUCUUAUCAAAACUUCUAUUUUUACUUAUUAAAUGCAUCACAUGAGUGUUUAUUAUUUUGAUAUAUCUAGAAAUGAAAAAUCUAUUCCCGUCACAUAAGAGAUUUUGUACAUAUAUAACAUGAUAUGCGAUAAGAACAAACAAAAACUACUUCAUUGAUUUUGAAUAAGAACAAACAAAAAUUACUUAAUUGACUUUUUCUUUUGAGUAGAAAAUAUAAGAAUCUGAAUAUAGAGCCAACCACAUAAGAGGACAGUAAAGUCUUGAAUAGAAAUUGAUGUUACAAAGGGAUUAAGGGUUUUUGAGAGAGGACAUGGGGUUGGGAAAACUACUUGAUCCACAUGGUAGUCUAAGGGAGUUUGAGGUAAACAAUAUAUUUAACUUGACCCUUAAUCUCUGUACUUGUAUAAAAUGUUCUUUACUUUGUAUAGUAGCUUGGAUCGAUUUAUAUGGUCAAUAGUAGGUUGGGUUAUCAUCUAUAGAACCAAUAAUCUUUCUAAUCAUCAAACAAUUAAAAACCAAAAGUGAUUAUGGAGCUCAAUCAAAUAAAGAUAUAGAAAUUAAGAUUUUAACUAAAACUAGUCAAAUGAAAAGAAAAUCUCUAGAAAAAUUCUCAAAUCAGUUUGAGGAACCACACAAACAUGUUAGAUUUUAAUCUUAACAAGGUGGUUUAAAGUUAAUACAAGUCUAAAUCUAAUCAAAUGAUAGAUUUAGAUUUGGAAAUACUUGAAUUUGGCAUUUUAGGUUCAAAUCUCAGAGUCAAUAUAUUAGAUUAUUCCAAUUUUUUGUAGUUUCUCGAUUCAUUGAUUAUGCACUGAUUUAUCUUCUAAGAUUCAUUUUAAUCUUAUAUGCAACUAAUCAAAUGAGGUCUCCAUUAUUGAUUAAUAGAUGAUCAAAUAUCAUUGGAACUAAAUAAGCAAUGUCUUUCCCUUAAUUAUCUACGCAGAGAGUUCAAUCCAAAAAAAAUUACAAAUUUAAAUAAGUUUUUUCUCGCAUAUCAUAUUUGGUUGGCAAGAAAUAAGAGAAAGUAAUAGAAAAUAAGAAUUUAAGAGAUAAGUUAAAAUAAUAAUUUUUUUUUCCUCACAUAUCACAUAUAGCACUGGAAGUAUUAUUUCCUUUGUCUUUUUGUUGUGAUGAAACCCUUGACAAACAUUGUCAUAUCAUAUCCCAAGUUUGCAAGAAUAUUUUUUCACUCUCCUAGUGUUGGUGGAACUUAAUUAUUUAGACACGCAUGUCUUAUAUAGUAACUCUUAAUAUUUUAAUAUACAAAGGAAAUGAUUAAGAGCUACUAUAUACAAGAUAUGCAUAUCUAAAUAAUUAAGUUCCAUUGACACUAGGAGAGUGAAAAAAUCUUACAAAUAAAACAAAAGAAGAAAACAUGAUGUGCUUAUAGUAUUGGGAAAUGAUAUGACAAUGUUUAUCAUGAGUUCCAUCAUAGCAAAAAAAAUAAAGGAAAUAGUUCUUCCACUACUAUAUAAGAUAUGUAUGUCUAACUAAUUACAUCCCACCAUACUAGAUAAGUGAAAAAAUAUUGCAAACAAAACAAAAGAAGUAAAUUAACAUGAUAUAUAUGCUUGUAGCUACCAAUGAUGUCAAACUAAUCCUAUCUAUGUGGUUCACAUUGACCUUGAGAUUUAACCAUUUGAAGGUACAUAGUGAAGCUUGACAAAUUGCACACAAUAUACCUAUCUUGAGCCUUGAUUUAUCCAAAGGCCUAUAGUAGGCCUAAUCAUCUUCAACCUUCACACACCCAUCACAUGGUCAUUUUUCAACCAUCAUUUUCCUAGGGAGUAACAUUACUACAUACCUAAUGAUCAAUCACUUCGUUAACUCAUAAGGUUCCUAUGAUUUGAACCUAUAUGACCUGAUUAGUUUGACACCAUUUGUUUUAAUUUUAAAGCUUUAUUACAUCUAGGUAGUUUUAUUAAGUCAUAUAUUGUGGUUUUCCUAUAAAAAUUUCAUCUCUUCUUGUAUGACAUUUGAUCACUCUUCUUUUUUUCAUAUGAUAAUACCUUUUGGUAAGUUUUUGGCUCUCUUCUUAGUGAUCAUCGCAUACUAAAUAAGGGAGUAUCUUCUAGAAUCUAUCUAGCUAUCGGAUCUUCUUAACUAAGAUUCUCACCAAGUUGCUCAUCUUCAUCUAUGAGCUCAUCAUCCAUUAGAGGGACAUCAUUAUGAUUGUCCUAUACAUCUCUCUUAUCAUCAAGACACAGUAUUGAUGGAUGAACUAUACUUGGGUCAACUAGUUCAUCAUCAAUAGAUUUUGGUUUUUCUAACUUACCAAAUUUUGAAAUGAUUUGAUCAUCAAGAAAUUCAAAAUCUCUAUUUUUGGUGAUUUUCUAGUGGACCAAGUCUUAGAAUCUAUACCCAAAUUCUUCAUGAUUAUACUAGACAAAAAUACACUGCUUUGACUUCCAACAAAUACCUUGCAACCAAAAAAAAAAAAAAAAAAAUUCAGAUAAUCAUAAGCAACAUCUUUUGCUAUCCAAAAUCUUUCAAGCACGUCACCAUUCAAAGGAAUUGAGGGAGAAAGAUUUAUUAAGAGAUACCACCUAUUCUACUUACCAUUGUUACCUAAAUCCUCCAUUUAAUUAGCUAAAUAAAAUCCAUAAAUAUCUAAACUCUCCAAUACCAUUUAUUGGGAAAACUAGUUAUUUCAAAAUAAUUCAAAUACAAAAACAAAUCUAAGCAAAACAAAUAAAUGAUUUUUCCCUUUUCAUGUAAACAAAUAUGUAAAUCUAGCUAUAUCAAGUGAAUAAAACGGGUAAGAUAAAUUAACAUAAUUCACAAAAAUCAAGAUACAAAUUUUACAAGGAAAACCCUUCGAUGUGAAGGGAAAAAUCAUGAGUUGUGGUCAACUUAAAACUUUUACAAAUAAAAAAUUAAUAAGCUACAUCAAGUUCUUCUCUAGAAAUUACAUCAUUUUAUUUAACAUAGAGAAUAUGAUAUUUUAUACAUAUAAAUUACACGGAGGACAACCCUCGACAUCCUUUGUGUAACACAAUAAGACUGAUUCAAGUUCAUAAUAUGAUAUUUUAUACAUUAUUUUUAUAAAUAUUUGAAAAUAAUAUUUGAGAAAUUAAAAGGAUAUUAUUUUCAGUGCAAUCCCAAAUCUAAUGCCUCUCCACAACUUCAUCAACAAAGCUUAGAAAUACCCACAAACAUGUCAAAUCUCUCAUAAAAAAAAAGCAAAAAAAUACAAAUAGAGUUUUUCUAGAAAUAUCCAAAGAGUCGUCCUCCUUAACCGUCCUUCCCUCCUCCCUUUCUUUGGUUGCAAGAUGGUCCCUUUAUCCCCAAAUCAGGUUCACCAACUUUCUGCUCAUGCUCAUGCCUUGCCUCCAACUAAUGCUACACCUCUAUUCCCGCUCUUAGCAACCAAAAAAAAAAAAAAAAAAAAAGCCACAAUCAUGUAUUAGCAAAAAGGGUCAGGCCCAAUACAAGAUUUAAUAAAUACAUCAACCCAAAUCUAACUAAUAUAAUAGGCCCAAAUUUCAAUCACCAAUAACAUAUGAGCCCAAAAUCCAUAUCAAUUAGGCCCUAAUCUCAUAACAUCAAGCCAAAGACAAAAAUAAAAAUAAAAACAAAUGAGAAAAUUAAAAUAAAAUGAAAUAAUAAAAAAAAAAAAUAAGUAAAUGAAAUCUUACCUAUCUCCUAACCCACGAAUAGAGAUGCAACAAUUGAUGGUCAUGGGGAGUGACAAUGAAGACAGAGGCACGCUUGUGGCAGUGCAUAAAAGAAAAUAAAAGAAGAAGAAAAAACAAAGAUAAAUAUAAAUAAAUAAAAUAAAAUAAUAAAAUAAAAACUUAAAAGAGAUAAAAAUAGGGAAUAUAUAGUCGGAGAGUGAGGGGGAUGACGAUUGGAAGUGGUGCGAAUAGUAGCACCGCCGAUGACAACUUGGCGGUGGUGGAGUCGAUGAAGAAAUGAAGAAAGAAGAAAUGGAAAGAAAAAAAAAAGGAAAAGAAAAAGAAAGGAAAAUAAGAGAAGAAGAAUGAGAAAGGAUGGAGGCUGUGAGGGGGCGGUAGAAUGGGGAAAAAUGGGCUUUUAGGGUUUGACUUUUGAAAUAGUUGGUGGAGAUUAAAAAGGAAAAAAAAUGGUUAGGAUUAGUUCUCACAUUUGGGUAUGGAAAGUUGGGCCUAGGUUGGACCUAGGUUGGGCUAAAAUUAAAAUGGAAUGAGCCCAAAUAAAUACAAUCAAAAUAAGCCCUAUAAAUAAAUAAUAAAUAAAUAAAUAAUAGCAAAAAUAAAAUAAGUCAUCAAAAACUAGAAAAACAAACAACUUAAAUUUUGAAAGUAAAUUAUUUUUAUCAAAAAACCAAAAAAACAAAUGUCACCUUAGUGUAAAUUCAAUUUUGUUGAAUUAUAGAGAUGCCUUCAAUGUAAAUUCAAUUUUUUUCCACGUGACUAAUAUGAAAAUUGUUGAAGAUGUCUCUUCAAGAGACACCUUUAGUAUAAAUUUGAUUUUAUGACAUUAUGUUAAAUUUUACAUAUAUUUGAUGACUAAGAUAUAAAUUUAAUAAAAUUGGGGGAAAAUAGCCAUUAAAGAAUUAUUUGAAAUAGAUUUUUUUUUUCAAAUUUUUUUAUUAAAUAAAAUGUUAUUGAAAUCAUUGGAAAAAUACUUUUCAUUUAUAUCAAAUAUUAUUAUUAUUUUUGAAUACUAUAAUAUUGUAUGAAAAUGAUGUACUCCAAUAGCCAAAUGUGGUGUGUUGAAAGUCCAAUGUGAUGCCUUAAUAUAUUUUUCUUCUUCUGGUCAAGAUUUUAUCCUUCUACUUGUCAAGUUUCAAUUCUUUUCAAACAACUUUCUUCUUUCCCCUCGAUAUAUAAGAAUGUAAUAUAAUGGAGGAUUGAGAGGUAUAAAGGAAGAAAUCCCCACAUUUAUAAAGUGUAUAAAUCUUCAAGAAUAUAGUAAUCAAAGUAAUGAUGAAAAGUUGUAAUAAAACGUUCUUAUUCUUUUUACCAUUGAUAUUACAUACAUAAUUUUUACUCUCUUUAACGAAACCUUAAACUAUAAGAAGAUAGAAAUACACUAAGGAUAAAUUCGUCAUUAAAAUUUUUUAUGAAAAGACAUCUCGAACUAUGGAAAGUGACCAUCUCCUUCCUUACAUUUAUUUUCAUGUCCUAUUUAUUUUAUUUACAAGCUUGUUAGUUGAAAAUUAGUUGUAAAAAUUAUAUUAAUUCUUUUUAAAAAUUUUUAACUCAGCUUAAUAAAAAAUAUACUAUAAUUUAUAAUAAAAUUAAAGAUUAAAUCAAGAAAAGAAAUGUUAAUAAAAAUGAUUUUAUGUUUGAUUUAUUUUAAAAAAAUAUAAAAUAUAUUUUUAUUUUAAAAUUAAUAAAAUAAAUAUUUUUUUUUUAAUUUAAAUGAACUGUGUAUUUAAAAAUUAUUUAUAAAUUUAUAAUAUAAAGUUACUUGAAGAAAACAUUUUAUUAAUUGGAAAAGAAAAAAACAACAUCUUCCAAACAUGUUUUUUAUUUUACUUGUUUUAAAAAACUUUUUUUAUUAACUCAACCAAACAUGUUUUUUUUUUUUUUUGAGAACAAAAAUUGUUUUUCAAAAUUCAAUUCCCAAACACAAUUUUUUUUUCUUCUAAAAACACCAAAAAAUGUUCUUGAAAAUUGUUUUCCAAAACAGUUUUAAAAAACAACAACCGAACAGAUCCUUAAUUUCAAUAAUUUAAGAAAGAAGAAAGAGUUUGCGGGUGGGGGUGUGGUGGUUGGGUGGAGCUCACUUUUGUGCAAACACAAAAAGCAGCUAAAAAAAAAAAACAAGAAAAAUAAUUUAUUCUUUGAAUAGUGAAAAAACACUGAAAACAUGUUUUUUGUUUUUAAGAACAGAAAAUAGUUCUUGAAAACAGAAACCAAAUAUGCCAAAAUUAUCUUAGGUUUUCUUGAAAGAGUGAGAGUACAACAAUUAAAAUGGAUAAAAAGAAAUAAGAGGGAAAAAAUGCUUUUGAAGGAAAAUAAAAUAGAAGGGUAAACUUUUUCAAAUGUAAUCAAAAUUAAUGAAAUCUAUCAGGAGUAUAAGAAUUAUGGAGAGAGAGAAAGGGAAAACAUAUAUAAAUUUGUAUUAAGAAUUUAAGAGUGAAGAGAAGGUGGGGACAAUGGAGACGGAAAGAUGGACAAAUCAAGAAUUUGUAACCAAUUUUACUUAUCCAUAAAUUGAGAAUGACAUAUUCCCAUUUGGUGUGUGUUCAUAUAUGGAUUUUAUAUCCUUUUGGGUGUACCCCACUUCUACAUCAAACCCAGGCUUGUUUGCUCGUAUAUAUGUAUAUCUUUUUUGGAAUCAAAUAUAGCCACAUAGCCUUAAGAUAUUUAUUUUUAAUUAUUAAUUAAUUAAUUAAUUAUUCUAGAAAAUAAGUGACGGUGCCUUUCAUGUCAUCCAUUAUUGUGAUCACAAUUUUCCUUGCAUCUUCAACAAAUAUUUUUUUAAUCAAAAUAUUUGUAAACAUGUUAGUAAUGAAUUACUUAAAAAUAAAUAAAUAUUGUAAUAAUUAUUUAAAAAUUAUAAUUAUUUUUUGUGUUUAGAGUAUUUAAAAAAAUAAUUUUUUAUAUUUGAUUUUUAAAUAAAAUAAAUAAAUUAUCCUAGAUUUUUUUUAUUUUAAUUGUUUUUUCAAAGUAAAUAGACUAGGAAUGAAUCAUUGAACCCAAUUAUUGGUGCCGAUCAAUUCAUCAAUAAUGAGUGCCAGCAUGACCAUGAAAUAAAUUCUUGGCAUCGCCUGAUACAGACAAUCUUUGUUUUGCUUAUCACUUUUGCUAGCUAGCUUUUGUCCAUUCUUAUUUUGUCUUUUUUUUUUCCUAAUUAAAUUAAAUUGUGAAUAAUAAUAAAAAGAUUUUAAAAAUUAUUUAUUAAAUUAAGAAUUAUUUAGUAAAUUAUAUACAUAUGUGUGGAAUCCAAAAAUAUAUUAUUAUCAUUUUUAUACAAAUAGACACUUUAUAAAACAUAAAUUGAUUGCUGUGUUGCAGUGGAGCUUGAGGGUCAACAUGAUAGGUGAUAAAAUUUUAGAAUAUGAUAUUUGAAGUUAUUUUUAAUAUUUUUAAAAUGAUAAUUUCAAUUUAGAGAAAAAAGAUAAUUUUCAUAUUUAAAUUGAAAAUAUUUAUUUAAAAGAUAAUUUUCAAUUAAUAUUAUAAAAAUUAAAUUUGAAAAUAGUUAUAAAAGCAUCAUACCUUAAUAAUAUUUUUAAAAUUACUGUAAUUUUUUUUUUCUUUCAAAAAAUCUCCAUUUUACUUCAACAAAGAUCUUAUCGUGAUCGUUGUAGAUAACUCUCACGUGGCGAUAAUUCAUGGGCAUGGGCUUGCAGGCUGCGGCGGCACUUGGUGAUAAUUUAAGGAAAAGUUUAAUUAAUUGUAAAGGUCGCCCAUUCAGUCACUCUUUACGUAAAAGGCAAUGAUUGAGCCAAAAUAAUAAAAUAAGGCAUUUAUCACCACGCCAAUUUUUUUUUUUUAAUACUUUUUUCUUCUUUAUGGUAUUAAAUAUGAUCAUAAGAAAUAAAUUAUCAGUGCCGCCGACUGCAGAUAAUCUUCUCAAUUUUCUUAAAGCUAUGUUUAAAAAAUUAUAGAAGGAAAGAGUAAGUGAAAAAAAUAAAAAUAAUAAAAUUUAAAUUAAUAAAUUAUUUUUAUAUGUGUCUUUAAAUUAAUUUAAUUUAUUAUUAUUUAUUAUAUAAAUAUUAAAUAAUUUUAAAAUAAAUAAUUUUUUAAUUAAUUUUAAUUAUAUUUGAUUUUUUUUAUAUAAUUUUUUAUAAUGAAAUCAAAACCCUUUCUUUUAGUAUUUAUUUAUUUUUUCCUAAAAGUACCACCCAAAUAAAAAUGAUAACAUGAUCAAGGUGAAGAUUUCUCUUCCUCUACACUUGCUCGUUCUCACCAAAAUAGUACCAGUUCAAGCCCAAAUACAACUCCGAUAAUGUCGUCUCUGAAUCAAGCAUUCAUCAUCAGGCUUGAUCACUCAAAUUGUCUUCUAUUGUGUACUCAAAUGCUGAAUAUUGUAAUCGUUAAUGGACUCAAGGAGAUGGUCGAUGGUUCACAACCUUCUCCUCCAAUUUUUCUUGAGAAUUCUGAAAGUACAAACCCAGAUUUUUAGAUCUGGCAACGACAUUGUCGUUUUGUCAUGUGUUGGAUUUAUUCAUCUCUCGUUGAGAAUGUAAUGUCGCAAAUCAUCGAUCUCACUUCCGCUUCUGAAAUCUGGAGUACUCUUGAAAAAUUCUUCUUUUACUGCAUUAAUUGUAUUUAAUAUCUUAUUUAUAUUUUAUUUUUUAAAUUUAUUGUAUUUAAAUUUAUUUUUUUUAUUUUUAUUUUCAUAUUUUUUUCUUAUUUAAUUUUUUUAUUUGUAUUUUGUUUAAUUUUUAAAUCAAUUUAUUUUUUUAUUUUUUAAUUAAUUAAUUAUUCUUGAAAAUAAGUGAUAGUGCCCUUCAUGUUACCCAUUAUUGUGAUUACAAGUUCUCGUGUCCUCAACCAAUAUUUUUUUAAUCAAAAUAUUUGUAAAAAUAUUAGUAAUGAAUUACUUAAAAAAUUAAAUAUUAUAAUAAUUAUUUAACUAUAUUUAUAUAUAUAUAUAUAUAUAUAUAUAUAUAUAUAUUUAUAUUUUUUCAUUUUUUCCUUUUUUUAUUUACUUUUCCUCCGUAUUUGAAAUAGUGUAUAAAAAAUGAAGUAUUCAAUUUUUUUUUUUACUAUUUUAAGUUUUAAAAUUUUAAAAUCAAUUUUAAAUAUUUAAAAUAUAUAAUGUAUACUUUUUGUAUAAAAAGUUUUAAUUUUUAUGCAAAAUUUGAUUAAUUUAAAAAAAAACAAAAAUAGGAAAUAUAUUCUAGGACACUUAUUUUGUUAAUUUUUAAAUAAAAAUAUAAACAUGGAAUUAUCGUCUAUAGAUUUUGUUAAUUUUAAUUUUUUUUUUCAAAGUAAAUAGAAUAGAAAUGAUUCAUUGAACCUACUAUUGGUGCCCAUCAUUCCAUCAAUGCCAGAGUGGCCAUGAAAUAAAGUCUUGGUGCCGCCGACACAAACAAUAAUUUAAUUUGUUAGGUUUUUGUCAAUUUUCAUGGUCACUUUUGCUAGUUUUCAUUUUGUCUUAUUUUCUUAAUUAAAUUAAACUGUGAAUAAUAAUUAAAAUAUUUGAAGAAUUAUUUAUUAAAUUUUAUGUAUAUUUGAUGAUUAAGAUAGAAAUUUAAUACAGUGAAAAAUAAGCAUUAAAGAAUUAUUUGAAAAAUAUUUUUUUCAAUUUUUUUAUUGAAUAAAAUGUUAUCAAAACCACUGCAAAAAAUGCUUUUCAUUUGUAUCAAAUAUUAAUUAAUUUUUUAAUAUGAUAAUAUUAUAUGAAAAUGUCAUACUCUAAUAUUCUAAUCAAGAUUUUAUCUUGUUUGGUCAAGCUUCACUUCUUUUCCAAUACUCCAAUACUCUUGAGCUAAUCAGGCGCUUAGGGGAGAGGACGACCCUCUACAUCCUUUGUGCAACAUACAUUAUUUUUAUAAAUAUUUGAAGAUAAUAUUUAAUAAAUUAUAUACAUAUAAAAACAUAUUAUUUUCAUUCUUAAACGAAAACAUAAAUUGACUGCUUUGUUGUUUUUAUUCGUGAAAGUAAGAGCAGUCAAGCAGUGGUUGUUGUCGUUGAGGGGUCACAUGAUUGGCGAUAAAAUUGUUUAUGUCCCUUCUCUUAAUGCCACUCACCCUCAUUGCCAAAAUAGUCCCACUAACCUCUAUAAAUAGCAAGAAGCUCGGUUCAGUUCUUUCCAUCCAAGCAUACCUUCUCAUAGCUUAGCUUUCUGUUUAAGUUUCUCAGCUGUAAUGGAGUUUCGUUCCUUUCCCUUUCUGGCUUUUCUUUCUGUGAGUCCAGAUUAAUUCUUCAUUUUUUCACAAAAAUGUUUUGGGAACAAGUCAUAAUUUUUCUGUUUAAAAAACAAAAACCUGUUCUUGAGAAGAGAUCUUUAGGACACUCAUGUGCUAGUUUAAUUAUCUUCUUGUAAUGGAACUUGGUGGCAUGCAUGCAGGUGAUGGUGGUAGUAAUCCAUGCUUCUCAACCUGAUGAGGAUUACUGGAAGUUGGCUUUGCCUCACACUCCCAUGCCUAAAGCUAUACGAGAUCUGUUGCAGUCCAGUUAGUUUCAUUAAAUCUCUACCCUACUUUCUGCAACAUCUUUUACUGAUUCUUAUGGUCUCCUAUCAUAGAAUUAAACUGCAGGGAAACUGUCAUAUAUAUCAUCAAGAUUGUUCUUCAUAACCAUUAAUUUGCUUUAUUUCUUGAAAAAUAUUUGUCUAGAUUAACAUUUCUAACUUUUCUUUGUAAUUGCUGAACUUGCAAAUUCAACAGAAGGUCUAAGUUCUGUCGAUGCUUCUACUGCAUCUUGUACUGUUCACAUUCAUUUCGAUAAAUUCUCUCAACCCGCCGGAGAAGAGGCUCAAGUAGAUGACUCAAAAAUAGGUAACUUCUUCUUGGAAACAGACCUGCAUCCAGGUAAAAAAAUGAAGCUGAACUUGGCCACAACUACAAAUGGAGCUGUUUUCUUGCCUCAUCAAGUUGCUGAAUCCAUGCCCUUUUCAUCCAACAAGCUACCCGAAAUCUUGAACCGGUUUUCCCUGAAAGAAAACUCCGCAGAAGCCGAGAUAAUAAAGAAGGAGCUAGAGGAAUGUGAGGAGCCUGCCAUGGAAGGAGAAGCCAGGUACUGUGCAACAUCAUUACAGUCCCUAAUCCAUUUCAGCACUUCAAAGCUUGGAAGGAAUGUGAAUGUGCUGACGAAUGAGGUCAAAACGGGGAGCCAGGAGUAUGAGUUUGGAGUGGGGAUGAAGAGGGUUGCAGACAAAUCAGUAGUGUGCCAUAAGAUGAACUACCCAUAUGCUGUUUUCUACUGCCAUACAUUCACUAAGACACGGACUUACAUGAUUCCGUUGGUGGGUGCUGAUGGAAGCAAAGCUAAAGCCAUGGCAGCUUGUCAUAGUGAUACAUCAGCUUGGCACCCAAAACAUGUGGCCUUCAAAGUGCUCAAUGUUAAGCCAGGAACAGUCCCUAUCUGCCAUUUCGUUCACAACAAUGCCAUGGUCUGGAUUCCAAAAUAGCCUGAUCAUGAAAUCAACGGAAAUAUUUAAUCCUCAAGCCCAGUUGCAUUGUUCCAUGUAAUAGUCGUUUCUAGUAUCAAUGGUGUGGUUUGAAUAAAUGCAGGUUAAUUUGAGAAGAAUGUAGUGUGGAAUGCUAUUCAUCAAUCUUUCCCGGUUGAUUUAAGGAAUAUUGUAAAUAUUGUUGUGUGGAAUAAUAUUCAAUAAUUAAUGAAUGAGUAUGAAUUAUCCUAGUGUAUAUAUAUUGUAAACUUAUUUAUAUUUUUAAAAAUUAAUUUUAAAAUUUGAAUUAGUAAUUUUUAUUAAACCUUAAUUUUUAAAAUAAUUUCAACCGUUUUAACCAAAUAUUCCAUUUUAAAAAUUAUUAUUACUAUUUUUUUCUUCAUAAAUCCCUAUUUUACUUCAACAAAGAUCUUAUCGGGUUUUUUUUUUUAACUUCUACACCUAGUUUAAAAAAUAAUUCUUAAAAAAUGGUAGUUUGAAAAAAAAAAAUUCUUAAAAUAUAGUAGUUACAAAACUAUUGAUAAAUCUACAACACUUUUUGUCAUUUUAAAAGGUGUUUCUUGAAAAGACAUCUUCCAUAUUAUUCGUAUUAACAUGUUAAAAUUUUUUUGAAUUUAUGUCUUUUGAAAAGACAUUUUUCAUAAUAUCAUAAAAUUGAAUUUAUAUUAAAAAUGUCUCUUCAAAAUACAUUUUUUCAUAAUUCCAUAAAAUUGAAUUUAUUAUGCUAAAGUUGUCUCUUCAAAAAGACACAUUUUUAUAAUUUUUUUAUUAGUCAUACAUGUUAAAAAUAAAAAUAAAUAAAUUUAUACUAAAAAAAAUAUUAUUUCUACAAUGUCAUAAAAUCGAAUUAAUACUAGAGGUGUAUUUAAAGAGACACCUUUUACAAUUUUCAUAUUAGUCACACGGUGAAAAAAAAUUGAAUUUACAUUCAAAGUGUCUCGAUAAUUCCACAAAAUUGAAUUUAUGCUAAAGAUGUCUCUUGAAGAGAUAUUUUUCAUAAUUUCAUAGAAUUGCAUUUAUACUAAAAGUAUCUCUUCAAAAGACACUUUUCCAUAAUUCUAUAAAAUUGAAUUUAUUAUGCUAAAGCUGUCUUUUCAAAAUAUACCAUUUUAUAAUUUUUUUUAUUAGUCAUACAUGUUAAAAAAAAAAAAUUAUACUAAAAAAAAAUUCUUUCCACAAUGUCAUAAAAUCAAAUUUAUACUAAACGUGUCUCUUGAUGAGACAUCUUCCACAAUUUUCAUAUUAUACAAUGAAAAAGAAAUUGAAUUUACAUUGAAGACAUCUCUAUAAUUCUACAAAAUUGAAUUUACACUAAAUGUGUCUUUUGAAGAAGCACCUUCUACAAUUUUUAUAUUAGUCACCUAUCGAAAAAACUAAAUUUAUACUAAAAGUAUCUCUUGAAGGGAAAUCGUUUAAUAUAAAUUUAAUUUUGUGCAAUUGUGAAAUAUGUUUUUUGAAGAGAUAUUUUUAAUAUAAAUUUAAUUAUUUUAAUAGGUAAUUGAUAUGAAAAUCGUUGAAGGUGUCUCUUUAAGAAACAUUUUUAAUAUAAAUUUAAUUUUAUAAAAUUAUAAAAGAUUUCUCUUAAGGAGAUAUUUUUAGUAUAAAUUCAAUUUUUUUUACUAUGUAACUUAUAUGAAAAUUGUGAAAAAUGUCUCUUAAAGAUAUACUUUUAUUAUAAAUUCGAUUUUAUAGAAUUAUAAAAUGUGUCUUUUGAAGAUAUAUUUUUAAUAUAAAUUUAAAAUUUUUUUAAUGUAUGUCAUUGAUAUAAAAAUUAUAAAAAGUGUCUAUCGAAGAGAAAUCUUUAAUGCAAAUUUAAUUUUUUGAAACAUGUAUAAUUGAUAUCAAAAUAAUGAAAGAUGUUUUUGAAGAGACCUUUUAAAAUGGCAAAUGUUGUAGAUCUGAAAAUAUUUUUUAAUGUACUAUAUUUUUUAAUUUAUGGGCAAACAGCCGGCGGCUGUGAUAAUUUAAAGAAAAGUUUAAUUAAUUGUAAAGGUGGCCAUGAAGUCACUUUAGGUAAAGGCGGUGACGGAGCUGGUGCAUGGACACACCCUACAAAUAAUGCAAAACCUUUAAUUUUAAAUUCACUGUAUAAUUAUAAAAAAUCCGAUCUUAUCGACAACUCCCACGUGGUGAUAAUUUAUGGGCAGACAGCCGGCGGCGGCGCUUCUUCAUAAUUUAAAGAAAAGUUUAAUUAAUUGUAAAGGUGGUCAUAAAGUCACUUUAGGUAAAGGCAGUGACGGAGCUGGUGCUUGUACACCCACCCUACAAAUAAUACAAAACCUAGAAGGCAUGGCUUUGAUUGCACAAGUGGGAGAACCAAAUGAUAAAACAAGGCAUUCAUCACCACGCCAGUAUAGAAUUUUUUUGCCACAGCAAAAGAAAAGGAAAAGGUAAAUAAAAAAAUUUAUUUAUUUUUGUAUGUUUUUUUAAAAAAAAUUUAUUUGAAUUAUUUUUACCUAUGAAGAUUAAAUAAUUUAAAAAUAAAUAAUGUUUGAACUAAUUUUAAUUAUAUUUAAUUUUAAUUUUUUUAUAAUAAAAUCAAAUACAAGAAAAAUCAUUUUUUCAAUAUUUGUUUAAGUAGGUCCCAAAAUAUCCAAGAAAUCCAUAUACAUAGAAACCAACACACCUGACUUCUUUCCAUGCAACUUGCAAGCUUCUUGUCUCAGUUUAUGAGCUUUUACCAUUAAUGGAGUUCCUUCGUCCUCUUCCUAAUGCACAUAAAUAAUCUAAACAUGCUCAUAGCAAUCCUUAAAUAACAAUUAAAUCAUAAGUGGAAUUGAAAACAGAUAAAAAAACGUAUCUCCCGCCAUUGCCAUUUUUACAGUUUAAAAAAUGUGUCUUCAAUUUUUUAGGUUUCAGGUGCUUUUAAACCUUUCUCAACCUCCACUUAGAUGGUGUUUUUUAAGACUAAAAGAGAUUGAAGGCUUAGGGAACCCUACCCUUUAGUUCUCUGCCCUUUUUUAAAGACUUUUUCCAUCACCGAGUCUGCUUCGAGCAUGCACAAAACAUGGAGUAGUGAUGCGAACGUGGUUUCGAACGUUAAUCCUCAUUCCUAAAUUGAUGGAAUGAAUGUGGACCACAUUCCGAAUCAUGUCUUCGGUUUGUUAUCGAAGAUCCAGGAGAAACAAAAUCCCAACAUUCUCCCACUUGGUCCAUAUAUUCCAUCAUUCACCAUAACAAGAAACAAAACACAUGAAUCAUGGUGAUAGGUCCUCUAAAAUCGAGUAUUAUCUUCCAUGUAUCACAAUGCAUCAUGUCUCUCAAAAAUUAGCCCAUAUAAGUUAAUGAAUAAACCCUAUGUUUAUUCUAGGUCCAAACAUUAAUGAUAUUUCUCAAUAAAUGAAUAAAGUGUACACAAAGAAAAUCAAAUAUGAGAAAAUAUCACAAAUAGAGUUUUAUUGAAAAUAACAUUCGUUCUUACAAUGAAAAUCACAUGAAGGAACCAAGUCCCAAUCUAUCUACAUGAUCCUUAAAUUUCAACGGUGGCAUGCCUUUAGUCAAAGGAUCAGUAAUCAUCAAUUCAGUGCUAACGUGUUCAAUAACCACUGUUUUCUCUUUAACACGUUCUCUUAUGGCUAAAUACUUGAUGUCGAUGUGCUUGUUUCGACUAUUGCUUCUGUUGUUCUUAGUCAUAAAAACUGCAGUUGAAUUGUCACAAUAUAUCUUCAAUGACCUAGAAAUUGAAUCCACAACUCUAAGCCUAAAAAUGAAACUCUUUAACCAUACACCAUGUGAGGUAGCCUCAAAACAAGACACGAACUCAACCUCCAUAGUGGAGGUUGCAAUCAAAGUCUGUUUUGCACUUCUCCAAGAAACAGCUCCAUCGGCUAGCAUAAAGACAUAUCCUAAAGUUGAUUUUUGCAAAUCAAUGCAACCAACGUGGUUCGAAUCAAAGUAGCCAAUCACUUCUAAAUUAUCAGUCCAUCUAUACAUAAACAUGUAGUCUUUGGUCCCCUGAAGAUACCUCAUCACUUUCUUUGCAAUUUUCUAAUGGUCUAUACCUGGAUUACUCUGAUAUCUUCCUAACAUCCCAACAGCAAAUGUAAUGUCAAGUCUUGUGCAGACCUGAGCAUAGAUCAAGCUUCCAAUAGUAGAAGCAUAAGGAAUGUUCUUCAUUUGUUCCCGCUCAAGAUCAUUCUUCGGGCAUUGGUCUAAAUUGAACCUAUUGCCCUUCACAAUGGGAGCUAUACUAGGUGAAAAAUCCUUCAUCCGAAAUCUCUAUAAAACUUUGUUGAUACAGGUCUUUUGAGACAAACCCAAAAGGCCUCGAAAUCUGUCUCUAUGUAUCUUAAUGCUAAUGACAUAAGUCGUAUCACCCAUAUCCUUCAUGUCAAAGUUUUCAAAGAGAAAUUGUUUCACCUCAUGUAGCAAACCCUUAUCAUUGGUUGCAAGUAAAAUGUCAUAUACAUACAGAACAAGGAAACAAAUCUUACUCCCACUUACUUUAUGAUAUAUACAUUGAUCCAUAAUGUUCUCCACGAAACCAAAUGAAGAAAUAACAUCAUGAAACUUCAAAUACCACUGACGGGAUGCUUGUUUCAAUCCAUAUAUGGAUUUCUUAAGCUUGCAUACCAGAUGCUCACCUCCACUAGAGGAAAAUCCUUCUGGUUGUUUCAUGUAAACCUUUUCUUCUAGAUUUCCAUUGAGAAAUGUUAUUUUCACAUCCAUUUGUUGCAACUCUAUGUCAAAAUGUGCAACUAAUGUCAUAAUGAUAUGAAGAGAAUCUUUCUUAGAUACAGGAAAAAAAGUCUCCUUGUAGUCAAUUCCUUCAUUUUGAGUGAAUUCUUUAGCAACAAGUCUUGCUUUAUACCUUUCAAUGUUGCCUAAUGAAUCAUUCUUUGUCUUGAAGACCCAUUUAUAUCAAAUGACUUUUGCACCAUUAGGCAGCUCAACAAGAUUAUGGACUCUGUUAGAUGCCAUAUAAUUCAUCUUAUAUUUCAUAGCAUCAUACCAUAAAUUUGACUCUUUGCAACUUAUGGCUUGUGAAAACGUUUCAGGAUCAUUUUAAGCUCCAAUGUUGUAGUCCGAUUUUUGCAGAUACACAAUAUAAUCACUAGGUAUUGUUGUUUUUCUUACUCUGGUAGAUAUCCUUAAUGUUGUAUCAAUAUUUUCUUGAGAAUCAUGUUGCUCAACUGGUUGUUCAACAAUUUCUAGUGAAUCUUGAACAACUUGAUCUAUUGGAUUGUCAUCAGCAAUUUCUGGAACUUCAAUGAUAGGUUGUCUGUUACUUGUUUAAACUUGAGGGGUGUUGUGAAUAACAAUGAAUCUAUCACUUGAAGUGGAUGGUUGAGCAUCAAUAUGAUCUUUUCCAGAAACAAUGUCCUAAAAUUGAUCGCUCCCACUAAUCAAGUCAUUCUUAAGAAACUUAGCAUUUCUUGACUCCACAAUCCUAGUGUUGUGAGAUGGACAGUAGAAUCUAUACCCUUUAGAAUUUUCGGCAUAUCCAAUGAAAUAUGCACUAAUGGUCCUUGGGUCUAUUUAUUCUCUUGUAGGUUGUAAACUCUUACUUUAAACGGGCAUCCCCAAACACAUAUAUAUUGCAAACUCGGUUUCCAAUAUUUCCAUAAUUCAAAUGGCGUCUUGGGCACAACCUUUGUUGGAACUCGAUUCAAUAUAUACACUGCCAUUGUAAGAGCUUCAGUCCACAAGGAUUCAAGAAGCUUGGAGUUGCUACACAUACUCUUAACCAUGUCCAUUAAUGUUUAGUUUCUUUUUUCAGCCACACCAUUCUGGUCUGGGGAACCAGACAUGGUGUAUUGAGCAACUAUCCCAUGCUCUUGAAGAAACUUUGCAAAGGGACCAAGUGUUUGUCCAUCCUCGGUGUAUCUACCAUAAUAUUCUCCACCUCUAUCCGUUCUCACAAUCUUUAUUUUCUUUCUGCAUUGUUUCUCUACUUCAGCCUUAAAAACUUUAAAGGCACCCAAUGCUUCAUUCUUGUUAUGAAGCAAGUAGAUAUACAUGUAUCAUGAGUAAUCAUAUAUGAAAUGCAUCAUGAGUAAUCAUAUAUGAAGGAGAUAAAAUAUUUCAGACCAUACGCGUCUAUGCUUGGACAAAAAAUAUCUGAAUGUAUGAUCUCUAAUCUUAGACUCAUAACAAAUAAAUGAGAUUGGUUUAUUUUUCUUCUCAAGCCAUUUCUAGAAUUUGGUGCAACCCUUCUUCAUAUACCCAUUUUUCUUGUAGAAAAGGCAUCUAUUGGCCUUCUUAAUUCCACAUUGGGGCAAUAUUUUAUCUUUUCCUUUCUUUUUAGUCUGAUUAUGAUCCUUUCCUUCCAUUUCCAUUAAUGCACUCUCACCCAAUUCCAUUUUUUAGUCUUCCCAUCCUCUUGAACACACAAGGUCAUAAGCUCAUUAAUUGACCACUUAUUCUUGUGUGUGUUGUAGGAGAUUUUGAAAUGUCCAUAUUAUUGUGAAAGAGUGUUCAAAAUAUAGCGCACAAGGAAGGAGUCAAACAUUUCAACCUCAAGUGUCUUCAAUUGUGCCACAAUGUCCCUCAUCUGCAUUAUGUGCUCUCACACACCACUCACAUCGGUGAGCCUUAAGGAUGAAAACUUCAUUAUCAAGGUGCUGGCAAGUGCCUUAUCUGAAGUCACAAAUUACUCAUCAAUAACCUUCGGUAAUGCCUUGACAUUGUCAUGUUGAUCGACAGAACCACAAAUACCAUUAGAGAUUUUAGUCUUUAUGAACAUUAGACUAAGGCGAUUUAAUCACUCCCAUUCUUCAUAAAGAGCCUUUUCGGUUGUAGUGUUGGUGUCAGUAAUAGUUGGCUUGUCUUUAUGUAUCCUAAAUGAAGGAGAAUUCUCUCAUUCCAAACCUUAUAGUUAUUAACUUUCAAUUCGGGAAUGUCACAUUUUGUAUUAGAGAAAUUUGCAGGUUGCAUGACUGCACAAAAAUUAAACAUAUAUGCUUAUAAUUCAAAAUUGAGACUAAUAACCAUAUAUCAUGUUUUACCAAUGUAACUCAUGUUCCAAAAUUAUGAAUAUAGUGACAUAAAACUUGCGUGUAGGCUAAAGUUCUAAUUCAAUUAGAUCCAUAUAAAACCAUCAAAUUAUGUUUCAUUUCCUAAUUUCUAUGGGUAAUUAAGAAAUAUAAUUUUAUAUUCCAUCCUAAUUAAUCAUACAAAUAUAAUUAAAAAUUCCUAUGGGAUAAAAUUUUAUUAUAUCAAAUAUAAUUAAUUACCCGUAAUGUCAUUUUUUUUAUAUGUGAUUCUAAAACACUUAAUAUAUAAUUUUGCAUAAUUAAAGAUGUUGUGACUACUCUUUAAUUAAUUACAAUUAUAUGGAUCACUUGACAUUUAAUUAAUUCACAAGAAAAACUUAUAUAAAUUACAUGAAACCAUAAGCAAUGUGUACACAAAAGUCAAUAUCAAUGUACUAAUAUUAUUCAACUCAAUAUUGCAUGUAAUAAAACAAUAAAUCAUACACACAAAAUUAUGAAAUAAAUAUUAUAAGUACAUAAAUAUCGAAAAUUAAAUCCAUAAAGAGCCUUGCAUAAUUAAAGAAUCAAUUUAAUGUGCAAAAUUAUUUUAACUUAAUGUUGUAUGCAUAAUAAACCAUAAAAGUAUACAUACAAAUAACAAAAAUAAAUAAUUUAGCAUAUAAAAUAUCCAUAAAUUAAAAGAUCUUAAGGAGUCUAACCUGGGUAGUGAUUGGGGAAAGGCAAGGCUAAGACCAAUUGGGCUACUACCCAUUUUCUUAUUUUUAUUUUACUUAUUUCUUUCUUAUUUACCUUAAAAAAUAUAAGCCCAUGUAGUUGUCUUCUACUUUUAACCAGGUCUGUUUGACCCAUUUGCGACCCGAAAUGAAACCCGAUGAUUUCCAGGUAUUCCAAACACCAGAUUGACGAUUUAAAACAUUGAAAUGUUAGAAAUAUAAUCUCCUAAUGAUUUCUAACUAUAUUUUUAAUAAAAAACUUCUAAAAACCAUAAACUCCAAAAUACCAAAACUCACUGUAUUUUUUUAUUUAUUGAAAAACGCAGAUUGUAAAAUGAACAAGAUAGAAACAUACAUUGCUCUGAUACCAACUGAUGGACAUAAAUAAUCUAAACAUGCUCAUAACAAUCCUUAAAUGGCAAUUAGAUCAUAAGUGGAAUUGAAAAUAGAUCGAAAACGUACCUCCCGUCAUUGCCAUUCUUACAGGUUAAAAAAUGUGUCUUUAAAUUUUCCGGUUUCAGGUGCUUUUAAACCUUUCUCGACCUCCACUUAGAUGGUGUUUUUUAAGACUGAAAGAGAUUGAAGGCUUAGGAAACCCUACUCUUUUAGUGCUCUGCCCCUUUUUAAAGAUUCUUUCCAUCAUUGAGUCUGCUUCGAGCAUGCACAAAACAUGGGGUAGUGAUGCGAACGUGGUUUCAAACGUUAAUCCUUGUUCCUAAAUUGAUAGAAUGAAUGUGGACCACAUUCCGAAUCAUGUCUUUGAUUUGUUACCGAAAAUCCAAGAGAAACAAAAUCCCAACAUUUUCCAUUCUGGCUUUUUUUUUAGUAAGUCCACAUUUUUUUCUUCUUCAUUUUUGUUAUGAAUAUUGUCAAUCAAAUAGUCUUUCAAUUGUGUUAUUGUGAUUAAUGCAACUUAAUUGCAGGUGGUGGUGGUAGUAAGCCAUGCUUAUUUACCUUUUGAGAGUUAGUAAGCCAUGUUUUUCUACCUUCUGAGGGUUACUAGAAGUUGGUUUUGCCUCACACUCCCAUGCCCAAAGAUGUGAAGGAUCACUUGCAGCCUGGUUUGUUUCAAUACAUCUCUAGACUUUGUUGCAAGAUAUUUUCUUUUAGAUUAUUUGAUCUUACAUUAAGCUUAUAAGUUUUCUUUGUCAUUGCUGAAUUUGCAAAUUCAAGGUGUAACUUCUUUCAAUGUUUCUGCUGCUUGAUGUACUAGGAUUCACAUUCAGUUCAACAAAAUCCAGGCUCAAGAUGGCUUAAAUAUAGGUAACUUUUUUUUACAAAUAGAUCUGCACCCAAGUACAAAAAUGAUGUUGCAGUUGCCACAAACUACAAAUGAAGCAAUAUUCUUGCCUCGUCAAGUUGCUAACUCCAUACCCUUUUCAUCUAAGAAGCUACCUAUAGACCCUCAUCUUGGGGUGUCUUUUUGCAGGAUAAUUUUUGCCAGGUGUCACAGUCCUAGAAGACCAUAUGUCACCUCGUGGUUAGCUGUGAGAGAAUCAUGUUAGUGGAUAGAGAAUGCAAUGGGAAAAAGACACGUGUUUUAGAAUAUUCUAGAGAUGAGUGUAUUCAGUUAAGGGAGUAGGCUGGUUGUUGCUGGUGGGAUUUUUUUUUAGCUUGUUGGGGGAGGCAAGACAGGGAGAGGAAAAACUGUGGAAAACAAGUUGGGUAUAUGGGAAGAGAGAUGGUAGGAAGAAUGGAACAAAAUUGAGUGUUCAUUGAAAGGAGUGGUUACAGAGAACGUUUUUUUGGGAAAGAGGGGAAAGAGAAAGAGAACUUGGGGAGAAAACCAGAGAAAUGAGCUUGAGAGAAAACGAGACAGCUUGAGAAUGGAGACAAGAAAAAAUGAGAGUAGUAGAUAUUUUUUUGGGGUGAGAAGAGAAAUUUGAGAGAGCUUGAGAGAGAACCAGUGAUAAGCCUUAGAGAGAAACUGAAGAAGAAGCAGGGGAGGAACUUGUCAAUUCGGUCCAAGUAUGAUUUCAUCAUUCUUUUGUAUUUUAUCAUUUCAGAUUGUUCUAUCAUGUUUCCUGAUGAUUUUUGGGUUUAUUUGCUGAUUGGUGUGGACGUCUGCUUUUUAUGUGCAUUCUCUGUUAGGGCCUCAUGUUCAAAUCUUUGUUUCUCUGUGGAAAAUACUUGAUGUAUUAAUCUUUCCCUGAGUUUGAUGAAUAGAAAUCCUGAUCUUGCUUCUUGAGAUUUUUCCACCCAUAUCCAACUCAUUGAUUAUCAUGAAUGGAGCUAAUUGUAACAACAUUUCUUCCUCUUGUACAUGCUCUGUUUUUCUUCAUUUUUUCCUCUGUUUCUGGUAUUUUUAGAGUGUUGGGCAGCAUGUUUGGGUUGGCCAUUUGGAUUGGGGUGCUUUUGAGAGAGCUCAACAUUGGAGUCUUUGAAAGACAUUGCCCUAUUGUUCAUUUGGUGAGCUGAAGGUUAUCUAUCUAAAGAAGGCAUGAAGGAGGCCAGUUUCUAGCAAGAUAUGAUGUCGCUUUUUUUUUACAAGGAUGACGGAAAUAACAUAGUUCAGUGAAGAAGGUCAUUUGGAUGUCAUCUUCACUCUGAUCAGACAUUGAAAAAUGACCCUCUCCAAAUUAGUGAAUGAAAGCUUCAUUUUCAAGUAUCCGAGUUCUUUGUAGAAGAGGUGCUCCAUGACACACCAAAUUGCCAAGGUGUCUAGUAAAUGGUCCAUGCCUUCAUGAUACCCAUGCACCUAGUUCUAGCUUCUCAUGACUGAUACCAGUUGAAAGAUAUGAUUCACCACUGUUUGCUAUCCAGCUGAGUCUUGGGAAAGGUCGGAGAAGCAUGAAUGGUGUUGAUGUGGUUGGAAGUAUGGUUGAUGCUGUAGAUAGAGAAUGUGAGAGAGAUGACCAUUUCUUCCUUUUUUUCAGCCAAAGCUGAGAUUGAUUCAUUACUUCGCGGGACUAAUCCCAUCACUGGUGGUUUUGAAGCUGGUAUCUCCAAAGGUGGACCAACCUGUGAGCACGCACAUGCCAACUUUCAUUCUUGGCAUGAAGUGGAUGAUUUGCUACUGAAAUAAAACAGAGGACAUGACGCCAAUGUGCUCUACAAUAAGGCUUCGAAGGUGCCGAUAUGAUAGAAAGGCCUACCAACCUUGAUUGGUACAAAGACCCGAUUCUUCUUGAGGCCCUAGACAUGGUUAAUAAGCCUAAAAGGCCCUCAGACAAGCCACUACAUCAUCUUCUAUAGGAUGUGCAUGAGAUUGAUGGGAUUAGAACUGUACCAAUUGGGCGUGUAGAGGCUGGCACCCUGAAGUCCAGCAUAGUGGUGACUUUUGUCCAUUAUGAACCUAUAAUUGAAUUCAUACCCGAUGAGACGUGCCAUCAGUCUUUCCCAGAGGUUGUGCUUGAUGAUAAAUUAAGCUUCAAUGUGAAAAAUAUUGUUAUGAAUGAUAAAAAACGUGGCUUUGUUACAUCCAGCUCCAAAGGUCGAUCCUAUAAAGGGAAUUGCCAGCUUCACCGCCCAGGUCAUCAUCACGCACCACCUUGAUCAUAUCUGAAAUGGAUAUGUCCCUGUUCUUGCAGUACCUCCUCCUCCACCAUGUACCCAUCCUAUCAUCCAUACUCUCCAUGCGUUUCCAUUUUUCAAAUACCCAUACCUAUAUCUUCACCUUUCAACACCCACUAAACCCAUUUUUCUUAUUACGUACCUAUUCCAUCAACCAUUUCCUAACCAAUUUCUCACACUACCCCUUAUCAUCCAUUCCACCCAUGAACAAGACCAAUAUUUUGUAAACCACUUUCUCUCCCUACUCAUGGCUCCACCCAACACUAAUCCUUUUGCGCAUGGCUACUUUCAUUUCACCACCUCUCCUGUUUGUUUUCAUCAUGCAUGAACCCAUAUGUACCUCUCUCCACAAGUUAUUCCAUUGAUCAAUCUUCAUACUCACCACAUACCUAGCACACCCACUUCCAUGUUUAUAUUUCCAUUUUUUUCAAUGCCCUUAAACCAAUAUCUCUCGUUACCUUCCUAUCAUUGCUCACUCUCUGUCACCCUUCCAUCAUUCUACUAUGGUGUACAAUGGUUCAUGCUGACGGGUUUGUUUUGCAAACUUAGAGACUACCUAAAACAUUCACAGGGGUUCAGUAGAUCAGACUAUUUUCAGCUACUCGGGGUAUCCGUACCGAUGAAUGAGGAAAUAGUAUGAAUGUACCAACCCGAGUUGAAAAGCAUAACUGGACAUGGUACAAGAAGCACCUUCUCUUAAGAAGAAUGUGAACAUGAAAUUGCCAAAGGGUUAACGAAGAUGAAUAUUUUAUUCCUACUUUGGAAGAUGAAGCAAUUGAAGUUAAACAUUUACUUGUUGAACCUAAAAAUGAUAAUAUCUUUGUGGAUGGUGUUUUGUCUCUAAAGAAGUGCUUGGACAUUUAAGAUAUUCCUGGCAGAUUUGAAUGUGUCCUAGAAGGCCAUAGUGGUGGGAUGGAUUCAAAUACUACUCGGGAAGGAGAAGACGAGCUAAAACUUGGAGUUUUGAUGGAAUGCUGCAUGAAGUUGGAGAAGUUGGGGAUCUUCAUGCAACAAAAGUCUCUCUGGUGCUUGUGAAGAUUAUCUUUUGGAUAUUGAAUUUGCUUAAAAAGUUUCAGAAUUGGACAAUGGUCUUUGUGCAGGAUCACACUUGGAGAACUCAAGUUUUGAAAGUCAUUCUCCAGGAUUUAGCGGUAAUGAUAAUGGUGUUGUUGGGAUAUCAGAAUCAUCAAUAGGAGCCAUUCCAUUGCUCGAAUGUGGGAAUAAUCUUGACAAGACAACCAUUUGUACUUUAUAUGGCACUUCUGGAAGCAAAUGUGAAUGUAAAAAUGCUUAUUUAAGAAGCAAGUAGAAUACUUUCAUACCAGGGGAAGCAGUCUGCAUAUGAUAUGAUGUAUCAAGUGUCACUGAAACAAUACUGCUCCAAAGCCACCACCUUAUUAGCUGAAUAGGAACUCAUUUGUCAAUACUCCCUUGGUGCACCCACGUAGACUUCUUCUGGCUUAAUCAGCGAGAUGGAGCUACAUGCAAAGAUCAUGGGUUGCUUUGUCGACCACUGUAUGUUGUUUGGUGUCCAUCUAUGUUUUUGUUACUCCUAUUCUCAAGCUCAUUGGAGAGACUAAUCAGGUUUCUGAGGUUGUGCAUAGCUAGAUAUCAAUAGAAAUUCCACAUGUUUGGAACAUGUUCUUGCUUCACUACAACCUUCCGUCUUUGCACUGCUCAACUGAAGACUUUUAUGACAAUCAUAUGGUGAUGCCGAAUCAAUAAACUUGUUGAUCUAGUGGAAGUUACUCUUGGUCUAAAAGACAGGAAUGUUAGACAUAACUUUUAUACACUUUUUCUCAGUCUCUUAGAUCACAUGGUUCUGGUGAAAAUCUCGAUACCGUGAAGGAACUUUUUGGUGUUGAACUUGUUAGUAGUGAGCAGAAUAGCAAUGGGAGGAAGUGGCUUAAGAAGAUUUAGCACGAUUGGAGCUUCCUUCAAGUCCUAAGUCCACUUCUAGAAUCAGUGCAAGUCAUUUUGGUGGAAUAUGGCAACCAACUCAUGCGUAGCAUCUUUGAGGCAUUUGCAAUAAGAAACUGGAUCUUGAUCCUAAAAAGGUCAAUGUCAAUGGAGGUGCUUUGGCUCUUGGGCAUCCCUUGGGUGCUAUAGGUGCUCAUUGUGUUUCAACACUGUCGUAUGAGAUGAAGCAUCGUGGAAAGGACUACCGAUAUGGUGUGGUUCCCUUGUGCUUAGUCGAGACCAUGAAAGGCAAAACCCAAGUGAGAUAGAAUCAGAAAUUGUAGAUUCAGUGAUGUGGUUCAAUGACCAGCUCAAAACCCCGAACUUAGGAUCCCACUCUUGCAUGAUUUUGGUUUGCAUGGCCACCUCCCUAAGCCCAUUUUCAUAGCCCAUACCUGCAUGCAUGUCUCCAAAACUGAUAUUUGGAAAAUCUAGUUUUCAAAAUGAUUUAAUUCACAACUUCUCAUUCCUCUUUGAUGUUUAGGUUCAACAAGUUUCAUUUUUAAUAAAAUUUUGCUGCCAUAUUGUGGACCCGCAUUUCUCACGUGCGUCCCCACUCGAUCGGCGAGACUCGCUUUUUUAUUUGUGAAAAAUUGAUUUUUGGAAAAAAAGUUGGAGUCGCCACUUAUUUUAUUUUUAUUUUAGAGGGAAAAUAAAACAAGAAAGAAAAACCCUAAAAUGUGACUCCAUUAUUUUUGGAAAAAGCAUGUCUUUGAAAAACCCGAGUCUAAGUCUGGGGAUCAGGUUACCUAUUGGGAAGGUACCUUUAAAAGGUAGCACCCCUCUAAGCCCUAUAAAGGUCUCUACUAACUAAGUUAAGGGGAAUAUGACAAUUAAUCGUUUAAUUAUGGAUACCUGAGUAGGCUAAAGUGAUUUCAAAAAAUAACAUGCCAAAUAGGAUCAAAUUGUCAUAAAAGAAAGGUUAGGAUGCGUACCCGGACCGCUUCUCAAGCGCUAUCAUAAAACAUCAGAGUUAGUAUAGAUGUAUAACACACAACAUGUAUUUAAUCAUAGUGAAUCAAGCAUACAUCUAAACACCUAAGGAUUAUCAAACAUAUGCAUACUUCACAGUGACAUGAUUGUUUACAAAAUUUAGAAAGUAGGUGAUACGAGGGCGUACCUGGAUAGCAUAGAUAACUUACAAUGCGCUUCCAUAAGACAUGAGGGAUUAGAUAAUAAUAAAAUAAAGAAACCCUAGCAUGCUUGUUAUCUAAUUAGCAUAACAAAAAUUAUCAAAGUAUAUGAAAACAUUAAUUAUCACACACAUCUUGCAUACAAUUCCUAAAAAAGAUAGACAUAAUUUCAACAAGUGACAAAGGUGGUAACAAAAAUAAUCUUUGAAAAGAUUUUCUUAUGUAGGGGUUUCACCAAUUCCCCAAUUGAUAUACACGAAUUUAGCUCAGAAUUAUCCCAUUUAUUUGGGACCACAAGCUUUGAUUCGUGUUUUAUUCAAAACUGAAAUUUUGUUUGAAAGAUGUGAACCGAUCAAAACAUGGUUGCACAUCAUUUUUUAAAAAAAAAUGAUAUUUUGAUUCUAAGAACUCUAAAUGAAUUUUUGAAAUGGAUUAUUAAGGGGAAUGAGAUUUUGAGAAUAUUGUUAUGUUUUAAAGAUAAAAGAAGUUAAUUUGAAAACAAUAAAAUGUAUGAAUCAAAAGAACAAAAUCACAAAGUAAAAUUUUUGACAACCGAUAAAAUUGAAGUGGUGGGAAUGAAGGCCAAUCUUCACUAUCUUCCGGUAGCCUCUAAAAAUUGAAUUUGAUGAAGGAUGACCAAAGUGAUAAACCAAAACCUUAGAUCUUACAAGCACUGAAACUUUAAAAACAUUUAAUCUUAAGAUAAACUUAAUCAAGCACUAAAUAUUAUGUGACCUUUAAAACAGUACAAGCGAUACGUAUCAACUAAUAUUGACAAUUUUGAGUCAUAAAUCUAAUCGACUAACUAGAUAAUUGAAUAAAAGAAAACAAACACAUAAACUAAAUAAAAUUAGUCAAAAACUAAAAUGAAUUAUUUUUAAACAAAAAAUGAUAACAUGGGGAUAGAUUAAACUAAUUGCCUACAAUUCGAAAACAUAGAAUUAAUAGAAAAAUGAAAUUAACAAUCUUAAAACAUAAACUAAAUAGUAUGAAACCAAUCAAACUAAUGAAAAUUCUAAAAAAAUAAAAAAAUAAAAAAUAAAAAAAAUUAAAAAUUAAAACAAGAUCAAUCAAAACUAAAAUAAUUUUUUAUUUAUUUUAUUUUUUAUUCUUAUUUAUUUAUUUAUUUUAGAACAUGAAUAUAUUAACGCAGAAUGAAACAAAUUAACCAACUUAAAUUCUAAAACUAAUAAACUAAAAGGAUGAAUCAUGAAUUAAAAUUAACAACCUUUAGAUAUCAAAAGAGUGACAUGGAAUCAAUUGAACUAAUAAACUGAAAUUUUAAUAUCUAAACUAAAAGAUAAAUUAAAAAUAAAUUGAAUAAAAUUAUGAAUUUCCUAAUUGAGAACAAAAAUAAUGCAAAUCAAAAUUCUAAAUUUUUAACUAUCAUCAUGAAUUAUCAAAACUCUAAAAAAAAAUCCUAACUUUUUCAUUAUCAACAAAAAUUGCCCAAACUAAUACUAAAAAAAAAAAUCUAAUUUGCCAAACUAAACAAAUAAAUUGUAACUACAUUAAACAAAAAUCAUAAUUUUCAUGCUAGAAUAAUAAAUCAAAAUUAAUUUAGCUGGUUAAGAAAAAUUAAAAAUUAACAUCUAAGCUAAAUAUGAAUUUACAAUAAAAUAAAAUUUUAAAAUGCAUAGGCCAAAUGGGAAUAAUACAAAACUAACAUUAACAAAUCAAAAACAUGAAUACAUUGACAUUGGGAAUGAGUACCUAAAUAUAUAAAAUUCUGAAACAAUUAUGAAUGGCAUUGAAUAGUCAUGAAUCAAAAUUCAAAUAGGAAGAAUUAAUUUACCUUUGUCAAAGACGCGUGGGCUACUCUUAUUAGUGACAGUAUGAUUUUUAAAAUCAAUUCCACAUGUUGUGGUGGAUACCAUGCACUGCAAGUACUUGUAGAGUCACCAAAGCAACGUGUAUUAGUGGAGAGAAAUCUCUGAUCAGCACGCACACUUGUGCUCUUGGAGAAGGAAACCGUGAAUCCUCGGAUAGUGGACCCCCUUAAAUUCUGGUGUGUAAUGAUCUCUCCUCGAGAAGUGAGAUAAUGGCCUUAGAAAAUCUGAAUGCGCCUGCCUAUGCGUGUGUUCUUGCUGGAGGAGCCUCAAUGGUAUUCUAUGCUACCAUUCGAAAUUAAUAGUGCAAUGUCUGACAGAGGAGCCUCAAUGAUGCGUGUUGCCUUUGAGAGAAUCUGGCAGUCCCCUUCAUGUCCUCUAAGCAGCAACCCCUUAAAUUGAAUGACAUUUUCUAUCACCACAUCCCCUUUGGUGCAGCCCGCGCAUGGAGUCCUUCUUGAUGGCCGGUUUCUUUUUCGUGUGGUUCUUGGCUCCUUCCUUUGCUCCAGAAAAAAAAAAAAUCCAAUAUGUCUCCGUGUGCUCCUCUAAAAAAAAUCCUCCGUGUGUUGAUCUCUCCUCGUCAAAGAAAAGUCCUAUGCGUGUUGUGCAUGGAUCUUUGUGAACGUGGCAGCCGGUUUCUUCCCUUGUAGAUCAGCAGCAUGGAUCUCUCCUUGAUGGACUGAAAGCGCGUGUGCUCCCCUGUGUGAUGGAAAGUGGCAGCCCACUUUGAAGAGAAUUUGUGGCUGUUCCUUGGAGAAUUAAUGAUACAGUCACCCUCUCCUCUCUUCCUCUGAAAAUCACCACCUCACCUCUCAAAACACGGACUGCUCCCCUCUAUUCUCCAGCCACUCUCCUGGAAGACCUCCUAGGGAAAGUCCUUCCUCCUCUCUUCAAUCCUAAAAAGAAUCAAAAUCCAUUCUUUUUUCGGUGCAGCUGCCUUUUCCCUCCAGAGAAUCCUUUCCUUCUCAAUGGUCCCGUUGACUCUACCAACAUGGAAAGACAACUCACCAGCCCGGAGAGCCUCAAUCAUCCACGUCAGUCAAGCAUCAUCAGGACUCUCCCUCCUGAACAUAGUCUUCAUUCCGUCCAAAUACCCAUUGAACCUUUCCUUUUUCCAUGCCAAAAUAGCUUUGGUAAUUUUCUUUCUUCAUUAUUUCCUUCCAUCAAAAGCACAAUCAGCACAUGCAUGGGUGCAUACUUGCUUUCUUUCUCAGUUCAUUUCCUUCCAUACGUCCUCUCCUCUUCCAACCACCUUGGAUCUAUCCUUCAACACAUGCAUAUCUUUGCCAAUACAUGUUUUCAACCUUCCCUUUUCUCUCCAGUGAUGAUUCCUUUGGUGAAUUUCUCUACAAAAAUAUAAAGAAAAUUAGACUUAAUGAAUGAAUCCCAAGGUGUUUUAGAAAAUUAUAAAAUAAACAAACAAAUUAAAUUAACAAAAUAAUUAAGUAAAUAAUGAUAAUAAUAAUGAUAAUAAUAAUAAUAAUAAUAAUAAUAAUAAUAAUAACAAUAAUAAGAACUCAUUUCAUGCAAUUAUAAAAUAAAAUAAAUAAACAAAAAUACAAAUAAUAAUAAUGAUGAAAUAGUAUAAAUAUAUCAAAAACUCACUUAAUCUUAAAAGCAAUCAAUAAAAUAAAUAAAUAAAUAAAACAAGAAAACAAAUCUAAGUGAAACUAAACCUUGAAAAGUGUUUAAGUGGGCCUAAGGCGGUACCUAAUGGGCCAAGUGUGUCUAAUGGGCCUAAGGUGCACUAAGUGAACCUAAAGUGAUGCCUAAUGGGCCAAGUGUACCUAAAUGGGCCUAGGGUACCUAAAUGGGCCUAAAGUGAUCUAAGUGGGCCUAGGGUGACUAAGUGAGCCUAAAGUGGCUAAAUGGGCCUAAGGUGCCUAAAUGGGCCUAAAGUGAUGCCUAAUAGGCCAAGUAUCUAAAUGGACCUAAGGUGAUGCCUAAUGGGCCAAGUGUGGUGCCUUAGUGGGCCUAAAGUGCCUAAGUCUAAAUUAGAGCUACCAAAGGUCACAAUAAGAGGUCAAAUCAUCCUUCAACCAUAGUCUCCAAGGUGGCUUAGAAAAUAUAGGCUACACGAGUAUUAACAGGCCACCAGGGAAUUGCUAUAAACGACAUGUGCGAGGAAGACAAAAUAGAGGGUCUACAAAUAUGCCCCUCUUCGGUAGAGAUCACGAGUGUAGGGAAUGUGAGUAAAAAUACGAAUAAUGAGCGGAACGAAAUGAACUAUACCGAAGAACUAAAAGAAAAGGACCUGAGAUUUUGUCCUAGCACAUGACGAGAAUAAGCUCUAAACACGGGGACGCAAUAAAAAACGAAAUAACUUCAGGUCGUGAGCUCAAGGCUUUACACAGAAAGAAUGACUCUGGGUCAUAGACGAGAGAAAUGACUCUGGGUCAUAAGUGAAAAAAAUCGACUCUAGGUCGAGAGCUCUAGGCUCUAAAUGGAAUAGAAAUGACUCUGGGUCAUAAAUGAAAAAUCGACUCUAGGUCGAGAGCUCUGGGCUCUAAAUGGAAAAGAAAUGACUCUGGGUCAUAAAUGAAAAAAUCGACUCUAGGUCGAGAGCUCUGGGCUCUAAAUGGAAAAUCGACUCUAGAUCGAGAGCUCUGGGCUCUAAAUGGGAAAUCGACUCUGGGUCGAGAGCUCUGGGCUCUAAAUGGGAAAUCGACUCUAGGUCGAGAGCUCUGGGCUCUAAAUGGAAAAUCGACUAUGGGUCGAGAGCUCUGGACUCUAAAUGGAAAAUCGACUCUGGGUCGAGAGCUCUGGGCUCUAAAUGGAAAAGAAAUGACUCUGGGUCAUAAAUGAAAAACGACUCUGGGUCGAGAGCUCUGGGCUCUAAAUGGAAAAGAAAUGACUCUGGGUCGAGAAAAAACGACUCUAGGUCGAGAGCUCUGGGUCUAAACGAAAAUCGACUCUAGGUCGAGAGAUCUGGGCUCUAAAUGGGAAAUCGACUCUGGGUCAAGAGCUCUGGGCUCUAAAUGGAAAAGAAAUGACUCUGGGUCAUAAAUGAAAAACGACUCUGGGUCGAGAGCUCCGGGCUCUAAAUGGAAAAUCGACUCUGGGUCGAGAGCUCUGGGCUCAUAAACGAAAAACGACUCUGGGUCGAGAGCUCUAGGCUCUAAAUGGAAAAUCGACUCUGGGUCGAGAGCUCUGGGCUCUAAAUGGAAAAGAAAUGACUCUGGGUCAUAAACGAAAAACGACUCUGGGUCGAGAGCUCUGGGCUCUAAAUGGAAAAGAAAUGACUCUAGGUCAUAAACGGAAAACGACUCUGGGUCGAGAGCUCUGGGCUCUAAAUGGAAAAUCGACUCUAGGUCGAGAGCUCUGGGCUCUAAAUGGAAAAGAAAUGACUCUGGGUCAUAAAUGAAAAAAUCGACUCUGGGUCGAGAGCUCUGGGCUCUAAAUGGAAAAUCGACUCUAGGUCGAGAGCUCUGGGCUCUAAAUGGAAAAGAAAUGGAGACUAACUCAAAAGGGGGUAGGAAGCAAAUGGAUCAAAGUCGUGUGAUCGAAAUGCUAAGGGUUAGACUUGUAAGCUUAGGAAAGAAAAUAUGCCCCGGUAUCCAAGGUGCUCGUAGUGCUGAAACAACCAAUAAAUCAAUCAUUCGCUAAAAUCAAGGUGUCUGUAACCGAUGCAUCGUGACAAACCUCUAAAAAAUCUGAACUAAAAGAGCCCUCUAUGUCUCACAAGCUGCUCUGGCAACAAACCUCAAGAGGUAAAUCUCGGAGUGUGUAUAUUGUGACUCAUCUAAAAGAAAAACUCAAGGUGCACGAAAAUACUGGUCACCUAGAUAACCCGAUCCACAAGAUAAUCAAUGAAGAAAACAAUCUAUCUCAUGAGCAUCUAGCUAAAGGAUCCAUCCAUGCUCCUCGGGUGAAACCUGAUGUGAUCCAUCUCUAUCUCGACAAAUCCAUAUAGGGGGGUCCUGAUACAGUCAAUCAUCGAAAGCUUAGGGCUAGUACUCAAUCUGAAACCAAACUGGCUACUGUCCCAAUCUCAAGGAUACUCCGAAAGUAGGGAUAUAUGCCCCAGUAUGAGACCUGAUGUCAAAGUCAUAAGCUAAACAAACCGACACCAAUCAUCCAUCCUCAUAUCACUGCCCAAAUAAAUCUCGUCAAGGAGAGGGGAAUAUGCCCCAGUGUGGAUAACCUAAUGUCGAAGUCGUGAGGUAAACAAACUAACAAUGAUCAUCCAUCCUCGUACCAUAUACAAUAACAGAUAAGAAUCUCGGAGGAAGGGGGAAUAUGCCCCAGUGUGAAUAUAUAAUGCACAACCAAAUGAUGAAUCCAAUAUCAUCAAUCAACUAUCCUCAGCUCAACAAUAAUCUGCUAAGAAGUCAAAAUAAAGUAUCGACCAAUGCCUCAAGGGAGACACUCUAAAUCCAACCUCAAAUGAAUAGCCAAAAUGAUGAGGGAUGUGACAGUCUCGAGAUGGGGAAAUAUGCCCCAGUGUGGAUGUCUGGUGCACGAGAAAAUGAUGAAUCCGAUAUCCUCAAUGAACUGUCUCCAAACCCAAAAAUCCAUCAAAAUCAAUAUGUCAAGCAAGAGAGAGACCAAAUGCUUCCAAAAGUAUCUUCCAUAAAAGAUAACAUAGUAACGACCAUACUUCAACCAAUCUACCAAAAACCUGUCCAAGUGAAGACUGUCAAAGAUAACGUCUGAUCUCGUGGCCUCAGGGUGGUCAUAAGACACGGGACGUAACGUAGGCCAAGGUGAUAGGGUGAAAGAAAUGAAGGGAAACUAGGCUCAAAUACCCAAUGAUCAAACCCGUACCCUCGUGUACAAGAUGUAAUGCAUAGAAAAAUCUCAUGAGUCAUGGACUUAGAAGUAACCAAAGGGAAUGCCGAUAACGAAAUGAGAGAAAGGAUGAAUGGUCAAACCAUCAAUGAAAUAUGUGAAUGAUGUGAAGAAGGUAUCAAAUCAGUAAUGAGUAUCAAUAUGUAGGGAAUGAAUAAAAGGUGGAACAAAGAUCUGGAAUGCGGUAAUGGGAUACAAAAGAAAGCAAUGAGAAAGUGGAAUGAGUGAUGAUCAACCCAUGUUAGUACAAUAAAGGAAAGUCAUAUCACCAAUGAUGGAAUGGUGGGUAAGGCAAUGAUCCGGAGACCUCAGUAAAAAGAUUACUCAUCUCUCAUACCUAGUAUAUAUCAAACAUGAUCCAAAAAGCAUAGGAUCUCAUAGAACUCUCAUAUGAACCCUCGACACUCCAAAUGCAUAACAAGAGUGGCUCAAGGACUGAAAAACUCAUAAAAACUCACAAAAACCCACAAUGACAAAUAUACCUAAUAAAUGAACCUCAAAAGGUGGCAUAAAUACCCAAUGGAACGAGAUACCAUACAUGAGCAUAUCAUUGCGCUUUUCUUUUCCUUUUUUUUUGUUUUUGUUUUUUUUUUCUUUCUUUUUUUUUUUUGUUUUUUUUUUGUUUUUUUUUUGUGUUUUUUUUUUGUGUUUUUUUUUUUUUUUUUUUUUUGCGCAUGCUCUGAUCAUCAAUAAAUCAAACUCCAAUGGAAAAAAUAUAAGGAAUGAACAAACUCUCUCUAACCAUUGAUGAAUACAUGAACCCCAACCCCUGAGACAACCUCUCAAACUAAGAUCUCCGAAUCAAUGUCAAAUGAUGGAAUGAAUAGAGUGAUAUAACUUGCCCUCUUUGCACUAAGACGUGAAGAAUCAUCAACCCAAGGAAGAGAAUAGAUAAGAUAAAGCAAAUAAUGAUAGAGACAAGAAAGAGAAUGAAUAUGUGGUGAUAAUAAAAUAGAACAAAUAGGGUGAUAAGAGGAUGGUAACAAAAUGAGAAGAUAGACCUAUAAGUCUAAAGCUCAUGAGACUUUCCUAGCAAAGCAUGCGUAUACAUCAAAGGCCCCAACCCGGGUAUAGAAAUGGUAAUCAAAGCUAUAAGAAAGAAAUAAGGCUAUAACAUACCACGCGAAGCUCAAUGGGCUAGCAACGGUCUAAUAUAUAGAGGUGAUAAAGUAUGAGGCUAACCGAAAUGAUGGCCACCCAUCCUGCGACCACGGUCUCAAACAUAAUACUUCUUCAGCUGAUCCACAUUGGUAGGCUCUGAAAAUUGGUUUCCAUCUAAGUCUGUCAACCAUGCAGCCCCUUCCGGAGUCAACUCUCGGAUAAUAUAAGGCCCACUCCAACUAGGUCUAAACUUUCCUCUAGGGUCUCCAAUCAAACCUCUGAGAAUCCUCAAAACUAAGUCUCCUUUUUGCAAUGGUCUAGGCUUAACCCGUUUCUUGAAGGCACGAGCCAUCUUUCUCUGAUAGGCCUGAACAUGAUCUGCUGCUCUCAAUCUCCUCUCAUCUAAAAGGUUAAGCUGAUCAAAUCGAGCCUGAGCCCACUCUGUCUCAGAAAUCUGCUGCUCAAGGACUACUCUCAAUGAGCCCAUUUCUGUCUCGACUGGCAAAACAGCCUCCAUACCAUACACUAGAGAGUAAGGCGUAGCUCCUGUAGAAGUACGAAAAGAUGUACGAUAUGCCCACAACGCAAAGGGAAGCUUCUCUGACCAGUCUCGAGAAGUCUCAACCAUUUUCCUCAAAAUCCUCUUAAUAUUCUUGUUUGCAGCCUCUACUGCCCCGUUGGUCUGUGGCCUAUAUGCUGAAGAUCUAUGAUGUCGGAUGGCAUACUUCUGCAACAAAGUAUCUACCUCAGCUCGGAAGUGUACCCCUCUGUCGAAAAUCAACUCAUGAGGAACCCCAUAGCGGCAAAUGAUGUGUGAUCUGAUAAAACUAGCAACCCUAGCAGAUGUCAACCUCGCAUAUGAUGCGGCUUCCACCCACUUGGUGAAAUAGUCUAUGGCAACUAGGAUGAACUCAUGACCACUAGAAGAUUUUGGUGAAACCUUCCCAAUAAUAUCAAUACCCCAUACUGAAAAUGGCCAUGGCGAAGUCAAGGCGUGUAACUCUGAUGGCGGUGCAUGUAUGAGAUCACUAUGAAUCUGACACUCUGGGCAUUUCUGAACAAACUGACAACAAUCUGUCUCCAUAGUUAACCAGAAGUAACCCGUCCUCAUAAUCUUACGAGCUAGCAUGUGUCCUCCCAUAUGCGGACCACAAACUCCUGCAUGAACCUCUCUCAUCACUCGAUCUGCAGAGGCUCGAUCUAAACAUAAUAAAAGCAUACCAUCAGCUGAUCGCCUAUAUAGAGUCUCUCCGCAAAUCACAAAUCUAGUGGCUAACUGCCUCAAUGCCCUACGAUCUCGGGCAGUGGCAGCCUCUGGGUAUAUGCUAGAUCUAAGAAGCUGAUAAAUGUCAUGAUACCAAGGUAGAUCAUCCUGGGUCUCCGUCUCUCCAAUCAAACAACAAUAGGCGGGGGCAAACCUCGACUCAAUCAGCAAUGGACGUAUAACCACAUCAAUCGGAAUAUCCACGGAAGAAGCUAAGGUAGCUAAGGCAUCAGCAAACUGGUUUUGUGCUCUAGGUAGAUGAGUGUAUCUCAAGUCAUCAAAUCUCCCAACCAGUAACUCUAAAUAAGCAUGAUACGGCCUAAGCUUUACAUCCCUAGUCUUCCAAUCUCCCUGAAUCUGCCUGAGUACGAGAUUGGAGUCACCAAAUACUUCCAUCUGUCUAAUGCCAAGCUCUAGUGCAGUCUCUAAACCAAGGAUACAAGCCUCAUACUCAACUAUGUUGUUCGUGGCGGGAUGUUGAUCUGAAAACACCAAACGAACUGACCUCGGAAUAUGAUCACCUUGGGGAGAUAUCAACAAAACGCCUAUCCCAAACCCUAAUUGGUUGGCUGCACCAUCGAAGUACAUGCGCCAACCUGAUAAGCUAGUCAUGGAAAUGAACUCCUCAUAUGGAAAAUCAUCAUCAACUGGUCUACCCUUAGAUAUCGGUAAUGAAGCCAAAUGAUCGGCGACAAUACUUCCCUUAAUAGACUUCUGAGAAACGUACUGAAUAUCAAACUCUGUCAGGAGUACGAGCCAUCUCAUCAAUCUACCAGUCAAUGCAGGUCUAUCAAACAGAUACCUCAAAGGAUCUAACCGAGAAAUCAAGCACACCGAAUACUCAGUCAUGUAGUGCCUCAAUCUCCUGGUGGCCCAAACUAACGCUAAACACAUGCGCUCAAUCAUAACAUAUCUCAUCUCAUACUCCAGCAUCCUCUUGCUCAAAUAGUAAAUCGCCCGCUCUUUCCCGGAGUCAUCAAGCUGAGCUAGCAUGCAUCCCAAGGUCAUGUCUGAAACUGACAAAUACAGAAGAAGUGGACGUCCUGGCAUAGGAGGCACUAAAACAGGAGGAGAAAGCAAAUACUCCUUGAUCUUCUCAAAUGCAAUUUGGUAGUCGUCAUUCCAAACCGUUGGCUGAUUCUUCCUCAAAAGACGAAAGAUGGGCUCACAUAUGUCUGUCAAUCUGGCUAUAAAACGACUAAUAUAUUGUAACCUGCCUAAAAAACCUCUGAUCUCUUUCUCAGUCAUCGGCACAGGCAUGUCAAGUAUGACUUUGAUUUUAUCUGGGUCGACCUCUAUGCCCCGAUCACUGACCAUAUGCCCCAACAGUUUCCCAGAAGUCACUCCAAAGGUGCACUUCUUGGGGUUUAGCCUCAAUCUAAACUUCCGGAUCCUCUCAAAGAAUCUCUCUAAAGCAUCUAAGUGAUCUGCUCUACCUCGAGAUUUCACAAUCAUAUCAUCCACGUAAACCUCGACAUCCCUAUGCAUCAUGUCAUGAAACAAAGUGGUAGCGGCUCUCUGAUAAGUAGCUCCUGCAUUCUUCAACCCAAAUGGCAUGACUUUGUAACAGUAGGUACCCCACUCGGUAAUGAAGGCUGUCUUUUCCAUAUCUUCUAGGGCCAUCAAAAUCUGAUUAUACCCCGAGAAUCCAUCCAUGAAUGAUAACAUCGAAUGGCCUGCGGUGCCAUCAACCAACAAAUCAAUGUGUGGGAGGGGAAAAUCAUCCUUAGGGCUGGCUUUAUUAAGGUCUCUGAAAUCGACACAAACUCUAACCUUGCCAUCCUUUUUGGGAACUGGGACGACAUUAGCCAACCACUCUGGAUACUCAACUACUGAUAUAAACCCAACACUGAGCUGUUUCUGAAUUUCCUCUUUCACUUGUAGACUCCAACGUGGGUGUAAUCGCCUCAAUUUCUGCUUAACUGGUCUAACAUGUGGUAGAAUAGGCAGAUGGUGUUGGACUAUAGAGGGAUCCAAACCUGGCAUGUCCUCAUAAGACCAUGCAAAAACAUCCAAGUAUGACCUGAGUAAAUGAAUAAGUCUAUCUCUCUCUUCUGUAGAUAGGGGUGAACCAAUCUUCAGCUCUCUAGGCUGAUCCUCUGUGCCAAAAUCAAUAGUCUCAACAUCCCCUGUAUCAGGUGAAACUCUCUCAUCCACGGGAUCAGAGUUAUGAUCAGAAGAGUCCCUAUCCGAAUCGAGCCAUGCAACUUCAUCAUUUAUAUCAAAUAUCUGUGAAGUGGGUGAGUGGGGUGCAAAUAUAGAGGUACUAUCACAAGAGACAGGCGAAUACUCAAAAAUACUCAAAUCCAUAAAUGAAGCAACAGAAACAUCGUCAGAGUGGGAGACAAAUCCCGAUAAAACAUCAAAAGAAAGAGGUGGGUCCACAAGGUCGGACGCUCCCUCAACUGGGCUAACAAUGCCCUCAAACAAGCUACUAUCAUCCUCUGGAAGCUCUGGAAUAGGAAGAGUCUGAGUCCCCUCAAAAACCUCAAUGGUAGACACCCCGAACAUAUCAAAUGCUGAAACAGGCUGGAGCUGAACAAUGCUGGUAAUCUGGCUCGUGGUCAUCAUGUCCAUCUCAUCUCGGUACUCAUCAUGGGAAACAACUCCAUCAAUCAUCUCAGUAGAAUCAAUCAUCACCCCAUCACCAGUGAUCUCCUCUGGAAAGCAUAGAGACAACAUGCUAGCUCGAUCUGGAGACGUGGGAGUAAUCGUCAAAGGGAAAGGAGAGUCGGGAGCCCCAUCACUCAACUGUAGCUGGUGAAAUAGAUGCUGAAGCUCGGUCUCUCUAUCUGUAUGAACCACACUAUCAAUCUCCUCUAGACGAGGUCGAGUCUCUGAUCCUCUAACAAAGUAGUCAGCCAAACUCAUCCUAUAGGGUCGAAUAGGAUAAUCAAAUGGUGUGUGGGAUAAACGGGCUCUCACCCUCUCCUUACGCAGUCGCGCCAUGUGACGGUAGUCGGCCUCAGUAGGGAUGAAUCCAAGUCCAAAUGUCGUAUCAUGGUCAAUGGCAGCUAUGAACUCGCUUGGUCCCUACUGACGUCGUCCUAACCCCAUGCCAGGUAGAAAGGUCAUACCCCUCAUCAUAUCAAGGACCACUGUGCUGCUGUGCUGAUCAAAUGACAUAGCCACAAAAUCUCUACAAAAAUCCUCAAUCUCGAGAGUCUGUAUCUCGUCAAAAGUAAACCCAAUCAGAAGUAGGUCGUCCUCACUGUGACUGAUCUGAAGUACUGGCUCAGAAGCGACAAAUACAUCCCUGGUAGAGCGAACUGUGAUGACCUGCCCAUCAUGAAUAAACUUCACCUUCUGAUGAAGGGAAGAAGGAAUAGCUCCAGCUACAUGAAUCCAUGGUCGGCCUAGUAGCAGGUUAAAGGAUGUAGGAAUCCUCAAAACCUGGAACAAAGUGGAGAAUGUGGCUGGACCAAUCUGCAGAUCAAUCAUCAAGGUACCCAUAACCUCCCUCUUGGUGCUAUCAUACGCCCUGACUGUCUGAGUAGAAGGACCAAAAUCUGAAGGCGCGAAACCAAGGGCUAUAGCAGUGGCUAAAGGGCAAACAUUCAGGGCUGAGCCGUUGUCCAGUAAGACAGACGGGACUCUACGGCCUGAACAUCUAACUGUGAUGUAUAGAGGGCGCACGUGGUCUAAACCAUCAGGUGGCAAGUCAUCAUCUGAAAAUACAAUGCAAGUGGCCCUGCCAGCCGUCAUCAUAUGAAUCAAUCCCUCCGGGGUAGUGGUGGUCUCUACGCGAAUCUGGCUCAAAGCCCGAAUCAAUGCAUCUCUAUGAGUACUAGAAGAUGCCAACAAACUCCAGAUAGAUAUGCGGGCCUGUGUACUCUGUAACUGCCUCAAUAUCUCAUCAUCCUCUUUCCUGACCUCCUCAUGAGAAACCGCGCCAUCAAAUGGCCUGGAUACUAGAGGUGGGGGCUGAGCUACUCUCCCACUACGGGUCACAAUCUGUACAUCUCUCCCCUCUAAAUCAUCAUCAUCUAGCCGUAGGAUAAAUGGGACGGGCGGGCCCUGACGUGCUGUAGCCGAUGGUGCAAUAGGAGUCAACUCAAAUGGUAUCCAAUCUGAAAUCAAACUGAAUGGAGUAAAAGUCUGAGAACCCACUGUGUCAACCUCAUAACCAUCAUCCAAAACAAUCGGCUCUGGCACUCCAUCAUCCCAACUCAUCAUGUGUAUGCUGUCAUCCUCUACAAAAUCUAUAUGAUGUAUACCACCUAGGGGUGGUGGCAUUGCAUGUGUAGAGUGAGCCGGUAAAGGGUUCGUGGUUACACUUGCCUGCCCCAAGUUAACCAGACCCUGAUCUAUCAAGUCCUGUAUAGCAUGUCUCAAGGCGGCGCAAUGAUCUGUGUCAUGCCUUGGGCCUUGAUGGUAGGAACAAUGUAGAUCCAUCUUGAAGCGUGGUGGCACAGGCUGGGGUACAGGCCUAGGUGCCAACUGAGUCAACAAACCACCCUCCAUGAGCUUUUGGAAAGCUCGACUCAAAGGCAUACCUAGCUGGGAGAACUGUCGUGUCGGCCUCUGUACAAGAGGAAUAGUAGUUUGUGGAGCUCGAGGCCGAGGAUAUAAGGUAGGAGGCCUCUCCGAGACCUGUGCAGCAAAAACAGGCUCUGGGGUCUGGUGUAGGUAUGUAGGAAUCAUGGGCCUGGGUGGUCUAUACUGAGCAUAACGCUGCGGGUAAUAGGCUCGUGAAGUCUGCCCGAAUGUCUGAUAACGCUUGGGAGAUCUCGAUCCUACUGAACUGAUAGCACUCACAUCUCCUAGUCUCUGUCCUCCUAACGGAUUCUUCCCCUUUGAAUCAGAAAGAGAAGACUCAGGCCACAACCCUCUAGCAAUGCCCUCCUCUAUGCCAUACAGGGCCUGUACCAAGGAUCCAAAAUCCGUAUGAGGAAAUCCCAUCAAAUGUCUAGCAAAUCUAGGCUGUAAACUCCUCAAAAUCAUACUAAUCUGGUCCUUCUCGGAAGGACGAUCAACAAUCUGGGCGAUCUUCUCCCUCCACCGGGAGAUAAAUGAAGUAACCGACUCAUCUGACCCCUGUCUCAAGGCCUCUAACUCUCUCCUCGAGACAUCAAUGACAAUGUUAAACGCGAACUGUCUCAAAAACUCUUGGGCCAAGUCAUCCCAAGUCCUACGGCGUGAAACGUCUAAAGAAGCAAACCAACGCUGCGCUGCACCACUCAAGGACAUGGGAAAAAGCAUAAUCAAAUGGGCCUCAUCCAACCCGUGGGCCCUCAUCACACUACUGUAUAACCUCAAAUGAAUCUUAGGGCAACCUAUGCCCGUAUACCUCUCAAUCUCUGGCAUCCUGAACUGAGUCGGUAAACUGACUACCGGUGCUCCAUCAAAAUCAUCCCAACUGAUGUCUCCAUCCGAAACCCUCAUCUGUCUCAUCCUCUGCUCGAGUCUAUCCAUACGAGCAUGUGCAUCCUCUGAUGCCUGAAUGGGUGCUACAACAGGAAGUGGGGUAGCAUCAGUCUGACCAUGUAAAACAUACGGUGUCGGGUGUGGAACUGACUGACUGAGUGAAGGGGGUGGUGGUGCCGUAGAGUCAUACUGUGCACCAUCCUGAGGUGGGGCCUGCUGCCCGUCUAUCCUCUGGCCAAGGCCGGCUAUAGCCUCCUGAAUCGAAGCCAUGGCCGCAGCAAACUGGUCAACUGUGACUACCUGGGAGUCCAUAUCUCUCUGAUCUACUCUCUGGUCUGGCUGAUCUGAUACUCUGGUCAACCUGCCUCUAACUCUAGUCCACGAAGGCGAAUCCAGACUGGGCACCAAAAAAUACUCCUUUAAACACGGAAACACUAGAUGAGACGUUGUACAAGGGUAACUCUGUAGAAAUCGACUAAAAGGUAAUCAAGCAUAUAGCCCAUGUAUACUCAAACUGAUACCCGUAUCUGAUCAUACCAAAAUGGGACUAUGGAGAGGGUAAUCGAACCCAAUUGUAGCCAAGACAGCUCUGAAGGUCCACAGAUGCACCCACGUGUAAGAGUGAAAUCCUAAUUGGGUCUAGGCUAGCCUACAAGAUUGUGGUGGUUCUAUAAGAUAAAAAAAAUGGGUGGAUUAAAGGAUCCCUAGCAGAAGCGAUCGUACCCUCCGGUGGUACGCAACCCUCUACACGCCUCCAAAGAGACGGGGUGCUUCCAUGCAAGGUGGUCAUCACCUCCACACAUGCACUUCCUCGCGUUCCCAGGGGGUUUCCUAAUGGUGAAGGCUCUCUCAUCUCUCAACACUCAGGGAUAAUCUAAAGUGCACAAUGAAGAAUGUGGGUGCAUCCGAAAAACCUAAGAUCUAAAGUGAGAUAGUGGACAAAGACAAGCAAUCAUACAAUCAUGCAAGAGAAAGGGUUGUCAUGCAACAAGCAGUCAUACCAAGCAAAUAAGUAUCAUACAAUCAAAGUCCUACCUAACAUAUGUGAGAGUGGAUCAUGCUAAAGUGAGCAAGCAAUCAAGUGAUCUUUUAAGGCAAUCAAACAUGUUAAGAUAGCAAACCAAACAAGCAAGCAAAUCGAAUCACCUUGCCUAAAAAGGAGGUACCCACUAAUCGACCAAUUAAACGCCACAUUUUCCUCAACUAGUGUUCAAGCUUGAUCCUCAAAAUCCCCAGUGGAGUCGCCAAUUUGUGGACCCGCAUUUCUCACGUGCGUCCCCACUCGAUCGGCGAGACUCGCUUUUUUAUUUGUGAAAAAUUGAUUUUUGGAAAAAAAGUUGGAGUCGCCACUUAUUUUAUUUUUAUUUUAAAGGGAAAAUAAAACAAGAAAGAAAAACCCUAAAAUGUGACUCCAUAAUUUUUGGAAAAAGCAUGUCUUUGAAAAACCCGAGUCUAAGUCUGGGGAUCAGGUUACCUAUUGGGAAGGUACCUUUAAAAGGUAGCACCCCUCUAAGCCCUAUAAAGGUCUCUACUAACUAAGUUAAGGGGAAUAUGACAAUUAAUCGUUUAAUUAUGGAUACCUGAGUAGGCUAAAGUGAUUUCAAAAAAUAACAUGCCAAAUAGGAUCAAAUUGUCAUAAAAGAAAGGUUAGGAUGCGUACCCGGACCGCUUCUCAAGCGCUAUCAUAAAACAUCAGAGUUAGUAUAGAUGUAUAACACACAACAUGUAUUUAAUCAUAGUGAAUCAAGCAUACAUCUAAACACCUAAGGAUUAUCAAACAUAUGCAUACUUCACAGUGACAUGAUUGUUUACAAAAUUUAGAAAGUAGGUGAUACGAGGGCNNNNNNNNNNNNNNNNNNNNNNNNNNNNNNNNNNNNNNNNNNNNNNNNNNNNNNNNNNNNNNNNNNNNNNNNNNNNNNNNNNNNNNNNNNNNNNNNNNNNNNNNNNNNNNNNNNNNNNNNNNNNNNNNNNNNNNNNNNNNNNNNNNNNNNNNNNNNNNNNNNNNNNNNNNNNNNNNNNNNNNNNNNNNNNNNNNNNNNNNNNNNNNNNNNNNNNNNNNNNNNNNNNNNNNNNNNNNNNNNNNNNNNNNNNNNNNNNNNNNNNNNNNNNNNNNNNNNNNNNNNNNNNNNNNNNNNNNNNNNNNNNNNNNNNNNNNNNNNNNNNNNNNNNNNNNNNNNNNNNNNNNNNNNNNNNNNNNNNNNNNNNNNNNNNNNNNNNNNNNNNNNNNNNNNNNNNNNNNNNNNNNNNNNNNNNNNNNNNNNNNNNNNNNNNNNNNNNNNNNNNNNNNNNNNNNNNNNNNNNNNNNNNNNNNNNNNNNNNNNNNNNNNNNNNNNNNNNNNNNNNNNNNNNNNNNNNNNNNNNNNNNNNNNNNNNNNNNNNNNNNNNNNNNNNNNNNNNNNNNNNNNNNNNNNNNNNNNNNNNNNNNNNNNNNNNNNNNNNNNNNNNNNNNNNNNNNNNNNNNNNNNNNNNNNNNNNNNNNNNNNNNNNNNNNNNNNNNNNNNNNNNNNNNNNNNNNNNNNNNNNNNNNNNNNNNNNNNNNNNNNNNNNNNNNNNNNNNNNNNNNNNNNNNNNNNNNNNNNNNNNNNNNNNNNNNNNNNNNNNNNNNNNNNNNNNNNNNNNNNNNNNNNNNNNNNNNNNNNNNNNNNNNNNNNNNNNNNNNNNNNNNNNNNNNNNNNNNNNNNNNNNNNNNNNNNNNNNNNNNNNNNNNNNNNNNNNNNNNAACACAUGCAUAUCUUUGCCAAUACAUGUUUUCAACCUUCCCUUUUCUCUCCAGUGAUGAUUCCUUUGGUGAAUUUCUCUACAAAAAUAUAAAGAAAAUUAGACUUAAUGAAUGAAUCCCAAGGUGUUUUAGAAAAUUAUAAAAUAAACAAACAAAUUAAAUUAACAAAAUAAUUAAGUAAAUAAUGAUAAUAAUAAUGAUAAUAAUAAUAAUAAUAAUAAUAAUAAUAAUAAUAACAAUAAUAAGAACUCAUUUCAUGCAAUUAUAAAAUAAAAUAAAUAAACAAAAAUACAAAUAAUAAUAAUGAUGAAAUAGUAUAAAUAUAUCAAAAACUCACUUAAUCUUAAAAGCAAUCAAUAAAAUAAAUAAAUAAAUAAAACAAGAAAACAAAUCUAAGUGAAACUAAACCUUGAAAAGUGUUUAAGUGGGCCUAAGGCGGUACCUAAUGGGCCAAGUGUGUCUAAUGGGCCUAAGGUGCACUAAGUGAACCUAAAGUGAUGCCUAAUGGGCCAAGUGUACCUAAAUGGGCCUAGGGUACCUAAAUGGGCCUAAAGUGAUCUAAGUGGGCCUAGGGUGACUAAGUGAGCCUAAAGUGGCUAAAUGGGCCUAAGGUGCCUAAAUGGGCCUAAAGUGAUGCCUAAUAGGCCAAGUAUCUAAAUGGACCUAAGGUGAUGCCUAAUAGGCCAAGUAUCUAAAUGGACCUAAGGUGAUGCCUAAUGGGCCAAGUGUGGUGCCUUAGUGGGCCUAAAGUGCCUAAGUCUAAAUUAGAGCUGCCAAAGGUCACAAUAAGAUGUCAAAUCAUCCUUCAACCAUAGUCUCCAAGGUGGCUUAGAAAAUAUAGGCUACACGAGUAUUAACAGGCCACCAGGGAAUUGCUAUAAACGACAUGUGCGAGGAAGACAAAAUAGAGGGUCUACACAUAUUUCUUUCUAGCAAGCAAUUUUCACAUCUCCUCUGUUUUUAAAAUGUUUUAAAAUAAGCAAGAAUUAAAUUUCGUAAUUCCAAGCGAUGGAAUUUAUGAAAUUGAUUCAUGCAAAAAUAAAUUGGGCUUUGGUGGGGGUCCAACAUCAAUGAAUGUUUUCUCUAAAAAUAAAUUUUGAGUGGAGUGUGAUAUUUGAUGAUUUAUUACUCGGUUUAGUGACAUGUGUGUCAUAUGUUAUGUUCAUUGUUGUGCAUUAACCUCAUUUCCUAAUAGCACUUUAGCGUUUAAUGCUAAGGUAUACAUCAUCUCUCAGUUUGACCAUUCUCUAUGUAUGCUUUGGCUUUCAGUGUGUGAUCAUGUUGAUAUCCAUUGAUUUCCUUACCAAUUGUCAUGAUUGUCGUCUUUACCGUACCUUCCUAAUAAGUAACUUGACCCUGGGCCCAUUUUUGGUUUUUUACAGAUCACAUUUUCCAAAUAAGGAGUUAUACUUAGAGUUUUCUUUCUUAUUUUGUUUACCUUUUAAAAAUAAAACAAAAAUAAGUGGAGUCUCAAGUCAUUUUCUAAAAAAUAAAUUAUUUUUCAAAAUAAAAAACGAGUUCGCCAUCGAGUGGAAGCGCAUGAGCAGAAAUGUGGGGUCCACACUACCCAAAAUUUUGAACCGGCUUUUAGUGAAGGAAAAUUCUGUAGAAGCUGAGCUGAUGAAGAAGAUAGAAGAGUGUGAGGAGGCUGUCAUGGAUGGAGAAUCUAGGUUCUGUGCAACAUCAUUAGAGUCCCUAAUCGAUUUCAACACUUCAAAGCUCGGAAGAAAUGUGAAUGUGCUGAUGAAUGAGGUCAAAACGGGAAGCCAGGAGUUUGAAUUUGGAGUGGGAACGAAGAAGGUUGCAGACAAAUCAGUGGUGUGCCAUAAGAUGAACUACCCAUAUGUUGUUUUCUACUACCAUACAUUAACUAAGACACGAACUUACAUGAUUCCAUUGGUUGGUGCUGAUGGAAGCAAAUCUAAAGCCAUGGCAGCUUGUCACAGUGAUACAUCAUGUGGCCUUCCAAGUGCUCAAAAUUAAGCCAGGAACAGUCCCUGUCUAUCAUUUCCUUCACAACAAUGCCAUGGUUUGGAUUCCAAAGUAAGGGAUAAGCUGAAAGCCUCGAGCCCAGUUGCAUUAUCAGUUCCAUCUUAAAGCUGUUUGUAGUAUGAAUGUUUAUAAACUUAGAAUAAAUGCAGGUUUGAGGAUUAAUGUGUGUAGUGUGCAAUUGAUGCUAUGUAUUCAUCAAUGUUUCCAGGUUGAUUAAGGAAUAUUAUGGUAUAUAUAAAUAUUGUGUACAAUAGUAUUCAGCGAUGCAUGACUAUUUUGGUUGUGAUCAAUGUUACAUACUACAGAGUUAGCCAAUAUUAUUUUAUUUUAUUUUAAAUUUCAAUCAUAUGAAAUAUUGGAAAUGACCUUCACUGUUUCAUAUAUCUACGGAGAAAGAAUUGAAUAAGAUUAACGUUGUGGCCAAAAGGCAAAACCACAUGUAUAAUUCGGGCCACAAGCCCACUGCCCAACCCACCUUUCUUCUUUCUUUCUAAUUAACGAAUGGGCAUCAAUGAGGAAAAAUAAAUAAACAAAUAAAUAAAUUAUAGAAUAUUCUCCGCACCCACUUACAGUCUUACACAUGGACAAAAAUAUCAGGAUUAAAAAAAAUGCACCAAAAUGUAUAUAAAAGAAUAUUAAAGAUUAUUUUAUUAAAUAAAUAAAUUUUAAUUAUUUGAUUUUUAUAUUUGAUUUAAUUUAUUACCAAAAAUAUAUAAACAUAAUUUUAAUAAAUAAAUAAAUAAAUUUUAAUUAUUUGAUUUUUAUAUUUAAUUUAUUUUAUUACCAAAAAUAUAAAAACAUAAUUUUAAUAAAUAAAUAAAUUUUAAUUAUUUGAUAUUUAUAUUUAAUUUAAUUUAUUACCAAUAUUUUAUGUCAAUAUAUUUAUCGAUAUAUUUCUAUUUUAUCCAUAAAAUUAAAAUAUCGUUAUUACUUAUAUUUAUAUCCUUACUUUAUACACAUCAAACCCUAACCUAUGCCCUCCCUUGUGGCUUUCAUUUGCAUUCCUCCCAACUAAAGUUUGUAAAGGGAGAAGAGAUGCGCGGUCAUUGCUAACUAUUUAGACGUGACAAAAAAUCUUAAAAAGAGUGCAAAGAUGCUUUCUCAAAGUAGUGCUUAUGUAUAAAUAAAGAGUAUUAAAUAUAGAUGAGGUUGGUAGAAACAAUGCCAAGACGCUUUCUCAAUGUAGUGUUUCUUUUUUAUUUUAUUUAUUUAUUAUUAUUAUUAUUAAAAGAAUAUUAAUUAUAGAUGAGCGAGGUUGAGAGAAAAAGAGUGUAAAGAUGCUUUCUCCAAGUGUUGGCUUGGUAUGUUUUUUUCAUUUUUAUUUUAAAAAAAAUAAUAUCAACCAUUAAAAAAAUAAGGAAACUCUUAUAUAAAAGGUAGAAUUUUAUUUUAUUUUUCUUUUAAAUUUUUAUCCUUUUAAAUUUCUUAUCAAAACUUCUAUUUUCACUUAUCAAAUGCAUCAUAUGAGUGUUUAUUAUUUUGAUAUAUCUAGAAAUGAAAAAUCUAUUCCCAUCACAUAAGAGCUUUUGUAGUGAUAAGAACAAACAAAAACUACUUCAUUGAUUUUGAAUAAGAACAAACAAAAAUUACUUAAUUGACUUUUUCUUUUGAGUAGAAAAUAUAAGAAUUUGAAUAUAGAGCCAACCACAUGAAGCGAACAGUAAAGUCUUGAAUAGAAAUUGAUGUUACAAAGGGAUUAAGGGUUUUUGAGAGAGGACAUGGGGUUGGGAAAACUACUUGAUUCACAUGGUAGUCUGAGGGAGUUUGAGGUAAACAAUAGAUUUAACUAGACCCUUAAUCUCUGUACUUGUAUAAAAUGUUCUUUAUUUUAUCAUCUAUAGAACCAAUAAUCUUUCUAAUCAUCAAUCAAUUAAAAACCAAAAGUGAUUAUGGAGCUCAAUCAAAUAAAGAUAUAGAAAUUAAGAUUUUAACUAAAACUAGUCAAAUGAAAAGAAAAUCUCUAGAAAAAUUCUCAAAUCAGUUUGAGGAAUCACACAAACAUGUUAAAUUUUAAUCUUAACUUUGUGGGUUAAAGUUAAUCCAAGACUAAAUCUAAUCCAAAUGAUAGAUUUAGAUUUGGAGAUACUUGAAUUUGGCAUUUUAGGUUCAAAUCUCAAAGUCAAUUUAUUAGAUUAUUCCAAUUAUUUGUAGUUUCUCGAUUGAUUCAUUGAUUAUGCACCGAUUCAUCUUCUAAGAUUCAUUUUAAUCUUAUAUGCAACAAAUCAAAUGAGGUCUCCAUUAUUAAUUAAUAAAUGAUCAACUAUUAUUGGAACUAAAUAAGCAAUGUCUUUCCCUUAAUUAUCUACAUAGAAAGUUCAAUCCAAAAGAAAUUACAAGUUAAAAUAAGCUUUGUUUGGAAAGAAAUAUAUCACUGCUUUAUGUAACCUUUGGUAAUAUCUUUUUCAUCAAUUGUUUCUCUAGGUAAAACUAAUCAAACACUCAUAUUGAAGGAAUAUAUUUUUUCUUGCAUAUCAUAUUUGGUUGGCAAGAAAUAAGAGAAAGCAAUAAAAAAUAAGAAUUUAAGAGAUAAAUUAAAAUAAUAAUUUUUUUUCUCACAUAUCACAUAUAGCGCUGAAAGAAUUAUUUCCUUUGUCUUUUUGUUGUGAUGGAACCCUUGACAAACAUUGUCAUAUCAUAUCUCAACACUACAAGCACGUCAUGUUUUUUUUUUGUUUUGUUUUGUUUGCAAGAUUUUUUCACUCUCCUAGUGUUAGUGGAACUUAAUUAUUUAGUCAUGCAUGUCUUAUACAGUAACUCUUAAUAUCUUAAUAUACAAAGGAAAUAAUUAAGAGCUACUAUACAAGAUAUGCAUAUCGAAAAAUGUUACAAAAAAAACAAAAGAAGAAAACAUGAUUAGCUUAUAGUAUUGGGAAAUGAUAUGACAAGUUUGUAAUUUCUUUUGGAUUGAAGUCCCUCAGACUACAUCCAGUGAAGACCAAGAUCAUAAGCGCUGGUUUGAUUUGGGGGUUUGGUGAUAUAUGUGCAUAGAAGAAACAUCACCAAAUUGGAGUAAGUACCCAUCAACAAAACCCUAAAUUUUCUCUUCAUUUUCCCAUGUUUCCAAGCGGUUUUUGGCUCUUUUUCACCGUUCGGGGCAGAUUGGUAUCUGUGAUUUUCUCUCUGUUUCUUAUGAAUUAUUUGCCUUGGUUCUUUGUUUGGACAAAUAAGUGUAUGAUUUAAUCCGUAUUUUUCAUAUCUUGUGAAUGGUUGUUUUAAUUUAUUGCCUUGUGUGUCCUGAGCUCAACUGGUAGACCUCAUGGAGCAGUUGGGAAAAUCUUGUAAUUCACUGUCAGGAAACCUAAACAGACUAAGGUUUAAGAUUCUGAGUUGUUUUCUCUUCUUUUCAUUCAUUGUUUUUGGCAAAUAAGGGAGUUGGGGGUGGUUUGGUCUGGCAAUUUUGGGGGAUUUCUGAAAAACCCACAGCAUAUUUAGCAAUGGAUUUCUGCAAAUUCAUAUAGAAGGUAUAAAGUGGAGUAAUUCCAAAUGGAGCAGUGAGGGUCUAAACCUAAUAGAUUACUCCCAAGGGGAAUUGAUGAAUUGUAUGUAAGAAAGAAAAUAAAUGAUAGAUGACAUCCUAUUAUUGAUUAAACAUAGAUUGUGAAUUUUCUUAUAAUGCCCAUGAAAUGAAUAUGAUCUUGGUGUAACAAAUCAAAUGAGGUCUCCAUUAUUAAUUAAUAGAUGACCAACUAUCAUUGAAACUAAAUAAGCAAUGUCUUUCCCUUAAUUAUCUACAUAGAGAGUUCAAUCCAAAAGAAAUUACAAGUUAAAAUAAGCUUUGUUUGGAAAGAAAUAUAUCAUUGCUCUAUGCAACCUCUAGUAAUAUCUUUUUCAUAAAUUGUUUCUCCAGGUAAAACUAAUCAAACACUCAUAUUGAAGGAAUAUUUUUUCUCGCAUAUCAUAUUUGGUUGGCAAGAAAUAAGAGAAAGCAAUAGAAAAUAAGAAUUUAAGACAUAAAUUAAAAUAAUAAUUUUUUUUCUCACAUAUCACAUAUAGCACUGGAAGAAUUAUUUCCUUUUGUCUUUUUGUUGUGAUGGAACCCUUGACAAACAUCGUCAUAUCAUAUCCCAACACUACAAGGACAUCAUGUUUUUUUUUGUUUUGUUUUUUUUUGCAAGAUUUUUUCACUCUCUUAGUGUUAGUGGAACUUAAUUAUUUAGCCAUGCAUGUCUUAUAUACUAACUCUUAAUAUCUUAAUAUACAAAGGAAAUAAUUAAGAGCUACUAUACAAGAUAUUCAUAUCUAAAUAAUUAAGUUCCAUCGACACUAGGAGAGUGGAAAAAUCUUACAAAUAAAACAUGACGUGCUUAUAGUAUUGGGAAAUGAUAUGACAAUGUAUGUCAUGGGCUCCAUCACAGCAAAAAGACAAAGGAAAUAAUUCUUCCACUACUAUAUAAGAUAUGUAUGUCUAACUAAUUACAUCCCAUCAUACUAAAUGAGUGAAAAAACAUUGCAAACAAAACAAAAGAAGUAAAUUAACAUGACAUGCUUGUAGCUACCAAUGAUAUCAAACUAAUCCUAUUUAUGUGGUUCACACUUAUCUUGAGAUUUAACCAUUUUGAGGUACACUGUGAAGCUUGAAAAAUUGCACACAACAUACCUAUCUUGAGCCUUGAUUUAUCCAAAGGCUUAUAGCAGGCCUUCUUGGUUUUUAUCAUAUCGCGUACUUCAUCAUUGAUUAGAACAUGUAAAAUCAUAUGAACUUGUGCCUUAAAAGCAAACAGGACUCCAUGAGUUGUUCGGCCACAUCUUUUGUCCUUGUGAACUGAUUGGAGAUUUUUUUUUUUUCUUAAUUUUAAUCGGUAGCUUUAACCAUAUUUAUAGGAUUUCAAUGGUAAUGAAUACAAUCCAAAUGAAAUUAAAAGUUAAAAUAAGUGUUUUAGAAAGAAACAUAUCACUGCUCCAUGCAACCUCUGGUGAUAUCUUUUUCAUUGAUUCUUUUUCCAGAUCAAAAUGAUUAUCCACUCAUGGUGCAGGAAUAUUUCUCCUCACAAAUCAUAUUUGGUCAGCGAGAAAUAAGAGAAAGUGAUAGAAAGUAAGAAUUUAAGAGACAAAAACUCCAAAAUGAAAAAUUAAAUUAAAAAAUGGCUAGACAAGUUGCUAAAGCUGCUACUAUGAUGAGCUCUAAGGUGGUUUCCAAGUCUCCAUUAGUCUUUAAGUCACCUCAAGUGUAAAAGUGUCCGAAGAAGGUAGUUCAAGAAAAAUCUCUUAUAAAAGUUCAGGGAAAAGAGAAAGGUAACGAGAAGCUUGUUGAGAAGAAGACGUACGUGGAAAUGAAAGAUCAGGGUAUUGAGUUCACACCAAGAAAGUUCAUUGUAAAUCACUUAUGUUGUGAAGAUAUUUUAGCUUUCAAAUUCUAGAGUGAUACUCUUUUCAAUAGUUGAUGAACAGAAAAAAGACGGAAGAAAUAAUUCUUGUGUUGCUAUAGAAAAUCUUACAAACAAAACAAAAGAAGAAAAGUAAAGAUCACAUGCUUGUAGCAGGAUCUUUGACAAGGGUUCCAUCACAGCAAAAAGACAAUCCGCUAAAACUUUAUACAUAUAUAAAACUUUUUAUUUAUAUAUUUAUAUAUAAAGUUAAAGCAGUGUAAGGAUUAAUUAUUAUAUCUGUGGGGCAUGAAUCAUUAUGAUUGAUCUAAGCAAAUAAAUUAUUUGGGAGAUUAAUAUUUGAAAAAUGGCCCAUCUUAUGUUAGAUUCCCAUUAGUUGUUUUUAUUUGUAUAUUAUUUUCUUUUGUUCUUAAUUAACAAACACCUAUUGCAUUAUUAAGUUUAUGUUUAUAUAAAAAAUUAAAUAAAAAUAAAACUUUAUUAAAUAAAUAAACUUUAGUUAUCUUAUUUUUAAUUCUAUUAAUUUAAUCAUUAAAAUAUAAAAAUUAUCAUAAUAAUCUUCUUGUUUAUUUAUAUUUUAAAAAUAUUUUUGUAUGAUAAUUAUUAGAGAAAUAUAAACUUAAAGACGGUACAAAUGUAAAAACUAUAAGUCAAGGAUUACAAAGCAUAAAUUCAUUAUUAAAGGAAAAGUAUAUAAUUUUUUUGAUAGAUAUUAUCUCUAAGAUUUACUUUCCAGUACAUAUUCACAUGUGUACUACCACUAAUGGGAAAGAUAAAAGAAUGAAUCAAAUUUCUAAAUCCAAUGGCUUUUUCGAUGAUCCCAUUUCCCAAUUUGUUUUUUUUAAGAAAUUGACUUUCAUUUCCUUGAGGGAAAGAAAGACUUUAUGAUCGACUCAACGCUAAUUGCUUCGAAAUAGACAUGUCAAAGUGAGAUCGGUCAAAUAUAGGGAGUCAAUUGUAGUUUUAAAAUUUUGAAGAGUGGAGUGUCAAACAACGAGGUGGUUUUAGGUGUACAAGGAAAAUGAAGAGGUUUAGAAGAUUAAUGAAAUUUUUUGAAAUAAACCCUUGCACCCAAUUGCUUUAAAAAAAAAAAGAGGUUGAUGAAUUUUGUAAAAAAUCGGGGAAAAACUAAGUGAACCUAAAUUGAAAUUCAACUUAAUAAGAUUUGCAAAAGUUCUAAAAAUAGGGGUUCCCUUGGACUUCUUUCUUUUCAUGAAAAGAACCUCAAUUAAGCUAAUUAAAUCCAGUGCUUCAAACUUGUGAGCUGUACCUCUCUGUGAAAUCUUUAAACCGUGGAACUACCACUGAUGGUUGAAGGGAAAAUUUGAGCUAUUCUUAACAUACCAAUCUAACCCACUUACCUAAGGAAAGAAGACUUAAAAAGUACAAAAGCUUUGGAUUGAUGGUUGUUCCUUACCAAAUUCAAUUACAUAAUCUUAUUAUAAGAGACAAAAGAAAAUUGUUAUCAAAUUUGACCAGCUGAGUUAUUAGAAUGUAGUGUUACAUGACAUCACUCUCUUUCAUUCCUAUGCAAUUUGAAAAUUUCCAUUGUUUUCGCCGGGCUUAGACCAUGUCACUGGAACGGAUAUAUUAAGAGUGACAAUUGUGAUCCAUUAUUUUUUGUUAAAAAUAAAUAUAAUUUUAGUGUUUUUGUAGAAAUUUUAAUUAUUUACUUUCUGAUCCAUUAUUUAAAAUUUAAAAUUAAAUUGAAAUUUUAUAUAUAAUCGAAUUUUUACGUGUGGAUGGUCCGUUCCAACCCAUUACUUAAUCACUCCAAUAGUACUCAUGUCACAAUUAUUCAAAGGAAACAGUGCCCAGAAGAAUAGUGACAAUUGCUACUAUUAUUAUUUUAUUUCAGUGACAACAAAAAGGAGAAUUUCAUUGUUUAAUUACCUCAACAAUGCUCAUGUCACAAUUAUCCAAAGAAUAUAGUCCUGAUCAGAACAAUACUGACAAGUAUUAUUAUUAUUUUAUUUGAAUGAUAAUAAAAAUAUGACGUGGUCGAUGGUAAGGCCCAUUAUAUUAUUGCGGUUAAUAUAAGCUUGAAAUGUGACUUGCAAAACCUACUUACAAGAUAUGGGUUAGUCAAUAAGACAAAAUUAAUUUGAUUGAUCUUUUUCAAUCUUAUCCUCCCAAGAAGAUCUUGUUAUGAAAUAACAAGAAUAGGUAAUAAAAAAUAAAAUAGAAUAAGAAAAUACAGAUUUAUGUAGAAAACCUUAGACGGGAAAAAACUACGAGUAGAAGAGAAGAAAAUUCACUAUAUAAAAAAUUGAUACAAAAAAAAUAAAUUUGAACGGUUAUACUAGAAGCAUAAUCAUCAUAACCCUAAAAAAUUAUAUACAUAAUUGUGUGUGUAUAUAUAUAUAUAUAUAUGAUCUGAUUCCUCUACUACCACCAUAAGCCUAGUAAAAAAUCUCAUAAUUUUAACUUCAUCAUAUAUAUUGCACUGUAAGCUUUUUAGAUUUGACUAAAUAGAAUUUGGGUUAUUAAGCUCUAAUAGAUUCAAUGGGAAAAUUUUAAGACAAGUAAAUUAGAGGAAAAUAAUGAAAAGGUUUAAAUUUGACAAAUUUGGUUAAUUUUAUACAUACAUUUAAAUUUAUUUAUUUUUUCUCUUUCUCUUAAAAUAAAUGAACAUUAAAAAUAUAUUAAUUUUGUAAAUUUUUAUUUUAUUUUAUUUCAUUAUGAAAAUAACCACAAAUCAUAUAAAUUUGGUUUCUUUUUAAAUUUACUUUUCUAAUAUGUUUUAUGAUUUAAAGAAAGAUUAAAUAAAGGUGGCAAGUGGGGUACGAUUUAAAUUUACCUUUGUCUGAUUGCCAUUAGAAGAAAUUGAAUGCUAACAAAAACCUAGUCAUAGAAUAUUAACUUUUACGUCAGGUUGGUAGGAGCAUGUACGUACGUCAUAGGUGACACCCAUUUAUAAAAGUAAUUAAUAAAUGGUUCCCAUUUUUCACUAACUUAUAAUCUAUCUAUAUAUUAAGAAAUCCCUUUCAUAGGUAUUUCAACCAGUAAUAGAACAUGCUUUCCAAACCCAUCCAUCUUGUUCCAAUUUUAUUUUUUUGUCUUUUAUAAAAGAUUUAUCAAAUUAUCAAUUUUUUAAAUAAAUACUAAUUUAAUUGCGGUUAUGGUCAAUUUCCUUUCAACCUCCUCCAUGAUGGCCUCAUUAGUCUAGAUCUUUUGGAGGUAGUGUGCAUAGGUCGGAUGGAAUCAACUGUAGAUAGUAUAUAUCUAGUUAGUUUGGUUCUUUCUUUGGAGAGCAUGAGAGUAUAUACUCCGUCAAAAAAUGCAUAUUGCUGUUUAAGAGCAUUUGACAGAAAUAACUUCAAAAAAAAUACCAAGUGGGGAGUACAAUUUGUUCAUUAUUUAAACAGAAAUGUAUAAAGAAUACUAUCUUCUCCGGGAUCAGGAUUCCAAUCGAUCACCCAAUUCCAAUGGAAAGCAUCUACCAAAUAGAUAAAAGACUAUGAACAACCUCUCACACAGAAUAUUGUCUUAAAUUUCAAUUAGAUAAUGACGAUACAACGACCUCUGACGCAUGAAAAUCUUGCGUAGUUUAAUGGAAUUAGCUUUGUCUGUGUCUAUGCCACUAGCAUUUUGAUUAAUGCUUGUGGGACAUGAGUGAGAGAAGAAAUCCACUAUAAAUAGGAAGCCAUGCACUUCCUUCCUUCCCAUUCUGAGUUCUAGGUAAGCUAGCUUUGUACGAGUUGGAUUAGUUUCAGAGCUUUAAUGGAGUUUCAUCUCGUUCCCAUUCUGACUUCUUUCUUGGUGAGCCUUCACUUCCACCUUUUCCGAUCUAUAGGACAGUGAACCGAUAUUUGUGAUUACAUUUUUCCUUUAUUUGCAGUUGAGAGAGCUCACGUAUAGAAAUUUUUUUGUGACAAACUUAAUGGAAAUCCAUUGAGAUAUAUAUUAGUUUCAAAGUUUCAAGUUUUUUUUUCAUUUGUAGGUGGCUUUUCUUGAUAACUUCUUUGUAUAGCUUGACUGACAUAUAUGGCAUGAACUUGUGGCAGCUGGUGGUGGUGGUGGUGAGCCAUGCUUAUUCUCUACCUUCCGAGGUUGAUGGGAAGUCGGCUUUGCCUACCACUCCCUUCCGGAAAGCUGUGCGGAAUCUCUUAAUGCAGCCUGGUUGGUUUCAAUAACUCUGCAACUCACUUUUUUGUUGGCUCACAAUAAACCUGUUUGAGAACUGUUACUAGUUUGAUCCGUUAACCAAGUCAUGCCCACACACAAUGGAGUGCACCAAUACUUAAGAAUUUACUUAUUAAAAUGAAUGAAAAAUGUUAUAACCAUUUUCAAUUGCAACCAUGCUUUUCUAAAAAUAAAACCCUAACAUAUAAAAGGAUUAAAUAUAUAAUAGGGACAAAUUCGUCAAUUAUCAUAUAAAAAAAUUCUCCAAAUAUCCCGAGAGCAACAAUAAUUUAAAAUUGUUUUUAUUCAAGUAUAUAGUUGUAAAAUUGUUUAUAUUAUUCUAUAGUUUGCUGCUGUGUAAGAGGAAUAUUAAUAACAACUAGUUUCGAACAUAAUACUGAAGAUCAUAUUACCAUUUUUUUUUUUCAUGUUGAAGAUAUAAUAUGAUUAUUACACAAAAUGGGGUGACUUUGAUUUAAAGUAUUUAAUUUUAAGUUAAUAAUUUUAGAAAUAAAAUUUUGAAUAAGUAUAAACAUAAAAUAAUCCUAUAAAACUAAGACUUGAUAUGUAAAUUCUAAGAAUAAAAUAUUAUGCAUGUUUAACAUAAAUGUUAAAUUUUUAAUUUGAUAUUUAAAUUUAUAAAUUAAAAUGAAAUUAAAAAAAAUAAAUUGAAAUGAUUUUAAUGAAUAUAAAAUAAACAUUAUUUAAUUUAAUUUUAGUAUAUAAAGGAGAAAAAUUAAUAUAUAAACCUUUAUAACAAUAUAAUAAGUUUGAAUAUAUAACAUCUAAUAAUGCAUGCUAAAUUAUACUAUAUUAAUAAUUAUUGUCAAAGUUUGGAAAUAAUGGCAAAGAGUUCUAAUGUUUGACCUACUUACAAAGAAGACUUAGAACCCGUUUGAUAAUGAUUUUGGGAACUACUCUUAACUUUUUGAACGCUUGAAAGUUUUUAUUAUUCAAAUGUUAAAAAAUCUAUAAAUGUUUUCUAAAAUCAGUAUGAAAUAGACUCUUAGAAAUGAUAACAAAUUAAUAAGUUUAAGUUGUUAUUUCUUCAAUUUUGACACUAUUCAUUUUGAUUUAUUUAAUUUACUAAAUUGUUUUGAAAUGAUUAUAAUGUGGCUUAUAUAUAAUAAUUUUAAUUAUCAUGUCAUAUUAACACGGUUACAAUAAAACCCCACAUACCACUAGUUGUCGUAAAUGAGAAAAGUAUAUUUCAUGCGUUUAUUUGAAAGCAUAUGCAAAGUAGGAAACUAUUUUUUCAUAUUUCAAAGUGUUAUCCUAAAAUAUUUGUUUUUUAUACGCUUUUGGAUAAAAAAUAAUAUCGAAAUACUACCUUUUCAUAAUACAAAUAUUAUAUUUGAUUUGGACGAAUACCCAUUUCACUUGAAAAUUUUUGAUAGGUUAUGUUUACAAUUUGUAAAUUUCAUAAUUUUUUUUACCUUAACAUGUGAAAGGAGGAUCCAAUUCUUACCUCUAAUGAUAGACUUACGAUCAUGAGUAAAUAUUAAAUAACAAGCCCAACUAGGCUCUUGAGUUAUAGACUUUCACAAACAAUCAUUCUCCAAUUUGUAUGUAGUAGCAUUUUGAAAUUAAGAUGCAAACUCUCAAAAAGCAGGAAGAAGUUCUACCGAUGCUCAAAAGCAUGCUAGCUCGAUUGCCGAAUAUGAAGCAGUCUAUGGAAACCCUCAAAAAGUAGAAGGAAGUCCUAUCAAUUCUCACAAGGAUGCUAGCUCAAUUGCCGGAUAUGAUGCAGUCUAUGGAAACCCUCAGAAAGCUAGAGGAAGUUCUAUCAAGGCUCACAAUGAUGCUAACUCAGUUGCCGCAUAUGAUGCAGUCUACGGAAACCCUCAAAAAUUAGGAGGAAGUUCUAUCAAAGCUCACAAUGAUGCUAACUCCGUUGCCGGUUAUGAUGCAGUCUAUGGAAACCCUCAAAAAUUAGGAGGAAGUUCUACCAAUGCUCAUGACAAAGAUGCUAGCGCAAUUGCUGGAUAUGAUGCAGUCUAUGGAAGCACUCAAAAACAAGGGGAUGCUAGUCCAAUUGCUGGAUAUGAUGCAGUCUAUGGAAGCACUCGAAAACAAGGGGAUGCUAGUCCAAUUGCUGGGUAUGAUGCAGUCUAUGGAAGCACUAAAAAACAAGGGGAUGCUAGUCCAAUUGCUGGCUAUGAUGCAGUCUAUGGAAGCACUCAAAAACAAGGGGAUGCUAGUCCAAUUGCUGGAUAUGAUGCAGUCUAUGGAACCUCUCAAAAAGCAGAAGGAAGUUCCAUCAAUGUUCACAAGGAUGCUAGCUCAAUUGCCGGAUAUGAUGCAGUCUAUGGAAACUCUCAACAAAAAGCAGGAGGAAGUUCUAUCAAUGCUUACAAAGAUUCUAGCCCAGUUGCGGGGUAUGAUGCAGUUAAUGUGUUUUUGGAAAAAGACCUGCAUCCUGGGACAAAAAUGGCGGUGCGCUUCACAAAAACCUCAAGUGCAGCUCAUUUCUUGCCCCAUCAAGUUGCUGAAUCCAUACCUUUUUCAUCAAACAAGCUACCAGAAAUUUUGAAGCGAUUCUCCGUGAAAGAAAACUCCGCAGAAGCCCAGAUAAUACAGAAAACAAUAAAACAAUGUGAGACGCCUGCCAUAGUAGGAGAAGUUAAGUACUGUGCGAGGUCCUUGGAGUCCCUAAUUGAUUUCAGCACUUCAAGGCUGGGAAAAAACAUUCGAGUUCUCUCCAAUGAGGUGGAAGCGGAUAUCCAGGAGUAUAAAUUUGGAGAGGGAGUGAAGAUGGUGGGAGAGAAAUCAGUGGUGUGCCACCAGCUGAACUAUCCAUAUGCUGUGGCAUUCUGCCAUACACUUCACAUGACAAAGAUUUACAUGGUUCCAUUGGUGGGUGCUGAUGGAACCGGAGUUGAAGCUGUAGCAGUUUGUCACCGGGACACGUCAACUUGGGACCCAAAGGCUUUGGUCUUUCAAAGCCUCAAAGUUAAGCCAGGAACUUUGCCCAUCUGCCAUUUCCUUCCCAAUGGUCAUACUGUCUGGGUUCCAAAGUAGGUAGAGAUCCGCAGAAAGCCUCCAACCCAAUUGCUGGCUUGCAGUUUCUGUAAUAUAUUGUGUGCUUUGAAUAACUGCUAGGGUUGAGGAAUGUGUGUCCUAACUCCUAUGUGUAAUAUUAUUCAGUAACGAGUGACUCUCUCCUUGGUUAUUUAUUUUUUCGGGUUUAUUUCAUUACCUUCUUUCGAUUAAGUACAUCUAGCAACCACGCUUUUUAAAAAAUAAAACCAUGAUAUAUAAAAGUGUUAAAUAUAUAAUAUAAGCAAAUUCGUCUUCUAUCUUAUAUUAAAAUGAAUGAAAAAGGUUACAACGAUGAAACUCUCGAAAAACACUUUUCAAUUACAACCACACUUUUUAAAAAAUAAAACCCUAAUAUAUAAAAUGGUCAAAUAUAUAAUAGGAACAAAUUCGUCAUUUAUCAUAUAAAAAAAGAUUCUCCAAAUACCCCAGUAAAAGAGCAACAAUAACUUAAAAUUGUUUUUAUUCAAGUAUAUGGUUGUAGUAAAAUUGUUUAUGUUAUUCUAUAGUUUGUUGUUGUGUAAGAGGAAUAUUAAUAACAACUAGUUUCAAACAUAAUACUGAAGAUCAUAUUGCCAUUUUUUUUUUCAUGUUGAAGAUAUAAUAUAAUUAUUAAACAAAAUGGGGUGACUUUGAUUUAAAGUAUUUAAUUUUAAGUUAAUAAUUUUAGAAAUAACAUUUUGAAUAAGUAUAAACAUGAAAUAAUCCAAUAAAACUAAGACUUGAUAUAUAAAUUCUAAGAAUAAAAUAUUAUGCUCGUUUAACAUAAAUGUUAAAAUUUUAAUUUGAUAUUUAAAUUUAUAAAUAAAAAUGGAAUUAAUAAAAAUAAAUUGAAAUGAUUUUAAUGAAUAUAAAAUAAACAUUAUUUAAUUUAAUUUUAGUAUAUGAAAGAUAAAAAUUAAUAUAUAUAUAUAUAUAUAUAUAUAUAUAGAAAACAAUAAAACAAUGUGAGACGCCUGCCAUAGUAGGAGAAGUUGAGUACUGUGCGAGGUCCUUGGAGUCCCUAAUUGAUUUCAGCACUUCAAGGCUGGGAAAAAAUUUGGAGAGGGAGUGAAGAUGGUGGGAGAGAAAUCAGUGGUGUGCCACCAGCUGAACUAUCCAUAUGCUGUGGCAUUCUGCCAUACACUUCACAUGACAAAGAUUUACAUGGUUCCAUCGGUGGGUGCUGAUGGAACCGGAGUUGAAGCUGUAGCAGUUUGUCACCGGGACACUUCAACUUGGGACCCAAAGGCUUUGGUCUUUCAAAGGCUCAAAGUUAAGCCAGGAACUUUGCCCAUCUGCCAUUUCCUUCCCAAUGGUCAUAUUGUCUGAGUUCCAAAGUAGGCAGAGAUCCGCAGAAAGCCUCAAACCCAAUUUCUGGCUUGCAGUUUCUGUAACAUAUUGUGUGCUAUUUGAAUAACGGCAAGGGUUGAGGAAUAUGCAUCCCAACUCCUAUGUGUAAUAUUAUUCAGUAACGAGUGACUUUCUCCUUGAUUAUUUAUUUUUUCAAGUUAAUUUCAUUGACCUUCUCUCAACUACGUACAUCUAACUCUCAUAAUUUUAAAAUUUCAUUAAAUAUUAGGCUUAUUCUUUUCAUUUCUUAUUUUCACUUAUUACCUAUUUAAUUCAAAAUAAAGGAAAUGUACCAUGAAAAUUUAAAUUUACAAGAAUUAAAUAUAUUUAAUCAAAAUCUUAAAAAUGGUGAAUGAAAUUAACUUUUAUUUUUUUGUUAAUAUUAUCUAUUGCAAAUAAAAGGAAACAGUGACCAGAAGAAUAGUGACAAUACUUACUAUAAUCAUUUUAUUUCAGUAAUAAUAAAAGCAAAAAUUUCAUUAUUUAAUUACCUCAACAAUAAUCAUGUCACAAUUAUUCAAAGAAUAUAGUCCCGGAACAAUACUGAAAAUUAUUAUUAUUAUUAUUUUAUUUGAAUGAUAGUAAAAAUAUGACAUUUAUCUCUUUUUGUUUUACCUACUUAAUUUCCAAACCCAUCCAUUUUUUUUCCUUCGAGUUUUCUAUUUUUAUUUAUUUUUAUAUUUUAUAAAAGAUUUUUCAAAUGAUCAAAUUUUUAAAUAAAUAUUAGUUUGAUUGUGGUUAUCAAUUUUCUUGCUAUACAAAGAAAAACACCAAAUCAAACGGUAUUUGAUGUUUUAAACUCUUUAACAAAUCUAAUAACUUUUAAAAAUAAUUUAGAAACCAAUUAAUACCUAUUGCAACCUAAAAAUGUGCUAUCCAUGUUGACAAUUUAUUACCCCAUUUCCAAUUGUAGUUGUAGAUGAGGGAGAUAAUUUUCCUGAUGAGGGCAUUAUUAUAAACAUUAUUACGAUGGUAUGGCAAAGUGAAGGAUGCAUUAUGAUGGAGCUUCCAACAAUCGAGAACAUGUUGUUGAUGUAUUUUAGUUAUUUCUCUUCUAGGUGAUCACAUUCCUAAUCAAUUAUAUAAUCAUAAUGAUUGAAAUCGAUGCAAUCGAAGCAUUAAAAAACCAAUGUGAAGGAACGAGUCUUAAGUACAAAUAAAUGGAAUCACUUAUAAAAAUUAAGAAUAUAAAAAAUAAUAUUUAAAUUUAAAAAUGUAUUAAUAAUAUAAUAAAUUAUUAUCAAAUAUAAAGAUAUAUGAUCUCCAUCACAUUUUUCAACUGCCGUCCAACUUGGCAGCCAAUGUCGCUACCCUCCUUUCAACCUCUUCCAUGAUGACCUCAUUAGUCUAGAUCUUUCGGAGAUAGUCUGCAUAGGUCCGAUGGAAUCAAUAGUUUGGUUCUAAUAAGUUUGGUUCAGUUUGGUUCUUUCUUUAGAGAGCAAUGAGAAUAUACCCUGUCGACAAUAAUGUCGGUUUCCCAUCGGAAUGAGUUUGUAGAGGAGAAAAAAAGGGUAGCUUUAGCACAAAAUUCAUAUUACUGUAUGUGACAGAAAUAACUUUAAAAUAUACCAAGUGGGGAUUAAAAUUUGUUCAUUAUUUAAAAAGAAAUGUAUAAGAAUACUAUCUAAUUCUCCGGGAUUAAGAUUCCAAUCAAUCAGCCAAUUCCAUUGGAAAGCAUCUAUCAAAUUGAUAAAGCCGAUGAACAACCUCUCACACAGGAUAUUGUCUUAAAUUUCAAUUAGAUAACGACGAUGCGACAACCUCUCACACACGAAUGCCUUACGUAGUAGUUUAAUGGAAUUAGCUUUGUCUGUGCCUAUGCCACCAGCAUUUUAAUUAAUGCUUGUGGGACAUGAGUGAGAGAAGAAAUCAACAAUAAAUAGGAAGCCAUGCACUUCCCUCCUUUCCAUUCUGGGUUCUAGGCGGCUAGCUUUGUACGAGUUGGAGUAGUUUCAGAGCUUUAAUGGAGUUUCAUCUCCUUCCCAUUCUGACUUCUUUCUUGGUGAGCCUUCACUUCCACCUUUUCUUGAACACUUCGUUUUUAUAUUUCAUGGAAUAUAACUUACAUAUAUGGCAUGAAGUACUUGUGGCAGCUGGUGGUGGUCAGCCAUGCUUAUUCUCUACCUUCCGAGGUUGAUUGGAUGUCGGGUUUGCCUAACACUCCCUUCCCGAAAGCUAUGCGGAAUCUCUUAAUGCAGCCUGGUUGGUUUCCAACUUCCUCUUUUGUUGGCUCAUAGUAAUAGUGUGUUGAAUAAUGUAUUUAUGAGAAUCAUCUAUCAAAUAUUUCUUCGGAAAAUAUUAUAAGUAUUUUUUCAAUGAUGAUUUUUCAUAUUUUUAAAGAUAUUUCCUAAAAUUUUAUCAAAUAUCAAAUGAGUUCUAAACCUGUUUGAGAACUAUUGCUAGUUUGAAUGACCAUAAUAGACUAAAAAAUGACUUGAGUAGAGAUGAGAUUUAUUUAUUUUAAUAUUUAUGUCAAUUAUGGGGAUUAUAGGUAAUGACGAAUUUGAAAAAUAAAAUGUAACAUCGAGUAUAAAUGAGUUAUAAUCAUGUGAAAUUAUCAACAACCAUGUUUUGAUAAAAUAUUUGCUGCUUAAUGCAACAAAUUAAAUGGCCUUAAUUAGUUAUACCAUCAAUCAUGGGUUUAUGUGUGGCUUUAAGAAAAUAUGUGUCCUUAAUUAUUUCUCAAGUUAUUAUCCUCGUCAUCAUAAUUAACCUUUUAAAUUGUUGAAUUUGCAAACACAACAAAAGACGGAAGUUCUACCAAUGCUGACAAGACCAUCCCCACUGCUAAAUACGACACCCUUUAUGAAAACCCUCAAAAAGCAGCGAAAAGUUCUAUAAAUGCUCGCAAGAAUGCUAGCCAAAUUAAUCAAUACGAUUUAGUUCAUGAAAACCUUAGAAAGUUAAAUGAAAGCUCUAUCGAAUCUCCCAAGGAUGCUAGCUCACUUGUCGGAUAUGAUGCAAUCUAUGGAAACGCCAAAAAACAAGGAGAUGCUGUCCCAAUUACCGGAUCAUAUGAUGCAGUCUAUGGAAACCCCAAAAAACAAGGAGAUGCUACCCCCGGAUCAUAUGAUGCAGUCUAUGGAAACCCCAACAAACAAGAAGAUGCCACCCCCGGGUCAUAUGAUGCAGUCUAUGGAAACCCCAACAAACAAGGAGAUGCUGCCCCAGUUACCGGAUCAUAUGAUGCAGUCUAUGGAAACCCCAAAAAACAAGGAGAUGCUGCCCCAGUUACCGGAUCAUAUGAUGCAGUCUAUGGAAACCCCACAAAACAAGGAGAUGCUUCCCCAGUUACCGGAUCAUAUGAUGCAGUCUAUGGAAACCCCAAAAAACAAGGAGAUGCUGUCCCAGUUACCGGAUCAUAUGAUGCAGUCUAUGGAAACCCCAAAAAACAAGGAGAUGCUGUCCCAGUUACCGGAUCAUAUGAUGCAGUCUAUGGAAACCCCACAAAACAAGGAGAUGCUUCCCCAGUUACCGGAUCAUAUGAUGCAGUCUAUGGAAACCCUAAAAAACAAGGAGAUGCUUCUCCAGUUACCGGAUCAUAUGAUGCAGUCUAUGGAAACCCCAAAAAACAAGGGGAUGCUACCCCAAUCACCGGAUCAUAUGAUGCAGUGUAUGGAAACCCUCAAAAAAUUGUAGGAAGUUCCAUUAAUGCUCAUAAGGAUGCCAGCCCAAUUGCCGGAUAUGAUGCAGUUUAUAGAAACCCUCAAAAAGCAGGAGGAAGUUCUAUUAAUGCUCAGAAGGAUGCUAGCUCAAUUGCCGGAUAUGAUGCAGUCUACGGAAGCGCUCAAAAAGUAGGUGAAAGUUCCAUCAAUGCCCACAAGGAUGCCAACUCAAUUGCCGGAUAUUAUGCAGCCUAUGGAAACCCUCGAGAUGCAGGUGAAAGUUCUAUUGAUGCUGGCAAGGCUAGCCCAACUGCCUCAUAUCGGACUGUUUACGGAAAUCCUCGAAAAGCAAGUGGAAGCACUGAUAUCAAUGCUGGUAAGCCUAGUAGAACUAUGCAAUACGAGAGGGUCUAUGGAAAUCCUCAAAAAGCAGGCGGAAGUUCUGUAAGCGCGGGCAAAAAUAGUCCAAACUUGCAACAAGGACACCAAGAUGGUACCAGUACAGGUAAUGUGUUCUUGGAAAAAGACCUGCAUCCUGGGACUAAAAUGAUGGUGCGCUUCACAAAAACCUCAAGUGCAGCUCAUUUCUUGCCCCAGCAAGUUGCUGAAUCCAUACCUUUUUCAUCAAACAAGCUACCAGAAAUUUUGAAUCAGUUCUCAGUGAAAGAAAACUCCGCAGAAGCCAAGAUAAUACAGAAAACAAUAGAAGAAUGUGAGAAACCGGCCAUAGAAGGAGAAGAGAAGUACUGUGCGAGAUCGCUGGAGUCCCUAAUCAAUUUCAGCACUUCAAAGCUUGGAAAAAACAUUAGAGCACUCCCAAAUGUUGUGGAAGGGGAAAUCCAGGAAUAUAAAUUUGGAAAGGGAGCGAAGAUGCUUGGAGAGAAAUCAGUGGUGUGCCACCAGCUGAACUAUCCAUAUGCUGUGGCUCUUUGCCAUGCAUUUCACAUGACAAAAAUUUACAAGGUUCCAUUGGUGGGAGCUGAUGGAACCAGAGUUCAAGCUUUAGCAGUAUGUCAUGAGGACACUUCCAUUUGGGACCCAAAUGCUUUGGCUUUUCAAGUGCUCAAAGUUAAGCCAGGAACUUGGCCCAUCUGUCAUUUCCUUCCCAAUGGUCAUUUUGUGUGGGUUCCAAACUAGGCAGAGAUCCGUCCGCAGAAAGCCUCAAACCCAAUUGCUGGCUUGCAGUUUGUGUAAUAUAUUGUGUGCUUUGAAUAACUGCAAGGGUUGAGGAAUGUAUGUCCUAUGAGCAAUAUUAUUCAGCAAUGAGUGACUCUCCUUUUUUCUUUUUCUUUUUUUCUUUUUUUUUCUUUUCCCUUUCAGUACUACCCAUUGCAGCAAUUGCAAUGCUAAACAUAUGCACUGAGUAUCAUAUCUAAACGCCCACCAGAAGACAGUUUGAGAUUACAUAUAUACUUAAUUACAUUUAGCAAUUCUUUUAUUUUAUUUUUUCAAAUAACUAAUACAAACUAAUUGAUAAUAAUCAAAUUAACUUUUGUUGUAGAGUUGUAAGUGAACUUGUAAUUAAGUAUCAUUGUAGAUUCACCAUUAUUUAGUUAAACAUUAGAGUCCAAAAUAUUUAAACAUCUCAAAAUAAACCACCAUUAAAAAUUUAUUUAAUAAAAUUUUUGUUAACAAAAUAUUUCUUUUAUUCAUAGAAGUAACAGAACCUAUUACUAUGAUUGAGAAUUAUUUUUUAAAAUAAUUUUCUAUUUUUUUUCUUAAGAACAAAAAACAAAAUGUUUUUAAAUAAAUCAUUUUAGUUAUUUUCUGUUGUUUUUAUUUGUUUUUUGAGGAUUGUUUUAAUAAAUAAUUAUAUAAACACAUUGAAUGAUUAAAAAUAAAACACCAAAUAUAAAAAUUAUUUUUUAAAAUAUUAAAAAUGGGUUAAAAAUAUUUUAGGUUUCUAAAUAGAUUUUUGUUCUAUAAAAACUAGAAAACAAUUUUAAAAAACUAUUUUCAAAAACUAUUUUUUCAUAAAUAUUUUUAAAAGCAAUUACCAAACAAAACCUAAAAUUUUUUAUAUGUUUUUUGUUGUUAGAAAUAGCAAAGCAAACAAAAUAUGAACCGUGUUUCCAUUCAUACGCGGGCAUAGCCAUAUAAGUGUUGCUUCACAGAAGCAUAUUUCAGGCUUUCAGCUAUCCUUAUAUGGAAAGCUCAGUCUAUGUAUCAAUUGAAAAAGCAUUAAAUAUAUUUGUCUUUUUUCUUCUUAAUUUUUUUUUUCCCUUUGUUAGCUUAUGGAUAUAGUUUAAUUAUGAAAGUUGCUUUUCUCAGUUAUUCAAAAUGAGUGGUAUAUACACAUGCAUGCUGCUCAGUCGUUGCAUAAUUCUCUCCUUCCUUGCUGGGUCAAUUUUUCCAACAACUUCUAAAGCUUGAUGAGUCCGAAAGUGUCUAUAAUUCUUCUGCUCUUGCAAGAAAUCUUCAAAGGCUUGUUAUUAAUUAAAUUUUACUUUCUAACCCUAGUUAAUUCUUUAAGUUAUGAAUUUGGUGUCAGAUACCAUAAAGUAAAUAACCCAAAUUAUUUAUUAGAGACCAUAAGGUAUAUAAUCCAAAUUAUUUUUUAGAUUAUCAUUCCUAACCCCAAUUCCUAUGUGAUAGAAUAACCACUAGCACACUUUAAAUUGUAUUAUCACUUUUUCUCCUACAUCUAUGAUAAUUCAAGAUUGUAGUUGAGAAAAAAAUAUUGAUGAAAAACUUAUUAUUCUCAUGUUGGUGGUGGAGUCCUUGAUUUAAGGGCACGGAAUACACAUGCCAAAUCUCGGUCCAUGUAUAUGUAUGAUAUAUAUAAAGAAUGUUGGAUAAGGAAAUUCUAGACAUGACCAAAUUUGAAUCGUGUAUUGCCACUUACAUUUGGCAAUAAGAUGUGAUUUACGUGGAAAAUUGGUGGUGGUAGGAGCCUAUAAAUAGAGGUCUCUUCUCCUCAUUCCAUUUAUUCUAUAAUUGAGAGAAAAAUAGUGGUGCAACUCUUUGAGUGAAAAAGUGAGAUUCAUAGAUACCAAUUCAUAGGAAAUCUACAUGUAGUAGAUGGUAUGUCAUGGAUCAGAGCUUCAUCUCAUUGUUAUUUACAUAGAAUAUUGAAGUAUAGUUGAUUUUCUAUAAUGGAAUGUUGAAUUAACUUCAUAAUUGAAUUCUAGGAGAGUCAAUACUUCUAUAGGUCCUAAUGGUCUUUGCUAUGAACUCAAACAUUGUGUUGGCGUAGUUUAUGAGGGUUGGAUUGACUUUAGGUUUACUCUUGUACAUAAAAGAAUUUUGAUAAUUACACAAAGUUGUAUAUGAGAUAAUAAACAAGGUUUUUAAAUUGGACUAAUUGAUUAAUUAGAUAGUCAUAUGCGGUUAAUUAAUCAAUUAUGACUUAUAUUAUAGUAGAUUAAGUAACCCAAACUCAAGUCACUUAAACCUAAUAAGAGAAUGUUAUAAAUACCCUUUAGAAAUUAGGGCUAAGGUUUCCAUGGCCUUAGACAGUUGUCUUCCAUCUCAAAGAGAGUAUAGGUUUCCACAAUUUCAAAGCCCACACUUUGGAGUGUCAAGAUUAUGGUUUAAGUUAUCAAAUAGAAGAUCUUGGGUGAACAAGACUCCCGAACUAUUCAAGCAUGUUUUUUAUUGUGAGGAAUUGAUAUAGGAACAUUCAGAUUUAGGUAUGAAUACUAUAUCUCUAGAUCUAUAAUUAAUAAUAGUUUUUGCUACCAUUUUAUUUCAUCGUGAUAGAUUUAUACAUACCUAGGGAUAGAUGCAUACACCUACUAGAUCUAGGGAUAGGGAAUUCCCAACAACUAUAGCCAAGGAAUAUGCAUGGAAUGGACAAGUAUUGAAGCUUAGUUUUAUUUUAAGGUCAGAGGUUGGGGUGGAAUACACACCCAAACACUUUUAGUUGAGAGUAAUCAGGUGUUGAAAAAGAGUUCCAAUGGAGUUUUAUUCUUUAGAACCAGAGUGGGUAACCUGUUAGUAAGAAAAAUGCAUGUGCAAAGGCCUCAUCACAAUGUUUGAUGGGUAGAGAGGCUUGUAGGAGUCCCUAUUCAACAAUGAGGUGAUGUUUAUGCUGAGUUGUUACAUUUUGUUUAUGGGCGUAGGAACAUGAGGUUCUCUGGAUAAUGUCAUUUGAGAAAGGAUAAUGUGUGAAGGUACGAUAUUCUCCGCCCUAAUCAGUUUGUAUAGCCUUACUUUUAUGACCCAUUUUAAGCUCAGCUUGAGACUUGAAAUUAAGAAAGGCUUGAAAUGCUUCAUUAGAUUUUUACUUAAAAGCAUGUAAAUCCAUGCAUACCUAGAGUAGGCAUCAACAUAGUGAAUGUAAUACUGAUAUCCAUUAGAAGAGGGUGUUGAUGCAAGGCCUCAUAAAUGAGAAUGUAUCGGUUCUAAGGGUGUUGUGUAUGGUGAGGUAGAAGUAAGAAAUGGAAACUAGUGAAUCUUUCCCAAGCAAGAUGCAAAACAAACAAGAGAGGAUCUUUUAUUAAGGUGAGAAAGGUUACCUAUAUUUAGUACUUGAGACAUGGUUUGAGCAGAUGGGUGGCCAAGUCUAUUGUGUCAUAAAUCAAAUGAUGCUCUUUCUUGUAGCUGAUGUUAUGAAGGGCUUGGAAGAGAAAGGUGUAGUGGUUGUUGUGCAGAGCUUGAAGGAGACGGUUGAGUUCUGAGGAUGUGAGGAAGUGAAGUUCAAGUUAUCGAACACAUAGAGACCCCUUUUAAGUUGGCAUUGUAGAAGAACUGUUCUGGUGGUAAGAUCCUUAACAAAACAAGAGGUGGAGGUGAAACUCAAAAUAUACAUGGUUGUCAUUUGCAAAUUUAGAAACAUUAAGAAGAUUUUUGGUGAUUUUUAGAACAUGAAGUAAUUGUUUCAGGGUAAGUGAUUUGGAAAGAUUAAAAGGAGAUGAGAAUGAUGUAUUACCAAUAUGAUGAAUAGGGAGGCCCUUACCGUUUCCCAUGAAAACUUGAUCUGGUGCCGAAAAUUGUGAUUUGUUCAAGAUGUUGUUCAGUUCAAGUGUUAGAUGAUGUGUUGCUCCGGAACAUGGAUACCAGUAGGUUACCUCUGAAAUAUCUGAAGAGGCUUGUUGUGUGGGUGCAAUUAAGAGUCCUUCAUGCUGCUGUGAUGGCCUCAAGUAUUGUUGUGGAACGUGAGUAAUGUUCCCUUGAGGUGGAUGAUUUUGCAGCUGUGAAUUCCAGUGAAGGAGUGAUGAAACCAGUAGUAGCAUUGCAUAACCACAUGUACUAUCCUCCCACAUAGCUGACAUUGGGGUUUCUUAUUUCCUUCCCAUGAAUUCUUUGAUUCAAGUGUGAGGAUCCACUGGUUGUGGCCAAGUUAACAAGACUAGUAUUGGACAAUUCUGAAUUCAAUUUCUUCCGUAGUGUAGGGAUCAAUCCUUGAGCUUACUGAGAUGAUAGAGGUUUCAUAUUCUUGAGAAAGGCCUUCAAAGAUUGCAUCUAUAUAGUCUUCGACACAGAGUUUAUGGCCAACUAGAGGAAGAAGAUCAACUGUGUUUAGAAGCAUAUUUCAACUACAAUUUCAUAAAAGUAUUACAAUUUAAUUUCUAUUUAGGAAAAAUAAUUUUUACAAAUUGUCUAGAGAAAAAGAUCCUUUUAUAAGUUCAUCUACAAAGUAUUUUUCAACUCAAUCUUAUUUACAAGAGUUAAAAUUCAAUUCAAAUAUAGUGGUAAAAAAAGUUUGAUAGAAAAUGAUUUUUACAAAAGAGAAUUCAAUUCUUUUUUAAUUUUAAGAAAAUAAUUUAUUAAUUUGAUAAAAAAAGAAAAAGAAAUUAUCUAUGAUUGGCUUAAAAAAAAAAAAAAAGAGUUUCCCGAUUUUAUUAAGUGAACUUCGUAAACUAUUUGGAUUUUAGUAAAAGAUCUCAACUUUAUUAUUUAAAAAAAUCAAAUUAAAAAAAUUUUUAAAAAAGGAUUCCAAUUGGAUUUUUCCUUAAAAAAGGAAUUUUUUAUUAAUUUAUUAAAAAAAAUUAGGACUUUAAUUUUAAUAGAAUUAUAUUUUAAUUAAAAUAAGAUAUUUUCAUAACAUUAUUUAAAAAGAGAAUUUUAUUAAGAAUUAGUUUUAUUUACAAUUUUAAUAAAAGAAUUUUCAUUUUAUUUAAGGAUUUUUGCAAGCUGUUUUAAUUUUGUUACAUUAAAAAAAAAAUCAAACUAAACACAAAAAAUAGGAUCAUGUCUUAAAAAGGUUUUCAAUUUAUUAAUGGCAUGAUUUUCGGAUUAUUUAAAAAAUAAAAAUCUCAACUUUAUCUAAAAGGAUUUCAUAUUUUUAUUUAUUAAAAAAAUUCAUUUAUUUAUUUAUUUAUUUUCCUUCUUCUUUUUUUUUUUUUCUAAGAGGCUUCCGAUUUCAUUUUGGAAGACCCUGAAACAAGGCCAAAAUUUUAUAAUGAAAUUUCAAAGAUCAAAAGGAAAGGGUUUCACCUCAUUCUUUUGAAGAACCUAAGGCCAAAAUUGAAGUGAGGGUCAUGGAAAUGAAGGUCUCGAUAGUUGAUGCAGAUGAGGUUGUCAGAGGGGGCCUGUGAGGUGCAUAAUUGGUAUGAAUAUGGUAGUGGAGCUGCGUGAGAGAGAAAUGGAAGAAAGGAGGGUGAGAGAGAGAGAGAAAGGGGUGGAGAGAAAUAAAGUGAAAGAAAGAAAAUGGGGGAAAAUGAGAAGAAGAGGAAGAAGUGGGUGGUCGUGUGAGGGAAAGUGAGAGAGGCUGAGAAAGGAAAACAAAUGAAAAGAAAGAAAAAAAAUGUUAAAAAAUAGAAGGAAAGAGAAAAGAGUAGGGUGUGGGUGGAGGAAAAGGUGGAAGAAAAAGGCCAAAAUUUUGGUUUGAAUUGCUGCAAGGGUUGAGGAUUGUGUGUCCUACCUAAGGGUCUUCAACGGGCCGGGCCGGGCCCUUAAGCUGGGCGGGUUGGCGGGCUUAGCUGGGUAAAAAUUAAAGUAUUUUUUAGGUUUGAAGGGAAGGGGAUUCGAACCCUUUCCCAUACGGAUCCAUAAGGAGAGCUAACCACCAACUGAACUAACCCUCUUUUAUGUAAUUAUUUUGUAUUAGUUAUAUAUAUAUUAGAAAUGUUGUAUGAUUUUUUUUUUAUAUAUAGAUUUUUUUUAAGUGGCGGGCCAGGCCGAGCCUAAAUUGGGGCCCAUGGCCUGGCCCAUCCAAGAAUGGGCUCGGGCUUGCCGAGCUUUAACCCGCUAGGCCGGGUCGGGCCGCGGGCUUUUUGGAGACCCUUAGUCCUACCACCUAUGUGCAAUAUUAGUGACUCGCUCUAUCAUUCAGCCUAGCGUGCACUUAGGUUAGGUUUGUUUUUUGAUUGAAUAAAAAAAGUCAAAAUAUUUAACUUUUUUUAUUCAGCUAAAAAUAACAUGUUGACAUUAUUCAAUAUAAUUAAACUGAACUUAUUAAUAAUAUAUUUAUUUUAAUUAUGUUGGAUGAUGUCAACAUAUUACUUUUAGUUGAAUAGAAAAAGCCAAAUAUUUGAUUUUUUCUAUUCAACUAAAAAACAAACACCUCUUAAUAUUAUAUCUACACACCCACAGAAGAGGUUACCUUUAGCUUUACAACUUCAUAAUUAUUUUGAGUUCUGCAUUAGAAUCGCCCUUUUAACAAUUAUUAUAAUUAAUUAAAAUUGAUAUAAUGACGUAUUUAAUUAUAUUAAACUUGGACAAUGGUGGAUGGUUUAACAAUGAUGGGUGUCCCCUUAAUCAUUGAAUUUGUAAAGCACCACCAGCUUUUGGACGAAGGGCAUGGAGCCCAAUGGUUCCAAAAUAAUUAAUCAAGUUGAUGGGACUAGUCCCUUUCUUCUUUCAUUACUGAAAUUACAGUUCGCUCCCAUCAUCGUCCCUUCAUUUUCACUUUAUUCUGCACUCAUUUCCCAUUUUACCUUUGCCAGGGUGAAGGGUGUCACACACUUAUGGUAUUAAAGUUGCAUUAUCUGGCAUUCACAAUGACUGGUGGUGAUAAUUCACAAUUCUCUCUCGUCACAUCCAAUGGCUACUGCGAAGGAGUCCUGGCCCCACCAGAUAGAGGCACCUCCCUUGAGCUCUUUCCAUCCCAUCUCAGCCACAUUCCUCUUCAGUUAGAGAGCUUUCAUGGAGUUUUACCUCCUUCCCCUUCUGGCAUUUCUCUCCGUGAGCCUUAACUUCCAACUUUACUAAUCAAAUCAUAAACCAUGCACUACAUUAUUAUUUUACAGGAAAAUUAAGCAUGUUCUCUAUUAUGGAAAAUCAAUACAAAGCCCAGAUGAAACUAUUCUUUACAAAGCAUUUUCAAAAUAUUUUUCUGAAAAUAUUGAAAAAAGCAAUAUGCAAAUUUAAAUGGAUGGAGUUCGCAACAUGCAUGUUCACAAUAUUUGAAUAAAGGAUUGGCAGUUAGCGUGGGUCCUGUAGUUGAUUGCUAUUUUAAGAUCGGCCCACUAUCUUCCUCAAUUACUCCAUUUUAUAUUUUUCUAUUUUUGAAAGAAUCUUUACGGAUCUUCAAUAAUUAAUGAGAAGUACUAUCUUCCUCAUCCCAUUCCUCCCCCUCUCACUCUCUUUACGUCCUUAAAGUAAGUGGUACAAUAAAAAGGGAAUAAAAAGGGAAAUGGAAUUAUUGCCUUUUCAUCCAGAUGAGCAGCCACAAUCAUUUACUUCAAAAGAAUCAAAGCAUCUCUCUUUUGCAGUGAAAGACAUGUGAAAUUCAUUGAGUUUGAAUUUCAAUAAAUUUGAAUUGAAUUUGAAUUUGAAUUUACCAAUUCAAGGCAACGGGGCAAUCGUCAAAAGUGGAUUUUUCUAUUUUUGAAAGAAUCUUUACGGAUCUUCAAUAAUUAAUGAAAAUUGAAUGCGAAGGUUGGGCCACAUGCAACUUGAUCAUGCAUGGAUGCUUUUACUAUCUUAUUUAUAUAUGCCGACUUAGCCAUUAUAUAUAUCCAUCAAUUGAUUUCACUUCUUCAUACCAACGUAUAGCUUAGCCUGCGGUUCACAGCUUCUAUGGAGCUUCAUCUUCUUCCCAUUCUAACUUGCCUCUCUGUGAGACUUCACUUUUAUCUUUCCUUUGUUUUUAUUUUUCUACCAUAACUCAUUACAUGACAAGGGCAAUGCAAGUUAUAUUAUUUUGCAGAAAAUGGUACUUACAAUAAAUUUUCUUUAAAAAAUGAACAUUUUCUAAUCCAAAUUUUAAGUCUUACUGUUCUAAAAAUGGUAAUUUCUUAAUGAUUUAACAUGUAUAGUUUAACAUGAGCUUCUUGGCAGAGUUUCUUCUAUGUUAAUAAUGGUGAUGUAUUUCAAUUGGUAUCAGAGCAACAUGUUAAAUCAUUAAGAAAUUACCAUUUUUAAAAUAAAAAUGUCGAAAUGCUCUCACUUUCCUUCACCAAAACCCUCAGUUAGCCUCCUUUCGUGCGCCUGAAACACCAUGGAGGGCAUUAGGGAGGGUGGUGAUUUGGGUUUCCGGAGAGCAUGAAAUUCAGGCGCGGUUCAGGCGAGUUUCAGGCGUCCGUGCGGCGCUGGUGCACAGUCCGUGCGGUUUAGUCUGUUUUCCUUGAAAAGAGUCUGUGGAAGCCAACAUAUAAUAAAGGGAGACACACAAGACUGUGAGACCUGCCAUGAAAACAUUUUUCAAUUGAAUCCACACUUUUUAAAAAAUAAAACUCUAAUAUAUAAAAGGGUUAAAUAUAUAAUUGGAGCAAAUUUGUCAUUUAUCAUAUAAAUUUUUUUUCCAAAUACCCCAAUAAAAGAGCAAUUUUUGAAAUGUUAAAAAUAUUAAAAGUAUUUCGUAAAAUCACUAUUAAACGAGUUAUUAGAGUGCGUUUGAGAGCCCAUUUGAUAGUAAUUUUAUGAAGCGCUUCUAACCCUUUUAACACUUGAAAUUUUUUAUCAUUCAAGUGUUAUAAAUACUAUAAACAUUUUAUAGAAUUAUUAUCAAAUACAAUAUGAGAAUUAUUAUUAAAAACAUUUUUGGUUUUUUUAAUACUUGAAAGAUAAAAAUUUUGAAAUAUUAAAAGCACUCCUUAAAAUCACAACCAAAUGGAUCUUUAGAAUAUAUUAAACAAUGAUUUUAAAAAAAACUUUUAACCUUAAAAACAUUUUAAAACAAAAUUAAGUGUUUGAAAAAUUUUAUCAAAUAUUUUUAAAAAUCUUAAAAAUUACUUAAAAUAUGAAAAAAUUAGAUUUUUUUUAAGAAACCUUUGUUAUUAAUUUCCCUAAAAACACCUUUAAAGAAAAUGCUUAUAUUAAAAACAUUUUAAGACGAUGUUUUAAGAUCUCAUCUGAUAGUAAUUAUAGAAAACACUUUUAAUCUUUUUAAUAUUUAAAAAAAUUUAUUAUUUAAGUGUUAAAAAUAUUAUAAACGCUUUUUAAAAUCACCCUUAAAUGUACUCUAAAUUUAUAUAUAUAAUAGAGUUUCCAGGAUUCAACAACCACGGAUAUUAUGUUUUGGAGAGAUGAAAGAAAAUUUUGAUUUAACAUAAUACUACAAUUAUUACUAAAUGCAAUUGUUGGCUUCAAAAUCCAUCUAUUAAAUGCAACUACCACUGAUUAUUAUAGGCACUAAAAUGGAAAUGCUUUUAUUGUUUUCUCAUCCAUUUUUUUUUGUUUUUGUUUUUGACAAGAAAUCAUUUCUAAGUAAGGGGAUUCCCACACAUUUUCACAAUAUUUGAAUAAGGGAUUGGCAGUUAGCGUGGGUCCUGUAGUUGAUUGCUAUUUUAAGAUCGGCCCACUAUCUUCCUCAAUUACUCCAUUUCAUAUUUUUCUAUUUUUGAAAGAAUCUUUACGGAUCUUCAAUAAUUAAUGAGAAGUACUAUCUUCCUCAUCCCAUUCCUCCCACUCUCACUCUCUUUACGUCCUUAAAGUAAGUGGUAGGGUUGGCUUUUUUGAGUUAGAGUUGGUACAAUAAAAAGGGAAAUGGAAUUAUUGCCUUUUCAUCCAGAGGAGCAGCCACAAUCAUUUACUUCAAAAGAAUCAAAGCAUCUCCCUUUUGCAGUGAAAGACAUGUGAAAUUCAUUGAGUUUGAAUUUCUAUAAAUUUGAAUUGAAUUUGAAUUUGAAUUUACCAAUUCAAGGCAACGGGGCAGUCGUUAAAAGUGGAUUUUUCUAUUUUUCAAAGAAUCUUUACGGAUCUUCAAUAAUUAAUGAGAAUUGAAUGCGAAGGUUGGGCCACAUGCAACUUGAUCAUGCAUGGAUGCUUUUACUAUCUUGUUUCUAUAUGCCGACUUAGCCAUUAUAUAUAUCCAUCAAUUGAUUUCACUUCUUCAUACCAACGUACAACUUAGCCUGCGGUUCACAGCUUCUAUGGAGCUUCAUCUUCUUCCCAUUCUAACUUGCCUCUCUGUGAGACUUCACUUUUACCUUUCUUUUGUUUUUAUUUUUCUAACAUAACUCAUUACAUGACAAGGGCAAUGCUAGUUAUAUUAUUUUGCAGAAAAUGGUACUUACAAUAAAUUUUCUUUAAAAAAUGAACAUUUUCUAAUUCAAAUUUUAAGUCUUACUGUUCUAAAAAUGGUAAUUUCUUAAUGAUUUAACAUGUAUGGUUUAACAUGAGAUUCUUGGCAGAGUUUCUUCUAUGUUAAUAAUGGUGAUGUAUUUCAAUUGGUAUCAUAGCAACAUGUUAAAUCAUUAAGAAAUUACCAUUUUUCAAAUAAAAAUAUCGAAAUGCUCUCACUUUCCUUCACCAAAACCCUCAGUUGGCCUCCUUUCGUGCCCCUGAAACACCAUGGAGGGCAUUAGGGAGGGUGGUGAUUUAGGUUUCCGGAGAGCAUGAAAUUGAGGCGCGGUUCAGGCAAGUUUCAGGCGUCCGUGCGGCGCUGGUGUGCCUUCCGUGCGGCGCUGGUGCACAGUCCGUGCGGUUUAGUUUGUUUUCCUUGAAAGGAGUCUGUGGAAGCCAACAUAUAAUAAAGGGAGACACACAAGACUGUGAGACCUGCAUGAAAACAUUUUUCAAUUGGAACAACACUUUGUAAAAAAUAAAACUCUAAUAUAUAAAAGGGUUAAAUAUAUAAUAGGAGCAAAUUUGUCAUUUAUCAUAUAAUUUUUUUUUUCCAAAUACCCCGAUAAAAGAGCAAUUUUUGAAAUGUUAAAAAUAUUAAAAGUAUUUCGUAAAAUCACUAUUAAACGAGUUAUUAGAGUGUGUUUGAGAGCCCAUUUGAUAGUAAUUUUAUGAAGUGCUUCUAACCCUUUUAACACUUGAAAUUUUUUAUCAUUGAAGUGUUAUAAAUACUAUAAACAUUUUAUAGAAUUAUUAUCAAAUACAAUAUGAGAAUUAUUAUUAAAAACAUUUUUGGUUUUUUUUAAUACUUGAAAUAUAAAAAUUUUGAAAUAUUAAAAGCACUCCUUAAAAUCACAACCAAAUGGAUCUUUAGAAUAUAUUAAACAAUGAUUUUAAAAAACACUUUUAACCUUAAACACAUUGUAAAACAAAAUUAAGUGUUUGAAAAAUUUUAUCAAAUAUUUUUAAAAAUCUUAAAAAUUACUUAUAAUAUGAAAAAAUUAGAUUUUUUUUUUAAGAAACCUUUCUUAUUAAUUUCCCUAAAAACACUUUUAAAGAAAAUGCUUAUAUUAAAAACAUUUAAAGACGAUGUUAUAAAAAACACUUUUAAUCUUUUUAAUAUUUAAAAAAAAUUUAUUAUUUAAGUGUUAAAAAUAUUAUAAACGCUUUUUAAAAUCACCCUUAAAUGUACUCUAAAUUUAUAUAUAUAAUAGAGUUUCCAGGAUUCAACAACCACGGAUAUUAUGUUUCGGAGAGAUUAAAAAAAAUUUUGAUUUAACAUAAUACUACAAUUAUUACUAAAUGCAAUUGUUGGCUUCAAAAUCCAUCUAUUAAAUGAAACUACCACUGAUUAUUAUAGGCACUAAAAUGGAAAUGCUUUUAGUGUUUUCUCAUCCAUUUUUUUUGUUUUUGUUUUUGACAAGAAAUCAUUUCUAAGUACGGGGAUUCCCACACAUUUUCACAAUAUUUGAAUAAAGGAUUGGCAGUUAGCGUGGGUCCUGUAGUUGAUUGCUAUUUUAAGAUCGGCCCACUAUCUUCCUCAAUUACUCCAUUUUAUAUUUUUCUAUUUUUGAAAGAAUCUUUACGGAUCUUCAAUAAUUAAUGAGAAGUACUAUCUUCCUCAUCCCAUUCCUCCCCCUCUCACUCUCUUUACGUCCUUAAAGUAAGUGGUAGGGUUGGCUUUUUUGAGUUAGAGUUGGUACAAUAAAAAGGGAAAUGGAAUUAUUGCCUUUUCAUCCAGAUGAGCAGCCACAAUCAUUUACUUCAAAAGAAUCAAAUCAUCUCUCUUUUGUAGUGAAAGACAUGUGAAAUUCAUUGAGUUUGAAUUUCAAUAAAUUUGAAUUGAAUUUGAAUUUGAAUUUACCAAUUCAAUGCAACGGGGCAGUCGUCAAAAGUGGAUUUUUCUAUUUUUGAAAGAAUCUUUACGGAUCUUCAAUAAUUAAUGAGAAUUGAAUGCGAAGGUUGGGCCACAUGCAACUUGAUCAUGCAUGGAUGCUUUUACUAUCUUGUUUAUAUAUGCCGACUUAGCCAUUAUAUAUAUCCAUCAAUUGAUUUCAUUUCUUCAUACCAACGUACAGCUUAGCUUGCGGUUCACAGCUUCUAUGGAGCUUCAUCUUCUUCCCAUUCUAACUUGCCUCUCUGUGAGACUUCGCUUUUACCUUUCUUUUGUUUUUAUUUUUCUAACGUAACCCAUUACAUGACAAGGGCAAUGCUAGUUAUAUUAUUUUGCAGAAAAUGGUACUUACAUUAAAUUUUCUUUAAAAAAUGAACAUUUUCUAAUCCAAAUUUUAAGUCUUACUGUUCUAAAAAUGGUAAUUUCUUAAUGAUUUAACAUGUAUGGUUUAACAUGAGAUUCUUGGCAGAGUUUCUUUUAUCUUAAUAAUGGUGAUGUAUUUCAAUUGGUAUCAGAGCAACAUGUUAAAUCAUUAAGAAAUUACCAUUUUUAAAAUAAAAAUAUCGAAAUGCUCUCACUUUCCUUCACCAAAACCCUCAGUUGGCUUCCUUUCGUGCCCCUGAAACACCAUGGAGGGCAUUAGGGAGGGUGGUGAUUUGGGUUUCCGGAGAGCAUGAAAUUGAGGCGCAUUUCAAGCAAGUUUCAGGCGUCCGUGCGGCGCUGGUGCACAUUCCGUGCGGUUUAGUCUGUUUUCCUUGAAAGGAGUCUGUGGAAGCCAAUAUAUAAUAAAGGGAGACACACAAGACUGUGAGACUUGCCAUAAAACAUUUUUCAAUUGCAACCACACUUUUUUAAAAAUAAAACUCUAAUAUAUAAAAGGGUUAAAUAUAUAAUAGGACCAAAUUUGUCAUUUAUCAUAUAAAUUUUUUUUUCCAAAUACCCCGAUAAAAGAGCAACAAUAACUUAAAAUUGUUUUUAUUCAAGUAUAUAGUUGUAGUAAAAUUGUUUAUGUUAUUCUAUAGUUUGUUGCUGUGUAAGAGGAAUAUUAAUAACAACUAGUUUCAAACAUAAUACUGAAGAUCAUAUUACCAUUUUUUUUUCAUGUUGAAGAUAUAAUAUGAUUAUUAAAAAAAAUGGGGUGACUUUGAUUUAAAGUAUUUAAUUUUAAGUUAAUAAUUUUAGAAAUAAAAUUUUGAAUAAGUAUAAACAUGAAAUAAUCCAAUAAAACUAAGACUUGAUAUAUAAAUUCUAAAAAUAAAAUAUUAUGCUCGUUUAACAUAAAUGUUAAACUUUUAAUUUGAUAUUUAAAUUUAUAAAUAAAAAUGGAAUUAAUAAAAAUAAAUUGAAAUGAUUUUAAUGAAUAUAAAAAUAAACAUUAUUUAAUUUAAUUUUAGUAUAUAAAAGAUAAAAAUUAAUAUAUAUAUAUAUAUACACACCUUUAUAUAUAAUAAGUAGUCAAUAUGUAACACCUAAUACCAUGCUGAAUUAUACUAUAUCAACAAUUAUCCUCAAAGUUUGAAAAUGAUUGCAAAGAGUUUUAAUGUUUGACCUACUUGCAACCCGUUUUAUAAUGAUUUUGGGAAGCACUCUUAACCUUUUUAAUACUUGAAAGUUUUUAUUAUUCAAGUGUUAAAAAGUCUAUAAAUGUUUUCUAAAAUCAGUAUGAAACAUACUCUUAAAAAUGACAACAAAUUAAUAGGUUUAAGUUGUUAUUACUCCUAUUUAGGUGAACUUGCCUAAUAACAUUUAUCAAACAAGUCAUUUUAAUUGAGUUGAUGGCUUCAAUCUUGGCACUAUUCAUUUUGAUUUAUUUAGUUAAUUGUUUUGAAAUGAUUAUAAUGUGGCUUAUAUAUAAUCAUUUUAAUUAUUGUGUCAUAUUAACACGAUUAUAAUUAAACCCCACAUAUCACUAGUUGUUGUAAAUGAGAAAAGUAUAUUUCAUGCGUUUAUUUGAAAGCAUAUGCAUGGUAGGAAACCAUUUUUUCAUAUUUCAAAGUGUUAUCCUAAAAUAUUUGUUAAUUUAUACGCUUUUAGAUAAAAAAAAUAAUAUCGAAAUACUACCUUUUAAUAAUACAAAUAUUAUAUUUGAUUUAGACGAGUACAUAUUUCACUUGAAAAUUUUUGAUAGGUUAUGUUUACAAUUUGUAAAUUUUAUAAUUUUUUUACCUUAACAUGUGAAAGGAGGAUCCAAUUCUUACCUCUAAUGAUAGACUAACGAUCAUGAGUAGAUAUUAAAUAACAAGCCCAACUAGGCCCUUGAGUAAUAGACUUUCACAAACAAUCAUUCUCCAACUUGUAUGUAGUAGCAUUUUGAAAUUAAGAUGCAAACUCUCAAAAAGCAGGAAGUUCUACCGAUGCUCAAAAGCAUGCUAGCUCGAUUGCCGAAUAUGAAGCAGUCUAUGGAAACCCUCAAAAAGUAGAAGGAAGUCCUAUCAAUUCUCACAAGGAUGGUAGCCCAAUUGCCGGAUAUGAUGCAGUCUAUGGAAACCCUCAGAAAGCUGGAGGAAGUUCUAUCAAGGCUCACAAUGAUGCUAACUCAGUUGCCGGAUAUGAUGCAGUCUAUGGAAACCCUCAAAAAUUAGGAGGAAGUUCUACCAAUGCUCAUCACAAAGAUGCUGGCGCAAUUGCUGGAUAUGAUGCAGUCUAUGGAAGCACUCAAAAACAAGGGGAUGCUAGUCCAAUUGCUGGAUAUGAUGCAGUCUAUGGAAGCACUCAAAAACAAAGGGAUGCUAGUCCGAUUGCUGGAUAUGAUGCAGUCUAUGGAAGCACUCAAAAACAAGGGGAUGCUAGUCCAAUUGCUGGAUAUGAUGCAGUCUAUGGAAGCACGAAAAAACAGGGGGAUGCUAGUCCAAUUGCUGGAUAUGAUGCAGUCUAUGGAAGCACGAAAAAACAAGGGAAUGCUAGUCCAAUUGCUGGAUAUGAUGCAGUCUAUGGAAGCACUCGAAAACAAGGGGAUGCUAGUCCAAUUGCUGGAUAUGCUGCAGUCUAUGGAAGCACGAAAAAACAAGGGGAUGCCAGUCCAAUUUCUGGAUAUGAUGCAGUCUAUGGAACCUCUCAAAAAGCAGAAGGAAGUUCCAUCAAUGUUCACAAGGAUGCUAGCUCAAUUGCCGGAUAUGAUGCAGUCUAUGGAACCCCUAAAAAAGCAAUAGAAAGUUCCACCAAAGCUCACAAGGAUGCUAGCCAAAUUGCUGGAUAUGAUGCAGUCUAUGGAAACUCUCAACAAAAAGCAGGAGGAAGUUCUAUCAAUGCUCACAAAGAUUCUAGCCCAGUUGCGAGUUAUGGUGCAGUUAAUGUGUUUUUGGAAAAAGACCUGCAUCCUGGGACAAAAAUGGCUGUGCGCUUCACAAAAACCUCAAGUGCAGCUCAUUUCUUGCCCCAUCAAGUUGCUGAAUCCAUACCUUUUUCAUCAAACAAGCUACCAGAAAUUUUGAAGCGAUUCUCCGUGAAAGAAAACUCCGCAGAAGCCCAGAUGAUACAGAAAACAAUAAAACAAUGUGAGACACCUGCCAUAGUAGGAGAAGUUAAGUACUGUGCGAGGUCCUUGGAGUCCCUAAUUGAUUUCAGCACUUCAAGGCUGGGAAAAAACAUUCGAGUUCUCUCCAAUGAGGUGGAAGCGGAUAUCCAGGAGUAUAAAUUUGGAGAGGGAGUGAAGAUGGUGGGAGAGAAAUCAGUGGUGUGCCACCAGCUGAACUAUCCAUAUGCUGUGGCAUUCUGCCAUACACUUCACAUGACAAAGAUUUACAUGGUUCCAUCGGUGGGUGCUGAUGGAACCGGAGUUGAAGCUGUAGCAGUUUGUCACCGGGACACUUCAACUUGGGACCCAAAGGCUUUGGUCUUUCAAAGGCUCAAAGUUAAGCCAGGAACUUUGCCCAUCUGCCAUUUCCUUCCCAAUGGUCAUAUUGUCUGGGUUCCAAAGUAGGUAGAGAUCCGCAGAAAGCCUCAAACCCAAUUGCUGGCUUGCAGUUUCUGUAAUAUAUUGUGUGCUAUUUGAAUAACGGCAAGGGUUGAGGAAUGUGUGUCCUAACUCCUAUGUGUAAUAUUAUUCGGUAACGAGUGACUUUCUCCUUGGAUUAUUUAUUUUUUUCGAGUUAAUUUCAUUCACCUUUUCUCAACUAAGUACAUCUAGCUCCCAUAAUUUUAAAAUUUCAUUAAAUAUUAGGCUUAUUCUUUUCAUUUCUUAUUUUCACUUAUUACCUAUUUCAUUCAAAAUAAAGGAAAUGUACGAUGAAAUUUUAAAUUUACGAGAACUAAAUAUAUUUAAUCAAAAUCUUAAAAAUGGUGAAUGAAAUUAACUUUUAUUUUUCUGUUAAUAUUAUCUAUCGCAAAUAAAAGGAAACAGUGACCAAAAGAAUAGUGACAAUACUUACUAUAAUCAUUUUAUUUAAGUAAUAAUAAAAGCAAAAAUUUCAUUAUUUAAUUACCUCAACAAUAAUCAUGUCACAAUUAUUCAAAGAAUAUAGUCCUGAUCGAAACAACACUGAAAAUUAUUAUUAUUAUUAUUUUAUUUGAAUGAUAGUAAAAAUAUGACAUUUAUCUCUUUUUGUUUUACCUACUUAAUUUCCACACCCAUCCAUUUUUUUUCCAUCGAGUUUUCUAUUUUUAUUUAUUUUUAUAUUUUAUAAAAGAUUUUUCAAAUUAUCAAAAUUUUAAAUAAAUAUUAGUUUGAUUGUGGUUAUCAAUUUUCUUGCUAUACAAAGAAAAACACCAAAUCAAACGGUAUUUGAUCUUUUAAACUCUUUAACAAAUCUAAUAACUUUUAAAAAUAAUUUAAAAACCAAUUAAUACCUAUUGCAACCUAAAAAUGUGCUAUCCAUGUUGACAAUUUAUUACCCUGAAGCUCCUUGCCCCAUUUCCAAUCGUAGUUGUAGAUGAGGGAGCGGUCGAUGAUAAUUUUCCUGAUGAGGACAUUAUUAUAAACAUUAUUACGAUGGUAUGGCAAAGUGAAGGCUGCAUUAUGGUGGAGCUUCCAACAAUCGAGAACAUGUUGUUGGUGUAUUUUAGUUAUUUCUCUUCUAGGUGAUCACAUUCCUCAUCAAUUAUAUAAUUAUAAUGAUCGAAAUCGAUGCAAUCGAAGAAAUCAAAAAACCAGUGUGUGAAGGAACGAGUCUUAAGUACAAAUAAAUGGAAUCACCUAUAAAAAUUAAGAACAUAAAAAAUAAUAUUUAAAUUAAAAAAUUGUAUAUAUAAUCAAAUAAAUUAUUAUCAAAUAUAAAGAAAUAUGAUCUCCAUCACCAUUUUUCAACCGCCGUCCAACUUGGCAGCCAAUGUGGCUACGCUACCCUCCUUUCAACCUCUUCCAUGAUGACCUCAUUAGUCUAGAUCUUUCGGAGAUAGUCUGCAUAGGUCCGAUGGAAUCAAUAGUAGAGAGUAUAUAUCUAAUGAGUUUGGUUCAGUUUGGUUCUUUCUUUGGAGAGCAUGAGAAUAUACCCUGUCGACAAUAAUGUCGGUUUCCCAUCGGAAUGAGUUUGUAGAGGAGAAAAAAAGGGUAGCUUUAGCACAAAAUUCAUAUUACUGUGUGUGACAGAAAUAACUUUAAAAUAUACCAAGUGGGGAGUAAAAUUUGUUCAUUAUUUAAAAAGAAAUGUAUAAGAAUACUAUCUAAUUCUCCGGGAUCAAGAUUCCAAUCAAUCAGCCAAUUCCAUUGGAAAGCAUCUAUCAGAUAGAUAAAGCCGAUGAACAACCUCUCACACAGGAUAUUGUCUUAAAUUUCAAUUAGAUAUUGACGAUGCGACAACCUCUCACACAUGAAUGCCUUACGUAGUAGUUUAAUGGAAUUAGCUUUGUCUGUGCCUAUGCCACCAGCAUUUUGAUUAAUGCUUGUGGGACAUGAGUGAGAGAAGAAAUCAACAAUAAAUAGGAAGCCAUGAACUUCCUUACUUUCCAUUCUGGGUUCUAGGCGGCUAGCUUUGUACGAGUUGGAGUAGUUUCAGAGAUUUAAUGGAGUUUCAUCUCCUUCCCAUUCUGACUUCUUUCUUGGUGAGCCUUCACUUCCACCUUUUCUUGAACACUUCGUUUUUAUAUUUGAUGGAAUAUAACUUACAUAUAUGGCAUGAAGUACUUGUGGCAGCUGGUGGUGGUCAGCCAUGCUUAUUCUCUACCUUCCGAGGUUGAUUGGAAGUCGGCUUUGCCUAACACUCCCUUCCCGAAAGCUAUGCGGAAUCUCUUAAUGCAGCCUGGUUGGUUUCCAACUUCCUCUUUUGUUGGCUCAUAGUAAUAGUGUGUUGAAUAAUGUAUUUAUGAGAAUCAUCUAUCAAAUAUUUCUUCACAAAAUAUUAUAAGUAUUUUUUCAAUAAUGAUUUUUCAUAUUUUUAAAGAUAUUUCCUAAAAUUUUAUCAAAUAUCAAAUGAGUUCUAAACCUGUUUGAGAACUAUUGCUAGUUUGAAUGACCAUAAUAGACUAAAAAAUAACUUGAGUAGAGAUGAGAUUUAUUUAUUUUAAUAUUUAUGUCAAUUAUGGGGAUUAUAGGUAAUGACGAAUUUGAAAAAUAAAAUGUACGUAACAUCGAGUAUAAAUGAGUUAUAAUCAUGUGAAAUUAUCAAUAACCAUGUUUUGAUAAAAUAUUUGCUGCAUAAUGCAACAAAUUAAAUGGCCUAAGUUACACCAUCAAUCAUGGGUUUAUGUGUGGCUUUAGAAAAUAUGUGUCCUUAAUUAUUUCUCAAGUUAUUAUCAUCGUCAUCAUAAUUAACCUUUUAAAUUGUUGAAUUUGCAAACACAACAAAAGACGGAAGUUCUACCAAUGCUGACAAGACCAUCCCCACUGACCCUCAAAAAGCAGCGAAAAGUUCUAUAAAUGCUCACAAGGAUGCUAGCCAAAUUGAUCAAUACGAUUUAGUUCAUGGAAACAUUAAAAAGUUAAAUGAAAGCUCUAUCGAAUCUCCCAAGGAUGCUAGCUCACUUGUCGGAUAUGAUGCAAUCUAUGGAAACGCCAAAAAACAAGGAGAUGCUGUCCCAAUUACCGGAUCAUAUGAUGCAGUCUAUGGAAACCCCAAAAAACAAGGAGAUGCUACCCCGGAUCAUAUGAUGCAAUCUAUGGAAACCCCAACAAACAAGGAGAUGCUGCCCCAGUUACCGGAUCAUAUGAUGCAGUCUAUGGAAACCCCAAAAAACAAGGAGAUGCUGCCCCAGUUACCGGAUCAUAUGAUGCAGUCUAUGGAAACCCCAAAAAACAAGGAGAUGCUGCCCCAGUUACCGGAUCAUAUGAUGCAGUCUAUGGAAACCCCACAAAACAAGGAGAUGCUUCCCCAGUUACCGGAUCAUAUGAUGCAGUCUAUGGAAACCCUAAAAAACAAGGAGCUGCUACUCCAGUUACCGGACCAUAUGAUGCAGUCUACGGAAACCCCAAAAAACAAGGGGAUGCUACCCCAAUCACCGGAUCAUAUGAUGCAGUGUAUGGAAACCCUCAAAAAAUUGUAGGAAGUUCCAUUAAUGCUCAUAAGGAUGCCAGCCCAAUUGCCGGAUAUGAUGCAGUUUAUAGAAACCCUCAAAAAGCAGGAGGAAGUUCUAUUAAUGCUCAGAAGGAUGCUAGCUCAAUUGCCGGAUAUGAUGCAGUCUACGGAAGCGCUCAAAAAGUAGGUGAAAGUUCCAUCAAUGCCCACAAGGAUGCCAACUCAAUUGCCGGAUAUUAUGCAGCCUAUGGAAACCCUCGAGAUGCAGGUGAAAGUUCUAUUGAUGCUGGCAAGGCUAGCCCAACUGCCUCAUAUCGGACUGUUUACGGAAAUCCUCGAAAAGCAAGUGGAAGCACUGAUAUCAAUGCUGGUAAGCCUAGUAGAACUAUGCAAUACGAGAGGGUCUAUGGAAAUCCUCAAAAAGCAGGCGGAAGUUCUGUAAGCGCGGGCAAAAAUAGUCCAAACAUGCAACAAGGACACCAAGAUGGUACCAGUACAGGUAAUGUGUUCUUGGAAAAAGACCUGCAUCCUGGGACUAAAAUGAUGGUGCGCUUCACAAAAACCUCAAGUGCAGCUCAUUUCUUGCCCCAGCAAGUUGCUGAAUCCAUACCUUUUUCAUCAAACAAGCUACCAGAAAUUUUGAAUCAGUUCUCAGUGAAAGAAAACUCCGCAGAAGCCAAGAUAAUACAGAAAACAAUAGAAGAAUGUGAGAAACCGGCUAUAGAAGGAGAAGAGAAGUACUGUGCGAGAUCGUUGGAGUCCCUAAUCGAUUUCAGCACUUCAAAGCUUGGAAAAAACAUUCGAGCACUCCCAAAUGUGGUGGAAGGGGAAAUCCAGGAAUAUAAAUUUGGAGAGGGAGCGAAGAUGCUUGGAGAGAAAUCAGUGGUGUGCCACCAGCUGAACUAUCCAUAUGCUGUGGCUCUUUGCCAUGCAUUUCACAUGACAAAAAUUUACAAGGUUCCAUUGGUGGGAGCUGAUGGAACCAGAGUUCAAGCUUUAGCAGUAUGUCAUGAGGACACUUCGAUUUGGGACCCAAAUGCUUUGGCUUUUCAAGUGCUCAAAGUUAAGCCAGGAACUUGGCCCAUCUGUCAUUUCCUUCCCAAUGGUCAUUUUGUGUGGGUUCCAAACUAGGCAGAGAUCCAUCCGCAGAAAGCCUCAAACCCAAUUGCUGGCUUGCAGUUUGUGUAAUAUAUUGUGUGCUUUGAAUAACUGCAAGGGUUGAGGAAUGUAUGUCCUAUGAGCAAUAUUAUUCAGCCAUGAGUGACUCUCUCCCUUUUUCCCUUUUUUUCCCCUUUCAGUACUACCCAUUGCAGCAAUUGCAAUGCUAAACAUGCACUGAGUAUCAUAUCUAAACGCCCACCAGAAGACAGUUUGAGAUUACAUAUAUGAAACUAUGGCUUGUAAUGCUUUUAUCAAAAAAAAAGUUCUAGCAUAUUAAAAAGCUUGUAAUAUUUUUAUCAAUAGUAAUCUCAUAAUGUCUAUAUUAAAAUUUUACUUUUAGAAGUGUUUUGAUAACUUGUUAGCUAAUAGAAAGUAAUUUUUUUUUUUUUAGGAUGGCGGGGCAGAAAUUGUCAUGAGGAGGCAGCUAGAAAAAAUUAUGAAUGGUAAAUAAGAAACUUAUAUUAAAUAAUUUUAUGUCUUGCAUAUUAAAGAAUAUAAAAUAACAUUAUCAAUAAUUUUAAUAUAUUUUAUAAUGAUUUUUUUAAAAAAAAAAUUAUUUCUAAAAGAAUUUAGCAAUUCUUUUAAUAUUUUUUUUUUCAAAUAACUAAUACAAACUAAUUGAUAAUAAUCAAAUUAACUUUUGUUGUAGAGUUGUAAGUGAACUUGUAAUUAAGUAUCAUUGUAGAUUCACCAUUAUUUAGUUAAACAUUAGAGUCCAAAAUAUUUAAACAUCUCAAAAUAAACCACCAUUAAAAAUUUAUUUAAUAAAAUUUUUAUUAACAAAAUAUUUCUUUUAUUCAUAGAAGUAACAGAACCUAUUAGUAUGAUUGAGAAUUGUUUUUUAAAAUAAUUUUCUAUUUUUUGUUUUUAAGUACAAAAAACAAAAUGUUUUUAAAUAAUACAUUUUAGUUAUUUUAUGUUGUUUUUAUUUGUUUUUUGAGGAUUGUUUUAAUAAAUAAUUAUAUAAACACGUUGAAUGAUUAAAAAUAAAACACUAAAUAUAAAAAUUAUUUUUAAAAAUAUUAAAAAUGAGUUAAAAAUAUUUUAGGUUUCUAAAUAGAUUUUUGUUCUAUAAAAACUAGAAAACAAUUUUAAAAAUUGUUUUCAAAAACUAUUUUUUCAUAAAUAUUUUUAAAAAUAAUUACCAAGCAAAACCUAAAUUAUUUUAUAUGUUUUUUGUUGUUAGAAAUAGCAAAGCAAACAAAAUAUGAACCAUGUUUCCAUUCAUACGCGGGCAUAGUCAUAUAAGUGUUGCUUUACAGAAGCAUAUUUCAGGCUUUCAGCUUUCCUUAUAUGGAAAGCUCAGUCUAUGUAUCAAUUGAAAAAGCAUUAAAUAUAUUUGUCUUUUUUCUUCUUAAUUUUUUUUUUCCCUUUGUUAGCUUAUGGAUAUAGUUUAAUUAUGAAAGUUGCUUUUCUCAGUUAUUCAAAAUGAGUGGUAUAUACACAUGCAUGCUGCUCAGUCGUUGCAAAAUUCUCUCCUUCCUUGCUGGGUCAAUUUUUCCAACAACUUCUAAAGCUUGAUGAGUCCGAAAGUGUCUAUAAUUCUUCUGCUCUUGCAAGAAAUCUUCAAAGGCUUCUUAUUAAUUAAAUUUUACUUUCUAACCCUAGUUAAUUCUUUAAGUUAUGAAUUUGGUGUCAGAUACCAUAAAGUAAAUAACCCAAAUUAUUUAUUAGAGACCGUAAGGUACAUUAUCCAAAUUAUUUAUUAGAUUAUCAUUCCUAACCUCAAUUCCUAUGUCAUAGAAUAACCACUAGCACACUUUAAAUUGUAAUAUCACUUUUUCUCCUACAUCUAUGAUAAUUCAAGAUUGUAGUUGAGAAAAAAAUAUUGAUGAAAAACUUAUUAUUCUCAUGUUGGUGGUGGAGUCCUUGAUUUAAGGACACGGAAUACACAUACCAAAUCUCGGUCUAUGUAUAUGUAUGAUAUAUAUAAAGAAUGUUGGAUAAGGAAAUUCUAGACACAACCUAAUUUGAAUCAUGUAUUGCCACUUAUAUUUGAAAAUAAGAUGUGAUUUACGUGGAAAAUUGGUGGUGGUAGGAGCUUAUAAAUAGAGGUCUCUUCUCCUCAUUCCAUUUAUCCUAUAAUUGAGAGAAAAAUAGUGGUGCAACUCUUUGAGUGAAAAAGUGAGAUUCACAGACACCAAUUCAUGGGGAAUCUACAUAUAGUAGAUAGUAGGUCAUGGAUCAGAGCUCCAUCUCAUUGUUAUUUACAUAGGGUAUUGAAGUACAGUUGAUUUUCUAUAAUGGAAUGUUGAAUUAACUUCAUAAUUGGAUUCUAAGAGAGUCAAUACUCCUAUAGGUCUUAAUGGUCUCUGCUAUGAACUCAUGCAUUGUGUUGGCAUGGUUUAUGAGGGUUGGAUUGACUUUAAGCUUACUCUUGUGCAUUAAAGAGUUUUGGUAAUUACACAAAGUUGUAUAGGAGAUAAUGAACAAGGUCUUUAGAUUGGACUAAUUGAUUAAUUAGAUAGUCAUGUGUGGUUAAUUAAUCAAUUAUGACUUAUAUUAGGGUAGAUUAAGUAACCAAAACUCAAGUCACUUAAACCUAGUAAGAAAAUCUUAUAAAUGCCCUUUAAAAAUUAGGGCUAAGGUUUCCAUGGCCUUAGACAGUUGUCUUCCAUCUCAAAGAGAGAACAUAGGUUUCCACAAUUUCAAAGCCCACAUUUUGGAGUGUCAAGAUUAUGGUUUAAGUUAUCAUAUAGAAAAUCUUGGGUGAACACGACUCCCAAACUAUUCAGACAUGUUCUUCAUCGCGUGAGAAAUUGAUAAGGGAACAUUCAGAUUUAGGUAUGAAUACUAUAUCUCUAGAUCUAUAAUUAAUAAUAGUUUUUGCUACCAUUUUAUUUCAUUGUGAUAGAUUUAUACAUACCUAUGGAUAGAUGCAUACGCCUACUAGAUCUAGGGAUAGGGAAUUCCUAACAACUAUAGCCAAGGAAUAUGCAUGGAAUGGACAAGUAUUGAAGCUUAGUCUUAUUGUAAGGUCAGAGGUUGGGGUGGAAUACACACCCAAACACUUUUAGUUGAGAGUAAUCAGGUUGUGUGUUGAAAAAGAGUUCCAAUGGAGUUUUAUUCUCCAGAACCAGAGCGGGUAACCUGUUAGUAAGAAAAAUGCAUGUGCAAAGGCCUCAUCACAAUGUUUGAUGGGUAGAGAGGCUUGUACUAGGAGGGUGAGUCCUUAUUCAACAAUGAGGUGAUGUUUAUGCUCAGUUGUUCCAUUUUGUUUAUGGGCGUAGGAACAUGAGGUUCUCUGGAUAAUGUCAUUUGAGAAAGGAUAAUGUGUGAAGGUAAGAUAUUCUCCGCCCUUAUCAGUUUGUAUAGCCUUUCUUUUACGACCCAUUUUAAGCUCAGCUUGAGACUUGAAAUUAAGAAAGGCUUGAAAUGCUUCAUCUGAUUUUUACUUAAAAGCAUGUAAAUCCAUGCAUAGUCCUUGACACAGUUUAUAGCCAACUAGAGGAGGAAGAUCAACUGUGCUUAAAAGCAUAUUUCAACUACAAUUUUAUAAAAGUAUUACAAUUUAAUUUCUAUUUAGGAAAAAUAACUUUUACAAAUUGUUUAAAGAAAAAAAUCCUUUUAUAAGUUCAUCUACAAAGUAUUUUUCAACUCAAUCUUAUUUACAAGAGUAUUAAAACUCAAUUUAAAUAUAUUGGUAAAAAAAGGUUUGAUAGAAAAUAACUUUUACAAAAGAGAAUUCAAUUCUUCUUUUUAAUUUUAAGAAAAUAAUUUAUUUUAUCCUUAAUUUGAUAAAAAAAAAAAAAAGAAAGUAAAAAGAAAUUCUCUAUGUUUGGCUUAAAAAAAAAAAAAAAAAAAAGUUUCUUGAUUUUAUUAAGUGAACUUCGUAAACUAUUUGGAUUUUAUUAAAAGAUCUCAACUUUAUUAUUUAAAAAAUCAAAUUAAAAAAAUUAAAAAAAAAAAAAAAGAAUUCCAAUCGAAUUUUUUAUUCGGAUUAAGCAAAAUUUAUUCAGAUAAUUUUACCAAUUUUAUAAGGAAAGAAGGGUUUUCAAUUCCAUUUUAAUUGGGAGGUUAUAAUUUUAUUUUUAUUUUUAUUAAAAAAGAGAUUUUGAUGGUUUCAAAAAGAAAUAUAAAUAUAUAUAUAUAAAGGAUUUUUAUUGUUUCAUGGUUUAAGUAAAAAGAUUUUUCAUUUUAUUUAAGAAUUUUUGCAAGCUGUUUUAAUUUUGUUACAUUAAAAAAAAAUCAAAUUAAACACACAAAAAAUAGGAUAAUGUCCGGUCAAAAGGUUUUCAAUUUAUUAAUGGCAUGAUUUUCGGAUUAUUUAAAAAAUAAAAAUCUCAACUUUAUCUAAAUGGAUUUCAUAUUUUUAUUUAAAAAAAAAAAGAAAAAAAGAAAAUUCAUUUGUUUAUUUACUUUUUUUUUUCCUGUGGGUGGAGGAAAAUGGCCAAAAUUUGGGUUUGAAUUACUGCAAGGGUUGAGGAAUGUGUGUCGUACCACCUAUGUGCAAUAUUAUUCAGUAAUGAGUGACUCUCUCUAUCAUUCAGCUUAGCAUGCACUUACUAUUAUAUCAACACACCCACCAGAAGAGGAUACCUUUACCUUUACAACUUCAUAAUUAUUUUGAGUUCUGCAUUAGAAUCGCCCUUUUAACAAUUAUUAUAAUUAAUUAAAAUUAAUAUAGUGAUGUAUCUAAUUAUGUUAAACUUGGACAAUCCCCUCAAUCAUUGAAUUUGUAAAGCACCACCAGCUUUUGGACGAAGGGCAUGGAGCCCAAUGGUUCCAAAAUAAUUGAUCAAGUUGAUGGGACUAGUCCCUUUCUCCUUUCAUUACUGAAAUUACAGUUCGCUCCCAUCAUCGUCCCUUCAUUUUCACUUUAUUCUGCAAUCAUUUCCCAUUUUACCUUUGCCGGGGUGAAGGGUGUCACACACUUAUGGUAUUAAAGUUGCAUUAUCUGGCAUUCACAAUGACUGGUGGUGAUAAUUCAUAAGUCUCUCUCGUCACAUCCAAUGGCUACUGCGAAGGAGUCCUGGCCCCACCAUAUAGAGGCACCUCCCUUGAGCUCUUUCCAUCCCAGCUCAGCCACAUUCCUCUUCAGUUAGAGAGCUUUCAUGGAGUUUUACCUCCUUCCCCUUCUGGCAUUUCUCUCCGUGAGCCUUAACUUCCAACUUUACUAAUCAAAUCAUAAAGCAUGCACUACAUUAUUAUUUUGCAGGAAAAUUAAGCAUGUUCUCUAUUUCGGAAAAUCAAUACAAAGCCCAGAUGAAACUAUUCUUUACAAAGCAUUUUCAAAAUAUUUUUCUGAAAAUAUUGAAAAAAGCAAUAUGCAAAUUUAAAUGGACGGAGUUCGCAACAUGCAUGCAUGUUCAUCAUUUUUAAAAGAUUACAAUGCAUAUGCAGUGUUUUACUGUCAAAAGAUCCCGGCUACAAGAGCUUAUAUGGUUCCCUUGGUGGGACAAAAGCGAAAGCAGUUGCAGUGUGUCAUACAAAUACAAUGGAAUGGAAUCCCAAGUAUUUGGCCUUUCAGCAGCUCAAAGUCAAACCAGGAACUGCUCCCAUCUGCCACUUCCUUCCUAAGGAUCACAUCGUCUGGGUGGUUUCAAAAUAGAAAUGCAUGGGCAAUAAAUAAAUAAUGAAAAUAACUCAUCUUUAGUUCUUCGAUCGGUAAUGUUAUGAACUUAUGAGUUAUUUGCUGCCACCCUCUCCCAAUGUGUUAUGUAUGUAUGCUUGUAUGCGUGUGGGAUAUCGUAUGUAUUCUGGUAUGCUUCUCAUCAAUGCUUGGAGCGAAGUCAAUAACUGUCGUGGGUACCACCACCUCUAUAAUUGAAGAAUUCAUAAGUUGGUAUGUAAAAGACCACUGGCUUUUGGACAAGGGACGUGCAUGGAGCCCAAUGUUUAUAAAAUAAUUAGUCAAGUUGGAUGGACCUAACCUUUUUUCCUUCAAACCCUUUAUCUUCACUAUCUUUAUGACAAAAAUAAAUAAACAUAUGAAAUUAUGUUUUCUCCCACCAACAUCCUUUCCCUUUUCUCAUUUCAUUUUCCUUGUGAGAAAGGGAAUAAAAUGAUGGAGAUGAAAAGAGCCCAAACAGGAUCUCUUAAAGAACUAGGAAGUUGGAUGUAAAAUAUAUCUACUAAAAAAAAUCAGACUUUGAGUUGAUGGUAGUCUUUGUCUACUAAAAUGCUAGUUGGUAAAUAUAUGUUUCACAAUUACUUGCUUAGAUUUUUCUUAUAAAUGUAGCCUAGUCAAUAAAUUCAUGGAUGAUCCAGAUAAAUUAUAAAGUUAUCUAUUAUAAAUUCUUAUUAAAAAAUAAGCUAAGAAGUAAGAUUAAUUUUAAUUACAAAAUAAUAUUGAAUUUUCAAAACAAUACAAACAUACCUUCAGACCUUCCAAAAUAUUAACUUUAAUCAAAGAAUAAUAUCUAUGAUGGGUGGUAAAACUAUCUAAAUAUGUUCCACUUAACUUCUAUAAAUAGGUGGCUUCCUUCGUUUUCAAAAUCACAAUGAUAGGCCUUGGGAGACUACCACACUUGAGAAAAGUGAAAAAAGCUUGCCCCCAAAAUUAAAGAAGUUUUUCAAAAGUUUUGAAGAUUAAGAGAUACUAAGUUUGUAGCAUCUUUGAUAUGAGAUUAAUUAAGCAUUUGUCAAUAAAUGUGAGCCAAGCCAAAGUCUAAACUAAAUCAAGACUCAAUUCAAGUUCAUUUUAGAAGAAUUAGAGGACCAUAUAGAGAUUGUACAUCAUUCCUUAAAUUAAUUAAAUUUCAAUUUCACUACUAAUUUUUCUUGUACAAAUUUCUUAUACACCCAAUGAGACAAUCUCUAUCUCUCAAACAAAAAAUAUCUAUAUGGAGUCUAGAAAAAGUUCUAACCCAAUAACUCAAAGCAACGCAAAAGCAACUUUCCAACAACAAACUCUAGUUAUUUCUUUCUUUGAUCAAACUACAAAUCAUGAAGGAACUACUCCCAAGAACCCAAACAUCUCUUUAGCUUUGUUGGAGGUAAAAGAAAAAACACACGAUUGAGUGAGUGGUACCACACCCAACCUCUAUUCCGAAAGAGCCUUCAAACUCUGAGUUAUUUUCUUCUGCAGAAGACAAUGAGCCUAGAAGUAGGACUACUCCAACAUUUCGUAGUGAUGUUUCCAAGGCAAUGCAUGACAUGGUCAUUGUUUCUAUUGAUUAUUCUAAUGCCAUCAUGCUAUUAUGAUAACAAACACACUUACUUCACAACAACAUGCUAACAUAGCCAAAACAAUUGAAACUCUCACUAAGCCUCAAACCCAAUUGUUGGCUAGCUUACAUUUCUGUAAUAUAUUGUGUGCUAUGAAUAACUGCAAGGGUUGAGGAAUGUGUGUCCUAUCACCUAUGUGCAGUAUUAUUCAGUAAUGAGUGACUCUCCUUGGUUUUUUUUUCCCCCUUUUAGUGCUACUGCUACCCAUUGCAGCGAUUGCUAAACAUGCACAUAGUAUUAUAUUUAAACACCUACAAGAAGACAGUUUGAGACGAAUAUAUAUACAAAUAACAAUGGUGGGUGUCUCCACCUCUAUGAUUGAACUCAUUAAGCACCACCUGCUUUUGGACAAAGGACAUGGAGCCCAAUGUUUCCGAAAUAAUUAAUCAAGUUGAUGGGAUUAGUCCUUUGCCCCGCAAUGAGCCAACCUGUUUUAACACCCCAAAAUUUAAUCUAGGGGCAAAGUAGUAAUUUAUAAAAUAAUUAAUUAAAUUCAUUAAGGGUGAAAGAGUCAUUUUACAAUUAAAAAUCCUAGGUAUAAAUUCGAUUUUCGUCUUGUUUUCUUCAUUCAGAAAACUCUAUCAAUUAGAAGUAGAGAAUUGGAGAUCAUAGGGCUCAAGAGUUAGAGAUUUAGAGUUGAAGUUUAGGUUUUUUUCAGGUAAGAUUCUAACCCAAAAUUAAUAUAUUAUAUUCGUUAGUUAAUUCUGAACACACGAGUUAUUCUUUGAAAAAAAAAUUAAUUUAGAUUAGAGUUAGUUAUUUUUUUUAAUUUGUUUUAAUAUCAAAAUAUUGAAAAUUUGGGAUUAUUGGUGGUUUUGUUGAUAGAAAUUGGGAAAUCUUAAGUUUUUGAAAAAAAAAUGAUUCUCUGGAAAAUUUCAAUUUCGGUUAGGGUUAACUUAUUUUAAAAUUUUUAGGUCAAAAUAUUGAAAUUAGGAAUAUAGGUUGUUCUAUUGAUGAAAAUAGGAAAAUUCAAAAUUUCUUAGAUAAAUAGAUCUAAGUAAUAAAAUUUAAAAUUAAAAUUAAAAUAAAUAAGUAAAUAAAUAUAUUGUUAUAUGUGGCUUAAGGGAUUAGAAAAUAUUAGAAAAAGAAAAAAGAAUGCAUGCUUGUGGAAAAUGAAGAAUUGUGAAAAGAAAAAAAAUAAAUAAAAUAUAAUAAUAUUAAUAAUAAAAGAAGAUGGGUAGGGAUGGUGUUUGGUGGUUAAUAUUUACCAUCAUUAUAAUAUAUAUAUAUAUAUAUAUAUGGUCUUUACCACUUAUGCUAUGCUAGAUUUAUCACUUUUUAAUUAUGUUGGAUUAAAGACCUUAUCAUUUAUGCCCUUGAAGUUGUUUUAUCUGGUAUUCCAAAGGUUAGAGAGAGAGAGAGAGAGAGAGAGAGAGAGAGAGAAUAACUCUAAUAUAUUGUCAUUUAUGCUAGGUUUAUCACUUUUUAAUUAUGAUAGAUUAAAGACCUUAUCACUUAUGCUGUUAAAGUUGCUUUAUUUGGUAUUCAAAAUGACUGGUAAUAAUUCUCUCUCAUCUCAUCAAAUGGCUACUGCAAAAAGGAGUCCUGACCCCCAUAUAUAGAGGCCCCUCCCUUCAGUUGUUUCCAUUCAAGCUUAGCCACAUUCGUCUUCAAUGAAAGCGCUUUCAUGGAGUUUUACCUGCUUCCCCUUCUAGCGUUUCUCUAUGUGGAAACUAUAUUAAUGUUUUUUAUUAGGUUUUGAGCUCAUGUCUCUUCGUUGAUAAUUUUUCAAGUACUUUCAGUUUGAGUGAGUAGUGAUGGCUAGGCUGAAGGAUUUUUCUUUAUUAUAAUUUUGAUUCAAACUUAGACCUUAUUUAGACAUUAAAAUUUAAUUCCUGAUUGAAUUAUUUGAGUUUGGAGUUACUUGGACAAUAACACUUUAGUUGAUGUGUUAAUUUUUAAAGUUGAAAAUUGAAAACUAUAGAAUUUAUUUAUUUUAUUACUCUGAACAUGAAUUUGGUAAUUGGUAAUUUUCAGUUAUAAGAAUAAUAUUUAUGUUGUUUCCACUUUAAGCCUUCGAGCUUAAGGUGUGAAAUGACCAUCAUAUGCAUGGAGUAGGUUUUGGGGCAUGACAUAUCUUUUUUUGCGCAUGGAAUAGGUUUUGGGACAUGACAUAUCUUUUUUUCGUUCAAAUCCUUUAUCUUCACUAUCUUUAUGACAAUAAAUAAAUAUAUAAAUAAAUAAAUAAACAUUUGAAAUUAUGUUUUCCCCCACCAACAUCAUUUCCCUUUUCUCACUUUAUUUUCCUUGUGAUCUUUUAGAGAGCUCAGAAGUUGGGAGUAAAAUAUCUCUACUAAAAAAUUCAAACUUUGAGUUGAUGGCAAUCUUUGUCUACUAUGGUCAAUGUCCAAGGCUAGUUGGUUUCACAAUUACUUGCUUAGAUUUUUCUUAUAAGCCUAGCCUAGUCAAUAAAUUAAUGGAUGAUCCAGAUAUAUUAUAAAGUUAUCUUUUUGUUAGAAAGAUAAUACUAUAAAUUCUUAUUAAAAAAUAAACUAAAAAGAAUUUAAAUAUCUUUUUCUAAAUUUCCUAUAUAUCAAUUUUAAUUACAAAACAAUAUUAAAGUGUCAAAAUAAUAUAAAAAUACCUCCCAAGCUUCCUAAAUAUUAACUUUAAUCAAAGAAUAAUAUUUAUACAAAUUAUUUAAAAAAAAUAUAACUUUAUUUGCAAAAGAAAUUUUAAUUAAAAAAAAGACUUUUAUAGCUUUAUUUACAAAAAUAUUAAAAAGUCAAUCCAAUCUUAUUAAGAAAAUGAUUUUUACAACUUUAAUUUGCAAAAAUAACUCUCUUCCUAUUAUCAUUAAAAAAACAUUUUUUUGGAUAAUUUUAUUAAAAAUUAAUUUUUUGGACAACUUCAUUUACAAAACAAUUUUCGGAACAAUUUUUAUUGAACAAAGAAAUUUUCGGAUAAUUAUUAAUUUGAAUUUUUUAUUAAUAAAAAAUAUAUUUUAUUAAGAAUAAUAUUUUAAAACUAUUAUUUUAUUAAAACAUGUUUACUGAAUUAUUUAUCUUAUUUAAAUAAAAUUUCUUAUUUGUUUGAUAUUCAAUUAUAUACACACUCAAUAAAUUUUUAUAAACAAAUAUUUACAGGAACCAAUAGAAAAGUGAGAAUAAAACGUGUAUUCAAAUAAGUUUACAACAAGUUCAAUAUCUUCAUGUGCCUCCAAACUCCAUGUGUCAUGAAUUCAUGCUCAGCCAACAAAAUACCAAGGUAAGUAGUAGAAUAGGCCUAUUCAAAACAAAAAUAAGGCAAAUGUAAAUAUAAAAAAAUGUACAAAGUUCAAAAUAAAUAUUAAAGCCCAAAUUCAAACUUUAAAUUAGUAUCAUAAAUUUCACCAAUAAAAUGGGCCCAAAUUAACAAAUAUAACCCAAUAGAAAUAUUCCACAUGUCAUAAUCCUCAGUUCAAAAUUUUCAAAUUAAUAACCAAAAUACAAGCAGAACCUAAUAAAACAUGAUAAAUUAAAAUAAAUUUCAUUAGACUAAAAUUUAAUAUCCAAUAAUUCAAGCCUAAUUUAACAUACAAACCCAAAUCCACAAUCAAAAUCAACUCAAGUUAAUGUGUAAAGCCCAAAUGUAACAAAAAUAUAUUACAAUAUUAUCUCAUGCCCAAAUUAAAUAAUUCAAUUGAGAACCCAUAUAAAUUAUCAAUUAAUUUAACAAAUUUCACCAACAAAAAAUGAGUCCAAAAUUCAUAUCAAUUAACAAAUCCACAUUAAUAAUAUACAAGGUCAAAGGAAAUAAUGUCUCAAGCUCAAUUCAAUAACCCAACUAAAUAACCAAUAAGCAAUAGAUUCAAGUCCAAAUAGGAUAAACAAUAUAUAAUUGGCCUAAUCCAAAUAUCUCAAAUUAACCGACAAAAACAAUAUAUUCACAAACUCAAAUUCUAUAUUCAUAAAUAAUGCACUGUAGAGAUAAAAAAUUAAUUAUAAUAAGAAAAUAAAAAUACAUAAAUAAUAAAUAAGGAAAUGAGAACUUACUCAAUUUCAAAGAAAAGAAGAGAGAGUAGCAGUGGAGAUGUUUGAAGAUGGAAAAAAAUAAAUAAAAAAAUAAAAUAAAAAGAAUCAAAUAUAAUUAGAUUUGAAAUCUAAGGAUAAAAUUGGGUCAAAAUCAAUGAAAAAAUGAAUUUAGGAUAAAUUUUGGGAUCUACACUUAAUUUGUCUAGGAAAAAAAAUGGGAAGGUAAUGUUUUUAAAAGUAAACAAAAUAAAAAGGGAUAAAAAUAUUCAAAAAGGGUGAUCAUUUUUCAACAAAAUUAAAGGAAGAGGUUACCUUUACAAUUUCACAGUUAUUUUAAGCUAUAUAUUAGAGUCACCCUAAUUUUAAAAAUUAUUAUAAUUAAUAUAAAAAAUAUUGAAUUAUGUUAAAUUUGUACAAUGUCGGAUGGUUUUUUCUAGGUAGAUAACAGUGGUGGGUGUCUCCACCUCUAUAAUUGAAUUUGUAAAGCACCACCUGCUUUUGGACAAAGCACAUGGAGCCCAAUGUUUCCAAAGUAAUUAAUCAAGUUGAUGGGAUUAGUCCCUUUCUCCUUUCAUUAUUAAUAUAUAAACAAUAAACCAACCUUUGAUUUUCACUUUAUUUCCCUUCCCUCUCCACUCAUCCUAUUUCAUUUCCACCAUUUUCGUUUUAUUUAUUUUUAAUAUAUAUCACAACUACGUUCAUGAAUAGAAGAAUCUGUUAUAUUUAUAAAGAAAAAAAAAAUACUUUCCAUUAUUUUACACCUCUCCCUAAUAAUUUUGCUUCAAAAGUUUGAGUUUUAUAUCAAAUUCAUUUUAGCAUAUGAAGUCUUCCAUUCAAAAAUAAAUAAAUCUUUAAAUAUUGUUCAAGUUAGAAUUAAGGUUUAAAUGAAUAAGGGUUUCGACUAGCAUAGAAAAUAUUUAAAUGAAUUAAGGUUAGACUUGGGGUUGGGUUAGAAAAAUAUAUGGCGCCCGAGUUGGUGUGAGUUGAAGAUAUGAGUAACUUGUUGAAACUUGAACUUAGAUAUUAUUAUUUUUAAAUUAUAAUAUAUAUUGUUUUAUUAAAAUGUGAAAAUAUAUAUAUAUAUAUAUAUAUAAAGGGAGAAGGAAUGACUCUAAUAUACUGUCACUUAUGCUAGGUUUAUCACUUUUUAAUUAAUUAUGUUAGAUUAAAGAGCUUAUCACUUAUGCUGUUAAAGUAGCUUUAUCAGGUAUUCAAAAUGAGUGGUUAUAAUUCUCUCUCAUCACAUCAAAUGGCUACUGCAAAGGAGUCCUGGCCCCCAUAUAUAGAGGCCCCUCCCUUCAAUUGUUUCCAUUCAAGCUUAGCCACAUUCGUCUUCAGUUAAAGCGCUUUCAUGGAGUUUUACCUCCUUCCCCUUCUGGCAUUUCUCUCUGUGAGCCUUAACUUCCAACUUUACAUACACCGAGCAUAUCAUAAAGCAUGCACUACGUUACUAUUUUGCAGGAAAAAUAUUAGACAUGUUCUCUAUUUUGGAAGAUCAAGACAAAGCCCAGAUGAAACUAUUCUUUACUGAGCAAUUUCAAAAUAUUUUUCUGAAAAUAUUGAAAAAAACAAUAUGCAAAUUUAAAUGGACGGAGUUGGCAACAUGCAUCUUCAUCUUUUUUAUUUUAAGUCAUCGUAUAUAUUUGCUAAUGCUAGCUUAUUUCUUCUUGCAACUGAAUUAUGGCCGCUUGUGGUGGUGGAAAGCCAUGCUUCUCUGCGAUCUGAGCUUUACUGGCCCUUGGUAUUGCCAAACACUCCCAAACCAAAGUUUUGUGGGUUCUCUUGCGGCUUGCUAAAUUUUUUCUUACCCCUAAAUUCCUCUGCUCCAUUUCUUUAAUUUCGUUUAUUUUAUUUUAUUUUUUUGGUGGUUGUGAAAAAAUAAAAAAUAAAAAGGUUUCAUUCUCUGAUUAAAUUCGGUAUUGUAGCUUUCUGUCACAGGUUCAUGAGCCCCUAGCCAUCUAAGCUUCUCUUAGUAAAUUCCUUAUAUCUGGUUUGAAAUGGGAAAGGUGAAAAGCUAGCUCUCUAUAACUAGGAAGGAGUUCUAACAUACUUUUCUAAUUAAGAAAAAGAAACUAGAUUUUCUUUGAAGCUAUUUUUAAUGGCUUUUGGAACUUGGGAAUGAGAUGUUUUGCAGAAAAAUAUGUUCACAAUUUGCAUAAUUUUUAACAAUUUUCCUUUUAUAUUUUCGAAGGCAUUUUUAAUAACAGACCAUUCAAUAUAAGAUUGUAACAAGAAUUAACGUAUCUGAACUUCUGUUCCAGCUAACGCUAACAGCGGGUGAUUCCGAUCUACCUUCUGAAAUUUACUGGAAUUCCGUGCUUCCAAACACUCCGAUGCCUCAAGCUGUGAAGAAUAGCCUACGCCCAGGUUGGUUAUAAUACAAGUUUAAGAGUUCGUCAUAUAUCGUUUUCUCAGUGGGUUACAGGAUUCUGAUUCUUAAUUUGCAAAGGGACUGAUAUAGGCGUCAGCAAAGGAGGAGUGUCUGUGAGCACAGGCCACGAGGAAAAGCCUGGGUAUGUUGGAGUAACGAAAGCGAAAAAACCUAUUUUCUUUUACAGGUAUGCUGCUACUGAAGAUCAACUUCAUGCUCAUCCAAGCGUGGCUCUAUUCUUCUUGGAAAAGGACAUGCGUCUUGGCACAAAGAUGAACUUGGACUUCAUGAAAAAUACAAACGAAGCCACCUUCUUACCUCACCAAGUUGCCACUUCAAUACCCUUCUCAUCAGACAAGUUGCCCGAAAUUUUGGACCAAUUAUCUGUGAAACCAGAAUCAGUAGAAGCUGAGACAAUCAAGAAUACUAUUAUAGAUUGUGAUAGACCUGGAAUUAAAGGAGAGGAAAAGUAUUGUGCAACCUCAUUAGAAUCCAUGAUUGAUUUCAGCACCUCAAAGCUGGGGAAUAAGGGUGUUAAGGCAGUUUCCACAGAGGUAGAAAACAAGUCCCAGACGCUGUACAGAAUUGCAGCUGGUGUGGAGAAGAUGGGAGGUGACGUUUCUGUGGUGUGCCAUAAAAUGGAGUAUGCAUAUGCAGUGUUUUACUGUCACAAGAUCGCUGCCACAAGGGCUUAUAUGGUUCCCCUGGUGGGCAGGGAUGGGGCAAAAGCGAAAGCAGUUGCAUUGUGUCACACAAAUACAAAGGAAUGGAACCCCAAGCAUUUGGCCUUUCAACUGCUCAAAGUCAAGCCAGGAGUUCCCAUCUGCCAUUUCCUUACUCAGGAUCAGAUCAUCUGGGUGGUUUCAAAAUAGAAAUGCAGGGGCAAUAAAUAAAUAAAGAAAAUAAUCCAUCUUUAGUACCUCGAUCGGUAAUGUAAUGAACUUAUGAGUUAUGAGUUGUUUGCUGCCACCCUCGCCCUAAUGUAUUAUGUUUGUAUGUAACUAUGUAUGCGUGUGGGAUAUUGUAUAUAUGAUCUGGUGUGCUUUGGAACAAGGGACAUGCAUGGAGCCCAGUGUUUAUAAAAUAAUUAAUCAAGUUGGAUGGAAUCCUUUAUCGUCCUUUAUCUUUACCAUCUUUAUGACAGAAAAAACAAAAGGGGGAAAAAAAGCAACGUCUGAAAUCAUGUUUGCUCCCACUACAUCCUGUCCCUUUCUCACUUUAUUUUCCUUCCCUUCCCAUUGGAGUCGAUAAGAAGGGAAGAAAAAUAAAAUAAAGUGAAAGGGAAUAAAAGGAUGUUAGGUUAUGUUUGGUUACUAGUGUGUUUUAUACUUUAUCUAUCGCAUUCAAAAUUUUAUACUUUGCCCUCCAAAUUUGUUAUUAAACAACGUUUUGCUACCUAAACUUAUUAAAAGUCAAUAAACGACAUAUUAAGUAAAAAAGUAAAACUGAAAUAUAAAGAAAAAUACUUGUUAUUCAAAGUCAAAAUUACAUUUAAAAUCUUGAAUAAAUAUACAAAUGUCUCUUUAAAAUUAAAAUUCAAAACUAAUAAUUGUCAUAGUUCAAAGGCAUUUGGAAAAGUCCACUUUAAAAUUAUCAUCUUUACCCAGGUUUAAUCCAUUGAUCAAAUCGGGUGCAAAAAAAUAAAAAGUUUUGUAAUUGGGGGAUUAAGUGUUGCUCUAUAACGAAUUUGGAGGGCAAAGUCUUGAGUUCUAAAUGCGAUAAAGUAAAAUAUAAAACCGCUAAAGAUUAAAAUGGUAAAAUGUAUUUAAUCCUCUAUUUUAAUCCCAAAACUUAGAAGAAAAAAAAACUUUUGAAAUAUAAAGAAAUCGGAAAAAAAAAAUUAAACUUUUGCUACAAUAUUAAUUUCUAUUUUUGUUUCUUAAAAUUAAAUUCAAAGAUCAUAUGUUGAAGUUUAUUUUUCUUCUAACUUUCAAAAUUUAUUAGUAAAAUCUAGAAAAUAAACGACACUAAAAUAUUUUUUAUUUUGCAUAAUUUUUAAAUAAAUUUCAAGUUUUCAUUAUUUAUCACACAAUUAACAUGUCUUUGUAGUACCUUUCUAUAUAUAUAUAAUUUUUUUAUUAUUUUUUUAUUUUUUUUGCCACAACCUUAAAGAACCAUUAGCAAAUUUUUGCCCUUACCUAAUUGAAGGGUAUAAUGUACUCAUGUUAUGAAAGUUGCUUCAUCUAGCAUUCAAAAAUGAGUGGUGAUUAGUUGUUUGCAAUAACUCUCCCUCAUCACAUGGCUACCCUGAAAGAAUCCCUAUAUAUGUAGAGGCACCUCACUUCAGUUCCUACCAUUCAAGCUUAGCCACAUCCCUCUGAUCUAUAAAAUAUAGUAUUGCUUCUGCUGCAGUUUGGGAGCUUUCAUGGAGUUUUACCUCCUUCCCAUUCUGGCUUUUCUCUCUGUGAGCCUUACCUUCCUACUUCUAACACACUCAUAAGGCACUAAGUUAUUUACAAGCCUUGGUUGUGCUAUUUGGCACUGAAAAUUAAACCUGUUCUCUAUAUAUUUUGGAAAAUCAAAACAACGCCCAGAUGAAACUAUACUUUACUGAGCAUUUUUAAAAUAUUUUUCUGAAAAUAUUGAAAAAAUAUGCAGAAAAGGGAACAGAGUUUGUAACAUGUUCAUCAUUUUUAUUAUAGCUGUCAUGAUCUCUGUAGAUGGGCUUUCCUUAACUUUGAUGUAGAAGAGCAUUAGAGCUAGUGUUUAUAUAGGCUAUAUAGUUCAUUUCUUGUAACUGAACUUUUAUGCAUGAAACUAUGGCAGCUUGUGGUGGUGGAAAGCCGUGCUUCUCUGCGAUCUGAGCUUUACUGGCCCUUGGUGUUGCCAAACACUCCCAAGCCAAAGUUUUGUGGGUUUUCUGGAGGCCUGGUAAUUCGUUUCUAAUUUCUAAACUCCUCUGCUAACUUACUCUUUUUCUUCACUUUUUGGGUGUUAAGAGAAAAAUAAAUUAAAAAUAUAAGAAUCUAACAAUAAUGUAUCUGAACUUCAGUUGCAGCUAACUCUAACAGCCGGUGAUGCUGAUCUACCUUCUGAAGUUUACUGGAGUUCUGUGCUUCCAAACACCCCGAUGCCACAAGCUGUCAAGAAUAGUCUACGUCCAGGUUGGUUAUGAAAGUUUAAGAGUUUGCCAUAAAUUAUUUUAGGAGGGUGUUACAGGAUUCUGAUUCUUAGCAUCAUGGUGAUCGAAUAUGCAGACCUGCUGGAAGACCAAAGCACCCCUGUAGAGAUAGGGAAAGGCACUAGUAUGGGUUUCAGCAAAGAAGGAGGAGCUAUGAACAUGUAUGCUGGAGUUAAGCCAGCGAAAGCAGCGAUGCCCUUCUCAUACCAUUAUGCUGCUACAAAGGAUCAGCUCCAUGCCUACCCUAAUGUGGCCAUUUUCUUCUUGGAGAAGGACAUGCAUCCCGGCAUGAAGCUGACCUUGCACUUCACCAAGACUACAAAUGCUACUUUCUUACCUCACCAAGUAGCUAAUUCAUUACCCUUCUCUUCAGACAAGUUGGCUGAAAUUCUGGACCAGUUGUCCAUAAAACCAGAAUCAGUAGAAGCUGAGACAAUCAAGAAUACGAUUGAAGAGUGUGAGGACCCUGGAAUUAAAGGGGAGGAAAAGUAUUGUGCAACCUCAUUAGAAUCCAUGAUUGAUUUCAGCACCUCGAAGCUGGGGAAUAAGGGUGUCAAGGCCGUUUCAACAGAGGCAGAAAACAAGUCCCAGAUGAAGUACAGAAUUGCAGCUGGUUUGGAGAAGAUGGGAGGCGACUUCUCUGUGGUGUGCCAUAAAAUGAAUUACCCAUAUGCAGUGUUUUACUGUCAUAAGAUCCAGGCCACAAGGGCUUAUAUGGUUCCCUUGGUGGGCAGGGAUGGGACAAAAGCAAAAGCAGUUGCAGUGUGUCAUGCAAAUACAAUGGAAUGGAACCCCAAUCAUUUGGCCUUUCAACUGCUCAAAGUCAAGCCGGGAACUGCUCCCAUCUGCCACUUCCUUCCUGAGGACCAUGUCGUCUGGGUUGCAAAGUAGAGAUGGGCAAUUAAUGAAUAAAUAAAUAAACUCAUCUGAGUUCUUCGGUAAUGUUAUGAAUUGGAAUAUCAUCGUGAGGGGCACUUGAUGUUAAUUUGGAAUUUUUAUGCAGUGUAUAUAUGCUAGCUGCAACCCUCACUCUUUGUACUAUCUAUUAGGUAUGUAAGCGUGCCAGAUAUUGCCUUCUCUUAGUUAAAUACUAAUGCUACUUAUUCUGGUGUGCUUCGCCAAUUUAUUCAACUAAUGAUAGGUAUGACAUAGGAUUUAACUGCGUCCGAGAAGGAGCUUGGGCAACAACAGCAAGUUUUCCUUUCUACCUUAGAGAAAAAGGGAAGCGAUCUAAGGUGCAAAAACGUGGGGAUGAGUGUUAUCUUGGGGAGGUGUUGUUGGUAUGCUAACCGAAUAGUUAGAGAUGCCGAAGCAAUGCAUGUUUCCUUAAUAUUAUUUUCUAUACAUUUUAUACUAAAUGAGAAAAUAUUUCAAAACUAUAAUGAAAAACAAAAAUAAUUUAUCUCUCCUUCCUUAUACAUACAAACAACUUCACUGCUUUUCUUACAAGCUUAGCCAACCUUGGUCCUUUUCUCUGAAAUGGAUUGGGCUUUCUGCUGCAAUUUCAGAGCUUUAUUAAUGUAGUUUUAUCUUCUUCCCGACCAUGUCUCUGGCUUUCCUCCCCGUGAGCCUUAAGUACUUCACUGUUUCUUCUCUUUUCAGUCUUUAACUUUUAUCUAUAUAUAUGCUAAAGUACUGUCUUCUCUAGGUGGGUUUUUUACUUUGGCUGCUACUAUGCUAAUGUCUAAGGAAAACAAGCCACACAUUUGAAUAGGUACAAUUCCCCUAUCAUUAUUUUUCUAAAUUUCUUGGCUUUUUUUAAGGGUUGUUUGAUUUAUGUAAAUUCCCUGAUCUUCCCUAAUCAGUAGUUAAUAAAUUUUAGUACUUAUGAUUUAUGUAAACAAGCCACAUGAACAUAUUUUAGUGCUUAUGAUUUAUGCAAAUUUUGAUAAAAUAUUAUUGUAAAGAUAGUUAAAAAACAAUUAGGAAUAAAUUAAAAGAGUUCUAGAAAUGAGAAAUUUUUAGAAAAGUGAAAGAGAAAAUUUUAAAAUAAUUGCCUCAAUAAAAGAAAAUCGUUUCACUAAACAGAAAUAAAGGUAAAAUCAAUUUUGUUAAUAAAUCUUUUUUAAAAAAUAAAUGAAUAAUCAGAUUUAGUAAAUAUAAAAAAGGGAUUGAAAUAUUUUUGUAAAUGAGUUUAUAAAAAUCUUGUUUUCUAAAAAGCUUUUUUCUUAAUAAAAAACCUUUACGGGAUUGAUUCCUCUUUGCAAAUAAAAAUAAAAUAAAAUAAAAUCUUAAUAAAUUGAUUUCUUUUUUCUCAAUAUGAAACUAUAAAACAGUUUUUUUAAAAAAAGAAUUCAAUUAAAAUUGGAUUUUUUUAUGUAAAGUCAACCGGGAAAUCUUCUUUUAAUAUAAAUAUAAAACCUUCUUUUAAUAAAAAUAUGAAUUUUCCUUUUAAAUAAAAUUGAAAAUCCUUUUUUUUUUUUAAUGAAAUAGAGAAAUCAUCUUUAAAACAAACUAGGAAAAUUUUAAAUAAAAUAAGGAUAAAAUAUCUCCUAAUGUUUUCUUGAAAUAAACUUAAUAAAAAAUUUGAUUUUUUUUAAUAAAAUGGAAAUAAUUUUUUAGAAAAAUAAAUUGCAAAGAUUUUUAAGUAAAAUUCAAAAACUUUUUUUUUUAAACAAAAUAAAAAUAAAAUUCUUUUUAACAAAUCUUUCCUAGUAAAAGUCAAGUAAAAGUAAGAUUUUUUCAAUAAACUUUCCAAAUGAAAUCAACUUGGGGUGAAAUGAAAAUUGACUCGGGUUUUUUCUUAGAAUAAAUUUGUAAAAAUCUUCUAUCUAAAUAAUUUAUAAAAAUCCUAAAUUUGCAAAAGUCCUUCUUUUCAUAAAAUUUUUGAAGGAUUUUUUUUCUAAAUAAAUUUUUAAACAUCAUUUUCCUUAAAUAAAAUUAAGAUUAGAAUAAUUUUGUAUAAAUAAAAUUUAAAAAUCAUUUUUUAAUAAAUUUAAGCAAAAUACAUUUUUAGAUAAAAUUGUUGAAAUCUCAAAGUUUAGAUUGAAAUUUUCUUCUUAUUUUUAUAAAAUAAAUCUAGAAAAAAAUUCAUUUUCUUGUAAAAUCAAUUUUAAAAAAAUAAAUAUGGAUUGAAAUAUAUGUGAUAAAUGAAUAUGUUAAAAAAAAAUGUAUUUCCUUCAUAAAAAUUGAAAAAUCAUUUUUAGAUAAAUAAAAUUUUAAUUGAAAGGUCCUUUUUAAAAGAAUCUCUUUUAAUAAAAUCUAGGAAAAAAAUCCUUUUUUAAAAUAAACUUGUAAAUAAAAAGUCUUUUUUAAUAAAAGUCAAAUAAAAUUCCCUUUUUAAUAAAAUUGCAAAAAUACCAAUUUCUUUUGUUAAGUCCUUUUAAAAGAAAACAAAAACCAAAUUGGAAAAUUGGAAUACUUUGUGUGGAUGAAAUUAUGAAAAUCUCUCUUUUACAAAGUCGGAUAUAAAUCAUUUCUAACAAUUUUUUAAUAAAUUUGAAACCUUUGAGAAAAACAAUAAGUUUGAAAUCUUUCUCUUAGAAUCAAUUUUUUUUUUAAUCCGAAUAAAAUCAAAAAACUUUUCCUUAAAUGAAAGGAAGAUAAAAUCCUUUUUAUCAAUAAAUCUUUUUUAUGAAAUCAAAUAAUAAAUCAUUUUUAGAAAAUAAAAAGGAAUUGAAGUAUUUUUGUAAAUAAUUUUUUAAAAGUCAUCUUCUUAUUAAAAAUCAUUUUUACUAAUAAAAUUGAAUUGAAUUUUAAUAUUUUUGUAAAUAAAAAUAUAAAAGUCUUAUUUCUAUCAAAAUAAUAAAAAUCAAUUUGCUUUGCAAAUAAAAUUGAAUUGAAACAUCUUUUACAAUAAAUUUGUACAAAAAAAAAAUCAUUUUUCUAAACAAUUUGUAAAAAGCACUUUUUAAAAAUAAAAAUUAAAUUGGAACACUUUUGUAAAUAAAAAUCAUUUUGUUGUAAAUAAGAUCAAGUUGAAUUUUUUAUAAAAUUGAUUUUAAUAAAUUAUGUUAAGUAAAUAGUUUUCUUGAAAAUAAAACUUGAAUACAAAAAUAAAAUCGAAUCAAAUCACUUAUUCAAAAUAAAUUAAAACUUUUUUGUAAUUUCUUGAAAUUUUAAUUUUUGAAAUCAUAAUUCUCUUAUUAUUUAUCUUAUAUAUUUUUGUAAUAAGCUUUUAUCAUUAUUUUCUUAUGUAUAUUCAUAUGUGUCAUUAAUCUUAGAUACCAUGAUUAAUUAAUUAAUUAUCAUAAUUUCCUUCAUUCUCCUAUUCUCGAUAGGUAAUCUAACUUGUAACUCCGUUUUUUAUUUGUAAACUUAUCUUUGUUUCAAAUAAGUCACAUAGAGUUUUUUUUUUUUUUUUUUAUCUCAUCUUUUAAAAAUAGAUAAAAGUAAAUAGCAAUUCCAACUUUUUAAAAAAUCAAUUUUUUAAGUAAUAUUUGAAUCUCGCUAUUAAGUGGAAAUGCACAUAAAAACCGUAGGUCCAUAGAUUUCUAACAUAAGAGUGUUCCCCAUGUUUAACAUAUUUUCUAUGCUUUUUUUUUCUUUUUUUGGUUUUCAAAAUCAACCAUUUGGCUACAAAACAAGCCCCAAUAUUUUUCUCAAUAAGUGAAAUUCUACAAGAAAGGAUAAGUGAAUCUAGAAACGGGAUGCAGAUCUUUACCGAUGCACGCAAAUGAACUUCAUGCGACAAACAUGUAGAAGUAUAACCAUCUUCUGGUGUGGGCCUUGGACAUAGUGACAUAGAACACUAGAGGUAGUUAUCUUGUCAUGAAAAGGCACUAACCAAAAGCAGCACCUAGCUCAUAGCCCUAUGAGAUCUUAACAACAAUUUCAUAGUCUUCCUUUUACCCUCAUGGUAUUCCAAGCAAUAAUUUGAACCUAAAUCAUUAAAAGAGAUAAUUGACCAAAUGGUGACACCCUCAAUUCUUUCAAUAGGCUAUAAUCCACUAAACAUCCAAAGUUCCCAUGAAGCAUCCAAAUGUCUAGACAAAGCUUUGGAGAAAGAAAAACCAAUAUUGCUAAUCUUCAUGACUAUAGCAUCUAUGAAAAUGGGCAAUCAAUUUCUCUCAUUAAUCAUAAUACAAGAUUACAACAAAUUAGAUACACAUGCCAUAAUACAGUGAGUGGAAAAAUAGGAAAGAAUAAAGACGGGAAAGUAAAUAUCCCUACAAAUCAAGAACUAGGAAUACAUCCCUAACAAUCAAGAACCUAAUUCCUAGGCUAAUAUCCUAUCCAAUUACACCUAUCAUUCUAUCAUUUGGAUAUACUUCCCAUAAUUAGGAAAUUCGUUUUCACACUCCCCCUCAAGCUGGUGAGUGGAUAUCAUCCAUUCUUAGCUUAUUAAUGAUUCUUUGAAAUGAUAUGCCAUUUAGUCCUUUAGUCAACACGUCUGCCUAUUGAUUUCCCAUUGGUAUAUACGGUGUAUAAAUCAACUCAUAGCCCAGCUUCUCUUUUAUAAAGUGUUUGUCCACUUCAAUGUGCUUAGUACGAUCAUAUUAAACUGAAGUCGUCCAAAAUUAUUUUUAUCCACAGGAGUUCACAAACACCCAAUGUCAUUGCUCUAAAUUCAACCUCUACACUCAAUCUUACAACCAUAUUUUGGUUCUUGCUUUUCCAGGUUACAAGAUUUCAUCCAAGAAAUGUGCAAUAACACAAGGUGGGUCUUCUAUCCGCUAUUGAACCUACAUAGUUUGCAUCUGUAUAGGCCUCUAAAGACAUUUUUUUCUCCUAUUCUGAACAAGAUUCAUUUACCUGGUAUCCCCUUAAGGUGUUGUAUGAUUCAAACCACUACUCGAAGAUGAACUUUCUUAGGAUUAUGCAUGAAUUGGAUGACAACUCCAACAGGAUAAGCUAUAGUUGAUCAAGUAUGUGAAAGAUAAAUUAAUCUUCCACCAAGAUUUUGAUACAUUCUUUUAUCCAUCACAUUGUCUUUAAGAUCUUCUCCAAGCUUGUGAUUUGACUCAGUAAGGGUUUUGACAGGUUUAUAAUCGAGUUUCCCAAUUUCUUUCAAUAGGUCUAAGACAUGCUUCUAUUUGGAGAUAAACAUUCUCCGUCAAGAUUGAGCAACUUCAAUACUAAGGAAAUACUUCAACAUGCCUAACUCUUUUAUUUCAAACUCUUCAAUUAAGUAUUUCCUUAAUUCUUCAUUUUCUUUCAAAUCAUCACCAAUGACUACAAUAUCAUCCACAUACACUAGCAACACGGUUACUUCCCCUGAGUUUUAGUGUUUAAUAAAUAAAGUAUGAUCACAUUGAUUUUGUUUAUAUACCAUAGAAAUCAUUACUUUUGCAAACCUUCCAAAUCAUGCCCUCAAAGAUUGUUUUAGCCUAUAUAGCACUUUUUUCAAUUUGCAUACAUUCUUCUCAAAGUUUAUGCUAAAACUUGGGAAAUUUUCCAUAUAAAUCUCAUCUUCAAGAUCGUCUUGUAGGAAGUUGUUUUUGACAUCAAAUUAUUGCAAGUCCCAUCCAAAAUUAGUUGUCAAAGAUAAAAGUAUCCUUACUAUAUUUAUCUUAGCCACCGGAGUAAAUGUCUCAAGGUCAUCAACACCAUACAUUUGAGUAUAUCCCUUUGCCACCAAUCGUGCUUUAUACCUCAUCAGAGUUCCACCAGCUCUAUACUUCACUAUAAACAUCCAUUUGUACCCCACUGGAUCCUUACCUUUUGGUAAUUCUAUUGACUCCUAAAGCCUUGUUUUAUUUCUAGAGCCUCCAUUUCAGCUUCCAUAGCAUUCCUCCACUCCUUAUGUUAAUGCUUCGGACACUAUUUUAGGUAUGGUAACAAUGUUCAAGUGAGAGGCAAUUUCUUAUAGGACAGGAAAUGAGAUGUUGGAUAUAAAGGACGACGUUAGGUGCAUUUUCUUGUGCCUUUCCCAAAAUGGGAGAUCAUCGUUAUCAACAACAUUGGUAUUUUGAUCAUUUGACAAACUCUCUUGAUGGGUUAUAGAAUGGAUGUCUAUCCAUGUUUCAGGGACCAGUUUUGAGUCAUGAACUUGCACAGGUUGAACAAUAGGUUUUUUCCUUCAUAUAGACUUUCAAAGAGCAAAUGGUACUCUAAAUGAGUCUAUCUUGUAUCAUUGUAUCCUUUUCCAAGGGAAUAUGAGGAGAGAUUGACUCAUUUGGCUUUGUUGAGGGGGGAAUAGAAAUGAACUUUUUUGGAACAAUUGGGAAAAUAUAUGAAAUAUUGGGAAAAAAAAAAAAAACAAAAACCAAUCUUAAUCCUUAUCUUAUUUAAGUGAACUCUUCCCCAAAAAAUAAGAUCUAGUAAAAUAGCUUUCAUUUUCAACAAAGGUUACAUCAACUGAGACAAAUAUAUAUAUAUAUAUGAUUGGAGGGUGAUAACACUAAUUAAUAACCUUUUUGAGUUAAUGAGUAACCAAGAAACACACACUUGAGAGCCCUUGGAUCUAAUUUUCCUCUAUUAUGUAAAUAAAUAUGAACAAAGGACACACAACCAAAAAUUAUGAGUCAAACUAUUUUAGGUAUUAGUAUUAGUAUUAGGGAAAAAACUGAAAAUAAUUUGAAUAGGACUUUUGGAACCAAGAACCCAAGAAGAUAGCCUAUUGAUUAGAUGGGUUGCACUCAAUACUGCUUCCUCCCAAUAUUGUUUAGGAACAUGUUUUGAAAAAGUAAGGCUCAAGUGAUUGCAAGCAAAUGGCCAAUUUUCUGUUCUGCCACACCAUUUUGUUAGGGUGUGUUAACAUAGAAUGAUUUAUCAAUAGUGUAUUCUUUUCGAAAAACUAUUGACAGAUUUAGUUAAAAUAAUCCUUGGCAUUAUCUAACCUAAACCUUUUAAUACUGACACCAAAUUGAUCCUUCACCAUUUUGAAGAAAUGAGGAAAAAUGGUGCAAACAUCAUACUUGUUUUUUAAGAGAAAUAACCGUGUCACACAAGUACAAUCAUCAAUAAAUAAAACGAACCACCAAGCUCCAAAAACUCUAGGAAUUUGGGAGAGUCCCCAAACAGAUCUAUGAAUGAGUGAAAAAGAAACAAACAUUCUUUUAUUGCUUAUUGGAAAACAUCACAUUUAUGCUUGGCAAGUUCACACACCUCAAAUUGGAAAUUUUCAACACAAAUUCCUUAGAAUAAAAUUGGGAACAUGACUCUAAGAGUAUUGAAUGAAGGAUGACUAAGACAAAAAUACCGACACCAUUUUUUUUUUCUUUAUUAAAGGAACUAGACUCAGAAAACAAUGAUACAAGUAACUUAUUCUUAGUACUACUUUGCUCUUUAGAUUCUUCAAGGUAGUGAGGUCCAUCCUUCAACCUAGCACACC
rnacentral:lncRNA from 1 species